GUCAAAUAAGGAAAGGAGUGUUAUAAUAUGGAGCACUUAGUCUAAGGCAGUCUUAUCGAACAAAGGAAGGGAUGCUAUGAUAUUGAUGCUUUAUCAUAGGACCUCUGCAAUAAUGCAUCUUACUUUUAAUUUUAUGACUAAUAAAAGGACUGCCGCAUGUUCUCUUUGUGUUUAGCAUGAUAUUUAGUUGUCCAUCGACAUACAUGGCCUCAAUCAAUGACUUUCACUUCUGAUAAAAUAGACUGCUGAAUUAAAUCCAAAGUCUUGUAAACAAACAUAGCUUGUUCUAUUCCUAAUAAUCACUAUAAUAAACACUAAUAAAUAAUUUGUGUUUGUCGAAUGGCAUGGUCUUUGCCGAGCAUUUUACGGGAUAUUGGCAGACCACCUAUUUGUCAAGAACCACACUCGGUAAAAGAAAGCACUUGAUAGAGUCUUUAGUUCAUCGAGAGCUGUGAGAAAAAUAACACUCGGCCAAUGCAACUUUUGAUGAGAGCUCGUGACAUAAUACUCGACAACUAGGAGCCAUGUGGCACAGUCGUCCAAGGUUGACGGCUCUGUGACACUAAUGCGUCCCAGACACGAGGCUAUGAUUUGCCGGCAAUUUGGGAGCUCUUAACCGGCGCCUUCAGCAUCGGUUGGUGUUUCCUACGCCCACGCGGUUGAUGGUAUGGGCCGGCCCACCACAAGGCGAGGCGGAUCGCUCGCCAGCGCAUCUUCGUAUGCUUUUGUUGACCGGUUGACAGUUGACCAGUUGGCCGGUCAACCAUUUACUUUUGAAUUAAAAAACAAAAAGUUUUUCAAAAAUGUUCAUGGAUUUUGGAAAAAUAAACUAAAAAAAAAAUAAAAAACCACAAAUUUGAAAAAAAUCUCAUAAAUUUUGAAAAAACUCCACGAAUUGGAAAAAAAUCAUCGAUACAUAUGGUCGCUAGCUUUUCCUCGAAAGAAAUUUUAAUAGUUAGCUUCGAAGAGUGACACAAUUUUGAGGGCCUAGCUUUAUUAAAAUUCUGAUCGCUAGCUUCGUUUGUGUUUUAGCACUGAUCGCUAGGUUCUUUUUUUCUUUCUUUUAGAUACCGAUCGCUAGCUUUGUGCUAACCGGUAGCCUACUAGCACAGACGAGCGGUUGAACAUAUAGGCCAGCCCACCCUGGCAGGAGUGCAGGACAUGCGGACGAGCUGGUUUAUUUGUUUUGGGUUUUAACAAAUCAAAAUCGAACAAACAACGAGGAAGUGAGGUGACGCUGACAUAAUACUUACAUGUAACAUAGACAGACCCAAUUAAUAAUUACCAAAGAUCCCGUUGAUCUUUUUUUUUAGGAUCAAACGCUACUGCAUCUUUAUUUAACUAGCGUAGCUGGGAAUGUCAUCAGCGAUUACAGACAGAACAAAAUCAGGACCACACGUUACAUAACUCGUCACCCACACCUACUUUAAAGCCAACUUAUGCGCAACCACAUUGGCAGAACGGCGAACCCAAUCCACACAAAACUCCAUGCGCGAGCUGAGCAGCUCUUUUAUCUCUUGAAUCCACGGCCCCACAGCAGCCAAACACCUUUCAGAAUGCAUCAGCAUUUGCGCCACAGCCUUGCUGUCAAGCUCAUGAUGGACUCGCUGAACCCCAAGCUCAACCGCAAGCUGCAAACCCCGCCUGCACGCAAGAAUCUCUGUGGCUUUAGGAUCAGCAAUGUUUGGAAGAAAAUGACUCACCCCAGCCCUAAAAGCGCCAUUGUGGUCUCGAAGCACCGCUCCUCCUCCGUCCUUGCUCCCUUGCUUUGAAACAGCACCGUCCAAGUUCACCUUCACCCAUCCCGCCGCAGCCGCCGCUGCUCCUCCUCCUCCACUGAGGUAAUCCCUCCUCCUACUCCUCCUCCUCCUCUCUCCUUCCNNNNNNNNNNNNNNNNNNNNNNNNNNNNNNNNNNNNNNNNNNNNNNNNNNNNNNNNNNNNNNNNNNNNNNNNNNNNNNNNNNNNNNNNNNNNNNNNNNNNNNNNNNNNNNNNNNNNNNNNNNNNNNNNNNNNNNNNNNNNNNNNNNNNNNNNNNNNNNNNNNNNNNNNNNNNNNNNNNNNNNNNNNNNNNNNNNNNNNNNNNNNNNNNNNNNNNNNNNNNNNNNNNNNNNNNNNNNNNNNNNNNNNNNNNNNNNNNNNNNNNNNNNNNNNNNNNNNNNNNNNNNNNNNNNNNNNNNNNNNNNNNNNNNNNNNNNNNNNNNNNNNNNNNNNNNNNNNNNNNNNNNNNNNNNNNNNNNNNNNNNNNNNNNNNNNNNNNNNNNNNNNNNNNNNNNNNNNNNNNCCUCCUCCUCCCUCCUCCCACCCCUCCUCCCUCCAUCUCUCCUAAACCCUAAACUUUUUUGUACUGUUCUUGUAUAAUGUAGUUUUUAUUAUUUUUAGUAAGAAAUUAACUGUUUUUAUUUACAGUAAGUGCUUAGUUGAACUAGUUGAAUUAAUAGAACUAGUUUAUUUUUAGUAAGAAAAUUUAGGUAUAUGAGAUUUGAUGAUCUAAUUAAAUUUUUACUAUAGAACUAGUUUAUUUUUAGUAAGGAAAUUAAUAUAACUAGUUUAUUUUAGUAAGUGCUUAGUUUAACUAGUUGAAUUAACAGAACUAGUUGAAUUUAUGUCAUUAUCACUUUGUCAUCAAAGAAUGCUAUAUGAGAUUUGAUGAUCUAAUUAAAAUUUUACUUGAUGGAAUAUGCAGGCUUUGUAGAGUCGUGUCUCCUUCGAGUAAUCGUCAUCCGAGUUACCUCUACUUCCUCUACACCCGAGUUGGUGAGCUAAAAGUCCACCUUCUCCUUCUCCACUCCUCGGUGUUGAAUAAAGUAAAACUAGGGUAUUUAGUUAUGCUUCUUAACCAAAUGAAGUGUUCGGGUUAUAAGAUAUAUUCAAAUUUUUUGUCAAUAUUGAACCAUUGAAAUGUAAUGAGCACCAGUUUAUACUCAUGUGUGAAGUGUUGAUUCAUUUCUGAGUGGCCUUUGUUUUGCCGGAGCUACUACUAGAAAAAGGCCUGUUAGUGGCAAACCUAUUUUUUUCAGAAUUUUUUUUCAAUUUUUUUUCAUUUUUUUCUUAAUCUCGGAUCAAUAUGCUUAAUCUCAAGUCAAAUCACACUCCGUGGUCAAACUUCCCGGAAGGUCACCCAUCCUCACACUACUCCAGCCCGAGCACGCUUAACUUCGCAAUUCUAUCCAACCCCAGCACCAGCUCACUUAACAGGCACUUGUUGAUAUAUCUAUCAUAUCAAUCAUAUUAAACCUUGUUGAUGUCUAGGACUUUGUUCAUAUUCAUGAGUGUGAUGAACUUUUGAAAAAAUAUUUCAAGCUUCCCGGUCAUAUUACGUAUCAUAUUUUGAACAUUUUUUCCAAAAAAAAAUUCGAAACCAAUUUUUUUUCUGUUACUAGUGGCGCACCUAGCAAAUGGUGCGCCACUACUAAGUUUGAUUUUUUUCAUUUUCCCCCCUCUAGAUCUUAAAAGCCCCGCAUCUUUUAUUUUGUUAGGUUUUUGGGGAUUCUGAAAAUCUUCAACAGGAUUCUGAAAAUCUUCAACGGGAUUCUGAAAAUCUUCAACGAGGAUGUAACUUUUCGAGUAGAUGCUUUUUCAUAAAAAAACUUUUUAAUCCGAGUUCGUAUGCAAAAGUUAUGCCCAUUUUACUAAAUUCCAGAGAGAUUUUGCAAAUAAAGUCAAAAUUCAUAUUUGUAAAUUUUCCCAACAACUAGACCGCAUAUCACGUGGGAAACUUAUUUUCUUUUAUUUUUUUGACAUUUCCAUCAUUUUUUAUUUUUUUAAAACUGAAAAGGCGGUCCACGGGAGGGGGGUGCAUUUGGUUAUAGUAAUGGCGCACCUGUUCAAAGUGUGCCAUUACUAUGUGUAUGACUUGGUCAAAUCUUGGUCAAAGUUAGUAAUGGCGCACUUUGUGUAGGUGCGCCAUUACUAAGUUUGACAUAGUAAUGGCGCACUUUGCACAUGGUCAUGGCGCACUGUGCGCCAUUACUAACUUUGACCAAGGUUUGACCCAGUCAUACACAUAGUAAUGGCGCACUUUGUACAUGUGCGCCAUUACUACUAUGUCAACUAGUAAUGGCGCACUAUCCCUUGGUGUGCCACUGCUAACAAUUUUUUUUUUCAAAACUAGUAAUGGCACACCACACACCAGGUGCACCAUUAGUAAUAUGUCAAUAAUGGCGCACCUGUAUCUGGUGCGCCACUGCUAUAUAGCAGUGGCGCGCCACAUACAUGGUGCAUCAUUAAUGUCCAUAUUAGCUAUAGCCCUUUUCCUAGUAGUGCGAGUGUUGAUUCAUUUUCGUUCCGGCAAAUUUCAGCCGCUCGAUAUGUCCUAUUUUAGCAAAGGUCAUGCCGGAUUUUUCCGUGAAUUUAAACAUGACUUGUGCUAGAAUAUGUAGGAAAUAUCGGGUGCCCCGAAUUUGCUAGUAAGAGAAUCAAACGACAUUUCGAGUUGACUUUAAGUCUGUCGGGGCUCCAUACAUGACAGUCAAAAAAUCGGUGAGGGAGAGUCUCCACCAUAUAUGAGAGAAUAAGAAUGCUGACUGUUGUCGUGGGGGUCGCUUCUCCUUCUUCUCUUUGUGCUAGACCUUUGUUAUGCACUAGGGGAAGAAGGAGUUGCGACCAUCAUCGACGGUUGAAAAAUCGGUGAGGGAGUGUCCACCAUAUAUGAGAGAAGAAGAAUGUCGCUGUUGUCGUGGGGGUCACUUCUCCUUCUUUUCCUUGUGUUAGAUAUUUGUAACACACUAGGGAAAGGAGGAGUAGCGACCAUCACUGACGGUUGCAAUAUCAGAGAGGGAGUGCCCACCAUAUACGUGAGAUGAGAGUUUAGGAAGGAAGACUCGACAGACCUAAAGUCAACCCGUUGCAUAUUGAGUAAUAGCGAUCUGUGUGUUGAGUUUCCUGCUUGUUGCCUUGGAUCGAUUUUCAAUUAAUGUUUCAACUAUGAACAUAGGAAAUGUCUGACGACGAAAAGGAUUUCAGUAUGUGCGAAUACUGCGAAGACGAGCGCGGCCUGUGAGACAGAAAUUUCCUAGUUGAUGGUAGGCGCUUCAGCAUCAAGCUGGAUGAGACCUUCGAAGUGGAUACAGUAAGUCACAACGACAAGUCUUUUUCGUAAUUAAGCAUGACUUCUUCUUUUGCUUCAACUUAUAAUUUUUUUUACUAUUCUACUAGCGUAUCCCCUGCCAUGCAAGAAUUUUGGUCUUGGAUAAGAUUGGUUUCAGUACUAUGGAAACUAUGGAGGUUAAGAGAGUUCACUUGAGGACCAGCAUGGUUAUACUUUACCGCAAAAUUAUACAAUGCAGACACCUACACCUAUUUUGAAUGCAAAAAUUGGAGAGCACUAUGCAAGGCUUAUGCAUUUGAGCCUGAUAUGCUUAUCACCUUUGAUAUUCAUCCGGAAGAUGAUAUUGAAGAUAAUAUCGACAUCUGGGUCGAUGUGCAAAUGCCUCCAGUUCUACCAUUAUGUGAGUUUCUCAACCAUAUUUAUGUCUUGGAUAUUGUUUAUUCAAAAAUAGUUGACAACUAAUUUCUAUUGACAGCUUAUUUCCAUUCAAGCAAACCUGUCCGACGCUUGGUAGACAUGACCUACUACUGUCCCGUGGAUGAACUAAACUGCGAGGAGAUAAUUCAUUAUGUUUCAUGGCUUGAGGAUCUGGAUACUGUCAAGACAAAUUAUUUUCCUGGACUCAAAAAUCUUAGUACUCAAAACGUGCGACCAAUAGUGUUCGUAUUGAACUACGGUCACAUCUAUUUAGGAAAGAUGGUAAGAUUUUUACUAUUUGUCCUCAAUGCAUCUUUUGCAUACAUUAUUUUUUAAGCUAAACUUUAUUGCUAAGUAUGUUACUACGAUGUUCUUCAACAGGGACUCCCGAUGAUAGUUGUGCCUUAUUGGAUCGAGACUAAAGGUCGCAUGUCCAUGGUUAGCUUACGGCCAAGACAUCCUACAUUGCACUUUAGUGCAUUCAGGAUUUCUAAAAGUGAGCAAGUCUUAGUAGUCAAAGACUGGAGCAAAAUUAUGAAGGAUCGCAGAGAAGUACUAUGGGGCAGCAAUCAGAAACGCAACCCACAAUUAGGAGACAGGUUCAUCUGCAUGCUCCAAUAUGAUGAAGCAGGACUGCUACACAUGUUUUAUGUUAUUUUAGCUGAGAGAGAGAGCAGUAGGAGUGAUUAGCUAGCUAGAAUGAGUUUGAAGAUGAUAUGUGCUACACUAUGACUAUGAUGAUUAAAUAGCUAGUGUUGGUGGUAAUGACUAUGAUGAUUAUUAUUCGCUAGUGUUGGUGCUGAUUAGAUAGCUACCGUAGCUAGUGUUGGUGGUGAUUAGCUAGCUAGAAUGAGUUUGAAGAUGAUAAUGUGCUACACUAUGACUACGAUGAUUAAAUAGCUAGUGUUGGUGGUAAUGACUAUGAUGAUGAUUAAAUAGCUUGUGUUGGCGGAUUAGAUUCAAGUGGAGGCAACAUGUGGUGCACAUCGAAAGUACUACUAAUCCAAACUAGAUCAAGUUUGGAUUAGUAGUAUAGUUUCGAGAUGCACCUGUAGCGACCCGACCCAAAUGGAUCAAGUCUCUGUGCUUAAGUGUCAUCCCUGGAUCGGUAUGCUGACACACACAGUACUCGAGGAUUUAUAACAGAGGUAAAUCACAUGUAUAAAAUAACGUAAAUACUAUUACCUCAAUCCAAAUAGCGGAAGUAACAAGGUUGUGGAUUCCCAUCAACACCAACGACAAAGUUGAGUGUAGAAAUCGUUACCCUAACGUAUCACUUACUCGUCGUAAGAAUCCUGCAACAUGAAACGUUGCAGCCCGAAAACGGGUCAACACAUGGAAUAUGCUGGCAAAUUCACACCAUAGAGAAAUGAUGAACAAAGGCUAUCACUACAUGCAUAUAUGGCUGGUGGAAAAGCUCUAUAGUUAUAAUGUUUUUGCGAAAAGCCAAUUUUUCCCUACUGCAAAGGAAUAAAUUUUAUUUAACUAUCAUGGUGGUUGUUAAACAUUGAGAUGGUUGACAUCAUCUCAAUCCCAAUUAAGUAUCAUCAUUAACCCAACAAUAUUAAUUAAAGUAACAUGAUGAGAUCAACGGGAUAAUCCAAGAACUAGAUACUCAAGAUGUCCAUAACCGGGGACACGGCUAAUCAUGAUUAGUUUGUACACUCUGCAGAGUUUUGUGCACUUUUCCCCACAAGACUCGAUCGCCUCCACUUUAUUCUCGCACUACAUGAUGUUUGAGAAACGGAUGACCGAGACACAGUCUUUCAGAAGCGUUAACUCUCUACUCCGGGUAGACAGUACCACCUACACCCCCUACAUCUGCUAGCCUACCACUGGAAGAGGUCAUGCAACAUACUCAACUAUGCUAGAGCCCAUAAUAGCUUGUGCCUGCACACGGAAGUUUCUAGCAUGAAAAAUCUUAUGAUCCCAUUGAGUCUGGGUGGCGGUCCUUAGAAAAACAGGCAAUUCUGGAAUACCCAGGUACCUCAAUCCACCCAGAUGUGAGUUUUAGUUGCCACCUUAAGUUUAACCAUAUAUUAACAAUGUCACAUCUGUCAUGGAUACACUCAAACCCAAUCCACGUCUACUAGCAUAGCAUAGCAAUAUAAGCAAACGUAGAAGUAACUCCCAAGGGUUUGAUAAUAAAACAGGUAAUAGGUACUACCUCAACUACUUCCCAAUACCCACAAUUUAAUUAGAUCCUAACCAUGCAAUGUUUGAGGAUUUGUCUAAUGCAAUAAAACUGGGUAAUGAAAAGUAUGAUCAAAGUGUGAACUUGCCUGCAAUGUUGAAGAUGAUUCACACUCAAUACUCUGGAUAGAUCUACUCGUCACACUCCGUCAAUCUAUCGUAAGCAAGCAAUAGUAACCACACAUAAGCAGUCACUCAAAAGAUCGAAAGAACGAAGAAGACGAUUCAAGCAAAUAACUCUUGCAACAUAAAACAAUUUCUAACAGUACCAAAAUUAUAUGAAUUUGGCCUUAUCAGAAAGUUUAGGUCAAGAGCUUCGAUUUGCAAAAAGAAUCAACUAAAUCGGAGUUACGAAACUCAAGUUACGAUCAAAAGAAGAUUCAACUUCAAAUCUGAUCUAAUUCACAUUUUAAAAUUUCAAAAACAUGUUUGAGUUGGAUUACUGGAUAGAGGGGAUCAUAACGAAGAAAUUGGCGCUGGCUUCGUUGGAUUUGGAUAAACGAGCAAAAAGUUGUGAGUGUUUGAAAAUCAGGGGCUAGACUGUAAAAUAAAUCAUCACAGAUAGGUCCCUGGCGAAAAACUAAAAUAAAAGAAGAAGACUAAAUAGCGAAUGUUCGCUACACAGAUCUACAGAACGAAAACGUUCACUAAAACUAACUAAACAAAAAAACGUUCGUUAAAUAACUAAAAUAAAAAAACGGGUUUCUAAACAAAAACCGAACCUUAAAAUAAACCAUUCGGAUCGGGUUUGGUUUAUCUCCGGUUCAAGAGAAAAGACCGGGGCGGCGGCUACUCCGGCGGCGAGGUGGACGGCGGCGACGUCGGGCGCGGCUGCGGACAGCGGCUCCGGCGAGAGGCAGCGCGNNNNNNNNNNNNNNNNNNNNNNNNNNNNNNNNNNNNNNNNNNNNNNNNNNNNNNNNNNNNNNNNNNNNNNNNNNNNNNNNNNNNNNNNNNNNNNNNNNNNNNNNNNNNNNNNNNNNNNNNNNNNNNNNNNNNNNNNNNNNNNNNNNNNNNNNNNNNNNNNNNNNNNNNNNNNNNNNNNNNNNNNNNNNNNNNNNNNNNNNNNNNNNNNNNNNNNNNNNNNNNNNNNNNNNNNNNNNNNNNNNNNNNNNNNNNNNNNNNNNNNNNNNNNNNNNNNNNNNNNNNNNNNNNNNNNNNNNNNNNNNNNNNNNNNNNNNNNNNNNNNNNNNNNNNNNNNNNNNNNNNNNNNNNNNNNNNNNNNNNNNNNNNNNNNNNNNNNNNNNNNNNNNNNNNNNNNNNNNNNNNNNNNNNNNNNNNNNNNNNNNNNNNNNNNNNNNNNNNNNNNNNNNNNNNNNNNNNNNNNNNNNNNNNNNNNNNNNNNNNNNNNNNNNNNNNNNNNNNNNNNNNNNNNNNNNNNNNCGGGGAGAGAGAGGGGAGAGAAAGGAGUGCUGGGCUUCGGCCUGGCACUGUUCGAAGAGUUUUUUUAAACAUUUUCCGGACAAAGAAAAAUAAUAAAAACGAAAUAAAUAAAACUAUUAUAUAGGCAUAUAAUAUAUCAAAAUUUUCAGAAAAAGAUUUUCUACAACAUGAACAUUUUUGUGAAGUCAAAUAAAAUCCUCACAAAUUUACAUAAAGCAAAGAGUGCUACUGCCUUAAUGAAAUCCAAUAAAAAUCAUUUAAAAAAUACCAAAAUGAUUUCAAUUUAUUUCUGUCCAAUUUUCUGAUGUAGGGAAUCAUGUUACCCUAUUUUCUGUAUAUUUUUUUUAUUUUUGGAGAAAAUAAUUUGAAUAAAACCCAAAUAACUCCAAAUUAAAAAUAAUUUCCAAAAGGACUUGAAUUUGAUCCUUUGAAACUCCCAACUCAUAUUUCAUAUGUUUUGAAGAAGUCAUUUUAUCUUCGCUCGUGAAAAUCAUUGAGUUGCAUAAAGUUUCAGAAUUGGAAAUAUUCUCAGAUGAAAUUCAAUUAUUUUCAACACCCCUUGUCAUUUAAAUAAAUGGAAGAAGUCAUGUCAUCUUCUCUCCAGGGUUUUGUGGUGAAAGAAUUUGAAUUCACGGGGAUCAUAAAAGAAAAAAAUGAAAGUUUGGGAAAGUCCUUUUAUUCCCUCUCAUUUAACUUUCAAAAAGUUUCGAAUUCCACUCACUUUCAGUCAAUCAAUCAAACAAUCAAUCCAAUCUAUCUGUUUAUUAUAACAUUCCAAAAUUUAGAAUUUUGGGAUGUUACAGCACCACAUGCUGCCUCCACUUGAACCUAAUCCACCUUCAUUUCACACACUGUUAUGGACAUAAUGAUAUAACAACCUCAUAAUUGAUACUGUACCAAAAUUUGUAUAACAGCGUAUAAAUACACUAAAAAUAUAAAAAAACAGUAUACUAGUAGCGCUGGACCGGAAACACGCUGCUGGAAACAACACAGGCUGUGGCUAUGUGUCUUAGCAGUAGCGUGUGUUGCACGCGCUACUGCUAAGGAAUAGCUGUAGCGCCUUACUAGUAGCGCGGUGACACGCACUACUAGUAGGCUUUAAACCCGCGCUACUACUAGGCCUUUCUCUAGUAGUGAUAGCAUUAGUCAAUAAUGCAACUCAUGAAAGAAUUAAUAAGGUAAGAGAAGAUUCACAUAUAAAUACACUAUCAUGGAAUUUUUUUCUGAUUGUGAGCCCCCAUCAAAAUAUUAUAUGCCAAAAUUGUUGACGUCGGACAAGGAAGACAACUUAAUGAUUUAUGUUUGUUCAUAUUCACAUAGAAGUUAUAUUGUCAUAGAUCCUUCAACAUGUGGUGCUUGCCCGCCAUCUUUGCUAGCCCAAAAUUCCGCACUAAGUAGAGAUACUACUUGUGCAUCCAAAACCCUUAAACCCAAAUCUUAUUUUCAAGAGUCCACCAUACCUACCAAUGUAUUGAGUAAGAUCCUUCAAGUAAGUUGUCAUCGGUGCAAUAAGGCAAUAAAAAUUGCUUCUAAAAGUGUAAGAUCAUUUAGUGUAAGAGAAAAUUGAGCGUUGUACGAACUUGUGAUGGUAAAGAAAUAAAAGCAACAGACCGCAUAAUAAAGGUUGCCAUCACAAGGGGCAAUAAAUGUGAUGUUCUCUUGCAUUAAGGGGUUGAGCAUACAAACAAGUAAGCGCUUGGCAACCUCUACUUCCCCUGCGAAGGGCCUAUCUUUUACUUUUAUGUAUUUACUUUUAUGCAAGAGUCAAAGUUCUUUUCUCUUUUCCUUUUAUUUUCUCCUUUGGCAAGCACCAUGUGCUGAGGAAAGAUCUAGGCACAUAUGUCCAGUUGAAUAUGGGUAGCAUGAGUUAUUAUUGUUGACAUCACCCUUGAGGUGAAUGCGUUGGGAGGCGAAACUAUAAGCCCCUAUCUUUCUACGUGUCCGGUUGAAACGUUUUGCUCAUGUGUACACGGUGAGUGUUAGCAAUCAUAGAAGACUAUAUGAUGGUUGAGUAUGUGGACUUGCCUAAAGGCUCCGAUACGUGACCCUUCCUGAAAAGAUGAUGAAUUGUAGUUGCAAAGUUGACUGAGAACAUACACUGGUGCGCGUCGGUGCUAUACAAACGAUUUUUAACCCCUUUCCACGACGGCACUUGCAACCGUCGCCAAGUGAGUGUGGGCGAUAGGGGGUCCUUCCCACACGACCCAGAAAUCGUCGGGAAUAGGCCCUCCUGGGACACAGGCUGGGGCCGUGUGCGAUCGGGCGAGGCGUCGAAACCCAAUAAUUUUCGUAGGUAUGUACAUCCCACACGAUAAUCCGAGAAAAACAUUUCCGUAGGUAUGUACAUCCCACACGGUGAAUCCCAGAAAAACAUUUCCGUUCGUAUGUAUAUCACACACAGUCAAUCCAAGGAAUACGUUUCCGUUGUUAUGUACAUCCCGCACAGUCAAUCCAGGGAAAACGUUUCCAUUCGUACGUGCAUCCCACACAGUUUUAUGUGUAGGCUCGUGUGUGAAAGGUGUAACUACCACACACGGUCUGCCUUGGUUAACUGUUUGCUUUUAUCAACUAUAUCACACACGAUUUGAUGAAGAAAACUGUGUGGCAUUGGGCUAUUCAUCGCAAGCGCUUUUACUGCUAGAACCGUUUGCAAAGGUCCAUGACACAUUUAGCAGGUUUAUUAGUUUACAAUUAAUAAUUUCAGUAUUACGCAAAUUCACAUUUCCGAACAGUUGUUUGCCAAUUUCAUAUCAAGCGCAUAAAUCCUAUAUACUCCCUCCGUUCCUAAAUACUUGUCUUUCUAGGCAUUUCAAAUGACUAUCACAUACGGAUGUAUGUAGACAUAUUUUAGAGUGUAGAUUCACUCAUUAUACUCCGUAUGUAGUCACUUGUUGAAAUGCCUAAAAAGACAAGUAUUUAGGAACGGAGGGAGUACUUAAGAAGUUCACCCCCACUACUUGAUUUAUCUCUACAUGCAGCAUAGCCACGUCAUCAGCCAUUCACAUCCAGCCACGUCACACAAUCCCACUCAAGAGCAUGUCAGUUUUUUUUCAAUUAACAGAGCUACCUUCCCUCGCUGAGAAAAAGGGAACAAUUGAUCGAUUGAUAGCACGCAGCCUGUCCACAUCAGCGCCCAGCCACAUCAGCGUUUUGUUAUAGCUUACAUGGGGGACCCACCAAAGUACAGACAUACGCAUCAGCAUUCGGUUACUAGUAGUGGACCCGCCAUAGGCUGACCACGAACGCCUCUUUCUCCCCACGUCCGCGGGUUCCACCGCAAACAAAUCGCUGUCGAUUAGAUUCCCCUUCCGGCUUCUGUAACCGGUGACUCAAUCUUAUAUCCACCACCGUUUGCUAACCCUCCUCGAGACUGACCCGCCGAGGUGCAGCGCCGCUGCCGAGCGAUCCCCGGCGAGGAAGGCACGCCAUAUGGUGUAACCCCGGUAGGCCGCCACACGAUCUCCGCAACGUCGCCUUGACCCCGCUACCCCGCAUCCCCAUUGGCGACGCCACGUGUGACAUCGGCGAGCCAUCCCACACGCCACGGCCCCUCUGCGAGCGAUGCCGUUCCGGCGACCCCGACUUAAUUGGGCGUCCACUCUUCGACCUAUCGCUCCAGCUGCUGUUUAGGGGGUGGCCAUUCCCGUGGGCAUUUGGUGGCCGGCAGAGGUCUCCUGAACCAGAUCUGCGGACAACUCAAUGCACGAAGGAGUUCUCCGUGAGUUCAAUCCUAGCUAUGUAGCCCUUGUGGAGAAGUACCCAGGAAGGAGGUGGAAUCAGCUGUUGACUAUGCCUCUGCCUACGCAUCCAUCCGUUUAAGGGUGACCACAAUUGGUAAGAUGUAGGACAACUAGGCCACAAAUUGAUCUGAUAUCAAAUGGUGUAGAUUAGUAGAUACAACAUAUAGAUACGGUCCACUGUGAUGGUCAUAGUUUAACCAUCUUUCUUUAAUGUUAUAUACUACAGUCAUCUAUUUUUUUACUAUAAUUUUCCUUGAUUUUCUUCAAAAGUGUUGAUAUAUUACGACUAUUUUCAUCAUAUCAUGCCUUUUCAUUGUGAAAUAUGAAAAUGCAUCAUCGCUGACUAUGUACUUUCAUUCUUUUUACUAUCUUAGGAACCGAGAAGAUAAAAAGAGGGUUUCUGUUUCAUCUCCCCCGACGCUCUCUUGCCAACAGAUGCACACACCUCACCCCAUUAAUACCAUGCAGAUGCUACAUUUAAAAACCCUUUUAUAAUGCCAUCGUCAUUCAGCCCGCACGCCUGCUCACAUCCACAUCUCGGAACCGAGCUCCAUUAUGGUAGCACCCCCUGUUUUCAACCACCUAAAGAUUCCUAUACUGAGCUUAUGUUUUGUUAGAUUGCCCCUCCGAUUGAAAGUGCUCGAUGUGUUACUUCAUAAGUCUUUUGAUGGUUGAAUUGACUUGAUCACUUCAGAUGUCUCUUGCUGGAUGCUCCCUUUUUCCAUCUACCCCUAAUUUUCCUUAAAUUAACUUAUGUUUUUUAAUUUGUCAAAUCGCACUCUGGAUCGAAAGAUGCCAGGCAUUUUGCUUCAUAGGUUCAUGUUGUUGGCAUUAACUUCAUUGAUUCACAGGUCUCUUGCUACUCGAAUUUGUACGGAAGCUCUCCUCUGUUAAUAUUUUUUCCCUUCAUGAGCAUUUGCACCUUUUAUUUAUAUAUCAUAGGAAUUUCUUUCUCUGGAGCUUUUCCAGUUCAGUGAACUUAACUUCACAAUUGACAUCAGAAGAGAAACAGAUAACAAUUACAAAGAAAAUAAAAUUUAGAAAAUCUAUGGAUGAAAUUAAGCAAGGGAUAUAUUAGCCAUGAGGUGAUUUCCAGAUGUAUAAGUCAAUUUUAUUUAGUCCAUCCAGGUUUAUUGUCUGUAAGAAAGUUGAUGUCAAUAUCCAUGCAUCCUUCCUCCCCUAGAAAUCAAUUUUCUAGAAUGGUGUGAUGUGUGACUUGAGUUAUCUUUUUAUUGCAUUGCAGUUGUAGGAAAAUUUGUAGUUUUGGUGUUUGCGUGGAAGUAGUGUAAGUAGAAGCACACAUCAUAUGGUAUCAUGAUCGUUGCCGGUACAAUGGAAUGUGCAGCUAUUGUGUGACGUUGUGAAAGUGUUCUAUCCUACACACCAGCUCGGACUCUUUUGCAGCAUGUGCGUUUGCAACCUCUAUACCUAUGAUUUUGCUCGACCCUGCGUGUACUACAUGCGAUUGCAAAUAGCGUACUAAACCGUAAGUGCCAGGUAUGCAGAUGUAUCAAGUACAAACUGUCUUUCCUGAGUUUUAAUUAAUAUGCAUGUGUUCUUUAGCAGACAAACAUUGUGACCAUGUGCUUUAGAAUUAUUUUUCUUGACAUGCCAUGUUCUUCGGAAAUCAACUAAUCAUGUAUAUCUGAAGAUGCAACUCUAUUUCCCUUUUUGCUUUCCACUGUUGAUGGUUAAACAUUUAGAUGUUUAAUCAUGAGAUAUAAUGAUGCAAGGAUUUUACAUACUUGGCUUUUGAAACGCCAAGUCUAUUUAAUUUUUAUUAGCUUCAACAGGUGCGCUAUUCUGAACUUUGAAGCCCUCUUACUAGCUUCUGUGAUCAGAGAAUUUAGUUUAGAUACUUUGUUAAGCAUGUUUCCUAUUCUCUAGGAUUUUAUGAAAUAUGUGUUAGUUUGAGUUAGAAUGGAAAAAUAUAUAUGUUCUUUUCAGAGGGGAGAGAUCUUUACAUGUUCAGCCUUCAAAAUGUUAGCUGCACCUACAGGUCCAGAGAGUAUUACUAUCUCUGCUCAAUGACUUUUGAUUAUGCUCCUAUUGGAAAAUAAGGAUAGUUCUGGCAUGUCUGAUCAGCAUCUGAUGUUCCAAUAUGGUUACUGAAAGCAGUCGAUGGAGGAUCCAGUGAGAGGCCUAGAGCUGUUCUGAAGGAGGUAGAUGUGGAAAAGAGUGGUAAAAUUGGACUACUUUUGUUCCCUUUAAAAACAAGCUUGGAUUGUCUGUCUUUAAUUUAUCUAAUUUCUGUAAUAUAUAUGAUUUUUAAGAGUUUAAUUCUGUGUACCGUGUACGACAUUGGGAUAAUAACUGUUAGUUUGUAAUGCUGCCAUGAGACUAUUGGACGAAGAAAAUUUAUACAACUGUACUAUUUGUUUCAAGUCACUGCACAAGCUCAACAUUUCUUUGUUUUCUUUGAGAUUCAAGGUAGGGAAACAAUAGUGUUUGUGCCACAGCCAUUCCAACUGAAAGUACAAGGUCUGUUUUGAUGGGUAGACGUUUGAUCAUGAAUGAUGGAAAUGGUACGCCGAAGGGGAUAGUACAAUUGAUGGAAACAGUCAUUCGUCCUGAUGUAGUAUAUAAAUAUAUAUACUUUGUUUAAUCAUUUUGGACAUGUCUCUGUGCAUCAAAUUUCAUCUACAAAAUCCCGCAGCAACGCGCGGGGUGUCAUCUAGUAUAUUAUAACAUCACAGUACGGUAGCUACAUGAAAACAGCACGGUACAACAUAUAGCUAGUUCAACUUCAUAAGAACAAUAUAUUCAUUUCCCUAAUCGAGAUCAUCCAGGCUCGUCUUAUCCACCUCUACUUUCAGUUCAGUAAGAACCUGUUUUGCACGGGCCAACUGGGAAAGUGCCUCCUCCUUCGCCAACACCAUCUUAGCAAAGUCUGAUUUAAAAAAUCUGAGCUCAUUCUCCACCUUCCACUUUUUAUCUUGCAUCUUCAAAUAUUCUUCAGCGUUGACAAUAGUUUCUCUAAGCCUACGUCUGUUCUCUUCCUCAUACAUGCUCCAGAGCUUCGCUAGGCACAUCUUCAAAGACUGUGGCCACUCUUCAUCAACCCACUCCAAGUAAGAACACUUCCGUUCAUCCUAUAAUAUUUAAAACUAGAUCAGUAACAAUUAUAGGGGAAAUGAGUUUAUAGCAACAUAGGAAAUCACCAAUGCUUAUUUUGAAAAACUGAAGAAACAUGUUAAUUAUGACAUAUCUUCUCAAAAAGAUCAAUGUGCAAAUGAAUUAAUUGCUACUGAGACACCAACCAAAUUCUGGAACAUCAGAAGCUAUAAUUAACUACAAAAACGCUACAAGUUCUUACUCAUGUACAAUAAAUAACAAAUUGAACAUUUUAUGAGGAAGGUAAAUAUAACUGCAAUAGCAUAGUGACAGUGUUUGGAUGACAGCAAAUUGAUACUAACAGGUGUGUACAUGCACAAAUUUAGUAACAUAGAACUAAUAGCACUAAGGCCGUCCACUAUGUAUGCCAAAACUGGGGUAAAGACAACUGUUGCUACAUCUCGCACCGGUGCUCUGCAGUGGCGAGCCGAUGCAGCGGAAAAAAAAUUAGGGACCCGGACUCCGGAGUACGUAGUUGCUCCGAUGCCUAGUUCCUUCGUGCCAUAAAGAUUUAGUAUUUUACUGCUUGGCUGCUCGAAUGUGUGGACCAAAGUUGACUGCACAAACUGCUGAAGCGGUGCCAAAUAAUUUUCUAAUGGCACCGCUGAUGAGAUGGCAACAAUUUAAGAUACUAGGUACAAACUGUGACACUGUCUUAGGAUGCGUUUGGUUGAAGGUGUGGUAUGAAUGGGUUGGGACCGUGACAGUGUCUGAAUCACAUCUAACAAAUGAUUUGUAACAAUUAAAGAGGAUCUAACCUUCUCUGCACAUGCCAGAAACCUCCUCCCACUGUCCACAGAUUCAAACGCAACUAGCUUCACGCAUGGAGAUUGAUGGUGACAACGAGCAGAUAGAUCUUCAGCCACCCCGCUCCAUUCGUUGCCACUGAUGGUCCUAGGGAGCUACAAGAGGAAGAAAUGACUCAAAUCGACCGCCAGGUAAAAAUCAUUCAUUCCAAGUCAUAGCCCGAGAGAGAGAAGAGAGGCAUACCCGGGUGGUGAAGGAGUCGUCGCCGGAGGAGGAACCGCUAGAGAGGUCUUUGAAGAAGACCAUGGCGACCCUGGCGGUAGGAUGCGAGACGACGAGAGCGAGGAAGCGGCUAUAACUUAGGAAGGAAGGAAGGAGGAAACAGGGGAAAUGUGACUUAUGGUCAGGGAGAAAAGGGGGUGGGGAAGGGGGGAGGGGGUAGAUAUUUUGGCGGUACGCCAAAAUUUUGGAAAUGUGGAGGGAAACUUUGCGCGCGGUGCCGCCGGACCAUUCACUUUGAACAAUUGUGUGCAUCGCAAACGAUUCUUCUGCUUUACGCACAUGGGAUGAGUUUGAUAAUUCAAAUUUUGGUGAAAAUUUCCCCGGGUACGUCAUUGCAUAAUUUUACAUCGCUUGCUAAUUUGGGCACACAAAAGGGCGUACAGCAGACAGACCACACUUACUGAAUCGAGCAAUUUUAGUAAUUAAACAGAGCCUGUUGACCUAAACAUUGCUCUAACAAAAGACCAGCAUUAAAAACAAAGCCUAAGUACGCAUAAUUUUAACAAAUCCGCCGCCGCGCCGGCCUAUGCAUCGCCGGUGUGAGAUGAGACGUCGAUGACUUGUCCUGGCGACAUGCCGCCGUUGGUGGACUCCGCGUCCCCCCUGCUGAAGUCGACCGCGUCCUCAUCCUCAUCCUUGUCCUCGGCACCGCCCUCAAGGUUGUAGUAUUUGUAGUAGUGGCUGCGCCGGAGCUCGCGUUAGCACUCCACCGCCGAUUCCUCGAUGGACAGACUCUUCUCUACCUCGACCUCGGCCAAGCGCAACUCCUCCUCCCAGCGCUCCUCGAUCUCCGCCGCCUCCUGCAUCUCCAGCUCCCGCUCGGCGACCUCAUGAGGAAGCAUGUGCUCCAUGGCCACCGCCGCCUUUUCGGACGUGGGUUGCAUGCUGGAGUGCGAGGUGGCCUGGAAUAUCUUGGCGUGUGCAUCCUCGAUCUUGGCCUGGAUGGCCUCGACCCGGACCAGGGCAACAUCGGCAGCACGGACGACAGCUCGAGCGCUCUUGGCGUUUGCAGCCACCGUCGCCACAGCAGCUGCAGCCGUCUCGGCUGCUGCAGCUGCCCUGUCGGCUGCCGCAGACGCCCUCUCGGCGGAAGCAGCCGCACUCAAUGCGGAUGCGGCGGCACUCUCGACGUAGGCGGCGGCGCUCGGGGGGGGGGGACGCGGCCAUCGUACGGGCCUUCACGAAGCGUUUCCACGGCGUUAGCUUUGCAAGAAGGGGGUGCGGGUAUGGGGAUCGGGAUUCGUGGAUUCGGGGGUUGCCGGCACUGGAGCAGACGAGCCAGCGAAGCUUAAGGAGGGCUACUUAAAUAGACCCAGAUAUUUUCAUCGCAAACGGUUCCUAGAAAACAACUAUGUGUGAUGUUGUAGAUAUUUUUUUAUUAACUGUGAAAGACGAAUUUGGAGUAAAGUGGCAACAGAUGGUGUUUUAAAUGUACGAGAAAUUUUGUAGUACUAAUACAACUGUCAUGUCAAAAUUUGGAAAAUUUCAGGGGUCAUUUGACCUUUUAAGACAUUUAAAUGAUUUUCUAGCCAUUUAAUGACCGUAAUUGAAAUUUGAACUACAUGUACAUGCAACAGCUAACCAUAAUUGUUUGAAAACUCAUAUUUUGUGUACUUGUGUGCGAUCUAAUUCCAUGUACAGUAAAUUGGAAGGAAUUUUCAAACAUAUUGGUCUAACGGCUAUUACACAAUUAAGCAUGGAGUGACAUGGCAUUUCAAUUCCAAAAAAUUAAAAAAAAUAUCAGAAACACAUGAUACCUUGGUUGAUGUAAUGUCAUGCCACAAAGAUGAUGUGGUAAAAAAUGGCAUGUUUGACGAAAGUUUGGACACACACCCCUCACAAAUCGGAGCAACUCACUAGAAGGCUCGUGGUUCCGAGAGGGAACAAUGCAUGUUUGAUGACAAACGGGAGAUAGCUUCCUCUUACGGCCUUCAAUUUCUUCUACGUUUAACGUACACUACUACAACUGUAAUGUGAAAUUUUGGAAAAUUCUAGGGGUCAUUUGACCUUUUAAAGAUAUUUAAGUGAUUUUCUAGCCAUUUAAUGACCGUAAUUUAAAUGUGAACUACAUCUACAUGCAACGGCUAACCAUAACGGUUUGAAAAAUCAUAUUUGUAUACUUGUGUGCGAGUUAAUUCCAUGUGCAGUAAAUUAGAAGGAAUUUUCAAACAUAUUUGUCUCACGACAUGGACGCAUGCAUAUGUAUGCAUGGAGUGACAUGGCAUUUUUUUCCAAAAAAAUUAAAAAUGAUCAGAAACACAUGAAACCUUGGUUGAUAUAAUGUCAUGCCACCAAGAUGAUGUGGUAAAAAAUUCGGCAUGUUUGACAAAAGUUUGGACACACACCCCUCACAAACCGGAGCAACGCACUAGAAGGCUCGUGCUUCCGAGAGGGAACAAUGCAUGUUAGAUGGCGAACGGGAGAUAGCUUCCUCUUACGGCCUUCAAAUUUUUCAACGUUUAACAUGCACUAAUACAACUGUCAUGCGAAAUUUGGAAAAUUUCAGGGGUCAUUUGACCUUUUAAAGACAUUUAAGCGAUUUUCUGGCCAUGUAAUGACUGUAAUUGAAAUUUGAACUACAUGUACAUGCAACGCCUAACCAUAACAGUUUGAAAAAUCAUAUUUGUGUACUUGUGUGCGAGUUAAUUCCAUGUACUGUAAAUUAGAGGGAAUUUUCAAACAUAUUUGUCUCACAACAUGGACACAUGCAUAUGUAUGCAUGGAGUGACAUGGCAUUUUAAUUCCAAAAAAUUAAAAAAUGAUCAGAAACACAUGAAACCUUGGUUGAUGUAAUGUCAUGCCACCAAGAUGAUGUGGUAAAUUUUUUGGCAUGUUUGACAAAAAUUUGGACACACACCCCUCACAAUCCGGAGCAGCUCACUAGAAGGCUCGUGGUUCCGAGAGGGAACAAUGCAUGUUUGAUGGCGAACGGGAGAUAGCUUCCUCUUACGGCCUUCAAUUUUUUUCUACGUUUAACGUGCACUAAUACAACUGUCAUGUGAAAAUUUGGAAAAUUUCAGGGGUCAUUCGACCUUUUAAAGACUUUUAAGUGAUUUUCUAGCCAUUUGAUGACCGUAAUUCAAAUUUGAACUACAUCUACAUGCAAUGCCUAACCAUAACGGUUUGAAAAAUCAUAUUUGUGUGUACUUGUGUGCGAGUUAAAAAAUCAUCAGACGAUGUAAAUAUCUGGUGUAGAAAAAAGAAAUUGUAAAGAUCUGGCAAGACAACCGGCCCGCACACGAUUGGCACUCUAUAUCGCGGCUCGAGGUUUGGUAGGUGAGUGGCGGGGAUCAUUAAUCAGACACGGUUCUGUAUUGGAAACCGUCAGCUAUUAUGUUCACACACGGAUUUUGCUGCGGGAAUCGUGUGUAAUUCAAACUACAGUACUCGUAAAUUCCGGCGACCGGCGUGUGUACUGUCCCCGUCGAUCUAGAUUCCGGCCGCCAAUAAAUACUACCUUGCUCACGUCAUACCGCCUGCAUUCUCAUCUACAUCCUCCUCUCUCUCUCUCUCACUCUCUCUCUCUCUCUCAAAUCUCUGCCAUGGCGCCGCCGGUCUGCCACACGCCGACGAGGAGUCGCCGCCCCCCGAGGGCGCUCACUCGAAUAGCAGUGACAAGGACCCCUACGCGCCGCUGGACGAGGUUGCGCUGGACCCCUAACUUUGGAUUGGUUUUGGGGCCAGUACAAUCUUUGUCUGUGGAAGUCGCUGCCGCCGGCUGAGAAAGCCAGGCAAGUGGAGUUCAAGAAGGAGAUGGCGGAGGAGGAAGCCAGGUACCAGGUGGCGUGUGAAGCCCGUGAUGCUGCCUGGAAAAAGGAGGCGGCGGGGCUUUGGGGGCGGGCGCGUCGUCGUGCCGAGGAGGUGUACGAAGACAGGUACUGAGGGAGUCCCGGACUAAGGGGUCCUCGGGCGUCCGGCCUGUUAUCCAUGGGCCGGACUGAUGGGUUGUGAAGACAUGAAGAUCGAAGACCGUACUCGUGUCCGAAUUGGACUCUCCUUCGCGUGCAAGGCAAGCUUGGCGACCAAUUAUGAAGAUUCCUUCUUAUUUAACCGACUCCAUGUAAACCCUAGAUUCCCCCAGUGUCUAUAUAAACGGGAGGGGUUAGUCCGGAAAGGAUAUACUCAUUACCAUAUUCACAUAGGCUAGACUUCUAGGGUUUAGCCAUUACGAACUCGUGGUAGAUCAACUCUUGUAACACUCAUAUUCAUCAAGAUCAAUCAAGCAGGAAGUAGGGUAUUACCUCCAUAGAGAGGGCCCGAACCUGGGUAAACAUCGUGUCCCCCGUCUCCUGUUACCAUCGAUCCUAGACACACAGUUCGGGACCCCCUACCAGAGAUCCGCCGGUUUUGACACCGACAUUGGUGCUUUCAUUGAGAGUUCCACUUUGCCGUCGGCAAAGGGCUCGAUGGCCCCUUCGAUCGUCAGUAAUGACGUUGUCUAGGGAGAAACCUUCCUCCCCGGACAGACCUUCAUAUUCGGCGGAUUCGUACUGCGGGCCAACUCGCUUGGCCCUCUAGAGCAGAUCGACAGCUACGCCCCUGGCCAUCAGGUCAGAUUCGGAAGCUUGAACUACAUCGCGGAUAUCUGUGGAGACUUGAUCUUCAAGGGAUUUGAGCCCGCGGCGAUCGCUCCCCCUCACCCCGAUGAAUGCGACUUAAAUCUAUCAUCGGAUCACACCCAGGAGAUGGUUCCUGCUGCUGCAACGGCCUUAGAGCCAAAGCAGAUCGUGCCAUCUGAGGCCGCAGAGUCCGCGGCGUUGGAGCCGCACACGGACUCAACGGCCUGCAAUAUUCACUUUAGCGGAACUCCGGACUUGUCUCCGGCUAUAAGCUCCGGACUAUGUGCGCCUGCGGACACCGAGCUAGAUCGGUUAUCGAUCUUCGAGUUCAGCGCCGCUGACGUUUUCCAGCACUCACCUUUGGGCGACGUGCUAAAAUCUUUAAAGAAUUUGUCCUUGGAGAAGGACUCACAGCCGAACUAUGUCCGGUUCGAACUAGAGACGGAUGACGAGGAAUUUUGCUUCCCACCCGCCACCCACUUCAUAGCCACCGUCGAUGACUUAACCAACGUGCUUGAUUAUGGCUCCGAAGACAUCGACGGUAUGGAUGACGAUGCCGAUAAGGAGCAAGGCCAAGACCCGCCAUUCACCGGACGUUGGACGGCUACUUCUUCGUACGACGUGUACAUGGUUGAUACACCCAAAGGAUCUGGCGAUGACAAAGAAGAGCCAGAUGCGAAUAAAACCUCUGAGACGCAGUCCAAGCGCCGACGCCCCAAACGCCGUCCUAAGCCUCGUCGCUCAAAGGACGGCAACACCGGCACCAGAGAAAAUAGUACUCCAGGCGACACCGAAAACAACGAAGACCCUGUCGGAGCUGUAUCCGAUCAGGAGGAACACGGCAAUAGGCAAGACAACCCUGAUGAACAGGCCAUAGAAGAUGACUCGGAGGACGAUAGUUACCGUCCACCCUCCGAGGAGGAGACAAGCCUUGGCAACGAAGACUUCAUCGUGCCUGAGGAUCCUCUCGAGCAGAAGCGCUUUAAGCUCCAGCUCAUAGCCACUGCAAGGAGCCUGAAAUAAACAGCAACAGCUCCAAGCUGAACAAGAUCCGCUCGUCGACAGAUGGACUGAUGUCCUAAUAGCCGAAGAAUACGGCCUUAGGCGCCCAACCAAGAGCUACCCGAAACGCAGAUGGCUACCUCAAUUCGAUAAGGAAGCACCGGAGCACACAUCUCCCUCGCGUAAUGCGGAACGACCACCACGUGGUCGAGACAGGGUGGCCGACCGGCCACCCCGCGACCGGGAUAAAGCGGCAACUCAGGCCGCACAGCAGCCUGCCCCACCGCCUCAUAAAAAUAGAGACGGAAGAGUUCGGGGUCACACGUACGACCUCCGGCAGAUCCUGGACGAUAGAGCAGGACAUACAAGAUCGAUCUACGGAUCGCGAGGGCAUGCCUCGAGGCACGACGACGGCUACCUAUUCAGACGUGAUAAACCUAACCACGCCAGGGCCGAGUACCGCAGACGGACUCCAUCAGAGCUACGCCACGACGCGGCCCGAUAUAGAGGCGCCGCACACCCUCUCCGCUUCACAGAUGAAGUACUGGAUCACGAAUUCCCCGAGGGGUUCAAGCCUGUCAACAUUGAAUCAUACGACGACACAACCGAUCCCGCAGUAUGGAUCGAGGAUUUCAUUCUCCAUAUCCAUAUGGCUCGAGGAGAUGACCUCCACGCCAUCAAAUACCUCCCAUUAAAGCUCAAAGGGCCAACUCAGCACUGGUUAAAUAGCCUGCCUGAAAAUUCAAUCGGCACCUGGGAAGACUUGGAGGAGGCUUUCCUUGAUAACUUCCAAGGAACUUAUGUCCGGCCACCGGACGUCGAUGACUUAAGCCACAUAGUUCAACAACCUGGAGAAUCAGCCAGAAAAUUAUGGACUAGGUUCCUAACCAAAAAGAACCAGAUCGUUGACUGUCGGGAUGCCGAGGCUCUAGCAGGCUUCAAACACAGCAUCCGUGACGAAUGGCUAGCACGCCACCUCGGCCAAGAAAAGCCAAAGUCCAUGGCAGCCCUCACGGCACUCAUGACCCGCUUUUGUGCGGGUGAGGACAGCUGGUAGGCUCGUAGUAAAAGCACAGCCAGCGAGGCAGGCCCUACUGAGGCCAAGAACAGCACCGGAAAGCUCCGGCGCAAUAGACACAAACGCUAAAGCAAUGGCGACAACACCGAUGACACUGCAGUCAACGCCAGAUUCAGUGGCUCCAAGUCCGGCCAACGGAAGAAGCCCUACAAAAGAAACAGCGAAGGACCUUCCAGCCUGGACCGCAUACUCGACCGUCCGUGCCAAAUUCACGGCAGCCCGGAUAAGCAAGCCAAUCAUACCAAUAGGGAUUGAUGGGUCUGCAAGCAGGCCGACAAGUUAAAUGCCGAAAACAAAGAAAAGGGAUCACAAAGUGAGGACGAGGACGAAGAGCCCCGGCAGCCGAACACUGGGGGGCAGAAGAAAUUUCCCCCUCAAGUCAAAACGGUGAACAUGAUAUACGCUACGCACAUCCCCAAAAGGGAGCAUAAGCGAGCACUUAGGGAUGUCUACGCGGUAGAGCCAGUCGCCCCAAAAUUCAAUCCGUGGUCAUCAUUCCCGAUCACCUUCGAUCGUCGGGAUCACCCAACUAGUAUCCGCCAUGGCGGUUCGGCCGCACUAGUCCUCGACCCAAUUAUUGAUGGGUUUCACCUAACACGAGUCGUGAUGGACGGUGGUAGCAGCCUCAACCUGCUUUAUCAGGACACAGUGCGGAAGAUGGGCAUUAACCCCUCGCGAAUCAAACCAACAAAGACUAUGUCGGAGUAAAUGGCCACGGGUAGCCUAACCGACUACCCCUGGUUCUUCUGAAAAAAUUAUCAGGCCUUCGGGCCUCCAAGCACUCCAAGCAUCGGGCCGCCUUCCCUGGCCGGCUACCUCUGAAGCCGACUCCCGGAAGGCGACCCAGCCUCGGCAACCCUUCCCCAGGACGACUACGGGGUGGCCGACUCCAAGAAGCCAGCCAAGAAGAAUGCCGAUUCCAAGAAGCCGGCCGAGACCACAACCACCAAAGCUGUUCCCACAUAACGACGACAAGACGGGGUGUGGCCACAGUGCGGCCCACUACCCCCGAAGCCCGAGGCGGGCAUGGCUACAGGAGGCCGUACGGGACGGCCGUCUCCCGUGCGGCUCGGCACUGUAGCCAUGCUAGCCUCGACGUCAUCCACGACAGACUCCCGUACGGUCCACGGGCGGCGGGCCCCUUCAGCCAGAGAGAGGUGUGAAGGUGGCCCGGCCUUUCCCAGUCGGCCAAGAGCGUAGCCGGCCCCCAGAAGCCGGCUACUCCCUUCCUCGAAGCAGGAGCCCCAUUAAGGAGACAAGACGAGGUAAGGCUACAGUGAGAGCCCCCGAGGCGGCCCACUAUAGCCACGCUUACCUCGACAAAGCCCUCGUCAUCAGAGGCGAGGCUACAGUAAGCAGCCGCCGACAAGACCCUAGGCGGUGGGGCCGGCCUGUCGACCAAGAAGCCGGCAGCCGGCGGGACCCAGCAGCCGGCGGGACCCAGCAGCCGGCGGAGAAGCCGGCGAGCGUAGACACUGACGGCUGGGACCAGUGCCCAGCCAGAUCACCAUUGUACCCCCGGGGGGUAGGCCUAUAUAAACCCCCCGGAGCACCCAUGCAAAGGGUUGGCUUCUAAGCAUAGCACACACACCAUAGAUAGAGAGAAGAGAGAGAGCUAGCCUUGUUCUUCUUCUCCCUUGAACCAAACAGCUCUAGGAGCGAUUGUAGCUACUUUCACUGAUCUAGUGAUCAUGCGGAGACCCCGCCGAGCAGGACUAGGGGUGUUAUCUCCUCGGAGAGCCCUGAACCUGGGUAAGAUCCGCCGGCGUGCAUGUCUUCGCCUCAUCCUGUUUCCAGGCACCGGCGACGUCUUAUUGGCACCCACACAGAUAAGCCAUCCGUUGGCAUAUGUCGCACCAACCACCUGACAUUUGGCGCCCACCGUGGGGCCAGGUGCACCGUCGUCCGGAGACCUGUUCUGGACGGGAACCCUCUUCCUCCCCCGCGAGCGCAGCCAGCCUGUUGCGCCCGAUGGCGUUUGCCUCGACGCGCUGCAAGGCGUCGACGACGCCUGCGCAGCGAGCUGCCUCGCCGACCUGCUCGGCGAGACUCGCAUCUCCGACGAGCCUGCGUCCGACGCAGGCACCGACUACCCCGAGAGCCGCCUCGUCAGCCUCCUCGACCAGCUCCACGUCUCCAGCGAGCCAGCUGCAGACAUGGAGUCGGUCGGCUCCACCGACCCGAUGCUCAUCGACUACGACACAGCAUCGCUUGACGCCUACCCCUCCGACGUGGUGGUCUUCGACCACCCCCUCCCUUGAGCUGACAGCGGCAGCAGCGCUGUCACCGAAGUGCUGGUCAUCAGCCACGUCGCCAACUCGGGCGAGAACGCCCACGACGCCCUACAAGCGGCAAUGCAUGACCUCUCCGUCCCCAUCCCGGCCGACGCCGACGCCGAGACCCUGGAGGCACGCCGCCUUGCCCUCAUCGCGGAGGGCCAGAAGAUAGCCUCCAUGAGACGCCUCACCGAGGCCCACCAGCGCGAAGUCGACCGCACCGCCUUCGGCACGCCGCCGCCUAGCGGCCCGAGCCGAGCCGGCUUCGUCCAGAAGCGCGGCGCGGCCGUCGCCAGCAUGCUGGGGGCAGAUCGCCCCGUCUACACCACCCCGCUCGAGAAUCUGCGAGCCGCUCAGGCGGCUGCAGAAGAGCUCAAUGGGCUGGGAGCCGACGAGCUCAGGCGGCUGCAGAACGGCACGAAGCCGGCGCCCGUGCUGAUAGUCAUCCCCCGCGCCGGGAGCACGCCGCGACGUCCCGCUCGCCGAUUGCGAGGGGCGCGCGCCAGAAGAAAGACAAGGAGCCGGCUGCCAGCCGCAGCCGGACUCGCAUUACCAUCGAGCGCGACGCGGAAGGCCGCCCUCGAGCGGUUGAACACCAAGGAAACCUGCCUCCUCCCCCGCCUCGAAGAGAAAGACGCCUCACUCCGCCGCCUAUCACACACCCGACUCUUGGCGACCGACUCGGCCGCCGAGAAGGAGUCGGCGAGAACGACGCCCGCCACAGGAUCGACCGCCUUGCUCGAUCCUUGGCGUUAGAAGAAGAAGACGAUGUCGGCCCGCCAUGCUUUGGCCCCCGCAUCCGCGACGAGCCCUUCCCCAAAGGGUUCUCGCUUCCCAGAGACACGCCCAAGUACAACGGCUCGGUGAAGCCGGAAGAUUGGCUCAUCGACUACUCCACGGCCGUCAGCAUAGCCAACGGCAAUCGGCGCGUCGCCGUGAAGUACGUCCCCCUCAUGCUGCAAGGCACGGCGCGCACAUGGCUCAACAGCCUCAAGCCCUACAGCAUCAACAGUUGCCUGGACUUCACCGAAGUCUUCGUCCGCAACUUCACCAGCACCUACAAGCGGCCUCCCAAGCCUCGCCAGCUCUCCCUUUGCGUCCAAGGGCCUAACGAGUCGACCCGCGACUACCUCACGUGGUGGGCCGAGCUCCGCAACUCCUACGAGGGAGUGCAUGAGGUCCAGGCCAUCGAGUACUUCACCGCCGGGUGCCGAGAGGGCACCCUCCUCAAGCACCGACUCCUCUGCGACGAGCCGGCUACCCUCGACGAGCUACUGGUCAUCGCCGACAAGUACGCCACCGCCGACUCCUCAAUGAAGACCGAGCUGCGAGUAGACGCCUCUGGGAAGGUGAUUGCUCCGGCUCCUAAGACGCUGGCUGGCGACCCUAAUCGGCGCCCCUACCAGAACGACCACAAGCGCAAGGGCCCCAUGCCGACUUCCUCCAGUCGGCAGGUGGCCACAGUUGAAGACGAGUAGCCCGAAGAACGGCCUGCUCCCAAGAAGAAGGGUGGAAGGCCGGCUUGGCAGCCGUCUUUCUCCUACGAGCAAGCUCUCGACGCCCCCUGCAAAUUCCACAGCGGCGCGAAGCCGUCCAACCACACAACCCGGAAAUGCCACUGGCUUACCCGCAUCACCAAGGGCGAGGGGAUGUUGCCGCCUCCGCCUCCCGGCCCGCCGCCUCCAGCCCCCCAGCAGCUGACGGCUCGGCCGGCAGUCGGCGCCAUCCAAGACGAAUUUCCCGAAGAGCACGCCGCCUACGUCGUCUUCACCAGUCAAGCCGACGACAAGCGCAGCCGACGCCGACAGCACCAAGAAGUGAAUGCAGUCGCCACCAGCGCCCCCGAGUUCAUGCACUGGUCAGAAAAGCCAAUCAGCUGGAGCCAGGCCGACCACCCAGAGGUGAUGCCUUCGCCUGGCCCCUAUGCAAUGGUCUUGGACGUCACCCUCGCGACGGAGAGGCGAGCUGCCAGAUUUUCCCGCGUCCUGAUAGACGACGGAAGCAGUAUCAACAUACUGUACCGCGAUACCAUGGAGAAGCUGAACAUCAAAGCGAAGCAGCUCAUGCCGAGCCGCACCGUCUUCCAUGGUAUCGUCCCCGGCCUGUCUUGCUCCCCAAUCGGCAAGAUCAAAAUGGAUGUUCUCUUCUGAGACAAAGAUCAUUUUCGCCGAGAAGCAAUAUGGUUCGAGGUAGUGGAUUUGGAGAGCCCCUAUCAUGCACUGUUUGGUCGACCUGCCUUGGCCAAGUUCAUGGCUGUGCCCCACUACGCCUACCUGAAGAUGAAGAUGCCGAGCUCGAAGGGGAUCAUCACGGUAGCCGGCGACUACAAGAAGUCCAUCGAGUGCGCCAUGGCCAGUAGCCGGCUGGCCGAGUCCCUCGUGGUGGCAGAAGAGAAGAAGAUGUUGGAACGGGUUGUGGCCAUGGCCGGCAAGCAGCCGGCCUUGUCCCCCAACCCCAAGGAUUGUGAUGCGCAGGGCUCCUUCCAGCCUGCCAAAGAGACGAAGAAGAUACCUCUGGACCCGGAGAACCCGGAGAGGUUCGCCGUCAUUGGGGCGAACUUGGACAGUAAAUAGGAAGGCGAGCUCGUCGACUUCCUCCGUGAGAAUCGAGACAUCUUUGCAUGGUCCCCAAAGGACAUGCCGGGUGUCCCGAAGGAUUUCGCCAAGCACAAAUUACAUGUCCGAGCUGAUGCGAAGCCGGUGAAGCAACCCCUCCGCCGACUGUCAGAAGAGAAGCGAAGAAUUGUGGGAGAAGAGAUAGCCCGGCUCCUUGCUGCUGGCUUUAUCAUGGAAGUGUUCUUUCCAAAGUGGCUUGCCAACUCAGUUCUGGUUCUGAAGAAGAAUAACAAGUGGCGUAUGUGUAUAGACUACACCAGUCUGAACAAGGCCUGCCCAAAGGAUCCGUUUGCUCUGCCACGGAUUGACCAAGUGAUAGACUCCACAGCCGGAUGCGAGCUGUUAAGUUUUUUGGAUGCGUACUCAGGGUACCAUCAGAUCAAGUUGGACCCGGCUGACCGCCUGAAGACUGCCUUCAUCACCCCCUUAGGAGCUUUCUGCUACCUGACUAUGACAUUCGGCUUGAGAAAUGCCGGUGCCACUUUUCAGCGUUGCAUGCAGAAAUGCCUCUUGAAACAACUCGGCAGAAAUGCCCACGUCUACGUAGACGACAUUGUGGUGAAGACAGAAAAGCGCGGUACCUUGCUGGAAGACCUGAAAGAAACAUUCGCCAACUUGCGCCGAUUCCAGAUCAAUCUCAACCCCGAGAAGUGCGUGUUCGGAGUGCCAGCCGGCCAGCUGCUAGGCUUCCUGGUCUCCGAACGCGGCAUUGAGUGCAACCCCGUCAAGAUCAAGGCCAUCGAGAGGAUGGAGAUUCCCACCAAGCUGCGAGAUGUGCAGAAGUUCACUGGCUGCUUAGCCUCCCUGAAUCGUUUUAUCAGCCGACUAGGAGAAAAGGCUCUCCCCUUGUACCGACUCAUGAAGAAGUCCACUCACUUCGAGUGGAAUGAUCAAGCCGACCAAGCCUUCAAUGAGUUGAAGAAAAUGCUGACCAAUCCGCUUGUCUUGGCUGCGCCGACUGAGAAGGAGCCCAUGCUCCUCUACAUCGCCGCGACUAGCCGAGUCGUCAUCACUGUUGUUGUGGUCCAGCGCCCGGAGGAAGGCCGAGCCUAGCUAGUCCAGAGGCCGGUGUACUAUCUCAGCGAAGUGCUGUCCAGCUCAAAGCAAAACUACCCGCACUACCAGAAGAUGUGCUAUGGGGUGUACUUCGCUGCCAAGAAACUGAAGCCCUACUUCCAAGAGCACCCCAUCACGGUCGUGUGCACUGCCCCGCUCGUCGAGAUCAUAGGCAGCCGGGAUGCAUCCGGCCGGGUGGACAAAUGGGCCAUUGCAUUGGCGCCCUACACGAUCUUCUAUCAACCCCGCACCGCCAUCAAGUCGCAAGCAUUGGACGACUUCCUCGUCGACUGGGCCGAGACCCAGUACCUACCGCCGGCUCCCGACUCUACCCAUUGGCGGAUGCACUUUGACGGGUCCAAGAUGCGCACCGGCUUGGGAGCCGGCAUCGUCCUCACCUCUCCCAAAGGCGACAAGCUCAAGUACAUGCUGCAGAUCCACUUCGCCGCCUCCAACAACGUGGCCGAGUACGAGGCGCUCGUACACGGGCUCCGGCUAGCCAAAGAGCUUGGCAUACGCCGGAUCCUGUGCUACGGCGACUCGGACUUGGUGGUCCAGCAAUCGUCUGGCGACUGGGACGCCAAGGACGCGAACAUGGCGAGCUAUCGAUUCCUCGUCCAGCAGAUAAGCGGAUACUUCGAAGGGUGCGAGUUCCUUCACGUGCCAAGGGCCGACAACGACCAAGCAGAUGCCCUAGCACGGAUCGGCUCCACCUGACAAGCCAUACCGACUGGCGUCUCCCUCCAGCGCCUCCUCAAGCCGUCCAUCAAGCCGUCUCCAGAGUCGGAUUCCAUCUUCGUACCGCCUACGCCAGAUACAGCCGGAUCCGACUAGAGAAAUCCCGCAGGCGGCACGGGGACUUCGACAACUGGCCCGGGGACUGCCGUAGUCGCACCCGGCCCGGGGACUUCAGAACCCGGCCCGGGGACUGCAGCAGUCGGCCCGGGGACUGCAACGACACAGGAAGCGGUGGCCGACUCUAAUUCAACGCCACCCAACCCACCCACCCGAGUCAUGGUGGCCACAUAACAGAAGAAGAAGUCACAGCUCCCUCAUGGGCCCAACCCAUCCUCAAGUUCCUAGUCAGCAGAGAGCUGCCGGCUGAUGAGAUCUCAGCAAGACUAGUGCAACGACGAGCCGCAGCAUAUACAAUAAUCAACAGAGAGCUUGUGAAGCGCAACGUCACUGGAGUCUUCCAGCGUUGCGUCGAGCCAGAAAAAGGAGUGGCAAUCCUCAAAGACAUCCACCAAGGCGAGUGCGCCACCACGCAGCCUCAAGAUCCCUCGUGGCCAAGGUUUUCUGCCAUGGUUUCUUCUGGCCGACUGCCUUGGAGGAUGCUAAAGAAAUAGUCAAGAGCUGCAGAGGAUGCUAAGUUUUUAGUUCCAAGCAACACCUGCCGGCUUCUGCACUCAAAACCAUUCCCCUCACCUGGUCUUUUGCCGUCUGGGGACUGGACAUGGUGGGCCCCUUCAAGACAGCCCGCGGCGGCCUGACACAUCUACUGGUCGCUGUGGACAAGUUCACAAAGUGGAUCGAAGCCAAGCCGAUUAAGAAGCUGAACGGGCCGACUGCCGUGACAUUCAUCACUGACAUCACUACUCGGUACGGCGUGCCGCACAACAUCAUCACCGACAACGGCACGAACUUCGCCAAAGGAGCACUGGCACGUUUCUGCGCAACGCAGGGCAUCCGACUGGACUUAGCGUCCGUUGCCCACCCGCAGUCAAACGGCCAGGUCGAGCGAGCAAAUGGACUCAUCCUCUCCGGCAUCAAGCCCUGACUGGUUGUACCAGUGGAGCGAUCGGCCGGCUGCUGGCUCGAAGAGCUGCCGGCUGUCCUCUGGAGCCUGCGCACUACACCCAACAAGUCAACCGGCUUCACUCCAUUCUUCCUUGUGUACGGUGCCGAGGCCGUCAUCCCAACAGACAUCGAGUUCGAUUCGCCUCGGAUCACCAUGUACACGGAGGCGGAGGCCAAGGAAGCACGAGAAGAUGACGUAGACCUACUGGAAGAAGGCCGGCCGUUAGCACUCAGCCGGUCCGCCAUCUACCAGCAAGGGCUGCGCCGCUACUACAACCGCAAGGUCAAGCCAAGAUCCUUCCAAGAGGGCGACCUUGUGCUCCGGCUGAUCCAGCGAACAGCCGGCCAGCACAAGCUCUCGGCCCUUUGGGAAGGCCCCUUCGUCGUCAGCAAGGCACUCGGCAACGACUCCUACUACUUGAUCGAUGCGCAAAAACCAAGAGCACGCAAGAGAGACGACUCCGGCAAGGAGUCGGAGCGACCAUGGAACGCAAACCUCCAAAGACGAUUUUACAGCUGAAAAGCAGUAUGUAUCACGCUCCCCUUUUGUAUUAAGCACGAACCAACAGGCCCCCCGAACAGUACUUGGGGACUGCCUUUUAUUUAUCUAUGAUUGACGAGUGUCAUAUCCAUGAAUGUAUUAUUACAUUUUGAAUUCUUGUCCGGCACCGGGUUCGACUAGUCAGCCCGGGGACUGGCCGCCUUGAGCUAUAUCGAAAGUUUUUCCUAAAGUCAGAAAAGUAGUGCGCCGGCUCCCAAGUCCUCUCUUGUUUAAAGUCGUAGCUCAAAGAACUGACUGACCGACUAGCAAGAGGGAAGACAGAAAGGAUGCCCACACGAAAAAUGGCUAAGGAACAACGAACCUAUAUAGCAAAAAGACGGCCUCCAAACAUGCCUGCCGGCUGCUAGAAUAGCCGGCUGGCCGGCUUCCUAAAAACACUUAGCUUUAGUCCAACAAAGCUAGAGUACUUCCCCCCCCCCCAAUCGGCCAGGCACUCCUCCGGCUACAGAUUGCAGAGCAACUGUUUGACUGGGGAGGCGGCAACCAAGGGAGGGCGGCAAAGGAAAAAGCAGAAGGAUAAAAAGCAAAGUACAAGGAAAGGCCACAUGCAUAAGUUAUAUAUACAUAUAAAGCCACAACAGGCUAGCAACAGACAUAAGUUCGAAUACACCCAGUGGGUGGAAUUGUGCAGACUUAACCAAACAUUGUUCAAAAGUAACAAGACAGGAAAACAAAGACAGCAGACUAAGGCGCGGUGCGGAGGUCGAGCUGGUCGGUGGAGACGGCCCCGCCGGCUGAAGGAGUGGCCGCCUAGCGGGUCUCGGCUUGACCACCACCAGCGGCAGGCGACGCACUCGCCCGCGACGUGGUGCUGGAGGUGCGGUCAGGCUGAGGCUGGCCGGCUGCUCCACCAGCCGGCUCGGCGUCUUCACCCUCCUCCUCCUCUUCUUCACCCUCGUCGCUGGAGUCGAUCUCCUCCGCCGAGUCUUCGCCAUCCGCCGGGUUCAGACCGAACCACUCCUCCGGCUGGGCGACCCCGUUGUCGUCCACCUCGGGGGCGAAGACGCUGGUGUCGGUGUAGUCGGCGAUCGCCGAAGCCCGCCGGAUGAUGGCCGGCCGCGCCGGCUACAACUCCGUGUCGGCUUGUUGCCGCCAAGUAGCCAGCUGGUCCAGGCUCAGGCCGGGAUACCAGGCCUUGACGAACUCCAGUGCCCGCCUAGCGCCGGAGCGAGCCGCCGAGGCCUUCCAAGCUUCGAAGCGGCCGACUGCCACCUCCAUCCAGUCGGCAGUCCGACUGGGGGUGCGAGGAACCGCUUGGCCGGGCCAGAGGGCGGCCAAGACCUGCGCCCCGGCACGUUGAAGACGGCGGAGCAGUCGGUGAGCCGGCUGGAUGCGGGCCUGGAUCGCCAAGAGCUGCUCCUCCAGCGAACGGCCGGCGGUCGGCGAGAUCUCAAAGCCAGCCUGCCUUCGCGCCUAGCGGCGGGCCUCGAUGGUCUGUUUGGCAGCAGUAGAAUAGCCAGGGAAAUACUCUGCGCAAGAAAAAAGAAGAAAGGAAGAAAAGAGCACCCAAAUUAGAAAAAGAGCCAAAGUAGCAGAUGGCAAGAAAGGACGAAGAGGUAGGCGGCUUACCAUCAACCAGAUCUUCGAUCUGGCCAUAGCCAGAGACCAGAGUCUGCCUGGCCUCAGCCCAGCCAGCCGCCUCCAUCUCGAAAUCGGCCUGGAGAGUGGCUUCGCGGUCCUGCGCAGCCUUCAGUGCCGCCUUGUGGCUUUCCUCCUGGUCGGUCAACUUCUUGGCCAGGCGGUCGCGUUCCUGCACCAAGGCGGCGAGCUCGGCAUCCUUGGCGCGAAGGGCAGUCUGAGACUCUCCCAGUUGUGCCCUCAGACUGGAGUUGGCCGCUGCAGAGACGGCAGGAAAAGAAGAACAGUAAGAAGUCAUCAAGGAAGAUCCGACCCGACUGCUCAACAGUCGGCCCGAAUCUCGGGGACUACACCCAGUGGGUGCGCUGACGCGCCCCCACAUGAGAUAAAGAACAAAUCACAUACCUCGGCUCUCAGUAAGGUUGGCGGUCUUCUGAGUCAGCUCCCGAGCCUGGGAGUUGAAGGCGGCUGCUUGAAGGUUGUGGUAGUCCUGCAAGAUGGACAGAAGACCGAAGUAAGAACAAAAAUAGCAAAGGCAAAUCUACCAAGAAGUUCCAAGCCGCCUGCUCAGCAGCCGACUCGGAACUCGGGGACUAGACCCAGUGGGUGCGCUGACACGCCCCCACGGAAGAAAUCAAGAUCAAGAAGAAAUCGAGAUCAAGAAGAAGCAAGAUGGGAAUACUAACCCGGAUGGCCGCCCACGUUGCGAGGAACUCGUCGGUGAACUGCCUCAGCGCCGCGGCUUGACUUUGGAGCCGGGUCCGGACGUCUUGUGCAGCCACGUUCACCACGGCCGUCCCUCCGCCUGGCGUCCACCCCGAGGUAGCGCUGGCCGCCUCCGCAUCUCGGGCCGACGAACUGGAGCCCACGGCCGACUGCGGCUCCGACGCGGCCUUCCCCGCACGCCGGCUCGACGGAAUCCGGACCGCCGUCUCAGCCCUCACGGCCGGCUCGCCCUCCGCCGACUGUGCAGGCGGCGGAUCAGGCCGGCCGCCUUGGGCCGCCCCAGUUGGCGGGGUCGGAUCCGGCGCCCUCUCCAAGAUGAUGACGUCGUCGCCGCUUCCACCAGCCCUGGCUGGUCGCCGCUGGCUCCCCCUGGCGAGGGCUCCAUGUCCCCAGGCGCCAUGACGCGCAGCGGGGUGACCAUCAACACCUCCCCUGCCGCCGCCGCGGCCUCAGCCUCUGCUUGGGCCCUGGCUGCGGCAUCGGCGAGUGCCUUCGCCGCCUCCUCCUCCCGUGACGCCUGGGCGGCGGGCGCCCUCCGCGCCUCCGCCUCCCGCGCCUCUCGCUCCGCCCGCGCCUCCCGCGCGUUCCUUUCUGUCGCCUCCUGGAGGUCGGCGCGGGGGUCCACGCGGCGGGUGGUGCUCCCAGAGCCUCUCGGCGACUCGACGACGGAGCCGGCAGCCGCCCGCUCAAGCGACAACGGAGCCCUGAUCAUUGGAGAAGAAGACAAGAGCUCAAGAACCACCAAAGAAAAGAAAGAAAAAAGAGUAUACGAAAGAAAGCGAACUUACGCCGACACGGUCUGCGUUUGCUUCACCGCCUUGCGGAAGCGAGCCGCCUUUGCGGCCACCUCCUCCCGCCUGGUGGCUGCCGCCCCGCCUCUGGGCUUCUUCGUUCGGCUGCCGAACAAACCCUGGGCGGCGCGACGCUUCUGACCUCCACCCCGAGCAGGCUGCGCGGCGGAGGAACCCGCGCCGCGUCCAGAUGCCGGCGCGGGACGGCUUCGGCCUCAUCAUCGCCCGGCCAGUCGUCAAAGGUGGCACUGAGCCCGGAGCCGCCUGCUUGGCCACCACCCGGCUCGACGUCGUCGUCCAUACUGGCCGCCGCCAGUUCGGGGUCCUCCAGAUCGUGUUCGGCCCGGUCGGGGACGAAUUGGCGCUCCGCGUCUGACCCGCCGGCCGGCCGAAGCAGAGGGCUCUGUCGAAAAGCAAACCGGCUAAGUUAGAAUCGGCUAAGAGGAACUCGGCAACAAAUCAAAGAGAGAGAGAAAGAGACAAGGAGAACAUACCGUAGGCGGCGGAUUGGCUCGGCUAUAUGGCUCCUUGCCGAACUGCCACUCUUCGGUGAGUUUGCAGUUCGCAAGGUAGUUCACCAUGUAGGCGACCUUCUCGCGCGGCAUCUCCUUGGUGCACAUUCGGCUCGAAUCGAGCUGGCCGCUCAUCUGACAGAUCAGAUGAGGCCGGCUCUGGAGCGGAAGAACCCGGCGCGUGACGAACGCGGCCAGAAGGUCGGGCCCCGUCAGGCCCUCUGACUGGACCAUCACCCGCAGUCGGGCGAUGGCGGCGUUUCCGGCCGGCGUCAGCGUCACAACCCAGAAGGACCACUGGGGCAGCCUGCCCGCCGGUGGGCCGGCUACAUAAGCCGGCAGGUUGAUGUAGUCGCCCCGUGGGGCGAUGUUCCGCACGUAGAAGUACGACUUCUGCUACUUCUUCACCGAUUGGAUCAGCGUGAUGACGGGGAAGGGGUUGUCGGUGGCCGAUCUCCGCGACGCGAUGAAGGCGCCAGUCUGAGCCGGCACGCCCCGCAUGCGCGUGCCCAGCUUCAACUGGAAGAACUCCCCCCAGAGCUCAAGGGUGGGGAGGACGCCGAGGUAGCCCUUGCACAGGGUGACGAAGGCGGACAGCAACACCACCGCGUUUGGGGUGAGAUGGUGCGGCUGGAGCUGAUAGAAGUCGAGCCAGGAGCGGAAGAAGGCGCUCACUGGGAGGCCGAUGCCGCGCAAGAAGUGCGAGCGGAAGACCACCCGCUCGCCCUCCUGCGGCUCCGGCGUGAUUUCCUUCGCCGGCGCGAGGCGGACCUCCACCUUGUCCACGGCCGGCAGCCGCCGAGUCUUGCGGAGGAAGUCGACGUGGUCUUCGUGCAUGUUGGAGCCGUCCCAAUCCCCGCCGUACUGCUCCGUGGCGGGAGGCAUGGCGAAAACUAGCGCGGGGGCGGAGGAAUGUGCAGUGGAAGAGCGCGGCGGCGAGGCGCUGUCGCAAGAACGGCGAGCGAGGAAGAUGGUGGAAGUAGGAGGAGCGUGCGAGGGCCUGCCGCCCUCCACCUCCCCCUACUUAUAGCUUCGCGAGGCGAGGCCGAAGAGGCCGGACAUGGGGGGGGGGAGACGUGGGAUUAACUGCGCCCACUCCCCCCACGUCUCGCGAUUAUUGCGCGUAAAUGCGAGCCGAAACUGCCGCACGGGACGUGCGGGCGGUUUCGGGAUACAGAGAAUCCGCGCCUGGGCCCGGGCGCGGACGUGGCGGGCCCCCGCCCUACGGCGACGUCCCGUCGCGCGCGUGGGCUGGCAGGCUUUCUGGCCAAGGGAGGCCACGCGGUUCGCAGGCGGCAAGUGGCCGGCCCGCGGCUCGGUGCACGCGCCAGCGGGCUCCCGCCCUCCGACUCCGGAAGAUUUCGACUCAGGCGGCGCGCCUGACCAAGGCCGGCUCCCAGCUGCCGGCUUGCUAAGAUGGGAAGCUGAUCGAGCUUCUCAACCCCUACUCCACCUCGAAGCCCAAUCAGCUUUGGGGACUACUGUCGGAGUAAAUGGCCACGAGUAGCCUAACCGACUGCCCCUGGUUCUUCUGAAAAAAUUAUCAGGCCUUCGGGCCUCCAAGCACUCCAAGCAUCGGGCCGCCUUCCCUGGCCGGCUACCUCUGAAGCCGACUCCCGGAAGGUGACCCGGCCUCGGCAACCCUUCCCUAGGACGACUACGGGGUGGCCGACUCCAAGAAGCCAGCCAAGAAGAAUGCCGACUCCAAGAAGCCGGCCGAGAUCACAACCACCAAAGCUGUUCCCACAUAACGACGACAAGACGGGGUGUGGCCACAGUGCGGCCCACUACCCCCGAAGCCCGAGGCGGGCAUGGCUACAGGAGGCCGUACGGGACGGCCGUCUCCCGUGCGGCUCGGCACUGUAGCCAUGCUAGCCUCGACGUCAUCCACGACAGACUCCCGUACGGCCCACGGGCGGCGGGCCCCUUCAGCCAGAGAGAGGCGUGAAGGUGGCCCGGCCUUUCCCAGUCGGCCAAGAGCGUAGCCGGCCCCCAGAAGCCGGCUACUCCCUUCCUCGAAGCAGGAGCCCCAUUAAGGAGACAAGACGAGGUAAGGCUAUAGUGAGAGCCCCCGAGGCGGCCCACUGUAGCCACGCUUACCUCGACAAAGCCCUCGUCAUCAGAGGCGAGGCUACAGUAAGCAGCCGCCGACAAGACCCUAGGCGGUGGGGCCGGCCUGUCGACCAAGAAGCCGGCAGCCGGCGGGACCCAGCAGCCGGCGGGACCCAGCAGCCGGCGGAGAAGCCGGCGAGCGUAGACACUGACGGCUGGGACCAGUGCCCAGCCAGAUCACCAUUGUACCCCCGGGGGGUAGGCCUAUAUAAACCCCCCGGAGCACCCAUGCAAAGGGUUGGCUUCUAAGCAUAGCACACACACCAUAGAUAGAGAGAAGAGAGAGAGCUAGCCUUGUUCUUCUUCUCCCUUGAACCAAACAGCUCUAGGAGCGAUUGUAGCUACUUUCAGUGAUCUAGUGGUCAUGCGGAGACCCCGCCGAGCAGGACUAGGGGUGUUAUCUCCUCGGAGAGCCCUGAACCUGGGUAAGAUCCGCCGGCGUGCAUGUCUUCGCCUCAUCCCGUUUCCAGGCACAGGCGACGUCUUAUUGGCACCCACACAGAUAAGCCAUCCGUUGGCAUAUGUCGCGCCAACCACCCGACAUACUACCUUUAAAGGAGUCAUACCAGGCGUAGAGACCUGCUGUACGGGCUCAAUCACGCUGGAGGUGGUCUUCGGUUCUCCGGACAACUUCCAAAGUGAAGAGUUAAUCUUCGAUAUCGUCCCCUUCCGCAGCGGCUAUCACGCACUGCUCGGACGAACCGCGUUUGCCAGAUUCAAUGGAGUGCCACACUAUGCUUAUCUCAAGCUCAAGAUGCCCGGUCCACACGGCGUCAUAACAGUCAAUGGGAAUACGAAACGCUCCCUCCGCACAGAGGAGCACACCGCCGCCCUAGCAGCAGAAGUACAGAGCGGCCUUCUCAAGCAGCACCAUAGUACGGCUGUCAAGCCCUCAGACAUCAUUAAGAGGUUCCGGACUUCACUGCAACAGGACGGCGCGGCUCGUCAAGAGCUCGACUAGCAAUUCGGCCUCCGUCCCAGUCCCAACGAGGUCGUGGCAUUCAUACCACGCGUACACAAUUACGCACUCAAAAUUCCGUGGAACAUCGACAGAGGCACAAGAUAACCCGGGGUCUAUAGUUCGGCCAGACAGAUCCCAGACACACGUAGUUUUACUUUUGUCUUGUUUCAGGUUCCUUUUUCCACGGGCCUGAUCGCGAGUCCUUUAGAACGAUUGGCAUACAACGGAGGCAAGCAACACAGGUGUGUAGGGUAACCUCUAUACGUUCUUCUUGACGGUAUUCAUACUUAUUUCUCAAGACCCGCACGCUGCGCCCUACUGAUUCCGGCAUGUUAAAAAGCCCAGAUACUUCUCGCACCAUCUGUACAAGAUACGCCUUGACGUAUCCAUCCAGUUAUAAUAAAAAUGGUUCGUGGCCCAGUUUCUGUGGUUUUUGCUUCUUACUUCGUUUUAUUUCGAUCUGCUUAUUUGCCGCAUCAAUACUCUUCUGCAUGUUUCAUAUUCGCCAGGGGCUACUUGUCGCCCCACAAUACGGUAGCAAAGUCCGAACACUUCUUAUAUAUAAGUUUGGCACCCCGAAUUUAGCAUUAUAUGCAUUGGCUCCGAAUCAUGUCUUUGGUCAAUAGUUGGGUUGCCCGGCUCCUGUGCUUGCUACCCUACGUUCCGCUCUAUUGGCUAGGGUAGUAAAGGGAGAACUACUGCGAUUGUGCCCUGGCCUUUACGGGAUGAGCACCUCAGUAGAGAAAGCCAAAAACCGACUGUCAUGAUACGGCGAGAGCUGGUCAGCUGUUCGAGGGUUACAAAAUCGUUGGAGAUUUUUUCCGCGUCAUGCGAAGGAUCGACACUUCCCGACCAGGGGCUGUGCAGUUGCUUAAUUAUAAAACUCCUAUGGCUAAGUGAGGGCGUUUAAGCCGUACAGUCCGAUUGCCUUGUUCGUUGCGCUAAACAACUCCUCCAAGGGACCAUAUAAUUGGAUCAAGAUUGUUUAGAAUCCAUCCCGAACACCUCCGUACUACCUACGCGAGGGCAGAAGCCGACGACUGGCCAACCCUCAGAUUACAAAUAACACGGCCGCACAGGAGGAAACAAUUCAAAGCAUAAUAAAAUUAUUUUACAAAAACCGGAUUUGUUCUCAUAAUACAAGGCAAAGGCAACAUGAAUAGAUUUAUUCAAAUCCAAUGUCCUGCGAACAUUGCGCCGCUACAAGUCGAGACCCCUCUACGACAUCCGCGAAAUAUCGCUCGGGUGUGCGGUGCUCCUUGCCCUCCGGCGGCCUGCCGGCCACUUCAACAGCGUUCAUCUUCGCCCACCGCAUCUUGCAGCGAGUGAAGGCCAUACGGGCACCUUCAAUAAAGGCGGAGCGCUUUAUGACGUCCAGCCGAGGACAGGCGUUCACCAUCCGCCUCACGAGUCCGAAGUAGCUACCAGGCAUAGCUUCGGCUGGCCAUAGCCGGAUUGUCAAAUCCUUCAUGGCUAAUUCGGCCACCUUGUGCAGCUCCACCAACUGUUUCAGCUGAUCGGUGCAGGACAUGGGAGGCUCUGACACCGCAUAUUGCGACCAGAAGAGCUUCUCCGUGGAACCCCCUCCUUCGGCUUGAUAGAACUCCACGGCGUCCGAUACACUGCGUGGUAGAUCAGCAAAAGCCCCCGGGGAACUCCGAACCCGGGUUAGUAAAAGGUACUGCUUCUCCGCAUACUUGCUUUGCAUCUUAAAAGCCUUACCCGCCGUAAUCUUCUUGGCCUCCUGGAUCUCCUGGAGGGCGGCCUGGGCCUCAUUCCGUCUGGACAGCCUUCUCCUCGGCCUCGCCCAGGGCCUUCCUCAGGGCCUCGACCUCGGUCGCGGCUUUUGCACGUACCACAAUACCGCUGUCAAUAUACAACGCCUAUCCUUUCCCGAACAUACAGCAAGUCGUUACUCACCUUGCUGCUCCCGGAGCCGAACCUUAACCUCGCCGAGCUCGUUCUCGGUCUGCUCCAGCCUCCGCUUCAGUUUGGAGACCUCGGCAGCAUGCGCGGUCGCGGCCAACAGGGACGCCUGCUUAUCGAUACAUAUUCAGUCAGCCUCUUAUAAUUAAGGAUUGAUCCCCUGUCCGGUUCUUCUCACACCGGAAAGCGUCUCAGGGUCUACGGACCAUCUCUUUCUUACCUCGAAACCUGUUAACAGGCUGUUGCAGGCUUCAUUCAGUCUGCUCUUGGCGGACUGAACCUUCUCGAUCACCGCACCCAUAAGGACACGGUGCUCGUCCACAACGGAGGCGCUUCGUAGCGCCCCCAUCAGGUCAUCCGGCGCUCCUGGAUGGACAGGAGCCACCGGUGGAGGCGGCGCACCCCCCUCCUUCAAAGGGAGCUGCUCGCCCGACUCCGGAGCCAAAGGGGUCUCCGGAAUCGUAUUCGGCUGAGGUCCGAACUGGUUACGGCCCUCUUCACCAGUCUCCAUGGGGACUGGCUCCCCCAUGUGUCCGGCAGUGGAGGUCCUGCCUUGUGCCGCCUCCCGGACGACGUCCUGGGCUCCUCCCUGGUUCGGAGCGGUCCUCCGGGACAGCACAUCGGCGUUGUCCUUGGCCCCAGGGGAGUAAGCAGGCGGUGGCGACAUGCUCGCCAUCUCCGACGGAGCCAACGAAUCUCCAGAUGAGGAUAGCUGGAUAAGGUCACGGGCCGGACUGCAAUAGUACAGUUAAACUAUGUCAAAGAUAAAUGGAGAGAAAGGGCCGGAUGUGCGCACGAGCGAGCCAUGUCACUUACGAUACGGCCUGGGGCUUAGUGCGGGGGCGUCGUUCCGGACUACUAUCGACAUCCCAUGCAGUGUUGACCGCUGGGACGCCUUUCCCCUUCUUGGGCGUCUCCGUCUCCAGACGUGCCGAGGCCGCCCUCUUCUUCUUCUCCUCGGGGGGAGGGUUGUUCUCCUCCUCCUCCUCUUCCUCGUCAUUGUCCUCAGGGACAGAGGAAUGAGCUUCGUCAUCUUCGGACGCCGCGUCCGGAGUGCCCUUGCGACGGGGGCCACUCUUGGCCCCCUUGGCCUUCUUCUUGGCCUUCUUCUCUGGCGCCUUAUAUGGUGCCGGCACCAGCAUCUUCGCCAGGCGUGGGAUGACAGGUUCUUCGGGCAGCGGAGCCGGACACUGGAUCCGCCUCGACCUCUCCAUCCAGUCCUGAAAGAGCAAUAAUAAAAGCUUAGAUAUCAUCCUCGAAACAUUUAAGUCGGGGAUGCGUUAGAAAAAACAUACCUCGCUGGCGGGUGUUUACAAUCGUGACCACGGUCUGAGUCCGUGGCCGGUGGCUUCUCGUUGCCCUUAAAGAGCAACUUCCAGGCCCCUUCGUGAGAAGUCUCAAAGAGCCUUUUCAGGGUCUGGUGCUUCUUCGAAUUGACCUCCCACAAAGGGCGGCUUCGGCGCUGGCACGAAAGAACCCGACGAACUAGCAUCACCUGGAUGACGUCAACAAGCUUGACGUUCUUGGUCACCAUGCUUUGAACACGCGUCUGCAGCGCUAUUAGCUCGUCAGGUGAACACCAGUCCGGAAUCUUCUCGACCCAGGAGGUGAGUCACAUGGGAGCAUCGGAGCGGAAUUCGGCGGCUGCGGCCCAGGUGGUGCCGCGAGGUUCUGUGAUGUAGAACCACUACUUCUGCCAUUCCUUUACUGUCUCCACAAAAGUGCCUUUGGGCCAGGAGACGUUGGAGAGCUUGCUCACCAUGGCUCCUUCGCACUCCGCGUGCUGGCCAUCCACCACCUUCGGCUUCACGUUGAAGACCUUGAGCCACAGCCCGAAGUGGGGAUGGAUGCAGAGGAAGGCCUCACACACGACGAUAAACGCCGAUAUGUUGAGGAAGGAAUUCGGGGACAGAUCAUGGAAAUCUAUCCCGUAAUAAUACAUCAGCCCACGGACGAAAGGGUGGAGUGGAAACCCUAGCCCGCAGAAGAAAUGGGGGAUGAAUACUACCCUCUCUGUGAGCUCCCACGUGGGGACAACUUGUCCCUCGGCCGGCAGACGAUGGGCGAUCUCCUUCGCCAAAUAUUCGGCCGCCCGGAGCUCAGUAAUGUCCUCCUCCUUGACGGAGGAGACCAUCCACUUGCCCUGACCACCGGAUCCGGACAUAGUUGCUUGAGUGGAAAGGAGUUGAGAACUUGGGCGCUGGAGCUUGAGAUCGGAAAGGCAGAGAUGGAGAGAGAGCGUGAGAAGAGGAAGGGGGGAUCCUUAUCCCCUUAUAAAGGCAGCAAAUAUUAAACGCCUCCUCACUCGCCUUAGGAUUCGCAUGUUCCCAAGGGCUGUGUAAACGGCACGGUUGAGUUACCCAUGCCCGCAUUGAUGAGAAUCCCGCAAUAAGGGGACACGAUCUCUGUUUCGACAAGACGUGCCAAUAGCAACCGUGUCUCAAAACAUCGGAUGGCAGAAGAAAAAUGGUUUGAAAUUAUGACCGGACAGAAGCGAUGUCGUGUUGAAAAGAAGCUGUCAACAGAUUAGAUUCAUGCAAAUAUUAUAUUCUCUCUGCAGUUGUGUAUGGUGUGCGUAACAGGUUCGGAUAUGAUCAUUGCAUCCGAAGACUAUCUUGGAGUUCGGAGAAAGGGAACCCGCCUUGCAAUGCCGAAGACAAUCUGCGCGCUGGACUCCUCGUCAUUGAAAGCCAGCUUCAGGGGCUACUGAGGGAGUCCCGGACUAAGGGGUCCUCGGGCGUCCGGCCAGUUAUCCAUGGGCCGGACUGAUGGGCUGUGAAGACAUGAAGAUCGAAGAGCGUACUCGUGUCCGGAUUGGACUCUCCUUGGCGUGGAAGGCAAGCCUGGUGACCAAUUAUGAAGAUUCCUUCUUAUGUAACCGACUCCAUGUAAACCCUAGAUUCCCCCGGUGCCUAUAUAAACCGGAGGGGUUAGUCCGGAAAGGAUAUACUCAUUACCAUAUUCACAUAGGCUAGACUUCUAGGGUUUAGCCAUUACGAUCUCGUGGUAGAUCAACUCUUGUAACACUCAUAUUCAUCAAGAUCAAUCAAGCAGGAAGUAGGGUAUUACCUCCAUAGAGAGGGCCCGAACCUGGGUAAACAUCGUGUCCCCCGUCUCCUGUUACCAUCGAUCCUAGACGCACAGUUCGGAACCCCCUACCCGAGAUCCGCUGGUUUUGACACCGACAGGUACUUCGCGAGGAAGGUCAUAGGCGUUGGGCGCCUCGUCGCUGCAUGGAGGCGGGCCGAUAAGCUCCAGCAUGCCACGGAUGAGGAGCUCCGGUGGGUGCCCAACGAAAUGGCAAGAUCGUUCACGCGCGUCCUACAACAAGAGGUAGAUCGGUACGUCAAGUGUUGCGAGGCGGAGGAGCCGGAGUACUGCCUCCGCACUGGGAAGACGCCGCGCACCAGGGAGCUGCUGGUGAGGGGCUGCCGGAAUACUGGCCCGAGAAGGGAUUAUUAGUUUUAGUAUUGUUCGAUUUCAAUUUUAUGCAUUGUACCUAGUAGUUAAGUAUCAUCACGUAUAUGUGAUGAUAUUAUAUAUAUAUUCUGUGAUGAAUUAAUGAACAAUUAAUAUAUAUAUAUAUAUAUAUAUAUAUAUUAUGAAUUCCAUUUUUUAUCUGUUUUUUAUACUAAUUUGAAUCUAGCUGUUAUUAUCCACAUAUACAGAAUGGAAAGCGUAUAUACACACAUUGAAACAGAACAUAUAAGAACGGAAAACAGAGUACACACAUUGAAACAGAGGAAUAAACAGAGCAAUACUAUGAUUGCUGUGAAUACAUAGCUAUCCAUGUCGAAACGACUCAACAAAAUAAAACGCGUACAUCAGACCAUGACCAGCAGCCCUUGCCUACGGUAGCUCUUGGCUCUACCUGAACUCGUGCAGGCGUUCGUCCAAGCGGUCGACACGCUCGCAGUACAUCUGGAGCACGAUCUCGAGCUCCAAGUUGGCUAUUUCAUCAGAGAUCACCAGCUCAAGAAUGUGACGGCCAUGUUCCUCUACUGCGCCCAGGUGGACACGUGGGCCAAGGAGGCGGUCGAGCCUACGGACCAGCGCGUUGGCAUGCAACGGGCAGCAGACAUGGCGAAUGACGCCACCAUGCGAACGGCGCGGCGGGUGUCCGGUGCAAGUACGGCGUGGCCGGCCUCUGGUGCAAGUACGGCGCUGAGGGCCUUUGCCCACUCCUGGCGAGGAAUGGGGGUACUGACGGGACGUGUACCCAGCUGCGACACCGUGUUGACAGCAGGCAAGCGCCGAUGGGUCCGCUCUUGCUAUGCGGCGCGCUGCGCCUCUCGCUCUGCGGCGCUCCAACGGUCUCGCCGUGUGGCGAGCUGUAGCCUAUCGGUGCGGACGCGCCUAGCUUGCUCUGCGGCGCACCAUCGAUCAUGUUGUGCGGCGAGCUGCAGCCUGUCGGUGCUGACAUGCCUAUCUUGAUCCGCGGCGCUCAAGCGCCAUGCGCCAAAGGUCUGCUUGAUGGUGUCGCUAGGACUACAUCGGUAUUUCCCCAAGAGGAGAGGAUGAUGUAGCACAGCAACGGUAGGUAUUUCCCUCAGUUAUGAAACCAAGGUAUCGAACCAGUAGGAGAAUCAAGCAAUCACAACGUAAGCAGCACCUGCACACAAAACACAACACCUCGCAACCCUACGUGUUAAAGGGGUUGUCAAUCCCUUUCGGGGUACGGCGCCUCAAGAUAGGCAAACGGGCAGGAGAAAAUUGUAUUGGAUUGAAAUAAUAGAUCACAAAUAAAAUAAAGUGCAGCAAGGUAUUUUUGUAUUUUUUGGUUUAAUAGAUCGGAAUAAAAAGGCAAAGGAAAAGUAGAUCACAAAGCAAAUAUAUGAGAAAGAAGACCCGGGGGCCGUAGGUUUCACUAGUGGCUUCUCUCGAGGAAAAUAGCAAACAGCGGGUAAACAAAUUACCGUUGGGAAAUUGAUAGAACUUCAAAUAAUCAUGACGAUAUCCAGGCAAUGAUUAUUACAUAGGCAUCACGUCCAAGAUUAGUAGACCGACUCCUGCCUGCAUCUACUACUAUUACUCCACACAUCGACCGCUAUCCAGCAUGCAACUAGUGCAUUAAGUUCAUGGAAAAACGGAGUAAUGCAAUAAGAACAAUACAUGAUGUAGACAAGAUCCAUUUAUUGUAACAUCCCAAAUUUUCAAUUUGGUAUGUUAUACAUAGAUCAUCAUUGCAUAUCAUGUUUUAUUGCAUUUUGACAAAUCCUCGAUAAAUCCUAAGCAACUCAAGGACCCUUGGAGAGAGUUGGGGAUUUUCUCAAAUUUUCAUAUUUGAUUUUCAUCAAAUAAUAAGACGAGGAUUUUGGUUUUAAUUAUUUUCUCUCCAGAAAAAUAUUUCAUUUUAAAAAUAAAUGAGAGGAGAAAAUAUGACUUCUCCAAAACAAUUGAAAUACUGGAGGUAAAAUGUUAAAAUCAUUUAUUGGAAUUUAUUUGCAAUUUUUACUGCAUUAAAAAUAUUGCAUGUUUUCAAAGUAUUUAUUUGGUGUUAAAAAAAUGUUCACCCUAUUCUAGAUUUUCUAACUAGACGGGAAAAAUUUAUUUUAUAUUUGUUAGACUUGUAUUUAUUUUUCUACGAAUUUUUCCGCGGAACGUAUUAAAAAAAAAACGCGCGCGCCCGCCGGGCCGAGCCCAGCCGCGCCAGGCCGCCGGCCCACCCCGCGCUCCCUCUCCUUCGCCAGCACGCGCCGCCGCCGCCGUGUCCAUGGCGGACACGGGAGNNNNNNNNNNNNNNNNNNNNNNNNNNNNNNNNNNNNNNNNNNNNNNNNNNNNNNNNNNNNNNNNNNNNNNNNNNNNNNNNNNNNNNNNNNNNNNNNNNNNNNNNNNNNNNNNNNNNNNNNNNNNNNNNNNNNNNNNNNNNNNNNNNNNNNNNNNNNNNNNNNNNNNNNNNNNNNNNNNNNNNNNNNNNNNNNNNNNNNNNNNNNNNNNNNNNNNNNNNNNNNNNNNNNNNNNNNNNNNNNNNNNNNNNNNNNNNNNNNNNNNNNNNNNNNNNNNNNNNNNNNNNNNNNNNNNNNNNNNNNNNNNNNNNNNNNNNNNNNNNNNNNNNNNNNNNNNNNNNNNNNNNNNNNNNNNNNNNNNNNNNNNNNNNNNNNNNNNNNNNNNNNNNNNNNNNNNNGCCCCGACGAGGUACUGCCCCGUUCGUUUUGCCGGUUUUCUUUAAAAAAAAACAUUCGUUUAAAAAAAACCCUAGAUCGGUUUUUUUUCGGUUUUAUUAUUUUGCGAGCGUUCACCGAACCGUUCGUUUUAACGAACGCGUUCAUCGGUUUUUCUCUGUGAACGAACGUCCUUUCUUUAACCGUUCGUCCGUUUUUUUCUUUUUCGUCGGAUUUUUCUGCGAUUAUCUCAGAUUCGAUUUCUGAUCGAAUCUUCGUUUCUGUUUAACUUCUCGCUCGUUUAUCGGAAUCAGGCGAUUCAAGCGCCUAGAGUUUCGUCUCGAAAUUCUCUUUCCGUUUAACCUACUCAAACAAGUUUUUGCUACAGUAAAAUUUGACCUAGAUCCAGAUUAGUAAACGAAGCUUCUUUCUUUCGCCGUUUGACUUUCGUUGUUUCUUUUGAGUUGAUUCUUUUUGCAAACCGGAGUUCUUAAGUUGAACUUUCUGGUUGGAUCUUUCAUUCGAGUUUUACCUGUGCAUUAGAUGAGUACUGAUUGUAUGCUUGUUUGUUUGCGAUAGAGUACCCGGAGUGUGCCGCUUGUUACUUCGAAUCGCUAGGUUUUGCGGAUCAUCAGCAAGGCAAGUAACACUUUGAUCAUAUACCUUCCAUACCCAGUUUUUAUUGCAUUAGAUCUAUUAUCCUCAAACAUUGCAUGGUUAGGAUCUAAUUAAAUUGUGGGUUUUGGGAAGUAGUUGAGGUAGUACCUAUUACCUGUUUUAUUAUCAAACCCUUGGGAGUUACUUCUACGUUUGCUAUUAUAUUGCCAUGCUAUGCUCGUAGACGUGGAUUGGGUUUGAGAGAUAUUCAUGACAGAUGUGAGAUUGUUAAUUAAUGGUUUACUUAAGGUGGCAACUAAAACUCACAUCUGGGUGGAUUGAGGUACCUGGGUAUUCGAGGAUUGCCUGUUUUUCUUUUGGACCGCCACCCAGGUUCAAAGGGAUCAUGAGAUUAUUCAUGCUAGAAACUUCCGUGUGCAGCCGCAAGCUAUUAUGGGCUCUAGCAUAGUUGACUAAGUUGUGUGAACUCUUACAGUGGUAGACUACCAGAUGUAGGGGAAAGUAGGUGUAACUGUCUACCCAUACGUAAGGUGCAAACACUUCUGAAAGACUAUGUCUCGAUCAUCCGUUACUCAAACACCAUGUAGUGCGAGUAACCCAACGGAGGAGAUCGAGUCUUGUGGGGAAAAGUGCACAAACCUCUGGAGAGUGUACAAACUAAUCAUGGUUAGCCGUGUCCCCGGUUAUGGACAACUUGAGUAUCUAGUACUUGGAUUAUCAUGUGAAUCUCAUCACUAUGUUACCUCUAAUUAAUUUUGUUGGGUUAAUGAUGAUUUCUUAAUUGGGAUUGAGAUGCUGUCAACCAUCUCAAUGUUUCACAACCACCAUGAUAGUUAAAUAAAAUUUAUUCCUUUGAAGUAGGAUAAAAUUGGCUUUUCGCAAAAAUGUAACCAUAGAGCUUUCCACCAGCCAUAUAUGCAUGUAGUAUAGCAUUAUUAUUGUUCAUUAUUCUCUAUGUGUUACUUUGCCAGCAUAUUCUAUGUGCUAACCCGUUCUCGGGCUGCAACGUUUCAUGUUGCAGACUUUUCAGACGACGAGUAAGGUGCCUUAGGUCGUAGUCUUAUACUCAGUGAUGCCGCUGGAGUUGAUGGACUCACUUAUCUUCCUAGUCUUCCGCUGUUAUCGUUUAGAUGGCCUUAAGCCAUAUUUAUCAUACUUAUUCUCUUUGGAGAUAUUCGAUGUAAUAAGUGUGUGAUUGCUACUCUGUUAUAAAUCCUCCAUUUAUACUGUGCGUGUCAGCAUUACUGAUCCAGGGAUGACACUGGUGCACAGCAGCACAGACCAUUUGAGGUCUGGUCGCUACAAAGUUGGUAUCAGAGCACACGCUGACUGUAGGACACGACCACUAACUUAAGCCCUAGAAAGCUUCUCUCUUCUCAUUUCUGACCCCUAUCCACUUUCUACUCUUUUAGGAAUGGCGGAUGCAAGGAGCAAGUUCAUGCAACCAGAUGAAGACACGCCGUUUGGUCGACACUUGAAGGAAGUCACUAAGUACUUGAACAUAGGAAUACCAAGCAUCACCGGAACCUACAACGCCACAUUACCUGAAGAGGAGAGCUGGAAGAUUCAAGUUCACAUUCCAGGAAGGACGUUUGUGCCAGUUACUGAACCCAUAAGAUUGGUUUUCGAAGCACCAAGCUGGAGUUUAGGGAAGAGCAUGGCCGCACACAUCGCCAUGGGACGCAUUGGAGAAGUCUACCACCAGGAGCUAAAGGAUACAAUUUACCAAAUUUGUGGACGCCGAGACGCGCAAUGGGAGAUGAUCAGAACCAAGAAGGAUGGAUCAAUUGCAGCUUUCAUCCAGGAGCAGAACCAACAUAUUCGUCGCCAGGAGAACCAGAUGUGCACGGACAAGGAAGAACUGAAGAAGGCAUUGACGAAGAUCAAGGAGCUCCAAGAAGAACUCAAGGCUACACGCGAGGAUUAUAUGGAGGAAAUCAUCGCACUAGUAGGGAAGAAUGACGACCUGGAGAAGAAGAUUGGAGUAUUCAUGGGAAAUCCAGUGCCAAAAGCAGAAGACGACGAAUGCACUUGUCCGGAUAACUACAUCAUCAUCGACGACGCCGACUCGGAACCAAGUGAAGACGACUUUGUUGAUGAAGCUGGAGCGGACAUCAUGGAGUCUUUGACGGAUUAGAAUUUUAUUAGACCACCAUAUCAGUAGUAGUUUUCCCCCAUUUAAUAGUAUAGUUCAAGCACUUUGUAACGCUAGUUAGAUCGAUUGUUUUGCCUUGUUUGAAUUGAUUGAGCGAUAUUGAUUGUAUUUGUCUCAUGAGCAUAUGGGUAGUGUUUUCUCUCUAGACCUCAUUCUAUUCUUAACUCUCAUCUUUUCUAAACCUAUCAGAUGCCUCCGAGACGCGACACCGGAUUUGUUUUCCCACCAGAGAUCACCCAGUUGAUUCAGCAGCAGAAUGCCCUGAUGCAAGUGUUAGUGCAGAACCAAGGCAACAACAACAACAACAACAACCCACCGCCACCACCACCUGUUGAUCACUUAGCCCGUUUCUUGAGGCUAAACCCGCCGGUGUUUUCCAAUAGCACCGAGCCGAUUGUUGCAGAUGAUUGGCUCCGCAAAGUUGGAAGGGAGUUGACCACUGCAGGAUGCACAGAUGCGGAAAGAGUGCGUUUUGCCGCACAUCAGCUAGAUGGACCCGCAGCAUCAUGGUGGGAGAAUUAUACAGCCACGCACCCUAUUGACACCGUCACAUGGGACCAGUUUCAGCAAGCUUUCCGUACAACACAUGUUUCAGCAGGAGCUAUGGCUAUGAAGAAGCGUGAGUUUCGCAACCUACGCCAAGGAGGACGCACCGUAGGCCAGUAUGUGGAGGAAUUCAGUAAGUUAGCACGUUAUGCACCAGAUGACGUUGCCACAGAUGCAGCCAAGCAGGAGAAAUUUUUGGAAGGGCUGAAUGAUGAACUGAGUAUGCAGUUGAUGGUAGCAACUUUCAACAACUACCAGGAGCUGGUAGAUAGAGCUCUCAUGAUUGAAGGGAAGCAAUAGCAGAUUGAAAACCGUAAGAGGAAGUAUGGACAAGGGAAGUAUAACUCAGGAGCUCAACAGAAGCCUCGUUUUGCCCCGAAGCCGGGAGGACAGUUUCAGCAUACCCAUGGAGGAGGUAGUUCACACAACCAUAAUGGCUCUAAAAAUGGUAAUGGGAAUGGAGGAAGCAACAGACAGAACCGCACCAACCCAUCUACCCCAGCCAAGAGGGACCUGAGCCAAGUCACUUGCUUUAAGUGCCAGAAGAAUGGACAUUAUGCCAAUGAAUGUCCUGAAGCCCAAAAUGGAAAUAGCAAUGGAAUCUCUGGGAAGAAGCCGAACCCGUUCAACAAAGGGCAUGUGAACCACGUGAGCGUGGAGGAGGUUGAAGCUCAGCCUGAUGCAGUAAUAGGUAAGUUUUUGGUUAAGUCAUUUACUGCAACCGUUCUUUUCGAUACUGGUGCAUCGCAUUCAUACAUAUCAAGGGGAUUUGUGAACAAGUUUAAGAUGUCCACCAAAGUUCUCAGAACCCCUAUGUUAGUAACCUCGCCAGGAGCAGAGUAUAUGGCAACCCAAGGAUGUUUUCAGAUACCAUUGGCCAUUGGUAGGCAUGUUUUCCCCUCAGACCUCAUAGUUUUGGAGUCGCAAGGUUUGGAUGUGAUUUUGGGAAUGGAUUGGCUAUCGUUGUAUGGAGGAAACAUCGAUUGUGCCAGCAAGACGAUUUUGCUUACCACCCCGGAAGGAAAAAGGAUCAAGUACGUAUCCCGGCAUAUGUCGAAGAGGACUCAAGUGAAUUCCUUAUCAGGAGCUGUACAGGAGGAAGUACCAGUGGUGAAGGAUUAUCCGGAUGUAUUUCCAGAAGAGUUGCCAGGCAUGCCGCCAGAUAGAGACAUUGAGUUCUUGAUUGAACUUUUGCCAAGCACAGGGCCAAUAUCUAAGAGACCGUACAGGAUGCCCGCAAAAGAUUUGGAGGAAAUUAAGAAGCAGAUCAAGGAGUUACUGGAUAAAGGCUAUAUUCACCCAAGUUCGUCACCUUGGGGAUCACCAGUACUUCUAGUGGAGAAGAAAGAUGGAUCGCUGUGGAUGGUUGUUGAUUACCGAGGAUUGAAUGAAGUGACCAUCAAAAACAAGUACCCGCUGCCGAUGAUCAAUGAUUUGUUUGACCGCCUACAAGGAGCUAAAGUAUUUUCCAAGAUCGAUCUACGAUCAGGAUACCAUCAGUUAAAGAUUCGAGAGCAGGAUAUACCCAAGACGGCAUUUACCACCAGAUAUGGAUUGUAUGAGUAUACCGUUAUGUCAUUUGGUCUGACUAACGCACCUGCCUAUUUCAUGAACUUGAUGAACAAAGUGUUUAUGGAAUUUCUGGAUAAGUUCGUCGUGGUGUUCAUUGAUGAUAUUUUAAUCUUUUCCAAGGAUGAGGAAGAGCAUGAGGAGCAUUUGCGAUUGGUACUUGAGAAGCUCAGAGAACAUCAGUUAUACGCCAAGUUCAGCAAAUGUGAAUUUUGGCUGAAGGAAGUUGGAUUCCUUGGACAUGUUAUUUCUGGAGAAGGAGUAGCAGUGGACCCUGCCAAGGUUGAUACAGUGACAAGUUGGGAAUCACCCACGACAGUUGGAGAAAUCCGGAGUUUUCUUGGACUUGCAGGAUACUACCGGAGAUUCAUCGAGAAUUUCUCGAAGGUUGCUAAGCCCAUGACUGAGCUAUUGAAGAAGGACACCAAAUUCAAUUGGACUGAGGAAUGUGAAGCUAGUUUCCAAGAGUUGAAGAAACGAUUGGUUACAUCACCAGUGUUGAUUCUGCCAGAUCAACGCAAGGAUUAUGAAGUUUAUUGCGACGCUUCUCGUCGAGGACUUGGAGCAGUGCUUAUGCAGGAAGGAAGAGUUGUGUCAUAUGCUUCACGACAACUUAAACCCCAUGAGAAGAAUUAUGCUACGCAUGAUUUGGAGUUAGCAGCCGUGGUGCAUGCAUUGAAGACAUGGAGACAUUUUCUCAUCGGAAACCAUUGUGAGGUGUACACAGAUCACAAGAGUUUGAAGUAUAUUUUCACGCAGAAGGAGUUAAAUCUCAGACAGAGGAGAUGGUUGGAGCUCAUUAAAGAUUAUGAUAUGAGAUUGCAUUAUCACCCUGGAAAGGCUAACGUAGUAGCAGACGCGUUGAGCCGCAAGAGUCAUGUCAACACCCUCAUGACAGGAGAGUUACCUCAGGAGUUAGCCGAGGACCUUCGCGAGCUAUGUUUGGAGAUAGUCCCAAGAGGCUAUUUAGCGACAUUAGAGAUUCAGUCUACCUUGAUGGAAAGGAUCAGAGAAGCCCAAAAGACAGACAAGGAGAUUGAAGAGAUAAAGAAGAAGAUGAGCAAAGGAAAAGCCAAGGGAUUUCGUGAGGAUGAGCACGAUACCUUAUGGUUUGAGGACCGCGUAUAUGUGCCAAAUGAUCCGGAGAUCAGGAAAUUGAUUUUGCAAGAAGCCCAUGAUUCACCGUACUCGAUUCACCCAGGGAAUACCAAGAUGUAGUUGGAUUUGAAGAAUACUUUCUAGUGGACCGGAAUGAAGAAGGAUAUUGCAGAAUAUGUAGUAGUUUGUGAUGUGUGUUAGAGAGUGAAGGCAGAGCAUCAGAAGCCAGCAGGAUUGCUACAACCAUUGCCGAUACCCGAAUGGAAGUGGGAUAAAAUAGGCAUGGAUUUUAUCAUAGGAUUACCCAGGACUCGUUCACGCUAUGACUCAAUAUGGGUUGUAGUCGACCGUUUGACGAAAGUGGCUCAUUUUAUUCCAGUGAAGACCACUUACACCAGUGUUAAGUUGGCAAAGAUAUACAUGACCAGGAUCGUAUGUUUGCAUGGAGUUCCGAGGACCAUUGUAUCAGACAGAGGAACCCAAUUUACCUCAAAGUUUUGGAAGCAGUUACAUGAAACAUUGGGAACCAGGCUGGAAUUCAGUACAGCUUUUCACCCGCAGACAGAUGGACAGACCGAGAGAGUCAACCAGAUUUUGGAGGACAUGUUGAGAGCUUGUGCCCUAGAUUAUGGAUCUAGUUGGGACGAUAAUUUGCCAUAUGCAGAGUUUUCAUAUAACAACAGUUAUCAAACCAGUUUGAAGAUGGCCCCUUUCGAAGCUUUGUACGGAAGGAGGUGUAGAACACCGUUGUUAUGGGACGAAGUUGGAGACCGUCAGCUGUUUGGGCCAGAUUUGAUUAAGGAGUCUGAACAGAAAGUAAGGUUGAUUCGCGACAGGCUCAAGGUAGCCCAGUCCAGGCAGAAGAGUUAUGCUGAUUCUAAACAAAAAGAGACAGUUCACAAAGUCGUAGACCGAGUGUAUCUUCGAGUAUCACCACUUCGAGGAGUGAAGCGCUUUGGAGUUAAGGGAAAGUUAGCGCCCCGUUUUAUCGGACCAUCCAGAGUUGUGGAACGUAUGGGAGAAGUUGCUUACAAGCUGGAAUUGCCCGAAGGAUUGUCUGGAGUUCAUGAUGUGUUUCACGUUUCCCAGUUGAAGAAGUGCCACGCAGAGAUGGCUGAGAUACCACUGAGAGAUACUGUGCCACUGGAAGCGAUUCAGCUGGAAAGUGAUUUGACCUAUGAGGAGAAACCAGUUAAGAUUCUUGAGUAUGCCAGCCGAGUUACCCGCAGCAAGGUCAUCAAGUUUUGCAAAGUCCAGUGGAGUCACCACACGGAAGAUGAAGCCACCUGGGAGCGAGAGGAAGAUCUAUGGAAGGACCACUCCCACCUGUUUUCUAGCCAACCCGAAUCUCGAGGGCGAGAUUCAUCUUAAGGGGGUAGGUUUGUAACAUCCCAAAUUUUCAAUUUGGUAUGUUAUACAUAGAUCAUCAUUGCAUAUCAUGUUUUAUUGCAUUUUGACAAAUCCUCGAUAAAUCCUAAGCAACUCAAGGACCCUCGGAGAGAGUUGGGGAUUUUCUCAAAUUUUCAUAUUUGAUUUUCAUCAAAUAAUAAGACGAGGAUUUUGGUUUUAAUUAUUUUCUCUCCGGAAAAAUAUUUCAUUUUAAAAAUAAAUGAGAGGAGAAAAUAUGACUUCUCCAAAACAAUUGAAAUACUGGAGGUAAAAUGUUAAAAUCAUUUAUUGGAAUUUAUUUGGAUUUUAUUUGCAAUUUUUACUGCAUUAAAAAUAUUGCAUGUUUUCAAAGUAUUUAUUUGGUGUUAUAAAAAUGUUCACCCUAUUCUAGAUUUUCUAACUAGACGGGGAAAAUUUAUUUUACAUUUUUUGGAGUUUUAUUUAUUUUUCUACGAAUUUUUCCACGGAACGUAUUAAAAAAAAACGCGCGCGCCCGCCGGGCCGAGCCCAGCCGCGCCAGGCCGCCGGCCCACCCCGCGCUCCCUCUCCUUCGCCAGCACGCUCCGCCGCCGCCGUGUCCAUGGCGGACACGGGAGUCCGAGCCCGCGCCGCCGGAGCUUGCCCCUGCUCCAAGCCGAGCUUUCCCCCCUUCCCCCUUUAUAUACCNNNNNNNNNNNNNNNNNNNNNNNNNNNNNNNNNNNNNNNNNNNNNNNNNNNNNNNNNNNNNNNNNNNNNNNNNNNNNNNNNNNNNNNNNNNNNNNNNNNNNNNNNNNNNNNNNNNNNNNNNNNNNNNNNNNNNNNNNNNNNNNNNNNNNNNNNNNNNNNNNNNNNNNNNNNNNNNNNNNNNNNNNNNNNNNNNNNNNNNNNNNNNNNNNNNNNNNNNNNNNNNNNNNNNNNNNNNNNNNNNNNNNNNNNNNNNNNNNNNNNNNNNNNNNNNNNNNNNNNNNNNNNNNNNNNNNNNNNNNNNNNNNNNNNNNNNNNNNNNNNNNNNNNNNNNNNNNNNNNNNNNNNNNNNNNNNNNNNNNNNNNNNNNNNNNNNNNNNNNNNNNNNNNNNNNNNNNNNNNNNNNNNNNNNNNNNNNNNNNNNNNNNNNNNNNNNNNNNNNNNNNNNNNNNNNNNNNNNNNNNNNNNNNNNNNNNNNNNNNNNNNNNNNNNNNNNNNNNNNNNNNNNNNNNNNNNNNNNNNNNNNNNNNNNNNNNNNNNNNNNNNNNNNNNNNNNNNNNNNNNNNNNNNNNNNNNNNNNNNNNNNNNNNNNNNNNNNNNNNNNNNNNNNNNNNNNNNNNNNNNNNNNNNNNNNNNNNNNNNNNNNNNNNNNNNNNNNNUGCCCCGUUCGUUUUGCCGGUUUGCUUUAAAAAAAACCAUUCGUUUAAAAAAAACCCUAGAUCGGUUUUUUUCGGUUUUAUUAUUUUGCGAGCGUUCACCGAACCGUUCGUUUUAACGAACGCGUUCGUCGGUUUUUCUCUGUUAACGAACGUCCGUUCUUUAACCGUUCGUCCGUUUUUUUUUCUUUUUCGUCGGAUUUUUCUGCGAUUAUCUCAGAUUCGAUUUCUGAUCGACUCUUCGUUUCUGUUUAACUUCUCGCUCGUUUAUCGGAAUCAGGCGAUUCAAGCGCCUAGAGUUUCGUCUCGAAAUUCUCUUUCCGUUUAACCUACUCAAACAAGUUUUUGCUACAGUAAAAUUUGACCUAGAUCCAGUUUAGUAAACGAAGCUUCUUUCUUUCGCCGUUUGACUUUCGUUGUUUCUUUCGAGUUGAUUCUUUUUGCAAACCGGAGUUCUUAAGUUGAACUUUCUGGUUGGAUCUUUCAUUCAAGUUUUACCUGUGCAUUAGAUGAGUACUGAUUGUAUGCUUGUUUGUUUGCGAUAGAGUACCCGGAGUGUGCCGCUUGUUACUUCGAAUCGCUAGGUUUUGCGGAUCAUCAGCAAGGCAAGUAACACUUUGAUCAUAUACCUUCCAUACCCAGUUUUUAUUGCAUUAGAUCUAUUAUCCUCAAACAUUGCAUGGUUAGGAUCUAAUUAAAUUGUGGGUUUUGGGAAGUAGUUGAGGUAGUACCUAUUGCCUGUUUUAUUAUCAAACCCUUGGGAGUUACUUCUACGUUUGCUAUUAUAUUGCCAUGCUAUGCUCAUAGACGUGGAUUGGGUUUGAGAGAUAUUCAUGACAGAUGUGAGAUUGUUAAUUAAUGGUUUACUUAAGGUGGCAACUAAAACUCACAUCUGGGUGGAUUGAGGUACCUGGGUAUUCCAGGAUUGCCUGUUUUUCUUUUAGACCGCCACCCAGGUUCAAAGGGAUCAUGAGAUUAUUCAUGCUAGAAACUUCCGUGUGCAGCCGCAAGCUAUUAUGGGCUCUAGCAUAGUUGACUAAGUUGUGUGAACUCUUACAGUGGUAGACUAGCAGAUGUAGGGGAAAGUAGGUGUAACUGUCUACCCAUACGUAAGGUGCAAACACUUCUGAAAGACUGUGUCUCGGUCAUCCGUUACUCAAACACCAUGUAGUGCGAGUAACCCAACGGAGGAGAUCGAGUCUUGUGGGGAAAAGUGCACAAACCUCUGGAGAGUGUACAAACUAAUCAUGGUUAGCCGUGUCCCCGGUUAUGGACAACUUGAGUAUCUAGUACUUGGAUUAUCAUGUGAAUCUCAUCACUAUGUUACCUCUAAUUAAUUUUGUUGGGUUAAUGAUGAUUUCUUAAUUGGGAUUGAGAUGCUGUCAACCAUCUCAAUGUUUCACAACCACCAUGAUAGUUAAAUAAAAUUUAUUCCUUUGAAGUAGGAUAAAAUUGGCUUUUCGCAAAAAUGUAACCAUAGAGCUUUCCACCAGCCAUAUAUGCAUGUAGUAUAGCAUUAUUAUUGUUCAUUAUUCUCUAUGUGUUACUUUGCCAGCAUAUUCUAUGUGCUAACCCGUUCUCGGGCUGCAACGUUUCAUGUUGCAGACUUUUCAGACGACGAGUAAGGUGCCUUAGGUCGUAGUCUUAUACUCAGUGAUGCCGCUGGAGUUGAUGGACUCACUUAUCUUCCUAGUCUUCCGCUGUUAUCGUUUAGAUGGCCUUAAGCCAUAUUUAUCAUACUUAUUCUCUUUGGAGAUAUUCGAUGUAAUAAGUGUGUGAUUGCUACUCUGUUAUAAAUCCUCCAUUUGUACUGUGCGUGUCAGCAUUACUGAUCCAGGGAUGACACUGGUGCACAGCAGCACAGACCAUUUGAGGUCUGGUCGCUACAUUUAUCUAUAUGGCGAUAGAUAUAGAUCUCGUCUUUUUAUCCUUAGUAGCAACGAUACAUACGUGUCGGUUCCCUUUCUGUCACUGGGAUCAAGCACCGUAAGAUCGAACCCACUACCGGGCACGUCUUCCCAUUGCAAGAUAAAUAGAUCAAGUUGGCCAAACUAAACCCAAAUAUCGGAGAAGAAAUACGAGGCUAUAAGAGAUCAUGCAUAUAAGAGAUCAAAGAAACUCGAAUAACUUUCAUGGAUAUAAAAAGAUAUAACUGAUUAUAAACUCGAAGUUCAUCAGAUCCCAACAAACACACCGCAAAAAGGACUUACAUCAUAUGGAUCUCCAAGAGACCAUUGUAUUGAGAAUCAAAAGAGAGAGAGGAAGCCAUCUAGCUACUAACUACAGACCCGAAGGUCUACAAAGAACUACUCACGCAUCAUCGGAGAGGCACCAAUGGAAGUGAUGAACCCCUCCGUGAUGGUGUCUAGAUUGGAUCUGGUGGUUCUGGACUCUGCGGCAGCUGGAUAAAUAUUUCAUCGACUCCCCUAGGGUUCACUACAAAAAAAAUACACUUCCGUGAUGAUACGUGUUUGUCACAGUAGGUCAUGUUUUUUUUCAUGCAUGUACAUCCAUGACGAUUUUAUGACAGAAUCAAGAUAGUCAUACCUAUGCUGUCAUAGAAGUAUUCCAUGACAUUACCAAAAUUAUCAUCACGGAAGUGUCCACUUCCAUGACGAUAAAUCACGCGUCAUAGAUGUGCUUUCGUCAAGGGUGACCGACACGUGGCAUCGACCGUAAUGGCUCGUCGUUAAGCUAUCGGGUCCGGUUUUGUAUCCGAUAACCCGUUAACAGCCCGGACCAACGGGGAUUUUCCACGUGUAAAAUUCUCAUUGGCCGACGGAACCAUGUGUCAGCUCCUCAUUGGGACAGAUGUCAUCCACUCAUUGGACAGGAGGCGCCUAUGAUACAUCGACACGUGGCACGACCCAAUAGUGGCCCAUUCCGAUGAAAAGGCCGACCCAGCUAAAGGCCCACCUUGUUUUUUCAGACACUAGUGGGCUGGCCCGUUAACAGCCUGCCAUGUUUUGGGUCAAAUUGAGGCCCAUAUCAGAUCAGCCCGUUCACAGCCUGCCGAGUUUUGGGCCAAAUUACGGCCCAUAUCGGAUCAAGCCCGUUAACAGGCCACUAUACCUUUGGGCCCAUUAUAAGACAGGUGUGUAUUUCAGCCUGUUAAAUGCCCGUUUACCAGUUCGGCCCGAUAAUAGUUUCGGCCUGUUAGCGGCCCGUGGAGUAUCUGGGACGUUGUCGGCCCGGUUUAACUUUAGGCCAUUUAACGGCCCAUGCAGAAAAUGGGUUAUUUCUUGUGCGAAGUAACUUUAGGCCUCUUAAUGGCUCGUAGUCUUCGUGGAUAAAUUUCAGCCCAACUGGCCUAUCAGCCUGUUAAUGGCCCGUGUAACAGUUGGGCCUAAUUACAACCCGCGUUGAAUCCGGCCUGCUUACAACCCAUCUGAUAAUGGCCCUUGACACUUUUGGGCUAUGGCCUGCGUGGAUACCGGCCUGCUUAAAGCCCAUAAUUUUUGUAGCGACCCAACCUCAGACGGUCAAGUCCCUGUGCUUCAGUGUCAUCCCUGGAUUGGUAAUGCUGACACACACAGUACUUGAAGGAUUUAUAACAGAGUAGCAAUCACACACUUAUUACAUCGAAUGUCUCCAAAGAGAACUUAUUACAAUAAAUAUGGCUUAAGGCCAUCUAAAACGAUAACAGUGGAAGGCUUGGAAGAUAAAGUGAGUCCAUCAACUCCAACGGCAUAGCUGAGUGCACGACAACGGCCUAGCGAACCUUACUCCUCGUCUGAAAAGUCUACAACAUAAUACGUUGCAGCCCGAAAACGGAUCAGCACAUGGAAUAUGUUGGCAAUAUAACACAAUAGAGCAAUGAACAGAUAAAUGCUAUCACUACAUGCAUAUAUGGCUGGUGGAGGCUCUAUGGUUAUAUGGUUUUUGCGAAAACCAAUUUUUCCCUACAACAAAGGAAUAUAUUUUAUUUAACUAUCAUGGUGGUUGAAACAUCUUUGAGAAGGUUCCUCCAACUCAAUCCAAAUUAAGUUAAUCAUUAACAACCCAACAAAUUAAUUUUUUAGAGUGAUGAGAUACAAUAGGAUAAUCCAAGUACUAGAUACUCAAGAUGUCCAUAACCGGGGACACGGCUAACCAUGAUUAGUUUAUACACUCUGCAGAGGUUUGCACACUUUUCCCCACAAGACUCGAUCUCCUCCGUUGGAUUUCUCGCACUACAUGGUGUUUGAGAAACGGAUGACCGAGACACAGUCUUUCAGAAGCAUUAACUCUUUACUCCGGGUGGACAGUUACACCUACUUUCCAUCUACAUCUGCUAGCCCACCAAUGAAAGAAGUCACACAAGAUACUCAACUAUGCCAGAGCCAUAAUGGCUUGUGGCGGCACACAGAAGUUUCUAGCAUGAAAUAUCUCACGAUCCCUUUGAGCCUGGGUGGCGGACCGUAGGAGGAUCACACGGUAUAUCCCCGGGAUCUCCUAAGACAACACUGGAUUUCCCCAGGUGCCCAAAAAAAGCAAUCCACCCAGAUGUGUAUUAAAGUAGCCACCUUAAGUUGAACCAUUAAUUAACAAACUCACAUCUGUCAUGGAUAACCUCAAACCCAAUCCACGUCUACGAGCAUAGCAUAAUGGUAUAGGCAUAACGCAGAAGUAACUCCCAAGGGUUUGAUAAUAAACAGGGCAAUAGGUUCUACCUCAUCAUCUACUUCCCAAACCCACAAGUUAUUCACAUCCUAAUCAUGCAGUGUUUGAGGAUUGUAACUAAUGCAUAAAACUGGGUAUGAAAAGGGUAUGAUCAAUGUGUUACUUGCCUUGCUGACGAUCCGCAAAACCUAGGGACUCGUAGUAGCACGCUUCGCACUCUGGGAAUUCUAUCGCAAACAAAUAGUGACAUACAUAAGCAAUCAAGCAAAGAUGCACGGGUAAAACUCAAAUAAGAAGAUCUAACCAGAAAGUUCAACUUAAGAACUCUGGUUUGCAAAAAGAAUCAAAUCAAACGGAGGAAUGAAACUCAAACUGCGAAAGAAACAAGAUCCGAUUACUAAUCUGGACUAAAGUCAGAUUUUACAGUACCAAAAUCUUGUUCAAGUUGGUUAAACAGAAAGAGGGCUUCAAGACGAAGACCUAAGCGCUUGAAUCGCCUGAUUCUGAUAAACGAGCGAAAAGAUAAACUAAACGAAAAUCGGGUCAGAAAUCGCGAUCGAAAAUAAUCGUGGAAAAACCCUGGAAAAAGAAAAACUGACGAACAGGCUAACAAACGAACGAUCGCUGUCUGUGACUAACGGGUGAACGGCGUUCGUUAAAACGAACGUACGGAUGAACGUCCGCAAAAUAUCUAAACCGAAAAAAACGAUCAAACCGAUAUAAAAAACAGAUCUAGGGUUCGAAAUAAACCGAACGGUUUUAAAAAAAACCGGCGGCUACCUCGGCAAACUCGUCGGCGGGAACUCCGGCGGCGGGGCGGCAACUCCGGCGGGGCGGCGCGGCGGCGGCGGCGGCUAGGGUUUGCGGGCGCGGGCGCUGGUGGGCUGGGGCGGCAGCUCGGGCGGCUUAUAAGAGGGGCGGGCCUGGUGAGUCUCGGCCGGGUACGGCCCAGAGUUGGUUGCGUUUUUUUAAAACGUGUCGCAGUAAAGCGAAGAAAAGAAAUACUACACGGACUCCAAAAAUCCUGAAAUAAUUUUCCCCGUCCCCUAAAAAUCUACCGGACAAGGUGAACAUUUAUUUAGGACUCUAAUGCAAUUUUUAAAAACAUGUAUUCUUCCUAAUUCAAAUAAAAUAGCAAUAAAUCCUAAUAAAUCAUUUAUUUGAUUUUUAAUAUUUUUCCUCCAAUAUUUCAUUUAUUUUGGGGAAGUCAUAUUAUCUCCUCUCAUAUAUAUUUUAAUACAAAAUAUCUUCGGAGAGAAAAAUCAUUAAAACCAAAAUGAUCCUUGUUUCAAGAUUUGAUAGAUUUCAAAUAUGAAAACGGUGAAAUCCCCAACUCUCCCCGUGGGUCCUUGAGUUGCUUAGAAUUUCGAGGAUCGUAACAAAAAUGCAAUAAAAUAUGAUAUGCAUGAAUGACCUAUGUAUAACAUUCCAAAUUGAAAAUUUGGGAUGUUACAAUUUAAUUGGGCCAAACACGUCCGAGAUAUAUUUUGGCCUGUUAGCUGCUCGUCCUAUUUGGGCCCAACAUGGGCCUUAGGUAGUUUCGGCCUGUAUUGGCCCGUGAAUUUUUCGGCUCAACGCUAGCCCAAUCUAGGUUUUAGCCUGUUAAAAGCCCAUGGUAUUCUCUGGCCCAGCUGGCCAGCACUUUACUCGGCCUGUUAAAGGCGGGAAACUACUAUAGGUUUAGACCUGCUAAUGGCCCAAGAUGACUAUAGGCCCAUGUUUUGGCCCAUAUGAGUAACGGGCCGGCCUGAAGACCUACAACACUGAGAUCCACUGAACCUUCCGGCCUAAAUUACAGCAUACCGACCAAAGAAUAAACCUAGACUAUACAAUAAAGAAAUUACGACAUAUUACAUCCACUGGGAAUCAAAAUUCGCUACCGGUGAUAAUAAAGCGCAACAUGACCGCAGAUUACAUACACUGGGCAUCAAAGGUCGCCACCAGUGCAUAUAAACAUGCCGACAAAAGAAUAUACAAAACUGAGAGCACUUCAGAAGGCACUAGGCCUGGCAAGGUCGGGCCCCGCAAGUAGCUGAACAAGCUAAUGAGACCUCAGUUGUGUCAACGAUAGAUGCUUCAUCCCUAGUUGUAUGGCACCAUAGUGCACACGGUAGUCCCUUGACAUCUUCAUUAUAUCUUUGACUUCAAGUCUGAGCUGAGCUGAAGCAAGCCUUUCUGCUUUAAGUUGAGACUGAAGAAGUCAAACUGAUUGAGGUAGCGACUGCACAGAGGUUGUCUCACACGUGCUGGUGAGCAGCUUCAACUCACAGUCUUCAUCAAGACAGGACCUUGGGGUCAUCUCGCUGUCCUCAAGAUGGUUUGGCUCACUAUCUUCCCUAAAGUUCUGCCUAGCAUAAGAGAUACGACUCUGAAAGAGAAACAAGGAGACACGUAACAGAUUUCACAAUUAUAUAAGCAAAUAAAUGGAUCUAUUCUGCAUAAGGAACAUGUUUUUACAACUACAAUUUGAAACUGGUAGUUGUUGCAAACAUCCAAUCAGAUGUAAACAGCAAAGUAUACAGCAGUGGAGGAAAUGAUGCCUAUCCAAAUCUAUACUAGAACAAAGUUUGAAGGCUUGAGAAGGAUGAACUUACAUUACAUGUUAACACGGGCUGGACAAAGCCCUUCACCAUGUUGAUGGAAGGAUAAUUCAAUAAAUUCCCCAAAUAAAAUUCUUUAUAAGCAUUACCAUUAUUCUACAUUUUGCAAAGAGUAAAUAUAGAUCAAAUAAUAUUGGAAGAAACAGAGGAUAAUGAAGCUCAGGUGCAGACUGAUGAUACAUAAUCAAAUAGCAAUCAAUUAAGUACAGCGUUACAAGGCAAAAGGUACUGACAAGAGGAAUGCAGACAUCAACGUGUGAAGUGGCAUGACUUUAUUCAACAUUUUUGUAAGAGUAAAUGUAGAUAUGAUAAUUUGGAGAAAGUGGAGGGCAGGGCAGAUAAGAUGCAGAGUAAUGCUAGACAAUCAACUAUCUCGCGAUGCAAGUACAGUAAUACCACCACUGUCCGUUAUUACUUGUCGCUCAAAUGGAUGUAUCUAGCACUAUUAAGUUCUAAAUACAUCCAAUUGAUCAACAAUUAAUUCGAUACAGAGGGAGUACAUGACAACAGGUACUUACAUGAGCAAUCCAAAACUUCAUAACCAUUGUGUUAAUUCUACAUUUAUCUAAGAGUAAAUAUAGAUCUUAUAAUUUCAAGGAAAGGGAGGAUAAAGAAGCGAACAUUUAUAGUGAUGCUACAUAAUCAAACAGCAAUGAGUGUAAGUAUGCUGACAAAGGGCAAGAGGUACUGACAAGAGCAAUGCAGAGCCCAAUAUUGUCGUGAGAUCCUAUGAUCCUUUGAGCAAGGAGAUUCAUCUGAAAUUAGUUUUCAUACAAGAGAGAAGGUAAGGAACAUGCAGAAAUUUAGGAGUUCAAAUUUUGAAUUGAUAUCAUAGAUAGUACCUGACGCUGGGCUCUCAGCAGUUCUAAUAGGGGUUUGGCCACUGGAGUAGGGGUAAAGUGUGGUACAGUUGGGCCUGUGUUUUCUCUGGCUGCUGAUCUAUCUGAUUUAACAGGUAUCACCACCUUUUCCAAAUACCUAGUUUGCACUCCUUGAGGAUCUGCACUCACCCUCUUCCUUUUGGACAUCUAUUACGAAAGAACAACAUUUGACUGGAAAAACAUAGUAUGACGACACAUGGAAUAGGUACAAAAAAGUGAUAGGUAUGGCAUAUACUCAUAUAUGAUGCUUAAACUAAGCAGAUGGUGUAACAAAGUAGAAGUAAUGCAAGAGGUCAGAUGCAAAAUAUGUGCGACCAAUACAACCUUGCCAAGUUAGAGCAAGCACCUUCAUGGGUGACUAAGAUAGGCCAUCCUCCACCAUGCCAAGUUUGUUAGCCAGUGGAUUGUUCCGCAAUAUUCCUCUCGUGCGCCCAUUCUCAUAUUCAUUUUGAUAAUGUUCAAUACCUGACAUGCAUGAAAACAUAAAAAAAAGUGAGGUUAUCUUUGUAAUGCAGAAGUGAUUCUAAUCCAAUACUUCCUCCCUGUAAACCCCUUUGUGCUAUCUCUGCAAUUCUUCUAAGAGGUGCCAUGCAUGCUGUAAUUUGGUGUGUGCAUUAAUAUAAUGUGGCCUACUACUGAAAAUAUGAGAGCUCCAGAAGUGAUGAUACUUCGCAGAUGAUAGUUUCAGCAUAUAGUAAAGAAGAACAAGUCGACCUGACCUGACAGAUUCAAAAUAUACUAAGGGAGAAUAACUCGACCUGAUCAGUCGACCGCAAGAGAAGAGGAUCAUCUUAAAGAAGAGCAGAAGAGCAAGCAGAUUGAAGAUACUACAAGUCUUUCUAUACAAUGUCGGUUGGCCACCCAUGGUGAACCAGAGUGCAUAGAGAAAUACUAUUCCUUUCGGUCUCUCCGUAUGUGGCUCACAUGCAUUUCGAAACUAAAGUAGGAACAUUUAGCUGACCAAUUAAACAUCUCUCAGUUUUACUAAUAUCAGCAUAAUAUCAGGUUUGAAUUUGUACAACUAAGCUUGUUUAGCUCGAUGGGUGGAGCAGUGCUAUUACGACACGAACCACGUAGGCUGAUCGUGGUCAUCAUAAAAUGGGGAAACCGUAAGCAUGAUGAGUAUAGUGUUGACCGUGGCAGUGGGAUGGCAGAUCUGAAGCUGCAAACCGCGCAAAGGGUAGUUAGAAACCGAUGUUUGCUUUGAAAUAACAACAAAGAUUUGGUAUGGACAAGAAAGUACAGUCAACAAGUGACAAAGAAAUGCAAUUCUGCUGCCUCUCUAUAUUUCGCGACAUGCAUUUGGAAAAACAAGUGGGACCUUUAGCUAACCAAUUAUAUGUGUCUAUUAACUAAUAUCAGUAUCAUAUCACAAUCAUAUUUGAACAACUAAGCUUUGGAAUUUUGAGUGUUGUGUUGUUUAGCUUGGAGGGUGGAGUAAUGCUAGUAUGCCAGAAAGCACCUACGCAGAUCAUAGUAGAGUAGAUAAAAGGGGAAAACCCUAAGCAUCAAGAGUAAAAUCAGGAAAGUGGAACUAGCUGGACCAGUGGGUGGCGCACAUGCUUUUCGAAACAAAUAUAGAAACAUUAGGUGACCAAUUAAACGUUCUCUGUUUUAGUAAUAUGAGCAUCAUAUCAGAUUCGUAUUUCAACACGUAAGCUUUGGAAUUAUGAGUGGCAUGUUGUUUCGCUUGAUGGGUUGAGGUCUUGAGGAGCAAGGCUAGCAUGACACGAAGCAGUGAAGCACCUAUGAUGAUGGUAGUGAAUAUAAAGGGGGGAAACCAUAAGCUUUACAAGUAUAGUGACCAUGCCAUGGCGGAUCUGAAGGUGCAAACCAUACAAAGCUACUUCGCAACCAAUGUUUGCUUUCAACUAGCCACUACAAUUUGGUACGGACAAGAAAAGUACAGUAAACAAUUUACGAUCUAUUUUCCGGGUGAGAUCAAUAACUUAAGCACAUAUGGAAGAGUACCACCUCUCUUGCGACACCGUGUAGGCCCCUGCUGAUACGUUGAGGGUGCUGCGGGUGCGAUGGCUGUCGGCGGCGGGGAAGAAGACUUUAGACGACAGACGGUCGGGUCGGCGGAUAAAUCCUGUUGCCAUGGACGAGGCGGUCGUAGGAGCGGCAACGGCAAGGUGGACGACGACGCCGAUGAAGCGAGACGACGCGAUGAAAGGAUCCUGGUCCGGCGCCGUGGAUGAGAGACAUCCAUCUCUUGAAGUGGACGACGGGGUAGGGGUAGCGGCUCCGGCAAGGUGGAGGAUAGGGAGGCGGACGGAGGAGGCUGGCCGUAGUGGGGAGGUUGUCGUGGCGCUGACGGUGUAUGAAUGGGGAAAUGGAGGGGGAGGGGGGAUCUCAAACUUUGGGACGCGCUUGUCUGAAAUGUGGGAAAGUUACGAACUUAUCCCCCAUUUAAAAUUUCGGACAUCACGUCGGUUGGGGAUAGGACGGUAAUCUUGCAUCUCCCAACUAUUUGCCGGUAACGAUUUCGGGCGAGGAGAGGGUGCUUUGCCGCCCACGGUUGGCGCCCAUGGUGUAUGAACGGGCCUGAUAGGUAGGGCGGUUGCGUCACGUCUGAGGGAAGUUACACAUCUGCCCCUAUUUAAAAUAUUAGCCUACAUCGAUUUCGGACGAGGAGAGUUUGUUUUGCCGCCCAUCGUGGAUGAAUGGGGAAAUGGAGGGAGAGACACAUGUCUUUCGGAUGAGCUUGAAUCAAAUAUGUUUUGCCGCCCACGUUUGGCACCCACCAUGUCUGAAUGGGCUCAGAGGCCAUCGUGUCACGUCUGAUUGAAGUUACUAGUCUACCCCUAUCGACAGCAGUGUAAAUCUGGUCGAUAAGGAUGUCAAGUGUCAGGGGUAGACAGUAAUUUCCAUCUCGCAAACACUUGCUUCGGGUAGCCCACGAAUGAUAGUGGGUGUUUAGCCGCUUCGUUCAAAACUUGGGAGAAUUAGCAUUCACGUUUGCCCUGGGCCCUGGCAACUAAAUCCAAAUCCAAUUUUUAUUCGAUUACGAAUAUCCACAAAUAAUUCUACAUUUUGUUAUUUAUUUCUUCAAAACCACAACAAAGAUUUAUUCCACCUUUAUAUAUGAUUAUGAUUUAUAAAUUCCAUGAUCUUCGAAUUCAGUAGGUUGGAUACACUUUGAGUCAAACAGGUAUUUCAUCCAAUACAAUAUGCUCACACGAAAAACAGUUCACCUUAUGUCAAUCAUACAAGUACUGAGGAUUACCUCGCGUAAAAAAUUCGGAUCAUUACAACUCAUGGACAACAUAGGGGGUCUUACAACAUAAUCCAUUCAGAGACAUGACACAACAUGCAAGUACAAUAAUCUAAUGACAAUUUCAACUGGUAUCUAAAGAAGAACUGGGAUUACCCUGGGCUUCAGAUAGCAGAAGCAACAGGACCUCCUCCGUCUUCAAAUGCAACAUUCUUACUUCCUCCAAUUCUUGGGUUGCUUGCAUAAUCCAUGCAGCUAAUUGCAUGAUUUCCAGCUUCAAGAUCGAGAUUACCUCAUUCAUGGCAGCCACACCAUCUCUUUCUGCCUCUAGUAGAACCUCAAGAACUAUAAUAUCUGUGCUCAGACUGCUCUCCAGCGGUGUUGCCUUUGAACUGCUACCAUCUGGUAACAUGGAUGGCGCACUGCUUCCACAAAUAGAUGCUAGGGUUGUACAUUGUGUCCUAGUGUGAAGGACAUCCUGAAAGGUUUCCGCUGGACAUAAGUAAGAGAUAGUUAUUGCAUGAUCCAGGCAGUAAGCUUACAUGGUAAACAACAUACAGAUUAUUGCCGAGCAUGGCAAGCUAUAUUUAAAUGGUUCGAAGCAGCAUCAGCCGAAAAGAAAUUAAAAUGGUAAUAUGAAACUAGGGAUGUAAGUGGCAAAUAAACGACAUCCGCCAGUCCCAUCUAGUUAGUUUUGCCUAGCUCCCUAGUUCAUGUUCCUCAAAAAACAAAAACUCUUUUGAACUAUCAUACCACUAGUGGACUUUAAUCGGCAUUAAACGGGACCCAGUUGACAUCCCUAGUUGAAAGGGAGUGUACCACCGCUAUAUUUAAGUUGCCAAGGCAUCUAAGCAGUUGAAAUAAUCUGAUAAAGCACUUAACAGUGUGGCCUCAUAUAAACUACGAAGACAGUCUUGUGAUGAAGUUCAGAGGAAAAGUUAAGGACUCAAAUGAACUAGGCAUGCAUGUCUUUAUGAUAGUACAGCAGGCACUGCUGACAUAUUGGCCAACUCAGGUAUAGCGUAACAAGUAACAAACAAGCAUUCGAAUCAAGCAACACAAAAAAGCAGACAACUGAACUAUUUGUAAUUCUGUAGGACUACAGGUUGAGGGCACAAGCCAAGAAAGCAGCCCGCACGCAUUACAUUUCACAUGUACUAAAACACACUGUCUUACCAUAUGUUGCUGUGAAGCCUCGCUGCUGUUGCAAUGUUCUUUGAAGAUAUCGUUAGCAUCCCGUGGUUGCAAAUCUAGUUGUUGUCGUUUAUUCUGCACCCUCUAUUUAGGUAAAAUUAAUUUUAAUCGCAUGCACUGGUUCGAAUUGAUCAUUAAUGGUUCAUCUAAACUAAUGAAAGAAGGGUGUGUGCAUACACGACAAUAUAUCUGCUUCCCUCUAUUUUUAUGCUUGUUCGAGGUGCCAGCCCCAAAAGAACAAAUAUUUUGCUUGAUGGGGUUGGUAGCUCCAUAAUUAAUAGAAGCAUCAAAUUAGUCAUGCAACUUGGGAAGAUCAAAAACACACAAAAAAGUAAUGAACAGAGGCUCGGAGCAGUGAUGUAAUAGCUAGCAUCAGAAAAUGUAGGGUAAAACGAACAAAAAGCAGCGGAACCACAUGCUAGUUUGCUGAUGUGUAAUUAAGCAUAGAGAACAUGAAGCAGUCUGAUGGAACCGACAGGUGGCAUCAGAACAACACCAUUAUCAUAAAUAUAGCAUGCAAGAAGUAAAAUAGUAGGCAGUGAUAUCUAGGAAGUAUAGUAAUACUUAGGACAAAACUAAAGCAUAUUAACUAUAUGUGCACUGGUAUGUAAUUUAGCACAUGUAACAUGUUCACUGCCAGAAGUAUGGCCCUACAGGUGCAAGCAGAAUAAUGCAUGAAAAAUUGAAUGAUGUCCUGAAGAAAUUCAAAGGUGCGGUGCUUAUGCUAAGAAAGUGAACGUAGGCGCCGGCCAUUGGAUAAUAGUACCUGAUUCUCGGCAGCGUAUGGGUAUCGUUGUCAUACUUGAUAGCUAAGGAUCAUCGAUGGUGCUCGUGUUGCGGUUGAGUUUGGGCCGGCUGUCGCCGUUGCUCAAGCGGCUCCGGUGCUUCGGUUGCGGCGCCUGUCGACAUGCAAGAAAGCUCAUCUGUGGUAAGUGAACAGUUGCACGAUCAAGAAGAGAAAAACCUAAGGAGUACAACUUGAAAUAACCUGAUGAGGUUGCGGCGUCAGUAAAGCAGGGCCGGUGUAGUUGAAUAUGGCGUCCGUGGAGCGGCCCCGGUGCAGUGGACGAAGGCUUCACGGGCGCGGUGUACAGUGCUUUCGGUGAGGCGGAUCUAUUGCGGCGGACGAGGGCUUGUAUGAAGGGCCAGCGAUGGGGCGGACGAGGGAAUCAGUGAAGGGCCUACACUAUGGUGGACGAGGGCGCCGGUUAAGCAGAUCCGGUGCGGUGGACCAUGAUGGUGGUCAAGGAGAUCUGGAGCGGUGGACAAGCCAGUCGCUGAAGCGGCUCCAGUGAAGUGGUGAGUUGCCAGUUGGGGGUUCCAAGGUGCGGAAGGUAGAUCCGGUGGGGUGUGAGGUCCACCGUUGCGGCAGAGGACUAGAUUCGGCGUCUAGCCGUGGUUGGGGGCGUCGGGGAGGGGAAGGGGAGUGGCUAUCGGGAAGAAUGUUGGGGGCAAAGAGGGGAAAACAAUGGAGUUACCAAACCAGCCCUUUUUCGUUCAUGUGGCAGGGGUAAAACAGGAAUAUCGCAGGGCUAAACUUUCGGGCGCGAGAUAUUUCGAUGUGAGCGGGAAGUUUCAAUGCUUUUGGCGCCUGAAAUUAUAAGUGUUCUGCUCUUGUACGGCCGACUAUGAUAUCAUGGCCGAGAAUUUAUUUGUUUUGCAUGCAAAAAAAGUGCAAGUUUCGAAAAUCAAUAUCUCCAACUCGAAACUUAGAUUGCCAUUCAAUUCAAAUAUGGAUCAUUGAGCUAGUACAAGCAAAUACCAUCAUACGGUCCAAUUCAAAUGAAAUUCCAAAUGUGUUUAUCCUAAAUAUGAUGACAAAAGCAAAAAUGUGUAUGUGUAUGAAGAAAGUGGAUGAUUAUAAAGUUUGAACAUGCCCGUAUGUGUAUAUCUCUAGGUUUGAUAUAUGAAUUUGAAAUCACGAAAUCCCGGCUUAAAAAUAUACCUCCGUUUAAAUGAAUUACAAAAGCUAAUGAUGGAGUAGAAUUCCAAAAUUCCAAUAUUAGGUUUGAUCUGGUACAUCAAGGUAUAUCACGCAUGUUCAAAAGUAUCGUUAUCUCAUAGUCCAAACUGUGAAACAAAUUGAUCAACCAUGAGUGCACACACUAUUGACCAUAUAUGUCUCAUUUAUGCUAAAGUCCCUCAAAUAUAGACACCUCACUCUUUAUCUGAAGCCAACCCCCUCCCCCCCACACACAGAUCGUUCUCUCCCCCAGACACGAACACACGAGCACAUUAACACCCUCCUCUCUUCUAAAGUCCAGACCCCAAUAUAGGUCUCUAUCACUUUAUCUCUCGAGCAUGCACACAUCUCUUCCCCCACUCUCUAGGUCUCCCAGCAUCUCUCUUUGCCAAGCACACGCACUAUGUAGAGUGUAUCUUUCCCAUACACACAAAACGUCACCCCCAAACGUCUAUCUCCCUAGUUAUGUGGUUCUCGCACACUCACCUCACACACCACCCCCACUGCAAACAAGCACACUUUGUCUCCUUGUGCACCACUCUCCUAUUUCUAUCUCUCCCACAUGUAGACCCGCCCCAGCUCCUUCCCUGUAUACAUAUAUGACGUGACUCUUUUCAUAGCUCCCUAAUGUAUCAUCGUUCUCAAUCUCGCACGUUGUUCUCUACACCGUCUAUUCUAGAUCUCUCAUGAAGUCCCUAUCACACACACAAUGACUCACUUCCCUUGCGUCUCCGUACAUAGGCCAAUUUCGAACAACAUCAACAUUGUCUCCCUAUAUAUACGCCAUUUAUGGACACAAACGACCCCUCCCCCUCUCUUCCUCUCUCUCUCUCUCCGUCGCUCUCUCUCCGUCGCUCUCUCUCCGUCGCUCUCUCUCUCUCUCGCUCGCUCUCACACCCCUCUCCCACACACACUCGAUGUCUCUUCCAAAUAGUCUGCUCCCCGCCCGCACCCAUGCUAUCCCGCUACUACACAUGCCUUUGUAUCUCUCUGACACACAUGUCACACCAUUCCCCCUUUCCUUAUACUAGGUUUACAUCAUUAGUGGUCUCUCUACUCCACAUACACACACUCCCUCUCACACACAAACACGCACACAAACACACACAAACACGCACAAACACCCAUUUAUCUGGAUCCUCAUCUCUCCCCAUGUCCGUAUGUGUAUCUCACACACUCACUCUCUCAUUAUGUCUUUGUGUCUCCAUGUUACAUAACACAAAGCCCCAUGUACAUGUCUCUCUCUAUCCUCCACACACAUAGACACAAAGAAUCUCUUAUCAUUGCCUCAGUCUCUAGACAUAUCACACACACACUCACUACAAAAAAAUACACUUCCGUGAUGAUACGUGUUUGUCACAGUAGGUCGUGUUUUUUGUCAUGCAUGUACAUCCAUGACGAUUUUAUGACAGAAUCAAGAUAGUCAUACCUGUGUUGUCGUAGAAGUGUUCCAUGACAUUACCAAAAUUAUCAUCAUGGAAGUGUGCACUUCCAUGACGAUAAAUCGCGCGUCACAGAAGUGCUUUCGUCAAGGGUGACCGACAUGUGGCAUCCACCGUAACGGAACGCCGUUAAGCUAUCGGGUCGGGUUUUGGAUCCGAUAACCCGUUAACAGCCCCGACCAAUGGGGAUAUUCCACAUGUAAAAUCAUCAUUUGCUGGAGGAAACACGUGUCGGCUCGUCGUUGGGACAGAUGUCAUCCACUCAUUGGACAGAAGGCGCCGAUGAUACGUCGACACGUGGCAUGGCCCAACAGAGGCCCAUUCCUGUGAAAAGGCUGGACCGUUUGACUUGGUCAAAAGGUGGCGGGCCGGCCCAAGGAAAGCCUGUUAACGGCCUGUUCGCAUAUAGCCCAUUUACAGCCCGCUCACCCAAGGCCCGUUACGCCCUAUCCGAAUUAGGCCCAGUAGCGUCAUCUGGGCCAUCCAAUAUGAUUCCAGCCCGUUUUCACUUCUGGCCCAUGUAUGGCCCAUGACGUCUUUCGGCCCAUAUGAGGCCCUAUGUAACUCUUGGCCUAUUAACGGCCCGUGGUGAAACUGGCCCGUAAUGAACAAUGUAUCACUUUACACCCAUUAACGACCCGUGGUGAAACUGGCCUGUCAUGAACAGUGUAUCACUUUAUACCCAUUAACGGCCCGUUAUUCCGUUGGGCCGUUUCCAGCCCAUGUUAUCUUUCGGCCUUCUCAGAGCCCAUUUAUUCUUGGGCUCAUUUCCAGCAUUCGUUUACUUAUGGCCCGUUACUGUCAUUUUCUGCUUGUGGGCCAAAUUCAGCCCGUGGUUACAGUCGGCCCGUUUGUGGUCCGUUAAUACGUUGGGCCGUUUUCCUAGCGUCAUCAAAUACGGCCUAUUAACGAUGGCCCGUUAUGGUCGGCCCAUGAAUGGACGAUUCCAACUCUAGCCCGUUUGCAACCAUAAUGCGGCCUGUUAUUGGCCCAUGUUUGGCCAAUCGAUCAUAUGGCCCGUAUAAGGCCCAUUGAUGAUACGGCCCGUAGAAGGCCCAUUUUUUCUACGGCCCGUAGAAGGCCCAUUGUUUCUACGACCCGUAGAAGGCCUACUGUUUCUACGGCCCGUAGAAGGCCCACUGUUUCUACGGCCCGUAGGAGGCCCAGUGUCACUACAGUAAAUAUUAGCCCAUGGUUAUUGUGGCCUAGUUUAAAAAAAUAGGUUAUUGCAACCACUAGCAAACCGCGGAAAAAGAACUGCACUGACUACAAGCAAACAAAUAAACAAGAUAACAAGGAAAUAAAUAAGCAAGCAACUUAUGCUAGGCUAUCACGGCUAUUACACAUAUUACAUCCACUGGGCAUCAAAGUUCGCCACCAGUGCAAAUAUAGGGAACAAAGCAGCAUAUAAACGCCGCAGCAAAACAAGUCCAGAACUGAAACCACUUCAGAAGAGUUCAAGAAACAAUAUCCUAGGUACCCAUAAUGCUGGCAAGAUGCUUAGCAAGCUUAUUAACUUUCUCUUGUUUGGCGCUUAAAUCCUCCAGCGCUUGCUGUUGCACAAGAAAGUACGCAUCUGAAUUCUGGAAGGACUUCCUCAGUCCUUCGGCUUCUCGCUGCAGCACAGCUGACUGAGGCCUUUCAGCUUGUAGCUGAGACUGAAGAAGCCGAAGUGAUUCAGGCAGCGAGUUCGAAGAGGUUGUGCCAGCGGUACUGGCCAGUAACUCGAACACUACAUCAACGCAGGACUGUGGGGUUUUCUCACUAUCUACAAGAUCGUUUUUAUCACCUUUCUUGGAGACCAACAGGGUUGUCUCACUAUCUUGAAGCUUAUCUGCAUUACUUUCUCUACCAUUGCAUAGUGGGGUUCUCUUCUCCAGUAUUCUGUUUGCAUACUACAAGAGAAACAAGCAGACACAUCACAGGUUUAGCUUGUAGUAUACGAAACUCAUUUUGGUAAACCGGUUCAGUAGUAAGGUGGACAGGAUAACAGCAUGAAACAAACAUAUAUCUAUGUACUAUGGUCACUGUAUUGUCCAUAUCAUUCUAGUUUAUGUUCCCUAAUCAAGAUAGAGACACAGUUCAACUCAUAUAUUUUUAAGACACAACAGCAUAGAUAGAAUAUAAGUGUGAGAAACUACAUAGCAUUGGCAGCACUUCUAAUGUGCAUCACAUGAGAACAUAACUGGUUAUACAACUUAAACUGAAAUCAACAUAGAGCAAGAAGUUAGAACAGCAAUCCAGUUAAAGAAAUAGGUUUAAAACAUACCUGUUGCGCCAUUGGAGUUUCAAUUGGAUCCUUCAAAUUCGAAAGUAGUUGGUAUGAGUAAACACAGUGAUGCAACAGCAAAGGAGUAUGGACCAUAGCUACGGAAUCUGACCUGAGAACAGUUGCUCUUCUGCUUUAAACGUGGAGUUUGGGUUAGCUAUGGUGGUCUUCGUGCUUUGGGCACUGCAGUAGCUUUACAAACUGCUCGUGUGGGGGUACUCUGUGGUGGACAUGGUGCUUUGUCAACUAUAAGUGGGUUACUAUCCGCUGGGGUUGCGGUUAGAUGGGUUGUAGCUGGUUCUCUGCCCAACAGUGUAAGUGUGUAAUCUGGAAGAGUCCUGAUUAUGUGUGGUGGGGCUAGUUUGUGGGCCAGUACAACCAUGGUUCUAUCUGCAUCGACGGGUAGCACUGUCUUUUGUGAAGAACGGGUUUUUGCUCCCUUAGAUACUGCCAUCACCCCCUCCAAUUCAAAUGGCUGAUAAACAAGAAAAGAAAUUGAACGUACAGACAUUGUAUGAUAGACAGAUGUGGUAAUUCACAUAUAUGUUGUCUAACCAAACAGGACAGCAUGACACAAUUUCACAUAUAUGAUUCCUAACUAAACAGGAUAACAUGACACAGUUUCAGAUAUAUGAUGGAUAACUUAACAGGAUAUAAUGGCAUAAUUCAACAUAUGAUGAGUACCUAAACAGGAUGACAUGACAAAACUAUAUGAUGUCUUUCUAAAAUAGGUUGGGAUGAAAUAAUUCACAUACAUGUUGUCUAAUUAUACAGGAUGGCAUGAUAUAAUUGACAUAAUUGAUUCAUAUACUAAGCAGCUGGCACUCGCAUGUAUGAUCUCUAAACUAAGCAGAUAGAAUUCAAUAUUGUGCAUAUGAUGUCUAAACUAAGCAAUGCAAGACACCAUAUGCAUCAUAUGAGAAAUAUAAACAUUGCAACUUAGAGCAUACACCUCAGAUGGGAUAUAGGACUGGUCAUCUGUCUCUGAAUCCUCCUUUGAGGAGCUCCCUGUAACCAUCGAGAUAUAUGCUUCAACAGGUACCAUUGCCUGCUCUGAAGACCUUGUUUUCACUCCAGAUUUUUCCAUAACCGGCUCAAAUGGCUGAUACACAUGAAGAGUAGUUCAAUAUACACAGAUUGUCGACAAAUGGAAUACGUAAUGAAAAAAAGAUGGCAUGAGAUAAUUCACAUAUAUGAUGCCUGGCUCCAUGGCGGUGCAUAAUUCACAUAUAUGAUAACUGGCUGAAAAACAUGGCAUUGCAUAAUUCACAUAUCUGAUAUAGAAAGCAAAUAGGAGGCAUUCACACAAAGCAUGUCUAAUCUAAGCAGAUGGCAUGGCAAUGCAAGACACCAUAUGCAUGAUAUGAGCAAUAUAACCUAGCCAAGUUAGAGCCUACACCUCGGGGGGGGGGGGAUACGACUGGUCAUCUCUCUCUGAACCCUCCUCUGAGGAGCUAUCUGUAACCAGCAAGAAAUCUGCAUCGACAGGUAGCACUGACUUCUCAGAAGACCUUGUUUUCACUCCAGAUUUUCCCAUGACCGACUCAAAUGGCUGAUGCACAGGAAGAGUAGAUGAAUGUAUAAACAUUGUUGACAAAUGGAAUACAUUAUGGAAAAAAAUAUGGCACAAUACAAUUCACAUAUACGAUGACUGGCUAAACAGGAUGGCAUUGCAUGAUUCACGUAUAUGAUGCCUGGCUAAAGAAGAUGGCAUUGCAUAAUUCCCAUAUACUCCCUCCGUUCCUAAAUAUUUGUCUUUUUAGAAAUUUCAAAUGGACUACCACAUACGGAUGUAUAUAGACAUAUUUUAGAGUGUAGAUUCACUCAUUUUGUUCUGUAUGUAGUCACUUGUUGAAAUCUCUAAAAAGACAAAUAUUUAGGAAUGGUGGGAGUAUGAUAUAGAAACCAAACAGGUGGCAUUCACACAAAGCAAAUCUAAACUAAGCUGAUGACAUAUAAGAUGUAUAAUGUAAGCAAUGCAAGGCGCCAUAUGCAUGAUAUGACCAACAUCAGCAUGCCAGGUUAGAGCAAACACCUCAGGUGGUAAACAGGCGUGGUCGGCUCCUUCUGAAUCUCCAUCUGAACAAUUAUCUUCCUCUGGAAUACAAUCUGGAAAUGCAGGAGGGGGGGGGGGGCACUUCGCCCACCAUGGAGCAGCGUCUGCAUGACAUUAUAUUCGCACGCAAUGGUCUUCUCUUUUUCUCUACAUGUUCAGUAUGAUUGUGUACAAUAUCUGACAUGCAUAAUAAAAAAAGUUAGAUUUUGUAAGGCCUAGGGGGGCAUGCAAAAAUCAAGACUGAUGGUAGCAAAUGAGUGGAUGGAUCCAAAACUAAUGAUAGCAGGUAGAUUAUAGCUUCAGUUUAAAAAGAUAGACAAUGGAUCAUCUAUUGUUUGUUGCCCACCCAACAUGAACCACAUAGAAGACCCCAGAUGAACCAGAUAGUAGACAUAUACUAUUCGUUGCUGGCUCGAUAUGAGACCAAUGGGCAAUUCAAAACUCAAGAUUGAACAAUAAAGUAGCAGGUAAUAAUAACCGAUGUAUAACGUAAGCAAACACGAAAGACUGCGACCUCUCUUCUGGAACUGUGUAGUCCUCAGGUUCAUCUGCUCAGUCGAUGAUGGUAAUGCAGUUGGCGUGGCUGCCGGCAACGGGGAAGAUGAUCUGAGGCGGCGAAAGGAAGUCUGCAGGGGGGAUCUCUGCUGCAGUGAACGCUUCUGUCAAUGGUGCACCUCAGGUGGGGUGGAUGACGGCACGGCAGGAGCAGGACAUAACACACAGAGUUUUCUUUGACGCCUAUCUGAAAAUGAAGUAAAUCUGUAAGGGCUCCUUAGAAUUGGAGGAUUCUAUAAACGCAGGGACAGGAAAAACACAGGAAUAGGAUAGGAAUGCACAUGCAAAACAAAGCAUUUGGAAACAUAGGAUUUCAGUCAACCUGGGUGUUUGGCUCACAUGAAUUGGAAGAACAGAGGAAUGGAGAAACAAAGUGAUGCGACGAGUGUACAACCUCUUUGGCAUAGCCUUGUGGACCUCAGCAUCAUUGGGUUGGACGUGGAGGAUGGUGAGGAUGCUGGUGUGACUGUCGGAGGCGGGGAAGAAGAUCUGAGGCCUCUGGAAACGGCGCCGAGGGUACUGCUCCGCUGUGAUGGACGGUUCCGUUGUUGGAGCAGCUCCGCUAAGGUGUACGGCAACGAGGCUGAAGCAUGACAAGACAGACAACGUUAAUCUGAAGUGGGACCCUAAUAUCAUCUGCAAUAGAUGAUGUAAAAUACAUCACCAAAAAGUGCUAGAUGUAAAACGCAUCAGCCGCGCCACGGCUGCUCCGACAGAUGCUGUAAGUACAGUUCACUCUGAACUUAACUGAAGAAAAUGAACUUCACAGUCGAAACUGAAUUUUACUGUCGAAACUGAUUGAACUAGUAACAGAGCCUUGAAAUAGAUGUUUAGGGCGUUCGAGCACUAGUAGCAGAGAAGCAGUGAUCUAAAUCAGCAGACGCUCGAGCAGGGAACACACUAGCAGAGAGCAAGUCGUGCAGUAGCACCGCGAGCGAGUGCUAAAGCAGCAACUCCUGUAGCUGCCGGAGGUCGUGCAGCAGCAGCAGCGCAAGCGAGAGCAAGAGCAGAGCAGCAGCACGAACGAAAGCAGGAGCAGUGCAGCAGCGCGACCGACAGCAAGAACAGAGCCGCAGCGCGAGCGAGAGCCGGAGCAGCUGCACCUAGUGCCGUUGUUGAAGUCGCCGCCGAGGAAGCAACGACAUGGGGGAGAGACGCCGUGGAUGAUGUGGCCAGCGACGGCGCCAUCGAUGGAGACACGCCAUGUUUGCUCGGUAUCGAGCACCGGCAGCCCCGUGAGAUCGAAUAAAAGAUAAAAUGCAGCGGUGAGUGCAGAACCUCCUUGGUGGCGCCGAGUUGGCCUCGGCUUCAUCGGAGGAAUUGGUGAGGGUGCUGCGGUUCCAGUGGGGCAGGUCAAGACGGCGCUGUGGGGAUUGAGGUGGCGCGAUAGACGAGGCGAACGUCGGGGCCGCUCCUUGGAGGUGGAGGACGGGGCGGCUGAUCCGGCGGGACGACGAGAUCGACAACGGAUCCUCAUCCGGUGCGGUGGAUGAGGGACGACGAGCUGUUGCGGUGGACGACGUAGUCGGGGAAGAGUCUCCGGCUGGGCGGCGGUCGGGAGGCCGACGGAGGAGCGUGGGGUUUCGCGGGUUUUGGCGGCCUCGGUGUACGAAUGGGGGGGCGAAGGGGAGGGGGGAGCCAAGCUUAGGGACGCGCUUGUCCGAAAUUUAGGGUAAGUUACCAGCGUACCCCCACCGGUUUUGACACCGCGACGUGGAGCUUCAUUUCCGGCUGAGGGGUAGAAGGGGGAUUUCGCGUGUCUGGGCUGCGGGAGCGAUUUCAGAUGAGGAGGGAGUUCUCGCGCGCAUCGCGGGUUGAAGAAGCGGGAGUUUCAAAGCAGGUGAGACAAAAGAUACUCGAGCUUGAAAAUUUCAGGAUAACAAGGUGCGGAUUCCUUGUUCGGCGGGACAAAAUUAUCGUGUAAAUAAAUUCAUACAAGACACAAGAGAGUCAUGUCCCGUUUUACUAUAUUGCUAUAGAUGCCAUUGAAAAAACUACAAGAAAAAUGUAAAAAAAUCGGGAGAACAAGAGUACCCUGCACAUUACCAAAUCGAUUCGCACUUCCCUCAACAACAACAAAAAACAAAUCAAUUCCCACCAAAGAAAGAGUAAUGUCCCUUUUUAUUUGAUUACAGAUGCCAUGAUCUCGAAUUUCAAUUUUUUAAUCCAUGUUAUGUUGAAUUCGAAUAUAUCGUUAGGUGACCUUGCGGUUUAUAAUUGAUGUAGUCGUACAUUUUGAUCUUCCAUCAUAUCGGAACAUUUUACUCCACCAUGUGAACAUAUAUAUUGUCGUCUACCAUAUGGACUAAAUUUGAAUCAAUUUUUCUUAUUUGAAUACAAUUGUUGUCAAGUUAUACAACAAUUUAAAUAUUAUCUUGAUAACAAAAAACAUACAUAUAGCAAUAAUCAUAUUUUACUAUGAACUACAUGUACCAUACGCUCUCCAAUUCAAAUAUUUGUAUCCAUUUUAUGUUGAAUCCAAACCAUAGUACAUUAUUGGUCUAGGUAGCGAGAUGUUUGGGAUAAUCUAAACCCUGUUUUCAUACGUAUAAUUUUUGGCUGAAUUGGGACAAGUUUUGGUAUAAGCCUCUUGCAAAACCGGAGAUUCUCUCAACAAGCCUCGUGGUUCCGAGAGGGAACGUGUCACCUUUGUGUGCGAAACGAUAUACGCUGCCUCCCCCCUGAUUUUAUUUACAGAGGCAACAUAGAACUAUAUGAGUGCCCUGUUAAAUUUUGGAAUUAUUUCGGGUUCAUUUGGCCUUUUUAUACAUUAUUUGAGUUUCUGGACUUUUAAUGUGCAUAAUCUAAAUAUGAAUUGCAUGCACAUGCUCCGGUGCACCAAAGUGGGUUGAAAAAUCACAUGUGUGUCCUUGGUUGAAUUUCUAGGUCCCAUGGAAGAAAUGAGAAUGAAAUUCAAAUAUCUGGGCGUCAUGACUCGGCCGAGAACAUCGAGAAACUUUGAUUUUAAAUUCAUGUAAAUCCAAAACUCGCCUGGAAAUCAUGAAACUUGGCAUGGUGUCAUGUCAUGGCACUAACAUGUUGUGGUAAAAAAUUGGGCCGAUUUGGAAGCCCGUGGUUCUAAGAGGGAACUGCCACCUUUGAGUGUGAAACGAUAUACGCUGCGCCCCCCUUGAGUUUCUUAACAAAGGCAACAUAGAACUACAUUAGUGCCCUAUUAAAUUUUGGAAUUAUUCCGGGUUCGUUUGUCGUUUUUUAUAUAUUAAUUGAGUUUCUGGUCAUUUAAUGUGCAUAAGUCAAAUUUGAACUACAAGCACAUGCUCUCGUGCACCAAAGUUGGUUGAAAAAUCACAUUUGUGUCCUUGGGUGAAUUUCUAGGUCCCAGGCAAGAAAUGAGAAUAAAAUUAAAACAUCUGGGCAUCGUGGCUCGGCCGAGAACAUUGAGAAACUUGGUUUUAAAAUUCUUGUAAAUCCAAAACACGUCUGAAAAUCAUGAAACCUGGCAUGGAUGUCAUGUCAUGGUACUACCAUGUUGUGGUAAAAAAUUGGCCGAAUAGGAACAGAUUUUGGUAUAAGCUUCUUGCAAACCGAAGCUUCUCUCAAGAAGGCACGUGGUUCUGAGAGGGAAGGUGCCACCUUUGAGUGCGAAACGAUAUACGUUGUCCCCCUUGAGUUUAUUUACAAAGGCAACAUAGAACUACAUGAGUGCCCUAUUAAAUUUUGGAAUUAUUCCGGCUUCGUUUGGCCUUAUUUACACAUUAAUUGAGUUUUUGGUCAUUUAAUGUGCAUAAUUCAAAUUUGAACUACAAGCACAUGCUCCCGUGCACCAAAGUUGGUUGAAAAAUCACAUUUGUGUCCUCGGGUGAAUUUCUACUCCCUCCUUCCAUCUAUAUAGGUCCUAAUGCGUUUUUCGAGGCUAACUUUGACCAAACGUUAGAGCAAUAAUAUAUGACAUGCAACUUACACAAAGCAUACCUUCAAAUUUGUAUGUCAAAGGAGCUUCCAAUAAUAUAAUUUUCAUAGUAUACAUCUCAUGUGCUAUUAAUCUUGUCAAUAGUGAAAGGCUGUCUUGAAAAACACAUUAGGCCCUAUAUAGAUGGAAGGAGGGAGUAGGUCCCAUGCAAAAAAUGAGAAUAAAAUUCAAACAUCUGGGCAUCGUGGCUCGGUCGAGAACAUUGAGAAACUUGGUUUUAAAAUCAUGAAACUUGGCAUGGUGUCAUGUCAUUGUAGUACCAUGCCGUGGUAAAAAAAAUUGGCCGAAUAGGAACAAAUUUUGGUAUAAGCUUCUUGCAAAUCGGAGCUUCUCUUAAGAAGGCUCGUGGUUCUGGGAGGGAACGUGUCACCUUUGUGUGCAAAAUUCAAAAUUGAAAUACAAGCACAUGUUCCAGUGCACCAAAGUUGGUUGAAAAAUCACAUGUGUGUCAUCGGGUAAAUUUCUAGGUUCCAUGCAAGAAAUGGGAAUGAAAUUCAAAAUUAUGGGCGUCGUGGCUGGGUUGGAAACAUUGAGAUACUUAGUUUUUUAAUUCCUGUAAAUCCAAAACACGCAUGAAAAUAAUGAAACUUGGCUUGGUGCCAUGACAUGGCACCAACAUGCUGUGGUAAAUUUGCAGUCUGAUUUGCGAAGGCGCACACAUUAACAAUCAACAAAGUCAUUUUGGAACACGUGCUGUCACGUUACAAUCGGAAACACAAGUAUUAUUGAAACAGUGGGCGUUCUACUUACUAGUACCAUUUACGUGCCGCCAUGCGUCCCCAUUUUUUAUUAGCUAGGAGGCGCCGUGCAGGGUAGCUAUUUGAGUACGAGAGGCGUGUGAUCAGACCCCUGCGCAUGCUUAUCGGGAGGAGAGCCCUUUGACCUCCAUCUGCCGUCCACCUCUCUCCCAAGGUCUCCAUUAAUGGUGCCCAAGCCUCUGUUUAAUGGCGUGGCUAUGUCUCACUCGACUGAGAUUUAAGAGAGAAAAAUAAAAUCUAAAAGCACGGAUCUUGAUGUAAGAUCCGACGGACCUAUAUAGCAUCUACUGCGACUUAUAGCAAGACUGAUGAAUAUAUAAGGACGAUUAAUUUUUUAUAUCAAAGAAGGGCUUGCCCCUUCCGAUUUUCAUUACUGAAAACCACCACAAUUCACAAGAAGUUCAGCACAACUCCAGCCUAACACGAAGGACUAAAAGCUACCAGAUUGAAAUCGCAACAUCCCAAGAGGCCAACAAAGGCCAAACAUCCGCGCUAGAACCCAACAUUUCACAACCGAUGACACAAUCCACAUCCUAAACUGAUUAUUACAUCAAAAGAAACCAAGAAUUUGAAGGAAGCCCAGCAGCAACUAGAAGAACAGCAACGCCAGGGUCGCCAUAGCAAGAGUUUUCUUCAUUCCAACCUCGCAACAUUGAUCUUCCACAGAAAGAUAAGGACGAUUAAUUGUCUUACACAAUUAGAAAGAUAAUUAAAAAAGACACAUGCGGCUACGCCCGAAAUACACAAGGGCAAAAGAAGAAGGAAGACAAGGAUCUGGCUCGCUGAUCUCUACUUUCUUGAUGCGUUGCUGCAGGCCGCGGGAACUAGUCUCCACGGCGAGCGGCGAUGAGCUCUUUCGUGUCCUCAAGACGCUGCUUGAGAACAUCCACGGAUUCCUCCACCAGCCUUUGGCGCUCGUUGUGGAGCAUGUCAGUCUCGUCCAUAAGUUUCUUGGCGAUGACGCCGGUCCUCUUCAACAAGGCACUGGUCUCCUCCUGCUGGUCUGCACUUCGGACGAUCUUCUCCCUCAGCAGGUCGCGCUCGGCCCAGAGCCUCUCAUUGCCCUCCCUUAGUUGCCGGAUGACGCCGGUAGCCUGUUCAAACGAGGCUUUCAUGUCGUCCUGCAACCUCGCCCAGCCGGAGAUCUGAUCCAUCUGGUUAUGGACGAUCGCAUGCAUGCGCCUGUAAUAGUCGUCGCCUGCCCGCGAGAAAUUUUUCCAGGCCGCCGCGGCGCGGCGGGACAUCUCUGCUGCAUUCGUGGCACGGCGGGACAUCUCUGCUGCUUCCGCGGCGUGGCCGGACCAGUCUGCUGCAUCGACGGCGCGGCGGGACCUCCGUGCUGCUUCAGCGGCGCGGCGGGACCUCUGUGCUGCUACUUCCACGCGGCAGGACAUGUCGGCUGCUCUCGCAGCAAGGCGGGACAUCUCUCGUGCUUCCGCUUCCAUGCUCACCUCUCCCUGGUGGCAAUCUCUCGACCCAGAACUCACGCUGGCCAUGGCAGACGCAAGGGAAGGAUGCUGAAUGACUUGUUUGUUUUUGUGGAUGUGGAGUUGAGGAGGAAUGUGCAGUCAUCUUGGCAUACUAGUAUUUAUAACCGAGUACUAAUACGCUCCUAAGUGGGAAACCGUUUAGGUUGUGAUCGGUGUGAACAGGUUUGCAAUUCAAUAUAGCGUGGUACUAAUACGCUCCUAAGUGGGAAACUGUUUAGGUUGUGAUCGGUGUGAACAGGUUUGCAAUUCAAUAUAGCGUGGAGUAAUUUGGAAUGUGACGAGACGCAAGCUCAAAAUUUAUUGACGGUUCUAGUUUCGAAGUGCGGCACUAUUCCCGGAUGGAGUACUUCUUUUUCUACUCCCCCCUUUCCGGUUUUAUAGGGCUUAUCUCAAAAUUUUAGUUUUUCCAUUUUAUAAGGCUCAAUUUGGUUGUUCCCCAACACAUGUUCAGAUUCCAAGGUGCAUUAAAUCAUUGCAUGCAAGUAUUAAGAGAAAAUUGACCAAUGCAUGUACUUUAUGCAUGCAUGCAUUGCUAUUAAUGCAUUGAUAAACAUAAUUUUUUGAGAAAAACAAGAGCAUUAAUUAGGUGCUUUUGCAAACUACAAAAAAUAUUCCACCACUCACCAUCUUGGUUGGUGAGAUUUUUGAAUUAAGCCCUAUAAACCGGAAAGGAGGGAGUACUGCUGUGUACGUGCAAUAACUGGCACCGUCGUAUACAUAUCUUACGGUUAAUGGGGCGUUCGACAGGAAUAGCCGCGUGGCGAGCUCUCAUACACGCGUUUAUUUUUCUCGAAAAUGAGGAUGAUGACCCCCGGCCUCUGCAUCUCGGAGUCACACACGCAUCUGUAGCUACGAAUUGUAGUGUUCUCAACCAUCCGAUUGGCUCUAUCAUGGAUGUACCUAUAUACUAAAACAUGUCUAGAUACAUCUAUAUUUUGACAAAUGGAAGUCAUGUAUUGUGGAACGGAGGGAGUGCUUGUCAUCAAAAUGGAUAAAAAGGGACGUAUCUAGAAGUAAAAUACGUCUACAUACAUCUCCUUUUAUCCAUUUUGAUGACAAGUAGUACUUCUUACCCAAAGGAACUUUAUAUCCAACAGACACAAAAUAUCCGUUCGACUGUUGGAGAUUACUGAUCUGAUGUCGAAGUAAUUGCUGCAUCGCCACCAAAACCCACCAUUUCUUAAGCUAAAGUAGACCAAGGUAAUCCCUAUAUUAGCAUAUUACUAAGAUAAACAGAAGGCACUGUAGAAACAUUUAGGACGUGAGCUUGUCAAUCUGAAUGUGGAGGGACACAAGCUUAGCCCCGGCCAGCAACUUGGGCGGAACUGUCAAGAAGGUCAGCUCCUGCACGUCGACGUCGCCGGGAUCCUUGCUGCUUGUCACCUCCAUUUCCACCUUGACGGCGUCGGUCGUGCCUUUGGGCUCCCCCAGCGGGCCGUUCGCCCACAGCUUGGCCACGUAGUGCGGCAGUGGGGACGCCCCCGCUCUGAUGCAGAUGACCGACACGGCGAUAGGCGCGCCGAUGUCGAGCACGCCGCCGACCAAGAAAAACGCGCGGCGGUCCUCCUCCGCGAACAGCAAGAGCCGUGGCUCUGACAGUGGCACUUGCAGCUGGAGCACCUUGCUGUACUGGAUCCUGUGCAUGGGCAUGGGAUGCGUGGUGCUAAUGUGGUGGUAGAGUGCCAGCGGCGGGCCUUCGUAGCCGCAGACGGGCACGAGGCAUUUGCAGGGCGUGAGCGGACACAUGCUCUGGUGAUCGGCGAGCUUGUGGUAAGUGACGUAGAGCCCACAACCUUCGUGCGGGCACUCCACCCUCACCGACGAAAGGACGGAGUCCACCGCCGUGUUCCGCACGUCGAAGCCACCGCCGCGCUCGCACUUCUGGCACUGCCGCUGGUUCCCGGGGCGCUCGACGCGGUAGUCCGCGCAGGCCAGGGGCCCUCCCUUGCACUGCAGAAAUCAAUCGAACAACACAUCAAUCAAGAAACCUGCACCUUGCUCAAUCAGCCGAACGGACGAGGUGUAUUCGAACCUCAUACACUGGAGGCGUCAAGGGCCGGUGGCACAAGGGGUAGUGGAGCACGGUGAGGUCCAUUGAGACCUUAGAGAGCUCCAUCGUCGGGUCCUGUUCAGUCUGCAUGAUCUCUCCCUCCUCGUGCACAACCAUCUCUCGACUUGGGCUGGGGUAUUACAAAGCAUUACCGUCACAUAUUUUAUACUACUUCAAGGUGCAUUAAAUCAACACAUGGAAGUAUGAAAAGGAGAGUCACGGCAUGCAUGCAUGCGUUGUAAUUAAUGCAUCGGUAAACGCAAAUUAUUGAAAUAUAUCGAGUGCAGUGCUUUGAUGUGUCGCGUCAACUCGUACAUCAACGAGAAGUUUGAUUAUCCUCUCCCUCGUGGACUUAACUGCACCUGCCUUUGGCUGUAUGACAGGUUGGCCACACACAUGUCGGGCCCACCUGUCAUACAUGCAAAGGUAGGAGCGUGCCUCCCUCGCCCAUGAGCGUGGUGGCUGGCAAGACUAGGAGAAGCUUUCGCUACACGCUCUCCCUCCCGCAUGCGGUGGACAUGCAACAGUUCAAUCGGUGUCAGAUGGCCAGAAGCGUACUGUAGUACUCCUCCAGUGCAGUAGUACUCCAUCAUUGUUCGACUUCCCGAAGAGGCGAAGAGCCAAGCGCAGCCCGGACGCUCGUGUGGCAGUUUCAUGUGUAGAGUAGUCUAGGAUAGCGUGUACCGUGCCUGUAAGCUCAAAAUCGUUGGGGUCGGCUCCAUGCUAUGUGCCCGUCUCGAAGUUUUUUAAAAGAAAUUAAAAUAGUCUUCUGGCCCUACCUGACACCCUGGUGAUUGUAGUUUGCACGCUCAUCUGGUCAAGACAGGAAUAUAUAUUUUAAUUUGUAUUUUUUUCGAAAAGGGGGGACUCCCCGGCCUCUGCAUCAGAACGAUGCAUACGGCCACAUAUAUUUUAAUUUGUGGUGGGUAAAUGUUAGAGGUUGCAGCAAAUAUAUUGUACACUGCGGGUCUUUCAGCCAAGUUUAGAGGCAAGCAUGUGGGGCCAGUGCUAUGAUGUGUCGCGUCAACUCGUACAACAAGGAGAAGCUUGAUUUUACUACACGCCUUCUCCCUCACCCAUGUGCGCGGUUGCUCGCAAACGAGGACAGGCUUUUGCUUAGUAGUACUUCUACAACAAGCUAUCCGUCCCGCUCGCGGUGGACGGACAUGCAGCAGUGGAUUCAACACUGUAGAAGCAGUAGUGGUAACAUCAUUGUUCGUCUUCUCGAAGAGGAGAAGAGCCAAGCGUAAACCGAAUGUUGCAGUUGCGAACAUUGGAGCACGCAUAUAGCCAGGCUCUUGCAUGAGACAAAAUUGCUAUGUGAGCCCACUAUUGUACUAGUACGUACAACUACUUGCUAGUAUAGCCCUGUAAACCAGAAAGGAGUAUUUGCCCUUCUAGAGAUUUCAACAAGUGACUAGACUACACCGAGACGGAGUACACAUGGAGCAAAAUGAGUGAAUCUGCACCGUAAAUAAAUACGUACUAGUUCUAUCGUUUUCCUCUCCGAGGUGCACAAUAUUGAGUAUACUGACUAGUCUCUUUUUGACACGCAUUUACGUUUUUUUACACAGUACAGACGCAAGCGCUCAUAUACACGCGCAUACACUCACCCCUAUGAACGCACACACGCACGGCACUAUCAUUUUGAAAUUUACGAAGUCACCAUAGGCACCUCGUCGUCGACGGGUCCAUUGGUGCUUGAAUGCCAAGGAGGGAGAGGGUAGCGGUUCCCGAGACGUUGAACGGUCAAUGAUGCAUCCUCAAUUACAUGCAGAGGGAAUUAAUUGGAGAAGCAGAAUAGAGCCAGCACGAUGUGAAUGCAACACAGUUUGGACUCUCAUAUAAUAAAGGCGCCCCACCACUCCAAUCCAUCUACUCCCAAGUCUCUGCUCAACAUUGCUCACUCCAAUCCAAGACCAAGUGACCAGAAGCCACAAGCACCUAUGGAGGCGAUGGACGCGAGCGGCAGUCGGCUGUGCCAAAUCAUCCAAGGCGCCGGCCUAUGGCCCCGCACCGCGCAGCAUUUCUAGACGGUGCUGGUGACCGCAGGCAUCGUAGCCCUCGCCGACGCCGGCUUCGCCUCUCGCAUGGACGACAUGAUGGUCAACUCCAUCCGCAAGUUCACCACCGUCAAGAAGCGCGCGGACGACCUUGCCGUACUGCUCCAGCCCACGCGCCCAGGCUCCUCAUUGCCUGCCACCCUCAUCGGCCUCCAUGGUGAUGAACUCUUUCAAGCCCUGGUGGCCAUGCAGGUGCCGGAGGUCGCGACGAAGAAUGUGCACCUCGAGGCCGCGCUCGCCGCGCAACGCCUCGCCAUGCAAGAAACCAUCGACCUGCACAUCCACGUCUACGAGGAAAUCUUCUACAUAGGCCACUACAAGGCAAGCGAGGACAGAAAGACGUUGGCCUUCUUCCAGCGGAUGGAAUCUUUGGAUGCCAUUGUUCAGAAGCACGUCGACCUGGCCACGAAAGCCGCUGCUACUUAGGCGCCAUUCGGUGGGCCGGCGCCCUGAGUCGAGGAGGUGGACGUCGUCGAUGGAUGCAUCUCUUCUUGCCUCCUAUAACCAGCAAUGUAUCGCCUCGUGGCCUUAAUGUUUUAUUAGUAUAGUACUCCCUCCGUUCCCAAAUAUAAGUCUUUCUAAAGAUUCCAGCAAGUGACUACUACAUACGGAGCAAAAUGAGUGAAUCUACACUCUAAACUAUGUCUACAUACAUCUGUAUGCUGUAUUCCAUUUGAAAUAGUAUCUAAAAGGCUUAUAUUUAUGAACGGAGGGAGUAUAUGGCAUUUUUAUUCCAGUCGUAACAUUUUCACUGUGAGGUGGGGCCGCAGUUGAGCAAACCCACCCUGCCCACCGGGCGUCGGCCGAGUUUAGAAUCAGAAGAGAGAAACGAGGGAGGAGAGCUAGCUGUAGCACGGACGCUGUUGUCAGAUGGGACUCGUGUUUAUAGAAUAGGAGUACUGAGCACUCGUGCCUCUUUUUUUUUGAGGGAAAAAUUAGUCGUAUGUCUAGUACCACUAGUUGGGUGCGUGCGACCUAUAGCUAUCAUCACUUUAGGUCUCCUUUUCGAACCGCGGCUACGCUUCACAGUACAUAUUAUUUCACGCAUUUAUCCUCCUAUAUGUACUCCUAGGCUAUUUCCACGUGCUCCCAUUCGCCGACAUGUGGGACAUAGAGCAUCUGGGUCGUAGUGCAUGCACGACUCGGAGCAUAUGCCGGGGUACUUUACAUUUCAGACCUCACGAAUUACAUGCAAACCCCCCACAGAAGAAUAAAUAAAUGAAUGAAUUACUACAUGAAACCGGAUUUUUUUCGUGGAAACCGGAGCACGUUCAUUAAAUUUUGGACAUAACACGUUUAUAAAAAAUGACCGGACCGAAACCAGUCUAAGGGCCUCUUUGAUUUUUCCCGCAAAAAAAAGGGCCUCUUUGAUUCGCAGGAUACUGAAAACACAGGAAUGGGGAAAGUAUGAUGGCGAUGAACCGAGACGAGGAGAACUCUAACUCAGUUAGAGGUUAGAGUUAGAUUCUAACCCUGAACUAACUCUAAACCAAAGAGGUGUAUGGAUGGCAGGGUUAGAUUGACAAUAAAUGCUCUAUCUCAAUCAUUUGACUACUUUGGACCCUAUUUCCUGCCGGAUUUGGAGGGUGCUUGGAUACGUUUUAGUUCCAUGACUAAAAGUAGUGGGACUAAAACUUGCUAGCCUCACCCAUGCUUGGAUCCAAAUACUAAAGAGACUAAAAUCAAGUUAAUGAGCAUUUAUUAUCCUCCAAACCCUCCAAUCCAGAACUCGCCUGUGUUAAAGGAGAGGAGUUAAAUGAGGAGAGAGAGGACUAAUCCACAUUUUAGUAGGGGUACCCCUGACUAAUUUUUUUAGUCUCAAGACUAGUUUUAGCCCCUCUUUAGUCAGGGGUGCUUGGAACAUUAGCCUCUUAAAGAGACUAUUUUUAGUCAGACUAAAAUAAGUCCCUUGGAUCCAAGCACCCUCUUGGUGUGGCCGGCUCUUCUGUGGCCUCCUCCCGCUCACAAUUGACAUAAACGAACCAUCUAUACAAAUCAAGCAUGCAAAACAUGAUAAUUUUUACUUUGUCCAUACAAAUGAGAUAUCCCACUUAAACAUACAAGUCGUCAAUCAAGCUUCACAAAAUAAAAAAACACUUCAUGAAACAAAGAAUGAGCUAACUCAUCACGGAAGUCAUUCACGAUAGGGAGGGAGCCCGGAGCCCCUCACGCACCGAGGGAGGAGCUCGCCAUCGUCGCUCUGGAGGAAGGCUCUGUAGAGCCCAAGCCCCGAGAACCCCUCCGACGACGGCCCUUGUGAGUUGAGGUCGACACCGGCAUGGGUAGCAGGGCCGCUUGCCGCCGACUGGGAACUUAAUCUUUGGGCCUCUAGAAAUAAUGCAAGCCUGUAACUAAAAUACCUAGAAAGGUGAACUGAAUCUUUGGGCCUCUAGAAAUAAUGCAAGCCUGAAACUGAAAUACCUAGAAAGGUGAACUGAAUCUUUGGGCCUCUAGAAAUAAUGCAAGCCUGAAAGUGAAAUACCUAGAAAGGUGAACUGAAUCUUUGGGCCUCUAGAAAUAAUGCAAGCCUGAAACUGAAAUACCUAGAAAGGUGAACUAAAUCUUUGGGCCUCUAGAAAUAAUGCAAGCCUGAAAUUGAAAUACCUAGAAAGGUGAACUGAAUCUUUGGGCCUCUAGAAAUAAUGCAAGCCUGAAAUUGAAAUACCUAGAAAGGUGACCUGAAUCUUUGGGCCUCUAGAAAGAUUUAUUACCUCCUCAAGCAGCAUCAAACAAUUCCAUGCAUGCACCACAAAUCUAUACCAAGUUUGAUCAGGAUCUACUUUUCCAAAUCAGAAUUAGCGCUAGAGCAAGCAAGAUCAAUGAUAUGGCCGUGAGACAGAGAAGGAACGAACAAACUCACCCCUCUCGCGACCUCCCUGGUAGAUGCGCCGCCGCCACACGACAGCGGGAGAAAAACGACUGGUGAAGGGGGAGCGGGGCGACCUUCGAAGGCCGGAGGGAGAGGGCGGCCGGAGUAGGGCGGCGGAGGCCGGAAGGAGAGGGCGGCCGGAGGAGAGAGAGGGCGAGCGUGUAGGGGAUCGUUGCAGAAAUUAAAAAAUUUCUACGCAUCACCAAGAACAAUAUAUGGAGUCUUCUAGCAAUGAGAGGGAAAAGAGUGCAUCUACAUACCCUUGUAGAUCGCGAGCGGAAGCGUUCAAGUGAACGGGGUUGAUGGAGUCGUACUCGUCGUGAUCCAAAUCACCGAUGACCGAGCGCCGAAUGGACGGCACCUCCGCGUUCAACACAUGUACAGUUGGGGAAGACUUCUCCUCCUUCCUGAUCCAGCAAGGGGAAAGGAGAGGUUGAUGGAGAUCCAGCAGUACGACGGCGUGGUGGUGGAAGCAGCGGGGAUCUCGGCAGGGCUUCGCCAAGCUCAGCGAGAGGGAGAGGUGUCACGGGAGGGAGAGGGAGGCGCCAGAGGCUUGGGUGCGGCUGCCCUCCCUCCCCCCUCUUUAUAUAGGGGUCUAGGUGGGGGGCGCCGUCCCCCAGAGAUCCCAUCUCAAGGGGGGGGGGGCGGCGGCCAAGGGGGGGGGGACUUGCCCCCCAAGUCAAGUGGGGCGCCCCCACCCCUAGGGUUUGCAACCCUAGGCAAAGGGGAGGCCCAAGGGGGGCGCACCAGCCCACCAGGGGCUGGUUCCCUUCCCCACUUCAGCCCAUGGGGCCCUCCGGGAUAGGUGGCCCCACCCGAUGGACCCCCGGGACCCUUCCGGUGGUCCCGGUACAAUACCGGUGACCCCCGAAACUUUCCCGGUGGCCGAAACUGGACUUCCUAUAUAUAAUUCUUCACCUCCGGACCAUUACGGAACUCCUCGUGACGUCCGGGAUCUCAUCCGGGACUCCGAAAAACUUUCGGGUUACCGCAUAAUUGUAUCUCUACAACCCUAGCGUCACCGAACCUUAAGUGUGUAGACCCUACGGGUUCGGGAGACAUGCAGACAUGACCGAGACGACUCUCCGGUCAAUAACCAACAACGGGAUCUGGAUACCCAUGUUGGCUCCCACAUGUUCCACGAUGAUCUCAUCGGAUGAACCAUGAUGUCGAGGAUUCAAUCAAUCAAGUAUACAAUUCCCUUUCUCAAUCGGUACGUUACUUGCCCGAGAUUCGAUCGUCGGUAUCCCAAUACCUUGUUCAACAUCGUUACCGGCAAGUCACUUUACUCGUACCGUAAUGCAUGAUCCCGUGACCAAACACUUGGUCACAUUGAGCUCAUUAUGAUGAUGCAUUACCGAGCGGGCCCAGAGAUACCUCUCCGUCAUACGGAGUGACAAAUCCCAGUCUCGAUUCGUGCCAACCCAACAGACACUUUCGGAGAUACCCGUAGUGCACCUUUAUAGCCACCCAGUUACGUUGUGACGUUUGGCACACCCAAAGCACUCCUAUGGUAUCCGGGAGUUGCACAAUCUUAUGGUCUAAGGAAAUGAUACUUGACAUUUGGAAAAGCUCUAGCAAACGAACUACACGAUCUUGUGCUAUGCUUAGGAUUGGGUCUUGUCCAUCACAUCAUUCUCCUAAUGAUGUGAUCCCGUUAUCAAUGACAUCCAAUGUCCAUAGUCAGGAAACCAUGACUAUCUGUUGAUCAACGAGCUAGUCAACUAGAGGCUCACUAGGGACAUGUUGUGGUCUAUGUAUUCACACAUGUAUUACGAUUUCCGGAUAACACAAUUAUAGCAUGAACAAUAGACAAUUAUCAUGAACAAUGAAAUAUAAUAAUAACCAUUUUAUUAUUGCCUCUAGGGCAUAUUUCCAACAGUCUCCCACUUGCACUAGAGUCAAUAAUCUAGUUACAUUGUGAUGAAUCGAACACCCAUAGAGUUCUGGUGUUGAUCAUGUUUUGCUCUAGGGAGAGGUUUAGUCAACGGAUCUGCUACAUUCAGGCCCGUAUGUACUUUACAAAUAUCUAUGUCUCCAUUUUGAACACUUUCACGAAUGGAGUUGAAGCAACGCUUGAUAUGCCUGGUCUUCCUGUGAAACCUGGGCUCCUUGGCAAGGGCAAUAGCUCUAGUGUUGUCACAGAAGAGAGUCAUCGGGCCCGACGCAUUGGGAAUAACUCCUAGGUCGGUAAUGAACUCCUUCACCCAGAUUGCUCCUUGUGCUGCCUCUGAGGCCGCCAUGUAUUCCGUUUCACAUGUAGAUCCCGCCACAACGCUUUGCUUGCAACUGCACCAGCUUACUGCCCCACCAUUCAAAAUAUACACGUAUCCGGUUCGUGACUUAGAGUCAUCCAGAUCUGUGUCGAAGCUAGCAUCGACGUAACCCUUUACGACGAGCUCUUCGUCACCUCCAUAAACGAGAAACAUAUCCUUAGUCCUCUUCAGGUACUUCAGGAUAUUCUUGACCGCUGUCCAGUGUUCCAUGCCGGGAUUACUUUGGUACCUUCCUACCAAACUUAUGGCAAGGUUUACAUCAGGUCUGGUACACAGCAUGGCAUACAUAAUAGACCCUAUGGCCGAGGCAUAGGGGACGACACUCAUCUUUUCUCUAUCUUCUGCCGUGGUCGAGCAUUGAGACGUGCUCAAUUGCACACCUUGCAAUACAGGCAAGAACCCCUUCUUGGACUGAUCCAUAUUGAACUUCUUCAAUAUCUUGUCAAGGUACGUACUUUGUUGAAGACCAAUGAGGCGUCUUGAUCUAUCUCUAUAGAUCUUGAUGCCUAAUAUAUAAGCAGCUUCUCCAAGGUCCUUCAUUGAAAAACACUUGUUCAAGUAGGCCUUUAUGCUUCCCAAGAAUUCUAUAUCAUUUCCCAUCAACAAUAUGUCAUCCACAUAUAAUAUGAGAAAUGCUACAGAGCUCCCACUCACUUUCUUGUAAACACAGGCUUCUCCAUAAGUCUGUGUAAACCCAAACGCUUUGAUCAUCUCAUCAAAUCGAAUGUUCCAACUCCGAGAUGCUUGCACCAGCCCAUAGAUGGAGCGCUGGAGCUUGCAUACCUUGUUAGCAUUCUUAGGAUCGAGAAAACCUUCCGGCUGCAUCAUAUACAAUUCUUCCUUAAGAAAGCCGUUAAGGAAUGCCGUUUUGACGUCCAUCUGCCAUAUCUCAUAAUCAUAGUAUGCGGCAAUUGCUAACAUGAUUCAGACGGACUUCAGCUUCGCUACGGGUGAGAAAGUCUCAUCGUAGUCAACCCCUUGAACUUGUCGAUAACCCUUAGCGACAAGUCGAGCUUUAUAGAUGGUAACAUUACAAUCCGCGUCCGUCUUCUUCUUAAAGAUCCAUUUGUUUUCUAUCGCUCGCCGAUCAUCGGGCAAGUCUGUCAAAGUCCACACUUUGUUUUCAUACAUGGAUCCUAUCUCGGAUUGCAUGGCUUCAAGCCAUUUGUUGGAAUCUGGGCCCGCCAUUGCUUCUUCAUAGUUCGAAGGUUCACCGUUGUCUAACAACAUGAUUUCCAGGACAGGGUUUCCAUACCACUCUGGUGUGGAACGUGUCCUCGUGGACCUACGAAGUUCAGUAGUAACUUGAUCCGAAGUACCUUGAUCAUCAUCAUUAGCUUCCUCUCUAGUCAGUGCAGGCACCACAGGAACAUCUUCCUGAGCUGCCCUACUUUCCGGUUCAAGAGGUAGUACUUCAUCAAGUUCCACUUUCCUCCCACUUACUUCUUUCGAGAGAAACUCUUUCUCCAGAAAGGACCCGUUCUUGGCAACAAAGAUCUUUCCUUCAGAGCUGAGGUAGAAGGUAUACCCAAUGGUUUCCUUAGGGUAUCCUAUGAAGACGCAUUUUUCCGACUUGGGUUCGAGCUUUUCAGGUUGAAGUUUCUUGACAUAAGCAUCGCAUCCCCAAACUUUUAGAAACGACAGCUUAGGUUUCUUCCCAAACCAUAAUUCAUACGGUGUCGUCUCAACGGAUUUCGACGGAGCCCUAUUUAAAGUGAAUGCGGCAGUCUCUAAUGUAUAGCCCCAAAAUGAGAGCGGUAGAUCGGUAAGAGACAUCAUAGAUCGCACCAUAUCCAAUAGAGUGCGAUUACGACGUUCGGACACACCAUUUCGCUGAGGUGUUCCAGGCGGCGUGAGUUGUGAAACUAUUCCACAUUUCCUUAAGUGUGUGCCAAAUUCGUGACUCAAAUAUCCCCCCCACGAUCUGAUCGUAAGAAUUUUAUUUUCCUGUCACGUUGAUUCUCAACCUCACUCUGAAAUUCCUUGAACUUUUCAAAGGUCUCAGACUUGUGUUUCAUUAGGUAGACAUACCCAUAUCUACCCAAGUCAUCAGUGAGAGUGAGAACAUAACGAUAGCCUCCGCGAGCCUCAACACUCAUUGGACCGCACACAUCAGUAUGUAUGAUUUCUAAUAAGUUGGUUGCUCGCUCCAUUGUUCCGGAGAAAGGAGUCUUGGUCAUUUUGCCCAUGAGGCAUGGUUCGCAUGUGUCAAAUGAUUCAUAAUCGAGAGACUCUAAAAGUCCAUCAACAUGGAGCUUCUUCAUGCGCUUGACACCAAUGUGACCAAGGCGGCAGUGCCACAAGUAUGUGGGACUAUCGUUAUCAACUUUACAUCUUUUGGUAUUCACACUAUGAAUAUGUGUAACAUCACGUUCGAGAUUCAUCAAGAAUAAACCAUUGACCAGCGGGGCAUGACCAUAAAACAUAUCUCUCAUAUAAAUAGAACAACCAUUAUUCUCGGAUUUAAAUGAGUAGCCAUCUCGCAUUAAACAAGAUCCAGAUACAAUGUUCAUGCUCAAAGCUGGCACUAAAUAACAAUUAUUGAGGUUUAAAACUAAUCCCGUAGGUAAAUGUAGAGGUAGCGUGCCGACGGCGAUCACAUCGACCUUGGAACAAUUCCCGACGCGCAUCUUCACCUCGUCCUUUGCCAGUCUCCGUUUAUUCCGCAGCUCCUGCUUUGAGUUACAAAUAUGAGCAACCGCACCGGUAUCAAAUACCCAGGAGCUACUACGAGUGCUGGUAAGGUACACAUCAAUAACAUGUAUAUCACAUAUACCUUUGGUGUUGCCGGCCUUCUUGUCCGCUAAGUACUUGGGGCAGUUCCGCUUCCAGUGACCACUUCCCUUGCAAUAAAAGCACUCAGUCUCAGGCUUGGGUCCAUUCCUUGGCUUCUCCCCGGCAACUGGCUUACCGGGCACGGCAACUCCCUUGCCGUCCUUCUUGAAGUUCUUCUUACCCUUGCCUUUCUUGAACUUAGUGGUUUUAUUCACCAUCAACACUUGAUGUUCCUUUUUGAUCUCCACCUCCGCUGAUUUCAGCAUUGAAUAUACCUCAGGAAUGGUCUUUUCCAUCCCCUGCAUAUUGAAGUUCAUCACAAAGCUCUUGUAGCUCGGUGGAAGCGACUGAAGGAUUCUGUCAAUGACCGCGUCAUCUGGGAGAUUAACUCCCAGCUGAGUCAAGCGGUUGUGCAACCCAAACAUUUUGAGUAUGUGCUCACUGACAUAACUAUUUUCCUCCAUCUUACAAUUGAAGAACUUGUCGGAGACUUCAUAUCUCUCGACCCGGGCAUGAGCUUGGAAAACCAUUUUUAGCUCUUCGAACAUCUCAUAUGCUCCGUGUUGCUCAAAACGCUUUUGGAGCCCCGGUUCUAGGCUGUAAAGCAUGCCGCACUGAACGAGGGAGUAAUCAUCAGCACGCUGCUGGCAAGCGUUCAUAACGUCUUGGUUCUCUGGGAUGGGUGCGUCACCUAGCGGUGCUUCUUGGACAUAAUCUUUCUUGGCAGCUAUGAGGAUGAUCCUCAGGUUCCGGACCCAGUCCGUAUAGUUGCUGCCAUCAUCUUUCAGCUUGGUUUUCUCUAGGAACGCGUUGAAGUUGAGGGCAACGUGGGCCAUUUGAUCUACAAGACAUAUUGUAAAGAUUUUAGACUAAGUUCAUGAUAAUUAAGUUCAUCUAAUCAAAUUAUUCAAUGAACUCCCACUCAGAUAGACAUCCCUCUAGUCAUCUAAGUGAAACAUGAUCCGAGUGAACUAGGCCGUGUCCGAUCAUCACGUGAGACGGACUAGUCAACAUCGGUGAACAUCUUCAUGUUGAUCGUAUCUUCUAUACGACUCAUGCUCGACCUUUCGGUCUUCCGUGUUCCGAGGCCAUGUCUAUACAUGCUAGGCUCGUCGAGUCAACCUAAGUGUAUUGCGUGUGUAAAUCUGGCUUACACCCGUUGUAUUCGAACGUUACAAUCUAUCACACCCGAUCAUCACGUGGUGCUUCGAAACAACGAACCUUCGCAACGGUGCACAGUUAGGGGGAACAUUUUCUUGAAAUUAUUGCGAGGGAUCAUCUUAUUUAAGCUACCGUCGUUCUAAGCAAAUAAGAUGUAAAACAUGAUAAACAUCACAUGCAAUCAAAUAGUGACAUGAUAUGGCCAGUAUCAUAUUGCUCCUUUGAUCUCCAUCUUCGGGGCGCCAUGAUCAUCUUCGUCACCGGCAUGACACCAUGAUCUCCAUCAUCAUGAUCUCUAUCAUCGUGUCUUCAUGAAGUUGUCACGCCAACGAUUACUUCUACUUCUAUGGCUAACGCGCUUAGCAAUAAAGUAAAGUAAUUUACAUGGCGUUAUUCAAUGACACGCAGGUCAUACAAAAAAUAAAGACAACUCCUAUGGCUCCUGCCGGUUGUCAUACUCAUCGACAUGCAAGUCGUGAUUCCUAUUACAAGAACAUGAUCAAUCUCAUACAUCACAUAUAUUUCAUUCAUCACAUCCUUUUGGCCAUAUCAAAUCACAAGGCAUAUGCUGCAAAAACAAGUUAGACGUCCUCUAAUUGUUGUUGCAUGUUUUUACGUGGCUUCUAUAGGUUUCUAGCAAGAACGUUUCUUACCUACGUAAAACCACAACGUGAUAUGCCAACUUCUAUUUACCCUUCAUAAGGACCCUUUUCAUCGAAUUCGAUUCGACUAAAGUGGGAGAGACAGACACCCGCUAGCCACCUUAUGCAACUAGUGCAUGUCAGUCGGUGGAACCUGUCUCACGUAAGCGUACGUGUAAGGUCGGUCCGGGCCGCUUCAUCCCACGAUGCCGCCGAAACAAGAUAAGACUAGUAGUGGCAAGAAAGUUGACAACAUCUACGCCCACAACAAGUUUGUGUUCUACUCGUGCAUAGAAACUACACAUAGACCUAGCUCAUGAUGCCACUGUAGGGGAUCGUUGCAGAAAUUAAAAAUUUUCUACGCAUCACCAAGAACAAUCUAUGGAGUCUUCUAGCAACGAGAGGGAAAAGAGUGCAUCUACAUACCCUUGUAGAUCGCGAGCGGAAGCGUUCAAGUGAACGGGGUUGAUGGAGUCGUACUCGUCGUGAUCCAAAUCACCGAUGACCGAGCGCCGAACGGACGGCACCUCCACGUUCAACACACGUACGGUUGGGGAAGACGUCUCCUCCUUCUUGAUCCAGCAAGGGGAAAGGAGAGGUUGAUGGAGAUCCAACAGCUCGACGGCGUGGUGGUGGAAGCAGCGGGGAUCUCGGCAGGGCUUCGCCAAGCUCAGCGAGAGGGAGAGGUGUCACGGGAGGGAGAGGGAGGCGCCAGAGGCUUGGGUGCGGCUGCCCUGCCUCCCCCCUCUUUAUAUAGGGGUCCAGGGGGUCGCCGGCCCCCAGAGAUCCCAUCUCAAGGGGGGGCGGCGGCCAAGGGGGGGACUUGCCCCCCAAGUCAAGUGGGGCGCGCCCCCACCCCUAGGGUUUCCAACCCUAGGCGCAGGGGAGGCCCAAGGGGGGCGCAGAAGCCCACCAGAGGCUGGUUCCCUUCCCCACUUCAGCCCAUGGGGCCCUCCGGGAUAGGUGGCCCCACCCGGUGGACCCCCGGGACCCUUCCGGUGGUCCUGGUACAAUACCGGUGACCCCCGAAACUUUCCCGGUGGGCGAAACUGGACUUCCUAUAUAUAAUUCUUCACCUCCGGACCAUUUCGGAACUCCUCGUGUCCGGGAUCUCAUCCGGGACUCUGAACAACUUUCGGGUUACCGCAUAGUAGUAUCUCUACAACCCUAGCGUCACCGAACCUUAAGUGUGUAGACCCUACGGGUUCGGGAGACAUGCAGACAUGACCGAGACGACUCUCCGGUCAAUAACCAACAGCGGGAUCUGGAUACCCAUGUUGGCUCCCACAUGUUCCACGAUGAUCUCAUCGGAUGAACCACGAUGUCGAGGAUUCAAUCAAUCCCGUAUACAAUUCCCUUUGUCAAUCGGUACGUUACUUGCCCGAGAUUCGAUCGUCGGUAUCCCAAUACCUUGUUCAACAUCGUUACCGGCAAGUCACUUUACUCGUACCGUAAUGCAUGAUCCCGUGACCAAAUACUUGGUCACAUUGAGCUCAUUAUGAUGAUGCAUUACCGAGUGGGCCCUCUCCAUCGUACGGAGUGACAAAUCCCAGUCUCUAUUCGUGCCAACCCAACAAACACUUUCGGAGAUACCCGUAGUGCACCUUUAUAGCCACCCAGUUACGUUGUGACGUUUGGCACACCCAAAGCACUCCUAUGGUAUCCGGGAGUUGCACAAUCUCAUGGUCUAAGGAAAUGAUACUUGACAUUUGGAAAAGCUCUAGCAAACGAACUACACGAUCUUGUGCUAUGCUUAGGAUUGGGUCUUGUCCAUCACAUCAUUCUCCUAAUGAUGUGAUCCCGUUAUCAAUGACAUCCAAUGUCCAUAGUCAGGAAACCAUGACUAUCCGUUGAUCAACGAGCUAGUCAACUAGAGGCUCACUAGGGACAUGUUGUGGUCUAUGUAUUCACACAUGUAUUACGAUUUCCGGAUAACACAAUUAUAGCAUGAACAAUAGACAAUUAUCAUGAACAAGGAAAUAUAAUAAUAACCAUUUUAAUAUUGCCUCUAGGGCAUAUUUCCAACAGAGCGGCCCUAUGGGGAAUAGAGAGGAGUCGUGCGAGAGGGGGGAGCGAUCUGGUGCGGGCAGGGAAGAUUUUUUAGUUCUCUUUUAGUGGGCCCGAGGAUAACUAACCCAAUUAGAACCUCUCCACCGCGCUAGUUUUUUUAGCUGGGUUAGAGCAAACUAGCUCAAACUAACCCCUCUUGUUUCAUUAAUUUGAGGCUAUUUCAACCCAAACUAGCUCUAACUCAGGGAUUCAAACAAAGAGGAGUGUUACUGUAUAUGCUACAGUGUGGACCGUAGCACAUUGUUUUUUAUGGCCAUAUCACCACAUUGUUUUCUACUGCUGGUUCACAGGGCUACCGUGGUCCGCACUGCUGGUUCACUGGGCUGCCGUGGUUCGCACUCCUCCGACUUGAGUAGUACUCUAGUAUAGUACUAGUAUAUACCGCAUCAUUCUUUGCUCCUUCUUACUACUCCGACAUGUGGGAGAGCCAGCAUCCGGGUCGACGUGUCAUGCACCAGAUUAGAGCGCGGAAUGGAAGGGGGCAUCACCCCGGUCGGAGCGCCAGUAAUUCAUGACUAUAGUGAGUGGUCAUAUCACAAGUCUUUCCAGCAGUAACGCGCCGUUAAAUCGCACAGCCCCACUCGCCCACCCUCCUCGCCUCUCUGUCAAACCGCCUACCCGAAAACUGCCGCGCGUACUGCCCGGGAAAAGCCCCGCCCUCAACUUUUAACUACGCGAAAACAGUUCGAGCUUGUUCGUUCUAUAUAAAUACAGUACUUACUGUAUGUUUAUUCACCCGUGGGGUUGUUCAAUGAAUGGAGGGGCGGGGAGCACAAGUGAACAAUACUGUAGUACUACUACUAGUAAGUAGGAGUCGUACAGUAGUCACCUUAAAUAGAGAGUUUCUUUUCUUUAAUGCCACACACACAAAUUGAAACGCUUGUUGUGGAGAGAAAAAAGAUAACCACUCCACUAUAUAUGGACACAGGGGCCUGAGCGCUUGCUUUACUAGGGUUGCUCUCUUCAUUCUCUCAUCCUCUCCAGAUAUAAACAAGACAGCGGUAGCAACAUUUUCUCUCUGCUCACCGCUGGUCAUAGAUCCGGCCGGAUCCCUUCGGCCGGUGUGUGUAGAGGACUAAAAGGUGCAUCGUUCACGCGGUCAUCGCCGCCGAGGGAGGAAACCCACAGCUGCCGGAGGGGCCCGAUCCUCUGCCCGUGCCGUUCUCUCCGACACAGCGCCGACUCGGGAGGUCCUUCGACCCUUCUUCCUCCCUGCCGUAUUGUCCGCAGAUCCGACCUGCUGCCGCCGACAUCCCGGCGACCCUCAGGUAUAAGUUCUUCGAAAGCGGCCUUGCUCUACUGCCCCAGCUCCCCACGUGUCUGCAUGUGCAUCUUUUUCUACUCCCAUCAGCUCUUCCAAAGCCACCUAAAUUUUUAGUAUUAUUAGAGGUAAAGCUACUUCAUGCAUUCGAAUCUAGGGCUUUGUUCAAACAACGAAGAAAGGGGGGAAAGUUGUAGCAUGAAUCUAGGACUUGAUUCAAAGAGGAAAUAAUAUGGUGAAAGUAGUAGAGACCAGAUACCCAACCGGUCUCUUGGUUGAAAAGGGAAAUAAUGGGAAAACGCAGUACAAACUGGAUAAGGAACAGAUCUAUUAUUGGUUGAAAAAAAGAUAGAAAGUGGCGGCUGGUGGACAAGUCAACAAAGUAUGUCCAGGAUUAGAUUUGCUACCAUCACAUAGUAAAAGGUCUCCAGGAUUAGAUUUGCUGCCCUCACAUAGUAAAAGGUCUCAGGAUUAGAUUUGCUGCCCUCACAUAGUAAAAGGUCUCAGGAUUAGAUUUGCUGCCCUCACAUAGUAAAAGGUCUCGAGGGUUAGAUUUGCUGCCCUCACAUAGUAAAAGGUCUCUAGGAUUAGAUUUGUUGCCCUCACAUAGUAAAAGGUCUCCAGGAUUAGAUUUGCUGCCCUCACAUAGCAUGAACAAACUCGGCAUCACCACUUUAUGCCUCCUUGUAGGUACAUUGUGCUGAUGCGUCCACUGUCGCAUGUCCUUAUACCAACCUUUUGCUGUUGUUAAUGUAAGGGCGCAUGUAAAAUGAAGCGAUCACACUGUUACCUUAGGGUCAUGUCUAACCAGUGUUAUUGUUAAUCUAAUGCCUCCAGUGAUAAGAUGCAAUUAAACUGUGUUACAAACGGCACUCCUGCUGUUUUCCCCAGUAUGAUAAGUAAGUUGCUCCUUUACGCUGCUGAGUGUCCUGGUGUCCCCAUGGUCCCAUGCCCUUAAACCAACUCUUUAGCUGCUGUUGAUUUACUGUGUCUGCUAAACAAGUAAUGCCACCAUUAAAGUAAUCCCAUAUUUGAGGAAUCUCAUUGUUGAUCGUAAUGCUUCUGGUAACAUGAAGCAUUGCUGACGUUUUAAAAUUUCUACUGUCCUUGCGUGAUUGCCAUGAACAUAAUUAAGAUGCUUCUUUUCAUUUUGUAUAUGUUUCAUAUAUUCUAAUUGACCAGCAACUGUUUACUUUCUAUCUUUUUGUGCAGAUAGGGAUAUCCAUUUCACCUUGUUGCUAUUGUGACCUUUUGGUGAACUGCACAAAACACUUUUUUGGAAUGAGUGUCUUGUGCAGUUCAACUAAAAUGUUACAUGGGUAACAUCUCUCAAUUUUGGUGGAACUGCACAAAAUGGUGAUUGGAUUUUCCAAAAUCUCCGUCAAAUUCUGCUGGUAAUCUCGUGCAACAUUUUAUUAGCCUUUGCAAGAUGAGCCGUAGCUGAAUGAUACAAUCUUUGCUUCAUUUCAGGCGAACUGCAGAAAAAGUGGCAUGAAUUGAAUCAUCGAGUGGAGCUGCAGGUUGACUUCCACUAGUGCCACUAUUAUAGUAAUCAUGCUCUUUAUUAUCUGCGCUGUGCAAACAGGAAUACUCAACUACAGAUGUUGUGACGGUCAAGAGCAUUCGCCAAGUUCUUCGAUUGUAUGACAUGGCUAGCCAAGAUGGAUUUAAUCCCGAUAUUCACUUUAUCAAAAGGCUCUAAUGGGUUGGUUCUGAAUCUUGCAAGCUGGGAAUCAGUGAGAUGUGUAGGCAUCUUUGUUGUAAUUAUUAUUUGAAUCUUAUUUGUUGGUUCUGAAUCUUGCAAGCUGGGAAUCAAUGAGAUGUGUAGGCAUCUUUUUUGUACUUAUUAUUUGGAUCUUAUUUGUUGGUUCUGAAUCUUGCAAGCUGGGAAUCAAUGAGAUGUGUAGGCAUCUUUGUUGUACUUAUUAUUUGGAUCUUAUUUGUUGGUUCUGAAUCUUGCAAGCUGGGAAACACGACAUGAUGAUGCAGAGGACAACAACCAUAACAAACAGUUCAAACUUGGUAGUAUUAUCUUUGUGAAAGUGCGACAAAUGUGCUGAUCGUGAGCGUCCUGAGAAUAAUAAUUCUAAUUGUUGUGCAUGUUGAUCCCGUGGCACUGAUAGAACGAGCGAAUGCAUUGCUUGUUUUAAGUAUAAAUUUCUAUUAAAGCUAAUUAAAUUUAAGUAAAGUGACCACUAACUCCUGUUAUUACAGUACCAAUACAGACCCGCUCGUGAACCGACGUGUGGCCGAGGGUGCAUCUUCUGCUGGGCGUGCAGCGGACGAGGGAGGGGUAGUAACUGUUGUCGCCUGUACACACUCAGCUUACUGUUGAAUCCAGUUCCCCAAGAGCUGAAAAACGAACUGCUGCCGCCGCCUACACACUCGUUCACUCGAAGAGACUCCAAUGGCGAUACGAGGGGUGAGCCUGUUGGAUAUGGACUUCAGCAAGGAGUUCCCCUUUGAGUUCGCCGUUCAGUCCUAUGGCUGCACCAAGUUGAAUGUGAUGGACACCAACGAUACGGACUCGGUGAAGCUCUGCCUCGCCUCAGUCCUCUCGCUGCACCAGGUUCUGGAGCAUUUGCCCGUUUCAUGGGCAGCGCCGACUGCACCUUUGCUACGGUGGAGAGAAGGAAGAACGCGACGAUUCGGCCAUCUGGUGCAACAAGCUUGUCGACAUCCAAAAGCAACACAAGAUCAUUAGCAACGGGCAGGAGAAGGACUCCGUGGUUGACCUCGCUGAGACCAUCAUCGACCCCUGAUACGCCAACAUGAAAGAAGACGACUUGAACACGUGGGAGGUACCUCUGAAUCUAGCCUACAUAACCUACGCGGCCAAGGACGCAUACGCAUGCUACGACAUGUACAUGCAGAUCUUGGACAUGAGGGCAUGUCUGCUUCCCGUAACCGACGAGUACACGGACAGCCGCAGCGUCAUGAUCAAGCGUGCCAGGAAGGUCUAGAUGUUGUACUUUAUCUGUUUAUAAGCACCUUUAUCAUCUGAGUGUUUCAUGCAUUAGCCUAUGUGUCGUAAUUAUCUGUUUUGUCCGAAAUAUUUCUUUUAAGAACCCAUUAACCUGAUUGCUUUUUUUAGUGGCUAUUUGCUUAUGUAUGUAAACUAGUUCACUUGUCCGUAAAAAAAACUAGUUCACUCGGAUGCCGUGCUUUGAAUCUCCUUCCUCCCAACACAUUCGCCUCCUCAGGUGGACCCGGCAGGUCUCUGAAUUUUCUCCCACUUUCUUUUUCGAUGUAAACUGAGUUUUCUCCCAGUACUUUCCCGUAGAACCAACUCAACUAUCCCACGUCUAGCCUAAAAAAAAUAAUACCCCACGUACUAUUAACUCAUCAAAUUAAAAUGAUAUUUUAUUUCGUAAGUUGAAAGUUCUUACAAAAUAAUAAUAAUAAUAAUAAUUGUUUAUAUAUAACGUGGCAAGUUAACUCCUAGUGAUUGCGUACAUAAGCUUGCAAAGAUUUUGCUGACGUGCAAUCAUGCGUUUAUGUUUUUAUAACAUUUCUCCGUCUAGCCCAACAUGAUAUUUUCACCCAGCCCAGCAAGUCGGCGGAUUUCGAGAAAAAUGCAAAUGGGAUUUAAACGGGCUGCAUAGAUGCUACAUCAUUGUUUCACCCAGCCCACCAAAUGGACUAAAAAAACAAAUGGACUGGCUGACAUGUGGGCCAGUAUGUCGAAGCCUAAGAAGGCAUUGGAUUUACAUCCAACGGCCGUCAUUCUUCUUCCAUCUCUCGUCUUCUUCCCCCAGCGCUACCGGAACCGCCUGCGCCAGCCUUCGGUGUCCAGCGGCGUUGUUUUGCGCUCCUCAGCGAAACGCUACCCCGCCGACGGCCAGGCCAUCCCUCCACUCCGCACCUCCUGUUAUUCUCUGCCGAGUCUAGCCCACCCCGCACCCGAACCAGUCAAGUUUCCCACUCCUCUCCGUCUGCGACUCCACUGUCGCAUCUUCCCCAUCUCCGGGUUGUUCCAGUCUGGGGCCUCGCCGUCGUCCACCACCUCGGUGCGCUCGGCGCGGCGUGGUCAACAUACGAGAGUCAUCGGAAGAGGACUGUACGUCGAGAGCCUGACGGCUGGGACCCACGAAGUCCAUGGUCGCACACAAGGAAAGUUCCUCCUUAUUACGCAAUGUACGUGCACUGUACGUGGGAAGGGCUUAUGUAUUUCACCUGACAGGUCGGACCCACCAGCUAUAUCUUCGCACGCAAGGAAGUGCCUCCUUAUUACGCACCAAAAAACGAAUACCCCAUGCUAGCUGGGACCCACCAUAGUGGGUGGCUGACUUCUGGCUACUAAGUUGACGAGCACGGAGGGCUUUGUCAACUUAGUCAAUAUGAACGAUUCUAGCUCCAGUGACCGUACGAUGUCCAUCCAACGGCCAUAGUGCUUCUUCAACCUCUGGUCUUCUUGCUCCAGCCGCCCAAAGCAGCGCCGGUCGUGCCGCGUGCUCCUGCCUCUCGUGGCCGGCUGUGAUGCCGCGGAGGCCUCACCGCCCCCUACUACUCCCACCGCUGGCCCAGGGUAUCCCUCUACUCACCCACACCCCCUGUUAUUCUGCGGCGACGACAGCCUCACGCCGGAGCCGAACUAGUGAACCCUCGUACUCCUCUCCCCGUGGGCAUCCACUGCCGCGUCUUCCCCGGCUCCGCAUCGUCCCCUUCCUAGGCCUCGCCGUCGUCCACCGCCUUGGUGCUCUCGGCGCGGCAUGGUCAAUGUGGUCAACGACCGACUUCCAUCAGAAGAGUACUGUACGUGGAGAGGCUGACAGCUGGGUCCACGGCCACAGCCCAGUUUUUUUGUGAUUUGCCAAGUAAGUCGCUUUGUCAGGCCUGUUGGGCUGCAAAUAUUUCAAGACGAGGAGAGCUUCAUUCGGCUGGCCGAGAAAAUGGCCUAUCAGUAAUGAGGAAUGGGCUGUACAUUUUUAAAACACAUCAAACCGGCAAUUAGUUUCACAUAUCUUUUUUUCAUUUCGAGAUUUUAAAUUACAUUAAUUUUUAUGCAUGGAGAAUUUGUUGGAUUUUAUAUUGAUAUACAUUUAUUUUUAAAAUCAGUUUGAAUGUGAGUCGAAAUUUCAGGAUUAAAAACAGUUCGGACCGCACCGAAAUAUGCAAAAUUUCGUAUAAUUUUUUAACCGUGGCCACAAUAUGGGGUGCAAUGCUAACAAAAAGAAUAUGGGCUCAAAAAAAACCUUAAGAAUUAGCAAAUGGGCUGUAAAUUAUUAGAAAUAAUGGCAGAUGGGCUGUAUGCUGUUUUCCACAGAUUUGAGGCUUUCCUAAAAAAAGGUUGAUGCACAAGCUGUGACUGUUGGAUGUCCAUCGAACGACCGUCGUGCUUCUUCAAUCUCUGCUCUUCCUGCUCCAGCCGCUCAAACAAGCGCCGACGGGACUGCCUGCUCCCUCCUCCCCGCGGUUGGCUGUGCUGCCGUGCAGGCCUCACCACCCCACCGUACUCCCAUCGCUGGCCUAGCCAUCCCUCUACUCACCCACACCUGCUGUUAUUCUUCGGCGACGGCAAACGAACCAGUAAACCCUCGUACAGUCGUACUCCCCUCCGCGUGGGAAACAACUGCCGAGUCUUCCCUGCCUCUGUGUCGUUCCCUUCCUAGGCCUCACCGUCGUCCACCGCCCUGGUGCUCUCGGCGCGGCCUGGUCAACGUGGUCAACGACCGACAUGCAUCUGAAGUGGACUGUACAUGGAGAGGCCGACAACUGGGUCCACGGCCGCACGCAAGGAAAUGCCUCCUUAUUACGCGCAAAAUAAUGAUUCCUCCACCUGACAUCAGGGACCCACCGAAAGGGCCUCUGUAUUUCGUGAAAAAACGUUACGGCCGCUGACAGCUCGGACCCACCAGCUAUAUCUUUGCUCGCAAGGAAGUGCCUCCUUAUUACCCACAAAAAAAAGAAUACUCCCCCUGUUAGCUGGGACCCAGAAUAGUGGCAGGCUGACUUGUGGGCCUACUAAGUUGACGGGGACGGAGGGCUUUGUCAACUUAGUCAAUAUGCACGAUUCUAGCUCCAGUGACCGUACGAUGUCCAUCCAACAGCCGUAGUGCUUCUUCAACCUCUAGUCUUCUUGCUCUAGCCGCCCAAACCAGCGCCGGUCGUGCCUCGUGCUCCUACCUCCCGUGGCCGGCUGUGAUGCGGCGGAGGCCUCACCGCCCCCUACUACUCCCACCGCUGGCCAGGCCAUCCCUCUACUCACCCACAGCCCUGUUAUUCUGCGGCGACGGCAGCCUCACACCGCAGCGAACCAGUGAACCCUCGUACUCCUCUACGCGUGGGCAUCCACUGCCACGUCUUCCCCGGCUCUGCGUCGUCCCCUUCCUAGGCCUCGCCGUCGUCCACCGCCCUGGUGCUCUCGGCGCGGCGUGGUCAACGUGGUCAAGGAACGGCUUCCAUCGGACGUGGACUGUACAUGGAGAGGCUGACAGCUGGGUCCACGGCCGCAGCAAGGAAGUGCCUCUUUAUUAUGUGCCAAAUAAUUAUUCCUCAACCUGACAGCUGGGACCCACCGGACGGGUGUAACACCCCGGAUGUAACUUUCCAUAUUUGUAACUCCAACUCUUGCCAUUUUCGGCUAUGUGUUAUGAUAUUCCCUCCGUGGUUGGGUUUUGUCUUUCGUUUUGCAUUUUGUUCUUGUCAUGCAUCUCAUAUCAUGUCAUCAUGUGCAUCUCAUUUGCAUACGUGUUCGUCUCAUGCAUCCGAGCAUUUUCCCCGUUGUCCGUUUUGCAAUCCGACACUCCCACAUGCACCGACGCACCCCUCUUGUCUCUUUUCGUGAGCGGGUGUUAAACGUUCUUGAAUGGACCGAGUCUUGCCAAGUGGCCUUGGUAUACCACCGGUAGACCACCUCUCAAGUUUCGUUCCAUUUGGAGGUCGUUUGAUGCUCCAACGGUUAACCGGGUAACCGUAAAGUCCUUUUGUGUGUUGCAGCAAACCCCCCCUCCAAACAGCCCAAUAACCCAUCUAAGUCCCUUCCAUGCUCUCGGUCGUUCGAUCACGAUCGUGUGGGCGAAAACCGCACUCCAUUUGGAGUCUCCUAGCUCCCUCUACCUAUAUAUAUGUGUGUGCCUCCCCAUUUCAAAUCGCAGAUAAACCCUAGCCCCGCUCCCUCCGCGCGCCGGACACGUCCGGUUCGCGCCGGACAGAAGCCGCCGCCGCCCCGAGCCAACCAGAGGGCGACACGUGGCGCGCCGCCGCUCCCCGCCGCCGCCGGCCCGCGAGCCCGCGGGAGGCCCNNNNNNNNNNNNNNNNNNNNNNNNNNNNNNNNNNNNNNNNNNNNNNNNNNNNNNNNNNNNNNNNNNNNNNNNNNNNNNNNNNNNNNNNNNNNNNNNNNNNNNNNNNNNNNNNNNNNNNNNNNNNNNNNNNNNNNNNNNNNNNNNNNNNNNNNNNNNNNNNNNNNNNNNNNNNNNNNNNNNNNNNNNNNNNNNNNNNNNNNNNNNNNNNNNNNNNNNNNNNNNNNNNNNNNNNNNNNNNNNNNNNNNNNNNNNNNNNNNNNNNNNNNNNNNNNNNNNNNNNNNNNNNNNNNNNNNNNNNNNNNNNNNNNNNNNNNNNNNNNNNNNNNNNNNNNNNNNNNNNNNNNNNNNNNNNNNNNNNNNNNNNNNNNNNNNNNNNNNNNNNNNNNNNNNNNNNNNNNNNNNNNNNNNNNNNNNNNNNNNNNNNNNNNNNNNNNNNNNNNNNNNNNNNNNNNNNNNNNNNNCUCCGGCGAGCCGCCGGCCCUGCCUCGAUUACCGUGCGCCAGAUCCAGAUCAGGACCGAAGGUUGACUUUCCCCCCUCUGAUUUCUGCCAAGUCCCGUAAUCCUCACAAUAUGUUGCCCUGUUCAUCACAUCAUAUCUCCUUGCAUACUGCUCCAUUUUGCGUGCAUGAUAUAUCGAAAUGUUCACCACGAGGUGCUCUUCAUUUUGUUACAUUGUGCCAUGCUCGUUUGAGUUCAUCUUGAUGCCCGAAUCUCUGGUGCAAGAGUGCUAUAUGAUGUUUACUGCUGUUACUUAUCAGAACUUGGUGAUUUGUUAUUUUUGUUGCAAUUGAUGUGUGCAUGUUAUGGGCAUGAGCUCUACAGGUGUUUUGAUAUAUGCCAUGCCAUCUUUACAGAGGUGUAUUCCAUGUAUUUUUUUGAUCUAUGUGGUGACUAGGACAAGCAUGCAAACUAGGCUUCGUGAUGUUUCUGUUUUCAGGGACUUAAGAUUUUGCUCUGUUUUCAGGGACUUGAGAUUUUGCUAAGUCUGUGCCUGCUGUUAUUUUGUUGCCAUGUAUCCAUGUGUCUACAGUGAGAUCCAUGCUUAUUUUGGGUAUGUUCAGUAAGGACGUUUUGUAGAUAUAGUUGAGCUCUAUCCAUACAUGCCUCUGUUUGCAAUUAUGGAGUGCCAUAGCAUGUCUUUAUCUUGCUCUAUUGUUGCUAUAAAAUAUUCCUGGCAGAUUGUUAACAUGAUAUUCAAUUUUGCCAAGGUUGUUGUAGUUGUUUCAUACAUGCUAUGUACUUGCUCUUGCCAUGGAUAACUUCAUAAACAUGCCAUCUUGCUGUAGGUAUGCUUGUUUUGCCAUGCAUUGCUUCGUGAUGAGUGAAUCGAGCUCACAAAGAUGCCUUCAUAAUGCUGUUAAUGCCAUGCUCUAUUUUCUGCGAAGUCUGAAACCUGUUAACGAAACUUGCUAUGUUUACAUGAGUGCCAUCAUAUCUUCUGUUCCUUUUUGACUCAUGGUCAGUAAGGAACUUUUGUUCUAUGCAUUUAGUAGAUUCAUGCCAUGCCUUGUUUUGCUAUGUGAAGUUCCUGCAGCAUAUGUUUUGCUUGCUCUGAACAUUGCUACCUGAUGCUGUUUCAGUCAUGUCCAGUAUUUUCUUCAAGUCUGUGAAGCUGAUAUCUUUUGCAUUUUUGCCAUGCUUGUUUGAACCUGUUAUGUUGUGAUCUAGCCAUAGCUCAGUGUUCAUCUUUUGUCAAGCAUCUCCUGUAGAUUACUUCCAUAUGCUUUGUUGCUAUGUUGGGGUGCUGUAGUAUAGUUACUUUAUGUAUUCUAAGUGCUAUCAGGCUGUUAAUCGCAGAUUCGUGUCAUUCUUAUUUUGCUUGCCAUUUGCAAACCGUGCAUCCGUUUCCGGUGAUCUUUGUAUCGAUUUUGACCGAAAUCAUCUCAUCUUUCCAGUGGCAUACUUGGUUUGCCAAGUUACUGGCUUGUUCAUCCUUUUUCUUCCGGAGCACACAUAUGCAUCGUAUACCACAUCUCGCAUAUCAUGCAUGUUUUGCAUCAUGUUGCUUGUGCAUUUCCCGUGAUUGAUUGUGGUUCCGUUGCUUGUGUUCUUGCUGUGGGUAGAGCCGGGAGACGAGUUCGUGAACGAGGAACCUGUUGAAUACGCUUACGAGGAUCAAGCUUUCGACAACUCUGAGAACCUUGCAGGCAAAAUGACCAUACCCUCGAAAUCACUUCUAUCUUUGCUUUGCUAGUUGUUCGCUCUAUUGCCAUGCUGCGCUACCUACCACUUGCUAUAUCAUGCCUCCCAUAUCGCCAUGUCAAGCCUCUAACCAUCCUUUCCUAGCAAACCGUUGUUUGGCUAAGUUACCGCUUUUGCUCAGCCCUUCUUAUAGCAUUGCUAGUUGCAAGUGAAGUUGAAGUUGGUUCCAUGUUGGAACAUGGAUAUUUUGGAAUAUCACAAUAUCUCUUAUUUAAUUAAUGCAUCUAUAUAUUUGGUAAAGGGUGGAAGGCUCGGCCUUAUGCCUGGUGUUUUUUUCCACUCUUGCCGCCCUAGUUUCCAUCAUACCGGUAUUAUGUUCCUUGAGUUUGCGUUCCUAAAGCGGUUGGGUGAUUUAUGGGACCCCCUUGACAGUUCGCCUUGAAUAAAACUCCUCCAGCAAGGCCCAACCUUGGUUUUACCAUUUGCCACCUAAGCCUUUUUCCCUUGGGUUUUCGCGAGCCCGAGGGUCAUCUUUAUUUAAACCCCCAGACCAGUGCUCCUUCGAGUGCUGGCCCAAACUGGGCGAUGUCCGGCGCCCCCUGGGCAACCAUGGUCUAUGCCAACCCGACGUCUUGCCCAUCCGGUGUGCCCUGAGAACGAGAUAUGUGCAGCUCCUAUCGGGAUUUGUCGGCACAUUCGGGUGGCUUUGCUGGUCUUGUUUUAUCAUUGUCGAAAUGUCUUGUAAACCGGGAUUCCGAGGCUGAUCGGGUCUUCCCGGGAGAAGGUUUGUCCUUCGUUGACCGUGAGAGCUUAUGAUGGGCUAAGUUGGGACACCCCUGCAGGGUAUUAUCUUUCGAAAGCCGUGCCCGCGGUUAUGAGGCAGAUGGGAAUUUGUUAAUGUCCGGUUGUAGAGAACUUGACACUUGACUUAAUUAAAAUACAUCAACUGUGUGUGUAGCCGUGAUGGUCUCUUCUCGGCGGAGUCCGGGAAGUGAACACGGUUUGAGUUAUGCAUGAACGUAAGUAGUUUCCAGGAUCACUUCUUGAUCAUUUCUAGCUUCGCGACUGUUGCGUUGCUUCUCUUAUCGCUCUCAUUUGCGUAUGUUAGCCACCAUAUAUGCUUAGUGCCUGCUGCAGCUCCACCUCAUUACACCAUCCUUUCCUAUAAGCUUAAAUAGUCUUGAUCUCGCGGGUGUGAGAUUGCUGAGUCCUCGUGACUCACAGAUUCUACCAAAACAGUUGCAGGUGCCGACGAUGCCAGUGCAGAUGACGCAACCGAGCUCAAGUGGGAGUUCGAUGAGGAUUGUGGUCGUUACUAUGUUUCGUUUCCUGAUGAUCAGUAGUGGAGCCUAGUUGGGACGAUCGGGGAUCUAGCAUUUGGGGUUAUCUUAUUUUCAUUUGGAUUUGACCGUAGUCGGUCUAUGUGUGGAUUUUGGAUGAUGUAUGAAUUAAUUUAUGUAUUGUGUGAAGUGGCGAUUUUAAGCCAACUCUCGUUAUCCCAUUCUUGUUCAUUUCAUGGGAUUGUGUGAACAUCACCAUUCUUGCGACAAUACCUACAAUGCGGUUAUGCCUCUAAGUCGUGCCUCGACACGUGGGAGAUAUAGCCGCAUCGUGGGCGUUACAAGUUGGUAAUCAGAGCCAUCCCCGACUUAGGAGCCCCCUGCUUGAUUGAAUCGCUGGCGUUGUUGAGUCUAGAAAAAAAAAGUUUUGAGUCUUAGGAUUAUAUAUAUCGGAGAGUAGGAUUCUUUUUACUCCUCAGUCCCUUCGUCGCUCUGGUGAGGCCUCCUGACGUAGAAGUUUUGACUCUUCUCUCCUCAAAUUUCACUAAAAAAAAAUUUUAGGAUCACGCGGGUAUCUUAGAAUCGUUCCGAUGAUUUUGUGAUGAGAACAUUGUUCUUGGUGCCUCCUGACAUUUAGGGGUUGUGGCAGUGUCCCGGGGAGUUGAGCUCCGAGGUGUUGUCGUCACAAUUUUAUCGUUGCACUUCUGGAAUACCUGAGUUUCGCCGACAUCGAAAAUAUCUUUUAUGCAGUUGUUGGUGAGAUCACCUUGACGCCACCCAGUACUGGGGCGGGAGUUCGGGAGUAUUGCCAUAACUCGUAUAAUGGAUGCUUUUCGAAGGUUGAGGUACACGAUUUCUGAAGGUUUCUUGGUUAUGUGUUGACGGAUGGAUACAGCUAGAUCUAGGGAUUGCUAGUUUGGGUGAAAUAUUUUGUGUCCCCUAUAUCCCCAACACCAGAUUGCAUAACCAGAAAGUUUCGGGAGUUUAUAGGUGGGAUUCAAGUAGCUCUUAGCAUUUCUUUCCGCAGAUAUUUGGUUUGUGAUUGGGUAAUCCUUACCACUUAUUUGUUCCAGUCGUACCUUGUUAUUUUAUUCAUCAAUCUCUUAUCAAGUGGCUUCUCACCUUAAUGGAAGUGUGAUGAUUUACUAUGGAAUUCAUUCAUUCAUCCUCGUUCGAAUGUUUAUUGUGAAGACUAUAUGUUGCAAUUUCUAUCCGUUGAUUCAACUUGACUAUUUGUCUAUCAAGAUGCUAACGGAUGUCGCCCUCUUCAGGAUGGCUCCGCCAACGCGUCAGAAUCCGGAAUGCAAUGAGGGGAGUCAGGCGAACCCUCCACCACCACCUCCGCCUCCGGAGGCAUGGCAAGCUAUCAUGGCAACCACCAACGCCAAUGCUCAGAUAAUUUUGCAACUCUUGCAAGAGCGCACCCAAGGUCAAGGCAAUCAAGGAAAUCAAGGCCAAGGCAACAAUCAGCCUCACUUCGCUACCCUCAACCAGUUCCUCGCAAAUCAGCCGAAGUCUUUCAGCUGCUGUGCCGAGGCCACAGACGCCGAUGAUUGGCUCGUGGACAUCAACAAGCAUUUUGAAUGUAGCAAUGUCAGGCCUGAGGACUUUGUCAAGUUCGCUUCUUUUCAACUCAAGGAUCAAGCUACCGAGUGGUAUCAACAAUACAAAGAUUCCAGAGGAGGUCGUGUGAUUACCUGGGAUGAUUUCCGCUGAGACUUCAAAGCCCACCACAUUCCACAAAGUGUUGUUGAGAGUAAGCAUGAGGAGUUCCACAAUCUCAAGCAAGGCAGCAUGUCCGUGUAUCAAUACAAUACUCAGUUUCAGAAACUCGCUCGCUUCGCUAAGCAAGACGUUCCUGAUGAAAAGAGCAUGAUCUAUCAAUUUAGAGGUGGCCUUAGAGAAGAUCUGCAAUUGCCUCUCGUGCUUUUUGAGCCGACCAAGUAUGAUGAUUUCUACAAUAUGGCACUGAAGCAAGAGGCUGCUCAGCUCAAGUGUGAGGCUUCUAAGAAGAGAGUCAGGGACGCAGUUCAGUCUUCUUCUUCCUCACUAGUGGCUGCUAAGCAACAGAAGUUCUGGUUGCCUCCUCCUCCUCCGUUUCGUCAGCCUUUCCAGCAGAAGAGCAAAGGUGGCCAUGGAUCUUCCCACUCAUCCAACCCUGGCUAUCCGAACAAGUCUCAGAAUCAAGCUCCAAAGUCGAAUGCUCCUUAUCAUCGUCCACUCUCAGAGGUGACUUGCAACAAGUGUCAGCAGAAAGGUCACUAUGCUAACAAGUGCUUCAACCAAAGGCGCCUUCCGCCUCCUCCUCUUGUGAGAUCUUCCAGCAAUGCAGUGGUCAAGCAUAAUCCCAAGUCUGCAAAGGUGAACAUGAUGAAUGCAGCUCAAGCGGAGGAAUCUACUAACGUGAUUAUGGGUAAUCUCUCAGUUAAUGAUAUACCUGCAAAAGUUCUUUUUGAUACUGGUGCAUCUAUUUCUUUCAUAUCAAGACCUUUUGCAUCCAUGAACAAUUUGCAUACUGUCGAUCUGUCUAAGCCGAUAGCAGUUUCCUCUCUGGGCUUAUUCAUGAAUACCAAAAUGAUGGCUUCGGAUGUUUCUAUCAAGAUGGGCAACUAUAAAUUUUUAUCUUCUCCAAUGGUUCUUGGUGACUCGGAUAUUGAUCUAAUUCUCGGGAUGGACUGGCUUUCUAAGCACAAGGCUCAACUUGAUUGUGCUGCCAGGGAAAUUCAAUUGACACACUCUUCUGAGGAUGUUAUCAUCUAUGCCGCUCAUGAUGAAACCAUUCGGUUGUUUUCUCUCAAUGAGAAGGGCGAGUUGGAUGCUAUUUCUCAAAUUCCAAUCAUUUGUGAGUACCAAGAUGUCUUUCCAGAAGAGCUUCCGGGUAUGCCUCCUCACUAGCCAGUUGAGUUCGUUAUCGAUCUUGAGCCUGGCACUGAACCCGUUUGCAAGCGUCCUUACAAGCUUGGACCCAAGGAGGUGAAAGAAUUGAAGAAACAGCUCGAUGAAUAGGAGCGUCUGGGUUUGAUCAGACCGAGUUCAUCUCCGUGGGGUUGUGGUGUUCUUUUUGUCCAGAAGAAGGAUGGCACGGACCAACUUUGUGUCGACUACCGUCCAUUGAACAAGAAGACAAUCAAGAACAAGUAUCCACUUCCCAACAUCAAUGAGCUAUUCGAGCAACUUAAAGGUGCUAAAGUAUUCUCCAAGCUUGACCUUCGUAUGGGUUAUCAUCAGAUUCACAUUCGUGAAGAAGAUAUUCCCAAGAUAACAUUCAGAACAAGCUUUGGUUCUUAUGAAUAUACUGUCAUGUCUUUCGGCCUUGUCAAUGCUCCUCCAACAUUCUCUCGGAUGAUGAAUUUCAUCUUCAACCCCUAUACCAAUGAAUUCGUCCUGGUGUAUCUCGAUGAUAUCUUGGUCUUCUCCAAGAAUAAGAAGGAUCAUGCCAAACAUUUGCGAUUGGUGCUCGACAAGCUCAGAGAGUAUCAAUUCUAUGCAAAGUUUUCCAAAUGUGAGUUUUGGCUUGAUGAAGUUCUUUACUUUGGUCAUAUCAUCUCUGCCAAGGGCAUCGCUAUUAAUCCCGAGAAGGUGUCUGCAAUUGUGAAUUGGGAACCACCUCAGAAUGUCAAGCAGCUCCGCAGUUUCCUUGGUCUUGCAAGCUAUUGCCGAAGAUUCGUUGAGAAUUUCUCUAAGAUUUCAAAGCCUCUUUCCGACCUCCUCCAGAAGCAUGUGAAGUAUGUCUGGACUCCUGAGUGUGACGUUGCUUUCAACACUCCCAAAGAGAAACUCGUCACAGCUCCUGACGAAUCCAAGCCAUUCGAAGUUUUCUGUGAUGCUUCUCUUCAAGGUCUCGGUGCUGUGUUAAUGCAAGAGAAGAAAGUUGUGGCCUAUACCUCUCGUCAGUUGAUGCCCAACGAAAAGAACUACCCCACUCACGAUCUUGAGUUGGCGGCAGUUGUCCAUGCAUUAAUCACAUGGAGACAUCUCUUGUUGGGAAGAAAAGUGGACAUAUUCACCGAUCACAAGAGUCUCAAGUACAUCUUCACUCAGCCCAACCUCAACCUCAGGCAAACUCGAUGGGUCGAAAUGAUUCAAGAGUACAAUCCGAGUAUUGAAUAUACUCCAGGCAAGGCCAAUUUCAUUGCAGAUGCUUUGAGCAGGAAGGCUUAUUGCAACAGCUUAAUUCUCAAGCCAUUUCAACCGGAUCUUUGUGAAGCUUUCCGCAAACUAAAUAUCCAAGUUGUUCCUCAAGGCUUUCUUGCCAACCUCAUAGUCUCUCCUACUUUGGAAGAUCAAAUUCGUGAGGCACAACUUCUUGAUGCCAUGGUGAAGAAGGUGAAAUGUGGUAUCGACUAGGGUCUAUCCAAAUACAAGUGCUAUCACAUUGAUGACAGAGACACUUUAUUCUUUGAGGACCGAAUUGUGGUUCCUAAAGGUGAUCUAAGGAAAGUCAUUAUGAACGAGGCACACAAUUCUCUUCUUUCCAUUCAUCCUAGAAGUACGAAGAUGUACCAUGACCUCAAGCAGUCGUAUUGGUGGACUCGAAUGAAGCGAGAAAUCGCUCAAUUUGUGAAUGAAUGUGAUGUCUGUCGAAGGGUGAAAGCAGAACACCAACGACCAGCUGGUCUCCUCCAACCUCUUGCUAUCCCAGAAUGGAAGUUUGAUCAUAUCGAAAUGGACUUCGUGACUGGAUUUCCAAAGUCCAAGCGUGGAAAUGAUGCUAUCUUCAUUGUCAUCGACAAGCUUACUAAAGUGGCCCAUUUCCUUCCAAUCAAAGAAUCUAUCACAGUAGCUCAGUUGGCAGAGCUAUACACCUCCAGGAUUGUCUCCUUGCACGGCAUUCCACAAUUGAUUUCUUCAGAUCGUGGAAGCAUCUUCACUUCUAAGUUCUGGGACUCCUUCCAGAAGGCCAUGGGCACCAACAUUCGCUUCAGCACAACUUUCCAUCCUCAAACUAGUGGCCAAGUCAAGCGAGUCAAUCAAAUCCUUGAAGAUAUGCUCAGGGCUUGUGUCAUUUCCUUUGGCAUGAAGUCGGAAGAUUGUCUUCUAUAUGCCGAAUUCUCCUACAACAACAGCUUCCAAGCGAGUUCGGGCUAGGCCCCAUUCGAGAUUAUCUAUGGCAGAAAGUGACGUACUCCUCUCAAUUGGUCAGAGACUGGUGAACGCCAACUUCUUGGCAAUGACUUAAUCACAGAGGCUGAAGAAACGUGUAAAGUCAUCCGUGAAAAUCUCAAAGCCGCGCAAUCGCGCCAGAAGAGUUACUAUGAUAGCAAGCACCGUGACUUGGCUUUCGAGAUCGGAGACCAUAUCUACCUCCGCGUCUCUCCAAUGAAAGGCACUCGUCGCUUCGGUAUCAAAGGGAAGCUUGCCCCUAGAUACGUGGGUCCUUUCAAGAUCAUUGGCAAAAGAGGCGACCUCGCCUAUCAACUUGAGCUUCCCUCCAACUUCGCGAACCUGCACGAUGUGUUCCACGUGUCACGGCUUCGCAAGUGCUUCAAGACUCCUGAGCGCACCAUCAACUUCGAAGAUAUUGAUCUCCAAGAAGAUUUGUCUUAUCAUGAGCACCCCGUUGCUAUUCUUGAAGAAACUGAGCGCAAGACUCGCAACAAGUCAAUCAAAUUCCUGAAACUGAAGUGGUCGCACCAUUCCGACCGAGAAGCCACCUGGGAACACGAGGACCACCUCCGUUCCGAAUACCCGGAGUUCUUUCAGUCCUAGAUCUCGGGACGAAAUCCUCUCGUAGUGGUGGAGUGUUGUAACACCCCGGAUGUAACUUUCCAUAUUUGUAACUCCAACUCUUGCCAUUUUCGGCUAUGUGUUAUGAUAUUCCCUCCGUGAUUGGGUUUUGUCUUCCGUUUUGCAUUUUGUUCAUGGCAUGCAUCUCAUAUCAUGUCAUCAUGUGCAUCUCAUUUGCAUACGUGUUCGUCUCAUGUAUCCGAGCAUUUUCCCUGUUGUCCGUUUUGCAAUCCGACACUCCCACAUGCACCGGCGCACCCCUCCUGUCUCUUUUCGUGAGCGGGUGUAAAACAUUCUCGGAAUGGACCCAUUCUAGACAAGGGGCCUUGGUAUACCACCGGUAGACCACCUGUCAAGUUUCGUUCCAUUUGGAGGUCGUUUGAUGCUCCAACGGUUAACCGGGUAACCGCAAAGUCCUUUUGUGUGUUGCAGCAAAACCCCCCCUCCAAACAGCCCAAUAACCCAUCUAAGUCCCUUCCAUGCUCUCGGUCGUUUGAUCACGAUCGUGUGGGCGAAAACCGCACUCCAUUUGGAGUCUCCUAGCUCCCUCUACCUAUAUAUAUGUGUGCCUCCCCAUUCCAAAUCGCAGAUAAACCCAAGCCCCGCUCCCUCCGCGCGCCGGACAGAAGCCGCCGCCGCCCCAAGCCAACCAGAGGGCGACACGUGGCACGCCGCCGCUCCCCGCCGCCGCCGGCCCGCGNNNNNNNNNNNNNNNNNNNNNNNNNNNNNNNNNNNNNNNNNNNNNNNNNNNNNNNNNNNNNNNNNNNNNNNNNNNNNNNNNNNNNNNNNNNNNNNNNNNNNNNNNNNNNNNNNNNNNNNNNNNNNNNNNNNNNNNNNNNNNNNNNNNNNNNNNNNNNNNNNNNNNNNNNNNNNNNNNNNNNNNNNNNNNNNNNNNNNNNNNNNNNNNNNNNNNNNNNNNNNNNNNNNNNNNNNNNNNNNNNNNNNNNNNNNNNNNNNNNNNNNNNNNNNNNNNNNNNNNNNNNNNNNNNNNNNNNNNNNNNNNNNNNNNNNNNNNNNNNNNNNNNNNNNNNNNNNNNNNNNNNNNNNNNNNNNNNNNNNNNNNNNNNNNNNNNNNNNNNNNNNNNNNNNNNNNNNNNNNNNNNNNNNNNNNNNNNNNNNNNNNNNNNNNNNNNNNNNNNNNNNNNNNNNNNNNGCCGGCGCCUCCCCCCUCCUCCGGCCGCCGCGCCGCCCGAUCUCCGGCGAGCCACCGGCCCUGCCUUGAUUACCGUGCGCCAGAUCCAGAUCGGGACCGAAGGUUGACUUUCCCCCCUCUGACUUCUGCCAAGUCCCGUAAUCCUCACAAUAUGUUGCCCUGUUCAUCACAUCAUAUCUCCUUGCAUACUGCUCCGUUUUGCGUGCAUGAUAUCUCGAAAUGUUCACCACGAGGUGCUCUUCAUUUUGUUACAUUGUGCCAUGCUCGUUUGAGUUCAUCUUGAUGCCCGAAUCUCUGGUGCAAGAGUGCUAUAUGAUGUUUACUGCUGUUACUUAUCAGAACUUGGUGAUUUGUUAUUUUUGUUGCAAUUGAUGUGUGCAUGUUAUGGGCAUGAGCUCUACAGGUGUUUUGAUAUAUGCCAUGCCAUCUUUACAGAGGUGUAUUCCAUGUAUUUUUGUGAUCUAUGUGGUGACUAGGACAAGCAUGCAAACUAGGCUUCGUGAUGUUUCUGUUUUCAGGGACUUAAGAUUUUGCUCUGUUUUCAGGAUUUUGCUCUGUUUUCAGGGACUUAAGAUUUUGCUAAGUCUGCGACUGCUGUUAUUUUGUUGCCAUGUAUCCAUGUGUCUACAGUGAGAUCCAUGCUUAUUUUGGGUAUGUUCAGUAAGGACGUUUUGUAGAUAUAGUUGAGCUCUAUUCAUACAUGCCUCUGUUUGCAAUUAUGGAGUGCCAUAGCAUGUCUUUAUCUUGCUCUAUUUUUGCUAUAAAAUAUUCCUGGCAGAUUGUUAACAUGAUAUUCAAUUUUGCCAAGGUUGUUGUAGUUGUUUCAUACAUGCUAUGUACUUGCUCUUGCCAUGGAUAACUUCAUAAACAUGCCAUCUUGCUGUAGGUAUGCUUGUUUUGCCAUGCAUCGCUUCGUGAUGAGUGAAUCGAGCUCACAAAGAUGCCUUCAUAAUGCUGUUAAUGCCAUGCUCUAUUUUCUGCAAAGUCUGGAACCUGUUAACGAAACUUGCUAUGUUUACAUGAGUGCUAUCAUAUCUUCUGUUCCUUUUUGACUCAUGGUCAGUAAGGGACUUUUGUUCUAUGCAUUUAGUAGAUUCAUGCCAUGCCUUGUUUUGCUAUGUGAAGUUCCUGCAGCAUAUGUUUUGCUUGCUCUGAACAUUGCUACCUGAUGCUGUUUCAGUCAUGUCCAGUAUUUUCUUCAAGUCUGUGAAGCUGAUAUCUUUUGCAUUUUUGCCAUGCUUGUUUAAACCUGUUAUGUUGUGAUCUAGCCGUAGCUCAGUGUUCAUCUUUUGUCAAGCAUCUCCUGUAGAUUACUGCCAUAUGCUUUGUUGCUAUGUUGGGGUGCUGUAGUAUAGUUACUUUAUGUAUUCUAAGUGCUAUCAGGCUGUUAAUCGCAGAUUCGUGUCAUUCUUGUUUUGCUUGCCAUUUGCAAACCGUGCAUCCGUUCCGGUGAUCUUUAUAUCGAUUUUGACCGAAAUCAUCUCAUCUUUCCAGUGGCAUACUUGGUUUGCCAAGUUACUGGCUUGUUCAUCCUUUUUCUUCCGGAGCACACAUAUGCAUCGCAUACCACAUCUCGCAUAUCAUGCAUGUUUUGCAUCAUGUUGCUUGUGCAUUUCCCGUGAUUGAUUGUGGUUCCGUUGCUUGUGUUCUUGCUGUGGGUAGAGCCGGGAGACGAGUUCGUGAACGAGGAACCUGUUGAGGACGCUUACGAGGAUCAAGCUUUCGACAACUCUGAGAACCUUGCAGGCAAGAUGACCAUACCCUCGAAAUCACUUCUAUCUUUGCUUUGCUAGUUGUUCGCUCUAUUGCCAUGUUGCGCUACCUACCACUUGCUAUAUCAUGCCUCCCAUAUCGCCAUGUCAAGACUCUAACCAAUCUUUCCUAGCAACCGUUGUUUGGCUAAGUUACCGCUUUUGCUCAGCCCUUCUUAUAACAUUGCUAGUUGCAGGUGAAGUUGAAGUUGGUUCCAUGUUGGAACAUGGAUAUUUUGAAAUAUCACAAUAUCUCUUAUUUAAUUAAUGCAUCUAUAUAUUUGGUAAAGGGUGGAAGGCUCGACCUUAUGUCUGGUGUUUUGUUCCACUCUUGCCGCCCUAGUUUCCGUCAUACCGGUAUUAUGUUCCUUGAGUUUGCGUUCCUAACGCGGUUGGGUGAUUUAUGGGACCCCCUUGACAGUUCGCCUUGAAUAAAACUCCUCCAGCAAGGCCCAACCUUGGUGUCGGGGAUAUACCCCGCAGUAUGACCCGGCCGGACUUGGCGCUUCACCGUGACCCGCCGGAGGACUGGCGACUCACGGGUCUGGCGGCUCACUGUCAGACGACUCACGAGCCUGAUGACUCACGGAGGACCCCGACGGCGGGUCGGAUAGAAGACUAGGCCCAAGGCCCAGAAGGCCGGCUCAUGUUAUGGUGGGCCGGCUUAAAAGGAAAGGGAUGACGAAUAUUUCCUUUACGCGGAAGCAUGACCCGGACUUGUAUUCAUCUUGUAAGAAAAGAUAGACUAGCCCUAGUCCUACUAGGACUCCAUAUGUAACCCGCCCCUCCAACUUAUAUAAGGAGGGGCAGGGCUCCCCAAAGAGGGACGAGCAAGAAACAAUCUCUAGGGCUAGACACAACUAGAGGAGAUCCGGUUUAUGGCGACUCCUUCGUGAUGAUAAUGAGAUCUAGCCUCAAACAGCAUGUAGGGUUGUUACCGGAUGAUGUUUCCCGGGGCCCGAAGCUGUCUAAACCCUUGUCUUGUGUUGCGUCUCUCGAUUCCGCUCAACCCCUCUCAAGCUAUCACAUAGAUGCGUUGGCCUCACGACUAAGUCCUUACACCUAGGACAUCUGACGUGUUAAUUCCACGACAGUUGGCGCCCACCGUGGGGCUCGCGCACCGUUAUGUUGAGUUCUUGGAGGGAUUUUUCUAGGGUUCGAGAAGCUUGCAAUCAUCAGGAUGAUGAAGAACCAGCAUUGAAAGCUCCACAUCAUGCAACAGAUGUUAUGUGUUUGCUGUAAAAAUUUCACCUUCAAACGAGCCAUCGAAACAAAGUUUAGAAAGAUCAAGUUGAGGAGAAGGGUCCAUCGUUUGAGCCUCCAGACGCGACGCGUCGAAACCAACGGGAGAUAGAUUUCGGAUUAAACGCCGAGUCCUGGAAGCUGUCAAAUCCAAGGUUCCAUCGAGACCGGCAAAAAGAAAUUCUGCUGCCUGAUCCGCCGAGUUCCACAAGUUCCUGCUGCCGGGUUGCAGAUCAAGUAUUAUGUCAAAAGCUACUACCGAGUCAACAACCAUCAGGACGAGCACGGGGGAAUCGAAUCGGACUCUGCGGCCUCAUCGCUUCCGCCUCCGCCGCUAGGCUCCACCCAUGCCGGUGCGCUUCCGCCGGCCGUCGUACCUCGCCGAGCUGCCUCUGAGCUGCUGCGCCCGAGCAGAGAAGCAUCACCUCAAACCACCUCCACUGCCUUCGCCGCUGCGGCCGUGAGCCGCUCUCGCUUAGUCGCUGGGGGCCUUAGCCGCCUCGGAUGGCUGUGCUUCGCCCUUGUACCGCCGCGCUAGCUCACCUCCUCCCCACAUCGGUUGCUCCACACCCGCGCUGUUACGUGCCACCGCGGCCUUGAGCCGCCUCGCCGUUGCUGCUGUGCGCCGCCUUCACUGCCGUUCUAAACCGCUCGGCCUCCACCGCCCACGCUGCGAGCCGCCGCAUGGAUCCAUAGCCUAGCCCAUCGCUCCUCCGCGAGCUGCCAUCCAGGUCUGCUGCCCUCACCUCACUGACUCGCCGUCUGCUGCGAGUGGCCAUCACCCUUGCCGGCCCUCGUUCCGUGCCGCCCUGCCUGGCUGCUGCUGCCGUGGCCCACGCGGACCCGGCUGCCUGUUAGCCGGGUCAGGGUGCCCCUCUUGUGUCGACGAUAAUGCAACCAGGGCAUUGUUUUCUUUCAGUUCUAGUGCCCCCAGUGUUCAACUAAACUUGGCUCUGCGAUUUAGCACGGGUACAGUUCUGAGGAUGAAAGGAAGUACUAUUUUUUAGAUAAAAGGACAAAGAGUUCUGCAAACCGCCGGCCGCCCUCAAGCCGCUUGCCUCCAUCGACAAGUCAACACUGGCCGCCGGCGCCUGCCUCCUGCUGGCUUUGUGCAGCAGUGCUCAAUCCCAGCAGAAACCUAUGGAAGAAACGAAGGAACAAGAGAAACCGAAAUCCUAGCUCAUAAACUAAUGGUGAUGCUGUUCGCAUGAAAACUAAAGCUAUAAUCAUAUACCACGGUCAUGGUUAGGUGCUAAGUUGAAAGUACUGCUGCCACCACGUGCACGUUUUACAAAGAAGGGACAAAGACAGAGGAAGUUCACGUGAGUGCUGUGCUACAUCACAUCAGCAGAGUUCCACAUAUGUAUACUAAUCAGCAUUAUCCGACGCCAGUAUCCGCGUUCAUCCGGAAAAAAAACAUCAGGUGAUAUCUAUCUAGGUUUAUUUUAUAAGCUUAAUAUUGUUUUCGUCAAAGAACAGUUAUUUUGGCCCGUAAUAUUUUUUAUGUAGGGCGACUAUUAAAAGAAAAAGGAGUGGUGUUAUACCGCGGAUGCAUGUUCGGCUGUGCCGCGUGGCUCCACGGGCACGUGUGUCGCGGUCCAGUUUACAUCAAAUGCGCCAGCUGACUCGCCCGACUACACCGCCUUACAACGCCAUGGAUGACUCGCGCGUCCGCCCUCGCGGCCGGUUCACGUGUCCGCGCCAGCUUACAACGUGGAGGACAACUCGCGCGUCCGCGACGGUUUACAACACUAUGGGCGACUUACCCGUCCGACCCCAUGGACGACUCUCCCGUCCACGCCGGUUUACAAUGCCACGGCUGACUCAUCUGUUGUCCGGACAAAUCAGGUGAUGUCCAACUGAGUCUAUUUUUAACACAUAUUGUUUUUUUGUCAAAAAACAAUUUAUCUUGGCCAUGGUCUGCAAUGUUUUUUAUGCAGGAUAAUUAUUUAUGACAAAGGUAUUGUUAUACCACGGACAUGGAGCGCGUGCCAGCAUAAUUUUGCACUGGCGUUCCUCCGAGCCAUGCUGCUCAACGGAUACACGUGCAAAUCUCCGCCCCCGCUGUUCGGUUUACAUCCGUCCACACAUGCAGCCGAUUCGUUGUCCGUGUCGGCUUACAAACGUCACGGUCGACUCACCCAUCCGCACUGCGGCCGGUUCACCCAUGAUUGAUUUCAGUUUCAUCCGGCGAUCAUCAAGUCUGUGACGGAUAAUUUCCAGCCUAACAUAUCAGGUGAAAUCCAUCUAAAUCUAUUUUGGACAAUAUUGUUUUGUCAAAGAACAAUUACGUCGGUUUGUAUUUUCUUUAUAUGCAGGACAAUUAUUCAUUAUAAACGUGGUUUAUACCAUGGGUACGGAGCACGCGCUGGCAACGGCCUGCCCGGUGUUCGUCCGUGCCACAGUACACGGUGAAUGGACGCGUGCAAGACGCCGCCCUUACGGCCCGGUUUACAUCAGCUUGCCGGGACCGCGCUUGCGUUUGACUCGCUCGUCCGAACCGGUUUACAACACCGCGGCCGGUUCAUCUGUCUGAGCCGCCUCUGAUGCUGAGGUCGUCUUUUUCGUCCGCCUCUCGCGGCCUGGUCUACAUCAACACACCGAGCCGCACCUGUCUGCAUGAGUCGUGUAUUGAGUAUGAGCAGGUCACUACUUGGGAAGCCCGGUUUUCUUCCAACAAAUUGGAGGCAAAUUAUCAUAUGUUAUCAGCCGCCGUCUGCGCUGGAUGGUUCAAUGGGCAGGCGCACAAAUCGCCGCCACUAUAGUUCGGUUAACUUCAAACAGCCAGUUGGAAGGAACCAUUGGCCGAGUUGCUGACACGGCUCAUACGGGAUCAUUUAUAACCCGCCACAGUCACUUUCAACCUUCUGUUGAUUCACAUGGCGCUAUUAACGCCAAUGAUAUACACCUUCUGCUAUGGUCAAAUAUGGAGAAUCUCAAGCCAACUCCUUGAGUCGUCUUGAGACUCGGGGGCUACAAUGACAUGACUCAACAAAUCAUGCCAGUUUCAGCAGGCUCAAGAACUCCGGGUCAUUGGAGGAAAAAAUAACCCGGCCCUGGAGAUUACUGCUCUAUCGGUGCAAAUUUAAAGGCCGUCAGAAAAAUAUCCGGCUUAAAAUAAAGAUUCCGGUUGAAAAUACGGUUCAAGAGACAUCUCUCUCCCGCAAAGCUUUGAAGCUCUCAAAUCCGGUUCAAACAUCCGGCUCAAGGUAAAUUUGUCUCUUACAAAGCUUUUAAGCUCUCAAAUCCGGUUCAAAGUUCUGGUUCAAAAAGAAUAAAUCUCUCGCAAGAUUCGAGUUCUCAGAAAAAAUUAAAGGUUGCCAAAAAGAACUUGCUGCCAUGAUGCGCGGUUCAAACAUAGGUAUCCUGCCUUACGGCUUAUCUUAUUAUGGUCACUUGGGGGCUUCCUGCUCAUCGGGCAUAGCUAUCAGUACCCUCUUGAUCGGUGCAAUGCAUAAACUUAUAUGGUCACUUGGGGGCUUCCUGUUCAAACAUAGGUUGUAUUCGAACCAAAGAGAACAUAGCUGUCGAUACCCUUUUGAUUGGCAAACUGCUGAACCUACUUGGGGGCUUCUUGAUCGUAUCCGAAUCAUAGCUCAACCCCUUUGGGAAUCGACGUGGAUCGUAUUCGAAUCAGCGUCGCCAAAACAACUCUUAAGGUCAUUUGGGGGCUUCCUGUUCAAACAUAGGUCGUAUUCGAACCAAAGAGAACAUAGCUGUCGAUACCCACUUUGAUCGGCAACGCCAACGCCACUGGGGGCUAUAUGAUCGUAUUUGAAUCUUAGCUUAACCCCAUUGGAACGGUUUACUGAUCGUAUUCAAAUCAGAAGCCUCAAAAAAUUUAUCUGUUUCUCAUACAGUUUUUGUAAUCACAAAUAUUUUAGUUGUCACAAAUAUCAUGUGUGCCGGCUUUUACAGAAUUGGGUUCUCACCCUCACUGUCCGGGUCACAUAAACCGGCGGUAUCAUUCAAGGGAUCAUAGGGAUCUUGUGAUCUACUUGUGUGCAGGGUAAGACUACAUUUGGGUGGUUACCCGCCCUGGCUUUUGACGUUAAGUCGCCAGGGCAUAUGUUGUUUAAACUCUGUGCAGGAUUUACAGAGCUAUGACUUACAUAAAUGAUUCAGUUCAAGCCCAUCAUCAAAAGAUUGACAUUGGUGUCUCAAAAGGGUUAUCUAUUCUUGAUUUUCUCAAAGGCUAUAAAUAGCCGGGUUAUAAAAAUUCCGGCUUACAAUGGAGGCGUAAUAAAUCGCCAUCGGCCAAGAGCCGCCGGGUAUUUAAACUCCGGAUUUACCUGUCAACAGAUAAGGUAUUGGAAAUCUUUAAAUAGCCAAACUUGGCUGGAUUUUCAUUAUGAUUUGAAUGAUUGAGGUUUUCAAACCGGGUUAGUCAAAUCUUUAAUAGCCAACAUGGCUGGAUUUUUAUUAUGGUUAUCAGAAACUAAUAUUAUGAUUGAGGUUUUCAAAGUCGCUUCAGCGCAAUGGCAAUUAUUUUAUCAAUGGAUAUGAUUUAUUCUACAAUGGAAGGAAUAGUCCCGAGUCGCUGCAGGCUUACAACCCGGCACUUGGGGGCUACAUUAUUCAAGUUGAGAUUACAUCAAAUAUGCAAGUCCCAUGUCACUGCCAGCAUGCACCAUGGCACUUGGGGGCUAAUGCAAAGUCAUUUUUUGCUCACCUCAUUGAAGACCCGACUCAUCACAUCGUAAUGAGCCGGCCCUUGGGGGCUACCAAUUGCUCCUGUUAAAAUUCAAGAUACACAAGCCUUAUUACAUUAUAUUGAAGGAUCCACUGCUAAGUUGGUAAAGCACAAAGCUAUUAACCUUGUGGACGUGGGUUCAAGCCCCAAGAUGGGGGUUACAUCAUAUGAUAUUAUUUCCAAUGAAAAGUCCCAGCUCAGUAUUAUCUUACAAAGCCGGCCCUUGGGGGCUACACGUUACUGCUCAAAUUUACAUCAUCAUAUUUACAAAGUCCCUACUCAUUAUUACAUAAUGACCCGACACAUGGGGGCUAAUGUAUAUUGCUCUCUGCUGAAGACAGUUCUAGGAUGACCCGGCUACACUACUAUGACUAUAGCCGACUCAUGGGGGCUACACAACUGGAUUUUAUUUAAAGCCAUGGUGAUAAGUCCCGGCUUAUUCAUGCUGAUUAAACCGGCUCUUGGGGGCUACAGGUAAUAUGGAUAUAAGGGAGAAAUAUCUUCAAAUUCUCAGUUUUGAAUAAAUCAGAUUGACCUGGUGUCUGCAAAAAUCAUAAACCGGCGUCGGCGACAAUUAUGACUUGGCAUCAUCUAUUUAUAACCCGGCAAUUUUGGUACUCAUAAACCGGCAAGUUUUAUAUCUUUAAGCCGGCUGAAUAUAAGUUGAAUAUUUGAAGACCAAUAUUUUUGUCAAGUCAGAGCAUUGAAAGCCGAUCAAGUGGAUUAUCUCUUACAAUAUUUCUCAACAAGAGACCAAUGUCAGCAAAUUGACUCUGAAGCUAGCCUGUUGACCCGGAUUUUCAAAGGAAGUAUCUGGAUUUUUUGCAUUGGCAAAAUUUGAACAUAUCUGCUAAAGAGAUUUGCUAUGAGAUUAUGGAUACAUAUCAAGAAGGAAGAUGACAAGGACUUAAGGAUGAUCAAGUGCCGGCUUACAAAGAAUAUUUAACCCGGAACACAACCUGUCAAAUUUUUUCUUGUGUUUAUAUUGCAGAUUAGUUUAACAUGGAUAAAUCCAAAUUAAACUAGGGGCUAAUGUUGGGGAUAUACCCCGCGGUAUGACCCGGCCGGAAGUAUGACCCGGCCGGACUUGGCGCUUCACCGUGACCCACCGGAGGACUGGCGACUCACGGGUCUGGCGGCUCACUGUCAGACGACUCACGAGCCUGACGACUCACGGAUGACCCCGACGGCGGGUCAGAUAGAAGACUAGGCCCAAGGCCCAGAAGGCCGGCUCAUGUUAUGGUGGGCCGGCUUAAAAGGAAAGGGAUGACGAAUAUUUCCUUUACGCGGAAGCAAGACCCGGACUUGUAUUCAACUUGUAAGAAAAGAUAGACUAGCCCUAGUCCUACUAGGACACCAUAUGUAACCCGCCCCUCCAACUUAUAUAAGGAGGGGGCAGGGCUCCCCAAAGAGGGACGAGCAAGAAACAAUCUCUAGGGCUAGACACAACUAGAGGAGAUCCGAUUUACGGCGACUCCCUCGUGAUGAUAAUGAGAUCUAGCCUCAAACAGCAUGUAGGGUUGUUACCGGAUGAUGUUUCCCGGGGCCCGAAGCUGUCUAAACCCUUGUCUUGUGUUGCGUCUCUCGAUUCCGCUCAACCCCUCUCAAGCUAUCACAUAGAUGCGUUGGCCUCACGACUAAGUCCUUACACCUAGGACAUCUGACGUGUUAAUUCCACGACACUUGGUUUUACCAUUUGCCACCUAAGCCUUUUUCCCUUGGGUUUUCGCGAGCCCGAGGGUCAUCUUUAUUUAAACCCCCGGACCAGUGCUCCUUCGAGUGCUGGCCCAAACUGGGCGAUGUCCGGCGCCCCCUGGGCAACCAUGGUCUAUGCCAACCCGACGUCUUGCCCAUCCGGUGUGCCCUGAGAACGAAAUAUGUGCAGCUCCUAUCGGGAUUUGUCGGCACAUUUGGGUGGCUUUGCUGGUCUUGUUUUACCAUUGUCGAAAUGUCUUGUAAACCGGGAUUCCGAGGCUGAUCGGGUCUUCCCGGGAGAAGGUUUGUCCUUCGUUGACCGUGAGAGCUUAUGAUGGGCUAAGUUGGGACACCCCUGCAGGGUAUUAUCUUUCGAAAGCCGUGCCCGCGGUUAUGAGGCAGAUGGGAAUUUGUUAAUGUCCGGUUGUAGAGAACUUGAUACUUGACUUAAUUAAAAUACAUCAACUGUGUGUGUAGCCGUGAUGGUCUCUUCUCGGCGGAGUCCGGGAAGUGAACACGGUUUGAGUUAUGCAUGAACGUAAGUAGUUUUCAGGAUCACUUCUUGAUCAUUUCUAGCUUCGCGACCGUUGCGUUGCUUCUCUUCUCGCUCUCAUUUGCGUAUGUUAGCCACCAUAUAUGCUUAGUGCCUGCUGCAGCUCCACCUCAUUACACCAUCCUUUCCUAUAAGCUUAAAUAGUCUUGAUCUCGCGGGUGUGAGAUUGCUGAGUCCUCGUGACUCACAGAUUCUACCAAAACAGUUGCAGGUGCCGACGAUGCCAGUGCAGAUGACGCAACCGAGCUCAAGUGGGAGUUCGACGAGGAACGUGGUCGUUACUAUGUUUCGUUUCCUGAUGAUCAGUAGUGGAGCCCAGUUGGGACGAUCGGGGAUCUAGCAUUUGGGGUUAUCUUAUUUUCAUUUGGAUUUGACCGUAGUCGGUCUAUGUGUGGAUUUUGGAUGAUGUAUGAAUUAAUUUAUGUAUUGUGUGAAGUGGUGAUUGUAAGCCAACUCUCGUUAUCCCAUUCUUGUUCAUUACAUGGGAUUGUGUGAAGAUGACCCUUCUUGCGACAAUACCUACAAUGCGGUUAUGCCUCUAAGUCGUGCCUCGACACGUGGGAGAUAUAGCCGCAUCGUGGGCGUUACAACGGACCAUCGUAUUUCGCGAAAAAAAUGUUUGCCCCUGACUGCUGGGACCCUCCAGCUACAUCCUCGCACGCAAGGAAGUGCGUCCAGGAAAAAAAAAACGAUUCGCCCCCCUGACUGCUGGGACCCACCAGCUAUAUGUUCGCAGACGAGGAAGUGCCUGACAGUCGGGACCCACCUGGUCGAAGGGUACGUAGCGUUGUCAUUCUGGUCGCGAACAUGUACGUACACAUAUACUGGUAGAUCUAGAGGCGCGCACGUGUCGUAGUAGAGGCGCGUACGUGUCGUAGUAGAGGCGCGUACGUGUCGUAGUAGAGGCGCGCACGUAGCAUGUACACGUACGUAUAGCGGCCAGGGUGCAAGAAAGAAAAUACGGCCAUGUAUGUGUACAUACGGGCGGGGUCUCGACGCCUACUCACGCAUACGUACGGCCAGGGCUCGUGUACAUGGCUGGGUCGGAAUGGAGAAACAGCGUCGUCGUCGUGUUCGUGGGGAGGCAACGGAAUGCGUCGUGUUCAUGGGGAGGCAACGGAAUGCGUCGUGUUCAUCGGGAGGCAAUGGAACGCGUGGGAGCCAACCGGCUAUGUCGGAACGGAAUGCGUCGUCGUGUUCAUCGGGAGGGCUUGGACGGAACGGCCGAUGGAAACGAGGCCCGGCGUACCGCAGAACGGAGGAAACGGCCUUGUGUUCGACCGGCCACGUUUGAAACGGGAUCCUGUUCAUCGGGAGGGGUCUGGCGUACCGCAAAAAGGAGGAAACGGACCUCCUACGGUCGAAACGGGGGUCCUAUUGAUCGGGAGGGGUGUGGCGUACCGCAAAAUGGAGGAAACGGACUUGUGUUGGAGCGCUACGGUCGAAACGGGGGUCCUGUUCAUCGGGAAGGGUGUGGCGUACCACAAAACGGGACUCCACGGGAUACUGUUCAUCUCCACCGUCGACCACCUCCAGUCUCCACGGGCUACUGUUCAUCCACCGUCGACCUCCUCCAGCCUCCACCUGUGACUGUUCAUCCACGGGCUCCUGUUCAUCCAGCCUCCACCACGCGCUACUCCACCGGCUACUGUUCAACCAGCCCUCUCCACGGGCUCCUGUUCAACCACCCCUCCACGGGCUACUGUUCAUCUAGCCCUAUACAGUCUACUGUUCAUUCUGCCCUCCACGGGGUGGUCCUGUUCAUCCUGCCCUCCACGGGGUCCUGUUCAUCCAGCCCCAACCGGCUCGAUCGAUCGGGGUCCUGUUCAUCCAGAGGCAACACCACGGGGUCCUGUUCAUCCACCCCCACCGGGGACUGUUCAUCCAAACCCCCCCAGCAACGCUCACUGUUCAUCCAGAGGCAGCAUCGAUCGGCUUCAGUUAGCAGCAGUAGCGAAGGAAUCGCUCGAUCGGGUUCAGUUAACAGCCAUCGAUCGAUCGCUCGGGUUCAGUAACGCGUAGCCUGCAGUGCAAUCGCUCGGGUUCAGUUAGAGCCAAUGCCUCGCACACACGCGCGUACGUGUAUGAGGGAAACACGCAUCGCUCGGCCCCCGACCUCCCACCGUAACUGGGAACUCCCCGAAAUUUUCCUCGCCCUCGCUUCUACCACGGUUUUUUCCGUCAUGGACGGCCCAAAGAAUGUCAUGCAGCUGCGUCUCCGGCCCGCCCAGUACGAAAAGCCCAUUUUCUGUCAUGAUUUUUUGUCAUAGAAUUAGGAGCCCACCACAUCUAUUAUGAUAUCGGGUUUUGUCACAAUUAUCGUCAUAGAGGUGUCAUAUGUAUGACAGAAAAAAAAAUUCGUUCGGCCCAAAAUGUCACGGAUGUGUCUUUUUUUUGUAGUGUAGUGAUAUAUGUAUACCAAAUUAGAGUGUUUAGUAUCAAGUUUGUGAAUAAGUAUUAUUCUAAUUAUGAUCCGUUACAACGCACGUGAACAUUGCUAGUAUUUCCAACCAUGCAAAAAAAUGCUAGUAUUUCCAUAGUUUUGAGUUUUCCAUCAAGAUAUUAGUCACUCAUGGUUGAUAUUUACUUUCAAUCACGUACACAUAUGCACUAUGUAACUAGCCUUGCUUAUUGGCUUCCUAAGCUUAACUUUCACUCCUACUUACAAUAUGUAGAGUAUUUAACAAAAAACUACCACUUUCAACCAUCCCUAAGAAGAAACUAUUGUACAAAAAAUAGCAAAAACAUACCCAAAAUUUCUUAAUCCGCGCCAAAAACUACUACCUAGUGCCGACUAGGCUCGUUUAAACCCGUUUAUGACAGGGUUGGCCCACACGUCCAUGCUGAUGAGGCAGCUUAAACCAACACAUUUUGUUUGACCGUUGACACAAGGGACCCACAUCUGACUUUCUAUCCUGUUAUUCCCCCUCAAAUCAUUAUUUUUACUGAACAUUACUUCAAACAGUACUGAUGCGUGUUCGUCGGUGGCGCCGGUGAUGAACGAGUUGGCCGCUGCUCCGCUGGACGGGCUGGACGCCGCGCUGGCCUCCGCACGGGUUGGCAGGCUGGCCCGAGCGUGACUCACGAGCGAGCAAGCCGCCGCGCUGGCCUUUGCUCGAGCCAGAUGGCUGGCCUUAGCGCAGCGCGCGCGAGCAAGCCACUGCGCCGCCGUGCCAAUCUAGCUAGCAAACCUUGCAGACAAGCAGCUGGACGGAGCUAUCUUGGCUAGCUAGCAGCCACGAGCGCCGGAUGGAGCUGGCAUCCGGGCUGCCGCAAGAUGGGCUCCGCACCGCCGGUGGUUUUGACCUCGCCUUCUGCCGGUGGCGGUAGCUGCGUCCCAUGGCCGAGGUUGACUAGGUGGACGGGCCGGAGGUAGGUGGUCACUCAGGGAUUUUUGUGCAGACUUACAUGUAGGUCCCACAAGUCAUAAUGCCAAACUUGUCGGUCGAAUAGAAGGCGUUGACUCAAGGGGCAACAUGGGUUGAAACAUGCCUAUAACGGCACUUUUAGAGUAGUUGUUUCUUGGUAGGGCUGGUUGGUAAGGGCAUGUAGAAUGGAUGAUAAGGUAGUCUUAUCUUAAGUCUGCCACGUAUGCAAGUGGUAGUAGUUUUUGGCAUUAUUAGUGGUUUCUUGUAAGGAACAAUGUACUACUGGCGACAAAAGGCGAUUCUAGAUUGCGUUGUACUCCAACGAGUACUACUAGUGGUCGUGGGAGUGUAUACCUCGUUUUGUGGGUUCGAUCCCGGCCGAACGCACGGCGGCCUUUUUUUUAAAUAUUAACUUUGCUGCGAGCCAAUAUUAUACACGGGUAGUUUGAGUUUUGAAGUCGAACGGACGUGCCGCAACACUAUUUGGGUGGACUGGAUGGCCUAGCCACGUGAACGGGUUUUCCUUCCCAUCAUCGCGUGGCUCGUGUGCUCGCCCUAGCCGCACCUCGCUUGCAGCUUCCUCGUCAGCUAGUAGCAUAUUUAAACUAGCGCCUCCCAAUUAAGCCCGAGGAGCCAGAAAAGCCUGGCGCGACAUUGGGAAUUGUGCAAUAUGGCUCUGUACGUAAAGUGCUACUAGUACUCUACUACUCUAUUGCUUGUGGCGUUGCAUGCAUGGACUUCACUCCAUUAUCGGCUCUAUAAAGAAAUUCCUCUUGACAUGUUUUUUUUGAAACGGAGGCAAAAGCUUUGCCUCAUCUCAUUCAUAAAGAAGGAACUACUAACAAAGUUCGACGAGAUCCAUUACACCUCCACAAAUGGAAGCGAAAAGCCUAGUCUCGAUGUAUCAAAUAACUCAAAUGUUCUGGCCCCGUGGUAACCGUCACUAAUAAACAGGCUUCUAGUGUGUGCGUGAGAGGAGCGGCUGAGUAGGCCAGCUACAUGCUUGAAUAGAGCACCGAGAGUACCCACUACGCAGGUGUACUUUCCCUGCAGUGAUAGUGCAUCGAUGGUUCUAGAGAACAGUAGUACCCUCCACUUCCAGCUGCAGCUCCUUGGCCCUGAGAUUCAAGAGUUCAAAACUGGUGAACUAUACUAGAAGUACAGUACAUCACACUACUAGUUGAGAAAGUAGUACUAGUACUGCUACAGUACGAGUACGUAGUAAAUAAUAGCCUCACCCCUUCGCUAAGGAACGAUUGAGGAGCUACAGUUGGAAGGGACGAGGCCCUAUGGUUACUAUGCUCUUAUCUCCUCGCCANNNNNNNNNNNNNNNNNNNNNNNNNNNNNNNNNNNNNNNNNNNNNNNNNNNNNNNNNNNNNNNNNNNNNNNNNNNNNNNNNNNNNNNNNNNNNNNNNNNNNNNNNNNNNNNNNNNNNNNNNNNNNNNNNNNNNNNNNNNNNNNNNNNNNNNNNNNNNNNNNNNNNNNNNNNNNNNNNNNNNNNNNNNNNNNNNNNNNNNNNNNNNNNNNNNNNNNNNNNNNNNNNNNNNNNNNNNNNNNNNNNNNNNNNNNNNNNNNNNNNNNNNNNNNNNNNNNNNNNNNNNNNNNNNNNNNNNNNNNNNNNNNNNNNNUCCCAUGGAUUCGCCAGGCGGUUCUCCUCCUCGUCGGGGCUGGGAGACCUUGGACGGUGAUCCUCUGGGAGAAAUCGCACACCGCUCCGACGUCCUCACUGCCGCAAGACUCGGUGCUUCCUACACCAACUUUUUCAGAUGGUGCUUACAAAGGCUUGGGAAAAGGCCAUGCUUGUUGGUCUUCCAUGCAUGCGUCCCGAGGAGAAGGUUCUUCUAUGGGACAAUCCUUCAAACAGUCCAGCGCUCCCUGGCCAUGGUUGCACGUUGACUCCGCUAGAGUUGCCGACGUUGAGAGGUAGUCGGAUUUUGUCCGAUGAGCAGGUCAGUCAUGGAGUUUGAUCAUGUAGUACUUAGUUAUUCCAUUUCUAUCCCGUAAUAUCUCCGUUGCCCACCGUCUUAUAUAUAGGUCUGGGUCGGUGCCAACGAAGAUUGGCUUGCAUACCUCCGGCCGGAUACCACCAUCAUUUUGCACAACAUGCACAGCAGUGCGGCCGUUCUGUAGACCCCUUCUCCACCAUUGGGAUCGGCCUUCCGGACUGGAUUGGCUUGAAUACGUAUGAUGAUGCCUACAUGAGAUUGAAGAAGAUAGCAAUUGCAGACCCGCCGACAAAGCGACGCGGCUACGACAAUUACUAUCUCAUCACGGUGUUCGACAUAAGGAUUGCCAUCAAUGCAAGAGGCAGUAACGCCAGAGGCUGGCGCAUGUUGGCCGUGGCAUAUUUGUACCCCUACAUGUUCGAAGACGCCGUGCGCCAUCUACGCCGCAUCUUCGCGGUGACAAGCCAGGGAAGUUGUUUCAUAUGGUUGCCAUCCUACGAUACGGGAGAUUACAAACGGAAUGCACAAGGCCACAAACCAUCAUUUGCAUCCCUAACGGUACUCCAUUAUUUUGUAGGGACCAGUCAUCCCCCGAUCAAAAUAAGAUCGCCGAUCCUAGAUGUGCAUUUGCAUAUGUGAUUCGGUCUAACCUGGAACCUUGUAGCUGACUUUGGCAUAUUGGGAUCAACUAUCUUAGCAGUCGUUACCCAUGGUACCACUGAUGUGCAACAUGGUCACACAAUCUACCACGAUCGGACAGUCACCAUCUACCCAGGUAUUCCAUUUAGUAUUAUAUGUUUUAAACCUCCCGCCUUCUCUUUCAUUGUUGUACUACUUACUAGUACUAGUAAAAGUACUUUUUACCUUGGAGUAUCUAGCUAGGCCCUUGAAGACGCGAACCCACUAGCUGCCACCAUUUUUGUUUUUCCAUGUCUUACUAUCUCAUCCAUGUAGCCAAGAGUGGCUAUAUAUAAUAAGCCGGUUAUUUUACUUACUCUAUACUGGAGUAGUACUAUUUGCUACACAGUAUUACUGACCGCCAUAUUUGAGCACAACAUUACUAUGCAUGGACCUUGACUAUGUACGUCACCAUGUGUCCAGAUCUGAGAUGUCGCGUGUACCAGAUGAACGACGCCGAGUUCGACCCCCGUAAUGCUACGUGGGUGCCGAGGAACACUCUUGGAGAGUACUCGCUUUUCAUUGGGGACAACUACCCCAUUGUGAAGCGGAUGCCACCUUCCGUGCACGACACCGAAGGCCUGCCGUUCAUGAAGCAUGGUUGUGUCUUCAGUGCACACCGCCGGAUGAACGACAUGCUGGGACACGCUAUCCCUGAUUUAUGCCGCUUCAGCUUGGAUGAGUCUCCAUCGUGUGGAACCGGACUAGAAAGCUGCGGCAAUGAUUCCCGUUGCCCACCGCUAUGGAUCAUGCCAUCCAUGAAGAACACCUGGGACGGGAACCUGGAGGAGGACAUGUAGCCCAUCUAUAACAUGCAAGUGGUGUAUGGUAAAUUGUGAACGGUAUCGCUGUGAAUAUAUGUAGACUAGUCGUGCACAAAUUUAUCACAUGAAUUGGAGAUGAACUUGUGUGGCAUACUGGCAUUUGUCCUUUAGAAUUUAUUACUAGUAAAUGUGUUAUGUGUACGUGCAACUUAUGUGGUUGUUGCACGGGCUCCAACACGCUCUUUGAGAAAAAGGUGGCACACCUUUGGAUACAGGUGACGUGGCGGCAUCAUACAGUAGCAUCAUUCACUAUAGUUGUACUCCCUGCAUUCCUAAAUAUAAGUCUUUCUAGAGAUUCCAACAAGUGACUACAUACGGAGCAAAAUGAGUGAAUCUACACUCUAAAAUAUGUCUACAUACAUCCGUAUGUUGUAGUCAAUUUGAAAUGUCUAAAAAGACUUAUAUUUAGGAACGGAGGGAGUAGUAUACUCCUACUUGGACGACGACUCCUAUAAAACCUUGCGCUUGGCUCUUUGCCUCUUUGGGAGGUUCAACACUUCAUACUAGUGUGAACCUUGCACUUGGCUCUUCGCCUCUUCGGAAGGUCCAACAAUGAUGAUACUACAGUACAAUAUGCUUCUGGCAAUCUGACACCGAUUGAACUGCUGCACGUCCACCGCGAGGGCGAGUGCAAGGGAGAGGGAGAGGGCGCUGUAGUCAAAACCCUGUCCUCGUCCUGCGAGCCACCGCGCGCGUGGGCGAGGGAGAGGCGUAGUAAGCAAGCUUCUCCUCGUUCGGCGACUUGAAGGGACACAUCAAAGCAGUACUAGUACUAGUCCAUACUGCAUCCUUUCCGGUUAAUAUGGCUUAAUUUGAAACGAGAAAAAUACACUGGCGGUCAACGUAUGUAACAAUACGCUCUUUAUGGCCACUAUAUAUAGUUUUGCGGUGAUUAUACAACCACUAGCUCAUAUAGAGCACCGUAUUGCACCCUACUGGCCGGCCACAUAGUCGACGUGGCACUUUGUUGACUGGUUAAAUUGUCACCUGGUUUCUGGGUCCAACCUGUCAGUUGGAAGAGCAAAGAAAUCAGUUAAACAAAACUUUACGCAGGCGCGACAGGAGUCCAACCCUUGCGCGCGAACCACCCUGGCUGUGUAUGUGAGUGCAUGCACGUGUACUCUCUCGGUCUUCCAACAAAGAGUGUACAUCGGCUAAAAAACAAAGAGUGUACAUCUAUACUUCCAAUGCAUUUAGCCUUUAAGACUGAUCAUAGUGGGAGUAACUUAUAGCAAGUAACAUAACACAUCCCAAGAAAAAUUUGCUUACGUGGCAUGUAGUUAAUGAGGGGAGAUAUGGUUGGAGUAACAUAAUAUGCUACUGUAACAUAACACAUACCAAGGCAAAAUGAGUCUACAUCUUAAUAAAUGAUGGCUUGCAUGAUACCAACUAUAUGUUACUUCCCACUAUGAAUGUAGUAACAUAGAUGUUACUAGUCUAAGUUACUCCCCACUAUGACUAGCCUAAUCUAAAUCGAUAUUGAUUGACUAAUGCACCAACUUGUGCUCUAGGUAUAGGCUACAUGUCUAUCCUUAAUUACAGCAUGCAACAACCUUCAUUUAAUCUUCUUCUCUCAAUGGUCGCAUGCACACAUAAGUCUGCUACUUUUGGGCGUUAAUUAUGCCCUGGUCAAUGUGUAAAUCUCUAAAUGUACAGUCCUUCACGGGCGUAGGGAGUAGGUUGAGCACUUGAGCGUGAGCGUGUGUGUUGCGUAGUGUGCUGUGUGCCGCAUGGGUGCGUGAGUGUUGCGUGCGUCCAUGUGUACGUGUGAGUGUUGCAUGUUGCAUGCAUGCAUGAGGCUUUUACUCCCUCCCAUUGUCAUGUUCAUAUUUCAAGCUUCCUCUCUUCCCUCCAUAUGGUGAUACUCGCUCUGUUCCCAAAUACGGAGUAAAAGCAUCCCUCUGUUCCCAAAUACGGAGUAUUUGUCUUUCUAGAGAUUUCAAAAAGUGACUACGUACGGAGCAAAAUGAGUGAAGUGAGCAUAGAGGCAUAGGGAUACUAUAGAUAGGAAGUCUUCGCGAUCCAUUAUUCCCCAUCUCGGUCAGAGAGAACUAUUCAACUAGUCUUCGCAGUGAAGUGACAAUACAUGCUGCAGUAGAUGGGACACACGCGUGUUGGUGUUACUAAAUCAGCCUUACCCAGUAAUGCCAUCAUGUUUGCCAGUAGAGCACGCUUCGUCAAAUACGCCUAUGCACCUCUCUCCUCCAUUAACUGACAUAUGGGCCCUCUUGAGGUAGACCCACAUGUCAUCGGCAUAACUAUUUACACUCCGAAGGACGGUAUAUCCUGGUAGUAGUACUAGUAGAAUUGAGAUUUAAUGCCCCGUCUUUCAGUCUUCUUCCUCCUCUCUUCCCCAUCGUCGGCCACACACCAUUCCCCCCCGCUCACUGCUCGCCCGCCUGGGCCAUCUUCCUUGGUAGCUCGCGCGUACCAUAUCCACCCGCUCACUGCUCGGCCACACACGCUAUCUUCUUCGCUCGCCCGCCCGAAUCCACUUCCCCGCUGGCUCGCAGGCAUCGAAAACCCCAAUCACUCAGCGCCCUAAAAAAACCUAUGGCAGAACCGACUGACACGCAGAGCCGCGAUUGGAAUUCCCUCCCCGAUGUUCUCUUGGAGCAGAUCUGUAAUCGUAUGGACCUACUCAGCACCAUCCGUCUGGCCGCAUGCUCGGUGUCUUUGUAUCGUCUACUCGUCUGCAACCCGCUGGCUCUUUUUAAGACACCCUACUUGCUGAUGCCCGAUCCUUGCAGUUGGCCCAGACACCGACUUGACAAUCCUACGGAGGUUGCCGUGGUGCCCCUCGACAUGCUACCACUACCCGUCCACCUGUCCUUCAUGCGCGGCCACUACUGGGCGGGCAUGAAGGCCAACUGGAUCAUCCUCAUCCACCAAUCCGGUAGUCCAUGGCGUCUCGUGGAUAUCUACACCCAGCGAGAGAUCACCCUUCCAUCGUUGGAUACCGUCGCCAUCGAGCCUCGCGGCCCGCCGGACACUCCUGCCUACUACGCACGAGACGCGUCAAGCUUUUGGCUCGACCUCUAUUUGCUGAAAGUUGUAAUCUGCGAAGUGCCCACACCAUCAGAAGACUACAUGGAUUACAAGCUCAUUGCCUUGUUCAACAUGGGAUUAGUCUAUCUCGAAUCCGGUCACCAUACAUGGUUAUGGCUCAUCGUCAAUCCUGUUGAGGUAACAUUUCUGUCUGAUGCUAUAGUGCAUGAUGGCAUCGUUUACGCGGUCGACGCACAGAUUGGCUGCCUAUACUGGUGGAAUCUAUCGUCGUGUAAUUGUUCUAUCUCAUCUCAUCUUUACCUUAUGAAUACGACUGCCUGUUCAUUGUUACAAAUUUAGAAUAGAUAGUAUGUCUAUAACCACAUCAUUGCUAUAUGUUCCUCUCAUUUCCUAGAUUUUUAUGACCACACAUGUUAUUGUUAGAGUUGAUAUGGGAACAAUUGGCAUCUAAUGAUUGUUAGAAUAUAUAUUAUAAGCAUAACCUCAUGAUUGCUAUAUGUUACUCUCAUUUCCAAGAUUUUUAUAACAACGCAUGUUAUUGCUUAGAGUUGAUAUGAGAACAGUAGUAAGUGCUAUGGUAGAAUAUGAGUAGGCCCUGUCAUAGCUAUUUUCCUCUCAUUGUUACAUGAUGUUUGAACCAUGACAUAUUGCUAGAAUAUGAAAGCCAUUGGCUUAUUUUUUUUUACUUGGGGUAUGAUUAUGACCACGACGUUGCAAUUCUCUGUCUAUGAUAUGUCUCACUGUUAUAAUAAUCUUAAUUCCACACAUACUCUGAACAUGAUUGUCUAUUUUUGUCCUUUUGGUCUCCAAUUUGAAUUGUUGCAGCAGACGCAAAUGCGCUGGCCUUCAUGAUUCCAGGACUUGGAAUCAUACCAGCCGAUGGGUGGUGGUUUAUCGCUCAUUCAGCUGACGGCGGUCAUUUGAUGCUCAUUUGCACGUACCAAAUUGACCAAACCAUUACAUCAAACCACAUGCAGUACAAUGCCUGGGGCAAUCAUGACAUUGAUGGCUAUGGCUGCUUCGUGUUCGAGAAAGAUCCCAGCUCCGUUGGGCCAGGCGUAUUCAACUAGAGGCGGGUUUACAGCCUCGGCAACCACUCCAUGUUCCUCGGGCUCAAUUAUCCGAUCAUCCAACCAAUCAUCGAUCAUAUCACCGGCGAUGAAUACCGUGCUAUGCAACUUCCAUUCGCCAGGGGGGACUGCGUUUACACAUCAUACCAUGGGUUUCAUGAAUCACCAUAUCCAGAGAUUCGUCGACAUAGCUUGUUUUCAGAUAAUCUUCAGUGUGUGAAAGGCAUCAAGCUUCCAUGCGAUGGAUGGCUUUUGCAAACCCGACAUGCGGCGAUGUGGUUCAUGCCAACAGAAAAUAUGCACAACUUGAUUCGUACUGAUAUCUAGACUGAGCCAUGUAUUCUGCAGCUGUAGCACGACCCUCUUUUGUUGGAUAUUAUGUACUGUUGUUAGUUUGAAGCACUCCUCUGGUUUGAAGGAUAGAUACCUUUCUGGGAUCAAGUGCAUCCUAACUCACCUGCGUAGGAUGUACUGAUAAUGAUGAUGGAGAUGUUGUGCAGAAGCAAUAUAUAUAUACUGUAUCAAUUAGGCUUCAAGUGCGUACUUGUUAGUUAAACCUAUGGUUAAAAUGUGACACUAAAUACGACUAGUAAGUAGUACAGUAGCAGUACUAGUAUACGUCGGUCAAAUUAUUCAUCAUGUCCACACAUUGAAUUGACGUGACAACACGCUGCGCGUGAGGUGACACAAGAAUCCCAGCGGCGUCUUUGGGUAUUGUGGACUUCAGAUUUGGAGUACCACUUAUCUGUCGAAAUAUUUCAUCAUUCACUUAAAACAGUCGAUUGAUCAUACAUUGAGUACCAUAUAACUGGAAUUAACUGAUGCAAGUCCAAGAAGGAUUGGCCGGUGCUGCCGGCUGGCGUCAAGUUCGAUCCCACGGAUCAGGAGCUCAUCGAGCACCUUGAGGCCAAAGUGACUGCUGACAGCGUGAGAUCUCACCCUCUCAUCGAUUUGUUCAUACCAACCAUCGACAGCGAGCACGGCAUAUGCUACACCCAUCCUGAGAAACUUCCAGGUAAGACACCGAUCGGCCGUCUACUUGCACAAACAUAUUCCUUUGUUUAUAUCUCUAUUUUUCUUUUUAGACGCAGACCUAGUGAAGCAAUUACAAUUUGACAGUUAAUAAAAACUGAAACAAGUGACUGCAACAUGCCAAAGAUGCUAUGGAAAUGCAAACCACGUACACUCAAACCUGUAUUCGACAAUACCGCAGGUAUCACACUGAGUGGCCUAAGCAAGCAUUUCUUCCAGCGCAAUUCCAGGGCGUUGAAAAUGGGCACGUGGACGCGUCGCAAGAUACAGUCGGAGUGCGGCAUGCACGCGAUGUGGCACAAGACCGGCAAUACCUUGCCGGUGGUGGUCAAUGGCCGGCAGACGGGCAGCAAAAAGGUUAUGGUGCUGCACACCAACAAGAACUUCGACCAGCAGAGGACCAACUGGGUGAUGCACCAGUACCACCUUGGGGACCUGGAGCAAGAGAAGGAGCGGGAGCUGGUCCUCUGCAAGAUUUUAUACCAGACGAACACUAGGGCCAGGAGUAAAAAGAUUAUAAGUUAGUUUGGUAUUGGUACUUGUACUACCUUGUCGUCCGCAAGUUGGUAUUGAUGUUAAUGAUCUUUCGAUAUGAACUUGGCAUUUGCUUCCAACCAUCAUGUCGAGGGUCGACGUGGAUAUAAAGCAGAAUCAUUUGUUUCAAAACGAAUUUUCAGGCACCUGAUUUUUAUUUGAUGGGUAGCAUAAGCACCUGCCGUUCGAAUUCCCAGUUCUCCAAUUUUUUCGAAACAAAUGCAUGCACUUAUUAUCACGAUGAAAAAACAAUAUACCUGCUGCAUCCCAGUUAUCAGUCUGUACUUGUAGAAUUCUCUCGUUUGUGGAGCAGGUAUAUUGUUUUUUCAGGUCGAGCAAGUUUCAACUGGGCUGUAGACUGCCCAGGCUUGGUUUUGUUUUUAACAAGCCUUGCCCAUAACGACAACGGGGCACAAAGAUCCAGCAGAUAUCUACUGGCCUCUGGCCCGCCAGCGUUAGUUAUAUUUUGUCUUACAACAUCCGCAGGCAAUUUUUUUACUGAAUCAAACACACAGCCCAGUUCUAUUUUCCUCUUGAAACGCCAGGUCCUACAUCCGUUUUCUAAUCUCUACCUAUAGUUUUACUAGUUCAUAUACACGUAUCAUUAUAUUGAAAAUACAUAAAUUUCCCUUUCCAUAUUUACAUCCUUAUUUUUGUUGUUGUCUUCCCUCACAGCGCUGAUUUUUUUACCACUGGUUUUCCCUUAAACCAACUCAAUUUUCCCAUGUCUUAUUUGCUUACAAAAAAAUGAUUUUUUUGGGCAAAUCAAUAUAAAUUUUUUUAUCAUUUUGGGAUUACAAUAGUUCGGACUCCACCAAAAUAUGCAAAAUAAGGUUGAACUUUUUGGCCGUGGUCCUGGGCAGAAAAUGGGAUGUAAUAAAUUACUUAAGAAUUAGCAAAUGGGCUGCAAAUUGUAUUUUUUUUAGCAAAUGGGCUCUAUGUUGUCUGCCACAGAUUUAGAGGCUGACUUGUGGGCCUAAGUUCAUGCGUACACAAGGUUUCUCAAAAAAAAGAAACUUAGUCAACAAUCGACUCUACCAGCGUCAGACCGUUAGAUGUCAAUCUAACGACAAUUGUGCUUCUUCAGUCUCUGAUCUUCCUACUCCAACCGCCUUCUCCCGCCUCCCGUGGCCGGCUGUGCUGCCGGGCAGGCCUCACGGCCCCACCAUACUCGCAUCCCUAGCCUGUCUAUCCCUCUACUCACCCACACCUCCUGUUAUUUUCCGGCGAUGGCAGCCGAACCAGUCAACCCUCGUACUCCCCACCGCGUGGGCAGCCACUGCCGUGUCUUCCCUGGCUCCGUGUCGUUCCCUUCGUAGGCCUCGCCAUCCUCCACCGCCCUGGUGCUCUCGGCGCGGUGUGGUCAACGUGGUCAACGAACGACAUCCAUCGGAAGUGGACUGUACGUGGAGAGGCUGACAGCUGGGUCCACCGCCGCACACAAGGAAAUGCCUCCUUAUUACGCACAAAAUAAUGAUUCCUCCACCUGACAUCUGGUACCCACCGGAAGGUCCUCUGUAUUUCGUGAAAAAAUGCCCUCCCCCCCCCGCUGAUAGCUCGGAGCCACCAGCUAUAUCUUCGCACGCAAUGAAGUGCCUCCUUAUUACGCACAAAAAAAUGAAUACCCCCUGCGUGGGAAGCUGACUUGUGGGCCUACUAAGUUGACGGGGAUGGAGGGCUUUGUCAACUUAGUCAAUAUGAACGAUUCUAGAUCCAGUGACCGUACGAUGUUCAUCCAACGGCCGUAGUGCUUCUUCAACCUCUGGUCUUCUUGCUCCAGCCGCCCAAACCAGCGCCGGUCAUGCCGCGUGCUCCUGCCUCCCGUGGUCGGUUGUGCUGCCACGGAGGCCUCACCGCCCCCUACUACUCCCACCGCUGGCCAGGCCAUCCCUCCACUCACCCACACCCCCUGUUAUUCUGCGGAGACGGCAGCCUCACACCGAAGCCUAAUCAGUGAACCCUCGUACUCCUCUCCGCAUGGGCAUCCACUGCCGCGUCUUCCCCGGCUCCGCGUCGUCCCCUUCCUAGGCCUCGCCGUCGUCCACCGCCCUGGUGCUCUCGGCGCGCGUGGUCAACGUGGUCAAGGAACGACUUCCAUCGGAAGAGUACUGUACGUGGAGAGGCUGACAGCUGGGUCCACGGCCGCAGCAAGGAAGUGCCUCCUUAUUACGCGGAAAAUAAUGAUUCCUCCACCUCACAGCAGGGACCCACCGGACGGGCCACCGUUUUUCACGAAAAAAAGUUUCCCCCCUGACUGCUGGGACCCACCAGCUACAUCUUCGCAUGCAAGGAAGUGCGUCCAUAUUACGGGCAAAAAAAUGAUUCGCCCCCCUGACUGCUGGGACCCACCAGCUACAUCUUCACACACAAGGAAGUGCCUGACAGUCGGGACCCACCCGGUCGAAGCAUACGUAGCAUUUUCAUUCUUGUCGUGAACGUGUACGUACAUACUGGUCGAUGUAGAGGCGCGCACGUGUGGUAGUAGAGCCUUGCAAGUGUGGUAGUAGAGGCGCGAACGUAGCAUGUACAUUUACGUACAGCGGCCAGGGUGCAAGAAAGUAAAUACGGACACGUACGUACAUACGGGCAGGGUCUCGAACGCCUACUCGCGCAUACGUACGGCCAGGGCUCGUGUACAUGGCUUUGGCUGGGUCGGAACGGAGAAACUGCGUCGUCGUCGUGUUCAUGGGGAGGCAACGGAAUGUGUCAUGUUCAUCGGGAGGCAACGGAACGCGUGCUGUUCAUCGGGAGCCAACGGGCUUGGACGGAACAGGCGAUGGAAACGAGGCCUGGCAUACCGCAGAAUGGAGGAAACGGCCUUCUGUUCGACCGGCCACGGUGGAAACAGGAUCCUUUUCAUCGGGAGGGGUCUGGCGUACCGCAAAACGGAGGAAACAGACCUCCUACGGUCGAAACGGGGUCCUGUUGGUCGGGAGGGGUCUGGCGUACCGCAAAACGGAGGAAACGGACUUGUGUUGGAGCGCUACGCUCGAAAGGAGGGUCCUGUUCAUUGGGAGGCGUGUGGCGUACCGCAAAAUGGGACUCCACAGGAUACUGUUCAUCUCCACAGCCAACCUCCUCCAGCCUCCACGGGCUACCGUUCAUCGACCGCCGACCUCCUCCAGCCUCCACCUGCGACUGUUCAUCCACGGGCUCCUGUUCAUCCAGCCUCCACCGCGCGCUCCUCCACCCGCUACUGUUCAACUAGCCCUCUCCACGGGGGUCCUGUUCAACCACCCCUCCACGGGCUACUGUUCAACCAGCCCUGCACCGGCUACUGUUCAACCAGCCCUCCACGGGGUCUUGUUCAUCCAGCCCUCCACGGGGUCCUAUUCAUCCACCGGCUCGAUCGAUCGGGGUACUGUUCAUCCAGCGGCAACGGCCUCUACUACCAUGGGUUCCUGUUCAUCCAACCCCCACGGGAACUGUUCAUCCAAACCCCCCAACGACGUUCACUGUUCAUCGAGAGGCAGCAUCGAUCGGCUUUAGUUAGCAGGAGUAGCGAAGGAAUCGCUCGAUCGGGUUCAGUUAACAGCUAUUGAUCAAUCAUUUAGGUUCAGUAACGCGUAGCCUGCAGUGCAAUCGCUCGGGUUCAGUUAGAGCCCAACUCCUCGCUCGGUUUCAGUUAGAGCACAACGCCUCGCACACACACGCGUACGUAUGAGAGAAACACGCAUCGCUCGGCCCCCGGCCACCCACCGUAACCGGGAACUCCCCCGAUAUUUUCCUCACCCUCGCUUCUACCACGGUUUUCUCUGUCAUGGACGGCCCAAAGAAUGUCAUGCAGCUGCGUCUCCGGCCCGCCCAGGACGAAAAUCCCAUUUUCUGUCAUGAUUUUUUGUCAUAGAAGUAGGAUCCCACUACAUCUAUGAUGAUACCGGGUUUUCUCACAAUUAUCGUCAUAGAAGUGUCAUAAGCAUGACAGAAAAAAUUCGUUCGGCCCAAAAUGUCACGGAUGAGUCUUUUUUUGUAGUGGUUCUGGGAUUUUUGGGGUAUUUAUAGAGCAAAGAGGCGGUCCGGGGGGCACCCGAGGUGGGCACAACCCACCAGGGCGCGCCUGGGCCUCCUGGCGCGCCCUGGUGGGUUGUGCCGCCCUCGGGGCACCACCCAGGUGCAACCAGGGACCAUUGCCUACCUUCUGGCGCAUGAAAAAUCAUUGUGGAGAUUUGUGGCAUUUGGACUCCGUUUGAUAUUGAUUUCCUACGAUGUAAAAAACAUGGAAAAAACAACAACUGGCACUUGGCACUAUGUCAAUAGGUUAGUACCAAAAAAUGAUAUAAAAUGACUAUAAAAUGAUUAUAAAACAUCCAAGAUUGAUAAUAAAACAGCAUGGAACAAUAAAAAAUUAUAGAUACGUUGGAGACGAAUCAGCAUCCCCAAGCUUAAUUCCUGCUCGUCCUCGAGUAGGUAAGUGAUAAAAACAGAAUUUUUAAUGUGGAGUGAUGUUUAUCAAGUCAUAUCAUAUUCUUUUCUUCAUAGCAUGGACAUUUUGACUUUUGUGUGAUUCAAAGCAAUAGUCUAGUUUUGACAUAAUGAUUUAGAUACUCAAGCAUAUCAACAAGCAACCAUGUCUUUCAAAAUAUCAACGCUAAAACAAGUUAUCCCUAGCCCAUCAUGCUCAAACAUUUCUCCAUUCAUGAAACACACUCGAAUAUUAGCUACACCCAAUACUUACUCAUGAUCAUAUUGUCUCCUAGUUGGUGCUUUUAUCAGAGAUGAUGGAGACUCAAAUUCAAAAGUAAAAAUUGCAUAAAGUAAAAGAAAGGCCCUUCGGAGAGGGAAGUAGGGAUUUGUAGAGGUGCCAGAGCUCAAAACGAAAAAUAUAGAGAUAAAAACAUUUUGGGAGGUGUAUCCAUCCCACCAACGAAAACGACGUAGAGCUACGAACACUUUCCAUGCUAGAUAUGCCAUAGGCGGUUCCCAAACAGAAAAUAAAGGUUAUUCCUUUUUCCACCAUACUUUCACUUUCCAUGGCUAGCCGUAUCCACGGUUGCCCUCCAUACCAACACUUUCCAAGGAAUUUAUUAUUUGACAACAUAAAGUAAAUUCAUUUUUGCAUUUCGGGACUAGGAAUCCCUAAAACCUUUGCCUUACUCUCGUGCAAUGACAAGUGAAUAAACACUCAACGUGAGAAUAACACAUCCAGCAUGGAAAAUAUUAGCCACUUGUUAUCGUUCCGCGAGCGAAACAAAUACACAAAAGAGAAGUUUAUUUUGAAAAUUAGAGAUGGCACAUGCAAAUUUGCUUAGAACGGCAAAAGAAUACCGCAUAUGGGUAGAUAUAGUGGACUCAUGUGGCAAAACUGGUUUAAAGGAUUUUGGAUGCACAAGUAGAGGUCAUACUUAGUGCAAAAUGAAGGCUAGCAAAAAGAUUGAGAAGCGACCAACCAAGAAACGAAUAAUUUCGUAAAGCAAGCAUUAAGCAUAAGUAACACCGAAUAAUGCACCACAAGUAGGAUAUAAUUUUCAUCGCAUGAUUAUUGACUUUCGUGCAUGCAUAGGGAAUCACAAACCUUAACACCAAUAUUCUUACUAGAGCACAAUUACUCAUCAACAUAACUCAAAUAUCACAUCAUCAUAUCUCAAAACUAUUACUAAGAAUCAAGUUUAUUUUGUCCAAUGAUCUUCAUGACAUUUUUAUUUAUUUUAUCCUUCUUGGAUAUCUAUCACUUUGGGACUAAUUUUCAUGUGUUGCUUUUCAUAAGCUCAAACAAAUAUAAGUGAAGACAUUGAGCAUAACAAAUUUUCUUUCUCUCAAAAUAAUUUAAGUGAAGUAAGAGAGAAUUUCUUAAAAAAUUUACUAACUCUCAAAUAAAUCUAAGUGAAGCAAGAGAGCAUUUUUUUCAAAAAUACUAAGCACACCCUGCUCAAAAAGAUAUAAGUGAAGCACUAGAGCAAGUCCUAGCUCAUAAAAGAUUUAAGUGAAGCACAGAGAGCAAUUCUAACAAGUGAUGACAUAAUUUUGGCUCUCUCAAAUAGGUGUGUCCAGCAAGGAUUGAUGACUUAAAACACAAAAUAAAACAAGCAAAGACACAUAUCAUACAAGACGCUCCAAGAAAAACACAUAUCAUGUGACAAAUAAAAAUAUAGCCUCGAGUAAAAUACCGAUGGUCGUUAGAAGAAAGCGGGGAUGCCACUCGGGGGCAUGCCCAAGCUUAGUUGGUUUCUCAUUCUUGGAUAAUAGCUUGGGAUGCCGGGGCAUCCCCAAGCUUAGGCUCUUCUAUCCUUCUUUCAUCCAUCGUAAGAUAACCCAAAACUUGAAAACUUCAAUCACACAAAACUCAACAAAACCUUCGUGAGAUGCGUUAGUAAAAGAAAGUAAACCGCUACUAUAAGUGCUGCGUCAAACCAAUUCAUAUUUUGUUUUUGUAUUAUAUCUACUGUAUUCCAACUUUUCUAUGGCAAAAACUCAUCAAAGAAAACCAUAGAGCCAUCAAAAUAAGCACACAACACAAAGAAAACAGAAUCUAUCAAAACAGAACAGUCUGUAGUAAUCUGGAACUUUCGAAAACUUCUGUAACUCAAAAAAUUCAGCCAAAUUAGGACGACCUGGGUAAUUUGUAUAUUAAUCUUCGGCAAACAUAAUCGGGGCAAUAGCUCAGUUCUGUGAUUGAUGAAAAUUAUUUUCAUGAGCACAAAGUUUCUGUCUUUUUCAGCAAGAUCAAACAACUAUCACUCAAGAAGAUCCUAAAGGUUUUACUUGGCACGAACACUAAUUAAAACCUAAAAAACACAAUCAUACCAGUAGCAUAAUUGUGCAAACACACAAGUAAAGAGCAAAAAUAAAUUUUAUUCAUUGGGUUGCCUCCCAACAAGCGCUAUAGUUUUACGCCCUUAGCUAGGCGUAAGUCAAAGAUCUAAGUUUUGUCAUCUUUGUCCUUUUGAAAGCAAACAGAAAAUUUCCUAUCAAUGGCAUUUAAUCUUCUAUUUUGUGAAAGAACAUGACCAUUGAUAGUAGAAGAAAGAUUAAGCACAUUGCGAAAAUUCUUAUCUAAACUAGCCUUCAUCUCUUUGAUUGUUUCAUUUCGAUAAAAGCAUAGAAGGGUAGUUGGCUCAACAUUUUCUCCCUUGGGGUGCCCAAAUAUGGUUUUCAUCUUUUCAUAAGUAUCAACGGCAUCCCCUUCAAGAAAACCAUUUUCAAAUAUAGCAUCCAAAACUUGCUUAAAGGAAGAAGGCAAACUAGCAUAAAAACUUUUUAGGUAAUUUCUAUCUGAUAUUGGGGCACAUAGCUAGCUCGAAUUCUUAACAGCCUAUCCCAAGCGUCUUUCAAAGAUUCAUCAAGCAAAUAACGAAAAAUUCCGGGAUCGUCCGCAUCAAAAUUGUUAAGAUCUUCCUUAACACCCCCGGUAAGUCCUUCCAUAGCAUCAUUAUCUAUGAGCUUGGAUAGGACGGAGGGGCUAUCCAAAGUAUUAAAACUCUGGGAAAAACCCCUAACCUUUUUAGGGUCGGCCAUAGCAACAGGAAAACGAGCAAGCAGAAAAAGAGAGGCGAAUAAAACGGCCAAUUUUUGUGAAGUGGGGAGAGGAAAAUGAGAGGAAAAUGGCAAAUAAUGUAAAUUGCGAGGAGAUGAGAUUUGUGAUUUGGAACCUGGUUCUGUGGAAGGUCCUCCCCGGCAACGGCGCCAGAAAUUCUACUUGAUGGUGUCGCUAGGACUACGUCGGUAUUUCCCCCAAGAGGAGAGGAUGAUGUAGCACAACAAUGGUAGGUACGUAUUUCCCUCAGUUAUGAAACCAAGGUAUCGAACCAGUAGGAGAACCAAUCAAUCACAACGUAAGCAGCACCUGCACACAAAUAACAACACCUCGCAACCCGACGUGUUAAAGGGGUUGUCAAUCCCUUUCGGGGUACGGCGCCUCAAGAUAGGCAAAUGGACGGGAGAAAAUUGUAUUGGAUUGAAAUAAUAGAUCGCAAAUAAAAUAAAGUGCAGCAAGGUAUUUUUGUAUUUUUUGGUUUAAUAGAUCUGAAUAUAAACGCAAAGGAAAGUAGAUCACAAAGCAAAUAUAUAAGAAAGAAGACCCAGGGGCCGUAGGUUUCACUAGUGGCUUCUCUCGAGAAAAAUAGCAAACGGUGGGUAAAGAAAUUACUGUUGGGAAAUUGAUAGAACUUCAAAUAAUCAUGACGAUAUCCAGGCAAUGAUCAUUACAUAGGCAUCACGUCCAAGAUUAGUAGACCGACUCCUGCCUGCAUCUACUACUAUUACUCCACACAUCGACCGCUAUCCAGCAUGCAUCUAGUGUAUUAAGCUCAUGGAAAAACGGAGUAAUGCAAUAAGAACGAUGACAUGAUGUAGACAAGAUCUGUUUAUCUAUAUGUCGGUAGAUAUAGAUCUCAUCUUUUUAUCCUUAGUAGCAAUGAUACAUAUGGGUCGGUUCCUUUCUGUCACUGGGAUCAAGCACCGUAAGAUCGAACCCACUACCGGGCACCUCUUCCCAUUGCAAGAUAAAUAGACCAAGUUGGCCAAACAAAACCCAAAUAUCGGAGAAUAAAAUACGAGUCUAUAAGAGAUCAUGCAUAUAAGAGAUCAAAGAAACUCAAAUAACUUCCAUGGAUAUAAACAGAUAUAACUGAUCAUAAACUCGAAGUUCAUCAGAUCCCAACAAACACACCGCAAAAAGGACUUACAUCAUAUGGAUCUCCAAGAGACCAUUGUAUUGAGAAUCAAAAGAGAGAGGAAGCCAUCUAGCUACUCACUACAGACCUGAAGGUCUACAAAGAACUACUCACGCAUCAUCGGAGAGGCACCAAUGGAAGUGGUGAACCCCUCCGUGAUGGUGUCUAGAUUGGAUCUGGUGGUUCUGGACUCUACGGCGGCUAGAUGAAUAUUUCGUUAACUCCCCUAGGGUUCUGGGAUUUUUGGGGUAUUUAUAGAGCAAAGAGGUGGUCCGGGGGGCACCCGAGGUGGGCACAACCCACCAGGGCGCGCCUGGGCCUCCUGGCCCGCCCUGGUGGGUUGUGCCCCCCGCGGGGAACCCCCAGGUGCAAACAGGGCUCAUUGCCUUCCUUCUGGCCCAUAAAAAAUCAUCGUGGAGUUUCGUCGCAUUUGGACUCCGUUUGAUAUUGAUUUCCUGCGAUGUAAAAAACAUGGAAAAACCAGCAACUGGCACUUGGCACUAUGUCAAUAGGUUAGUACCAAAUAAGAUAUAAAAUGAUUAUAAAACAUCCAAGAUUGAUAAUAAACAGCAUGGAACAAUCAAAAAUUAUAGAUACCUUGGAGACGUAUCACUGCUCAACCCUAGCGAUGACGCGCAUCACGGCGUCGUCCAUCGCGUUGCCGGGGAGUGCCUCGGCCUCAACGAGCCGUGGCGCCUGCUCAUUUUCCUUGUCGACGAGGUUGAUGGUAGAGGCGGCGCUUUGGUGGGUUCGCAUGCUUGGAAAAGGUGGAUGUGCUACAUGCUGUGCUUGUCGCCUCCAUGCGUCGCGCGCUGCCUAGGUUUAUGCGCAAUAUCGCUGGGUGGCGGGAAACAGGUGAGGAAAUGGCGGGAAACGGUGGCAUGUUCAUAAAACGCCAUCAAUUAAUGGAAACUUAGCAUAGAAGGGAACAUCGAGCUAGCACAAGAAGUAGAUGAUGAUCAGAUGAACACGGACCACACUAGGGAACCCGUCGGUGAUGAAUUCAUUAAUCGCAAAUGGUUGAAUACUAGCAAGCGUUUGCCCACAACACACACGGCUUAUUCCAUCACAAAUAGGUCGGAUGGAUCAACUGUAUGCCACGUAUCGCACAUUGUCAAAAAGUAAUGCGGUAGACCUUCUUUAACAUGUGUUAAAAAAAAUCAAACAGCUAGUCCUUGCUGAUAUUCACAUCCUUAUGGCGUAUCCGGAUGACCGCCCGUCCCCCAAUGGCCAAUAGAUGUUGUGUAGACAAAGCAUAUCACAUACGUCUUAUUAGAAGCAAUCGUCUGUGUUAUUAUCGGUCUUCGCACACAUUUCUGAUUACAGACCUGUUUGCCGCGUACAGUACACAUCUUGUUAUAUUGAACCAUUUCUGUUCUCUUGUCUCAAUGCAAACAGUUCAUCCAAGUGAACCGCAUGCCGUAUAUCGCACACACCUUGAUCUGGCUGACCGUUUCUUUUGUGUUGCCUAAUCACAAACAGUUCAUCCGAGUGAAUCGUAUGCUGUAUAUCGCACACACCUUCAUCUGGCUGCCCGUUUCUUUUGUUCCUCCUCAUCACAAACAGUUAAUUGAGUUGAACCGUAUGCGCCGCAUCGCACACGCAACUAAAAUCUGAACCAUCUUUGAUGCAUCCUCCAUCACAAACGUUUUGCACCUUUUUUGAUGGUUUUUUACACCACCGUUUGCGAUUAUGGCAUCGCACACACUUUCAUCGAAGGGUCUCUGAUCGUAGUGUCACGUUAGCAGCAUCCUGCAGUAGGGAUAGUUUGUUGGUUUCUAAUAGAGUUUAUGCUUUAUACUUCGAUAGUGUGAUGAAUUGUUAAAUAUUCAUGAGAAGUCUAUGAUAAAAGUUUUAUGUUCAAGUUCGUUGCUGUUAUAAUAAUCCACAUGAUGCUGCUAUGUUCGUAUUUUGUAGUUGCGAUUUCGCCGGGGGAACUUCCCUCCCGGAGGGGGAAAUCAUCGUCAUCAUCAUCACCAACAACUCUCCCAUCUUGGGGAGGGCAAUCUCCAUCAACAUGUUCAACAACACCAUCUCCUCUCUAACCCUAGUUCAUCUCUUGAGUUCAACCUUUGUACCAGAACUAUAGUUUGGUGCUUGUGGGUGACUAGUAGUGUUGAUUACAUCUUGUAGUUGAUUACUAUAUGGUUUAUUUGGUGGAAGAUUAUAUGUUCAGAUCCAAUAUGCUAUUUAAUACCCCUCUGAUCUUGAGCAUGAUUAUCAUUUGUGAGUAGUUACUUUUGUUCUCGAGGUCACAGGAGAAAUUAUGUUGCAAGUAAUCAUGGAACUUGAUAUGUCUUCGAUAUUUUGAUAGUAUGUAUGUUGUGAUUCCCUUAGUGGUGUCAUGUGAACAUCAACUACACGACACUUCACCAUAUUUGGGCCUAAGGGAAUGCAUUGUGGAGUAGUUAUUAGCACUACAAAAAAAAGACAUCCGUGACAUUUUUGGCCGAACGAAUUUUUUUCUGUCAUACUUAUGACACUUCUAUGACAAUAAUUGUGACAAAACACGGUAUCAUCAUAGAUGUGGUGGGGUCCUACUUCUAUGACAAAAACUCAUGACAGAAAAUGGGCUUUUCGUCCUGGGCGGGCCGGAGACACAGCUGCAUGACAUUCUUUGGGCCAUCCAUGACGGAAAAAACCAUGGUAGAAGCAAGGGCGAGGAAAAUAUUGGGGUGUUCCCGGUUACGGUGGGUGGUCGGGGCCGAGCGAUGCACGUUUCUCUUGUACACGCACGCGCGUGGGUGCGAAGCUUUGGGCUCUAACUGAACCCGAGCGAGGCGUUGGGCUCUAACUGAACCCGAGCGAGGCGCUGGGCUCUAACUGAACCCGAGCGAUUGCACUACAGGCUACGCGUUACUGAACCCGAGCGAUCGAUCGAUGGCUGUUAACUAAACUCGAUCGAGUGAUUCCUUCCCUACUGCUGCUAACUGAAGCCGAUCGAUGCUGCCUCUGGAUGAACAGUGAGCGUUGCUGGGGGGGUUUGGAUGAACAGUUCCCGAUGGGGGUGGAUGAACAGGAUCCCGUGGUGUUGCCUCUGGAUGAACAGGACCCCAAUCGAUCGAGCCGGUUGGUGCUGGAUGAACAGGACCCCGUGGAGGGCUGGAUGAACAGGACCACCCCGUGGAGGGAUGGAUGAACAGUAGACGAUGGAGGGCUGGAUGAACAGUAGCCCGUGGAGGGGUGGUUGAACAGUAGCCCGUGGAGAGGGCUGGUUGAACAGUAGCCGGUGGAGUAGCGCGUGGUGGAGGCUGGAUGAACAGGAGCCCAUGGAUGAACAGUCGCAGGUGGAGGCUAGAGGAGGUCGACGGUGGAUGAACAGUAGCACGUGGAGGCUGGAGGGGGUCGACGGUGGAGAUGAACAGUAUCCCGUGGAGUCCCGUUUUGCGGUACGCCACACCCCUCCUGAUCAACAGGACCCCCGUUUCGACCGUAGGAGGUCCGUUUCCUCCGUUUUGCUGUACGCCAGACCCCUCCCGAUGAACAGGAUCCCGUUUCGAAUGCGUCCGGUCGAACACAAGGCUGUUUCCUCCGUUCCGCGGUACGCCAGGCCUCGUUUCCAUCGGCUGUUCCGUCCAAGCCGGUUGGCUCCCACGCGUUCCGUUGCCUCCCGAUGAACACGACGCAUUCCGUUGCCUCCCCAUGCACACGACGACGACGCAGUUUCUCCGUUCUGACCCAGCCUUGUACACAAGCCCGGGUCGUAAGUAUGCGCGAGUAGGCGUUCGAGACCCCGCCCGUAUGUACGUACGUGGCUGUAUUUUCUUUCUUGCACACUGGCCGCUGUACGUACGUGUACAUGCUACAUGCGCGCCUCAACUACGACACGUGCGCGCUCUACAUCGACCAGUAUGUACGUACACGUUCGCAACCAGAAUGACAACGCUACAUACGCUUCGACGAGGUGGGUCCCGACUGUCAGGCACUUCCUUGCGUGCGAAGAUAUAGCUGGUGGGUCACAACAGUCAGGGGGCGAAUCGUUUUUUUUGCCCGGACGCACUUCCUUGCGUGCGAAGAUGUAGCUGGUGGGUCCCAGCAGUCAGGGGGGAAACAUUUUUUUCAUGAAAUACAGUGGCCCGUCCAGUGGGUCCCCGCUGUGAGGUGCAGGAAUAAUUAUUUUGCGCGUAAUAAGGAGGCACUUCCUUGCGGCUGCCGUGGACCCAGCUGUGUCAGCCUCUCCAUGUACAGUACUCUUCCGAUGGAAGUCGGUCGUUGACCACAUUGACCACGCCGCGCCGAGAGCACCAAGGCGGUGGACGACGGCGAGGCCUAGGAAGGGGACGACGCUGAGCCAGGGAAGACGCGGCAGUGGAUGCCCACGCGUAGAGGAGUAUGAGGGUUCACUGGUUCGCUGCGGUGUGAGGCUGCCGUCGCCGCAGAAUAACAGGGCGUGUGGGUGAGUAGAGGGAUGGCCUGGCCAGCGGUGGGAGUAGUAGGGGGUGGUGAGGCCUCCGCCGCAUCGCAGCCGGCCACGGGAGGCAGGAGGACGAGGCACAAUCGACGAUGGUUUGGGCGGCUGGAGCAAGAAGACCAGAGGUUGAAGAAGCACUACGGCCGUUGGAUGGACAUCGUACGGUCACUGGAGCUAGAAUCGUGCAUAUUGACUAAGUUGACAAAGACCUCCGUCCCCGUCAACUUAGUAGGCCCACAAGUCAGCCUGCCACUAUACUGGGUCCCAGCUAGCAGGGGAGUAUUCAUUUUUUUGUGCGUAAUAAGGAGGCACUUCCUUGCGUGCGAAGAUAUAGCUGGUGGGUCCGAGCUGUCAGCGACGGUAACGUUUUUUUUCGCGAAAUACAGAUGCCCUUCCGGUGGGUCCCAGAUGUCAGGUGGAGGAAUCAUUAUUAUGCGCGUAAUAAGGAGGCAUUUCCUUGCGUGCGGCCGUGGAUCCAGCUGUCAGCCUCUCCACCUACAGUCCACUUCAGAUCCAUGUCGGUCGUUGACCAUGUUGACCAGGCCGCGCCGAGAGCACCAGGGCGGUGGACGACGGCGAGGCCUAGGAAGGGAAUGACACGGAGCCAGGGAAGACUCGGCAGUUGUUUCCCACGCGGAGGGUAGUACGACUGGUACAAGGUUUUACUGGUUCGUCUGCCGUCGCCGGAGAAUAACAGCAGGUUUGGGUGAGUAGAGGGAUGGCUAGGCCAGCGAUGGGAGUACGGUGGGGCGGGGAGGCCUGCGCGGCAGCACAGCCUGCCGCAGGGAGGAGGGAGCAGGCAGUCCCGCCGGCGCUUGUUUGAGCGGCUGGAGCAGAGAUUGAAGAAGCACGACGGCCGUUGGAUGGAAAUCCAACAGUCACUGCUUGUGCGUCAACCUUUUUUUUAGGAAAGCCUCAAAUCUGUGGAAAACAGCAUACAUCCCAUCUGCUAUUAUUUCUAAUAAUUUACAGCCCAUUUGCUAAUUCUUAAGGUUUUAUUUGGAGCCCAUAUUCUUUUUGUUAGCAUUCCAGCCCAUAUUGUGGCCACGGUUAAAAAAUUAUACAAAAUUUUGCAUAUUUCGGUGCGGUCCGAACUGUUUUUAAUCCCGAAAUUUCGAGUCACAUUCAAACUGAUUUAAAAAAUAAAUGUAUAUCAAUAUGAAAUCCAACAAAUUGUCCACGCAUAAAAAUCAAUGCAAUUUCAAAUCUUGAAAUGAAAAAAAGAAAUUUGAAACUAAUUGCCGGUUUGAUGUGUUUUAAAAAUGUACAGCCCAUUUCUCAUUACUGAUAGGCCAUUUUUCGGCCAGCCGAAUGAAGCUCUCCUCGUCUUGAAAGAUUUGCAGCCCAACAGGCCUAACAAAGCGACUUACUUGGCAAAUCACAAAAAAACUAGGCUGUGGCCGUGGACCUAGCUGUCAGCCUCUCCACAUACAGUACUCUUCCGAUGAAAGUCGGUCUUUGACCACAUUGACCAUGCCGCGCCGAGAGCACCAAGGCGGUGGACAACGGCAAGGCCUAGGAAGGGGGUGACGCGGAGCUGGGGAAGACGCGGCAGUGGAUGCCCAUGCGGAGAGGAGUACGAGGGUUCACCGGUUCGGCUGUGGUGUGAGGCUGCCGUCGCCACAGAAUAACAGGGGGUGUGGGUGAGUGGAGGGAUGACAUGGCCAGUGGUGGGAGUAGUAUGGGGGCGGUGAGGCCUCCACGGCAGCACAGCCGGCCACGGGAGGCGGGAGCAGGCGGCACGACCGGCGCUGCUUUGGGCGGCUUGAGCAAGUAGACCAGAGGUUGAAGAAGCACUAUGGCCGUUGGAUGGACAUCAUACGGUCACUAGAGCUAGAAUCGUUCAUAUUGACUAAGUUGACAAAGCCCUCUGUCCCCGUCAACUUAGUACGCCCACAAGUCAGCCACCCACUAUGGUGGGUCCCAGCUAGCAGGGGGGUAUUCAUAUUUUUGUGCGUCAUAAGGACGCACUUCCUUGCAUGCGAAGAUAUAGCUGGUGGGUCCGACCUGUCGGUAGGGCAAACAUUUUUUUUCGUGAAAUACAGAAGCCCUUCCCCCGGGUCCUAGCAUUCAGGUGGAGGAAUCAUUAUUUUGCGCGUAAUAAGGAGGCAUUUCCUUGUGUGCGGCCGUGGACCCAGCUGUCAGCCUCUCCACGUACAGUCCACUUCCGAUGGAUGUCGUCAUUGACCAUGUUGACCAGACCGCGCCGAGAGCACCAGGGCAGUGGACGACGGCAAGGCCUAGGAAGGGAAUGACACGGAGCCAUGGAAGACUCGGCAGUUGUUUCCCACGCUAAGGAGUACGAGGGUUUACUGGUUCGUCUGCCGUCCCCGGAGAAUAACAGCAGGUGUGGGUGAGUAGAGGGAUGGCUAGGCCAGCGAUGGGAGUACGGUGGAGCGGGGAGGCCAGCGCGGCAGCAUAACCGGCCACGGGAAGAGGGAGCAGGCAGUCCCGCCGGCGCUUGUUUGAGCGGCUGGAGCAGGAAAAUCAGAGAUUGAAGAAGCACAACAGCCGUUGGAUGGACAUCCAACAGUCACUGCUCUCAUGUGCAUUAUUACUAAUAAUGUACAGCCCAUUUGCUAAUUCUGAAGAAUUUUUUUGGAGCCCUUCUUCUUUUUGUUAGCAUUACACCCCAUAUUGUGGGCACGGUUAAAAAGUAUAUGAAUUUUUGCAUAUUUCAGUGCGGUCAACUGUUUUUAAUCCCAAAAUAUCGAUUCACAUUCAAACUAUUUUGAAAAAUAAUUUAUAUAAAUAUAAAAUCCAAAUAAUUGUCCACGCAUAAAAAUCAAUGGAAUUUAAAAUCUUGUAAUAAAAAAAUGAAACUAAUUCCCGGUUUGAUGUGUUUUAAAAAUGUACAACCCAUUUCUGGGCAAACCGAAUGAAACUCUCCUCGUCUUGAAAGAUUUGCAGCCCAGCAGGGCCUCGUUUGGGUAUUUCUUAAAAAAAUAGAACUGGGCUAGCCAUUUUCAGCAAGAAAAAAACACAACUGGGCUCAUGAUGUGGUAAACAUAAAUAAAUCCCUGGCUAGACUGGCCACAGCCCCCGCACAGCCCCGUUGUUACCCUGAUCCGUCGCUAAAACUAGUAUAAAUAACAACUGCUUGUUCCUCAAAAAAAAACUACGCGACCUGCUGGGUCCCUGGUGUCAGCCGCUCGUAGUGUAAUUCUCUCAUUUAUUGACAAUGUUGACAAUGGCGUGAGCCCCAGAUGUCCAACCAUUAGGAGGAACCAUAUUUUGUGCUUGUAAUAUAGAGGCACUUGCUUGCGUACUGCCAUGACGCUCGUGGGUCCCUACUGUCAUCCUCUCCACAUACAGUCAUCUCCUUGUUCCUCUCGGUUGUUGACGAUGUUGACAACGCAAGAGGGCGGUGCACUGCGCACAGCGAGCGAACCAAGGCCGCAAGGCGGAGGACGACAGCGAGGCCUCAGACGGAACGAACAGGAGCCGUGGAAGAUGCCCCGGUCUAGUCGCAGGCGGAGGGGAGUACGAGGGUUGACUGGUUCGGGUGCGGGUGUGUGUUGGGGCUGACGUCUCCGGAGAAUAACAGGACGUGUGGGGGAAUAGAGGGAGGGACUGGCCAAUGUUGGAGGGUACGUAUGGUAGGGCGGCGGAGGUGCAGCCAGCCAUGGGAGGCGGGAGCAGGCGGAGCCGACAGGGUGGUUAGGUUUGGGUGGCUGGAGGAAGAAGACAAGAGAUAGAAGAUACAUGACAGAUGUUGGAUGUCAAUCCAACGGCUGGUAGGCAGAAUCGCUUGUUGACUGACUAGUAAGUCGACACCACCUUGGAUAGGCUAUUGCCUCGCGGGUCCCAAAUGUCAUAAUCCAAAUCUGUCACGGUCAUGCAGCCUUUCCUAUGAAAAUUUACAGCCCAUUUGAUGUGCUAGUUCGAAAUAAGUUUGUGGGUGAUGGUGGGGGCUAAUCACUUGGCUUCUGUAAUGCACGGUGAGCUCAAGCAGCCAGCGAGAGUGAUGUUAUUUCCCUUGGUUGGGAUUUGUUAGUUGCUACAAUAUUUCACUCUAAAUUAAACGACUGGCAAGCCAUUUGCCUUGCUUCGAAGAAAAUAUGACAGUCACAGCCAAGUUGGAAAGGGCAAGGACAUCUAACUCCAGCUUACAAACUGUAGAAAAGCACGAGGGUUAAUUGUUCAUCAGGUUUACAAAAAAAAACCCAGGUUGAAAAGAGCGACAACAUCUAACUCCGGCAUUGUUUUCAGCAGUCACAGUCAAAUGGAUCGAUCAGGUCCAUAGAAUGAACAUCCUGGGUCGUACAAUUUACUGGAUUAUGACCACUAUAUGUUGUAAAUAGAAGCCCGACAUGUUCAGAAGCUCUUUUGCCCACCUAAAACUCCUUUUUUUUUGCUCUUCCACAUACCCAUCCGUCAAAACCAUGCUGCUGAUAAACUUAAGCCUGAUGGACAAUAGUAACCUCGCAUUCAGCAGGAAGAAUGUGACAAAUCUAGUGUUUGCACGGUUGGCUACAUAUCGUUCUAGAGUUAUUGUCUUCAAUCGAAUCUCAUGAGAAGUGAGAAAAUCCCGAUGCUUACGAAUCCACCGAUUGGUUAUAACUUUCUUACCCCGUCCUGUUGCCUAAAUAGACAUGAAGAUUGAAAACAAUUAAGGUCUAAAAAAAGAGUGUCGAAAGAGCAACAGCUGAACGGUUAAUUCUAGUACACUAUAUGCGGACUUCCAAUGUGCGUGAAAUUAGCACCUUUAUAUACAACUUCUCCAGACAUGGAAAGCAUUGCAGCAAGUCAAUAAUCUUGUUCAGAUCAAAACUAUUCAUUUGGAUAUAUAAGAUCUUCACAGAAUCCAGCACCAUUGAUAGGCCAUCCAUGGAGAAACUCUUCAUUGAGCAUAGAACAUAAUGUUAGUACAAAAUGUGUACUCCAAGAUGACAUAUAACUUAUGCGCAGAAAUUUAAAAUGCAGCUUAUGGUUACAAAUGUAGAUGAUAAUGUAAAGUACCUGAAGAACUGUGGAGCCAAACACCAUAUUGAAAUGAGCACAGAGAUCAUGUAUUACACCCAAGGUCUCCAGUUUAGGCGCAGAGAGGACGGUUAUUUGCAACGGUGAAUAACUAGAAUCAAGGAUCAACCUUUGAAGUGAAGGGGCAUCUUGGAUGAUGAGCUGCCUUCCAUCAAAACAAAUUCCAAUUCUUACAAGGUUAGGCGACUUUAUUUGGAGACAACCGAUUCUAACUAUGAAAACAAGCACCAAGCACUCCAGGGCAGGGCAACUGGAGUGGAUGAUGCGGUGCAAUGAGGCCUCUGAUAUACGAACCCGCACAAGUGAAAGUUUCUUGAGAAAUGGGAGUCGAAGGUUUAGUACCAGGUUGUCUGGUAGGUCGCACAGCGCAAAGGUGGCGGUGUGGAGAGAGGAGGAAAACCGCGAGAGUGACAUCGGUGCUGAGGGCACAGGUAGAUGGUGUUCGGUAUCUGGUAGGUGAUUUCCAGGGGAAUAGUAGAACUCAAGCAGCUGUAGUCCUGUGAUUUCAGGGGAUUUCAGCCAAGUGUCCACCGUGCAGGGCAUGGUAUGCUUGCUCAGGUAGCAUGACGUGAUGCAGAGGCUUUGGACGGAGCCCUGGUGGGAGGAGAUGAUGGCUCUGGGGAUUUCAAAAUCAUUGAAGAGAGAUAGCUGACGACAGUCGAGAUUAAGGGGCACGACGCUCUAUAGAGGGCGCCACCGAAUUGAGAGGACUUGGGUGCGGCAGCAAUCCUUGGUGGGGAGAAGCGAGAUGAUCUCCCCAAGGACGGCGUCCGGGAGAUCGCUGAUGCGGUCCACCCGAGAUUCUACGGGUUCCUUGGAUCCGGUGGGGGCGGGGUCGCCGCUUCUCCCCGCGCUGCCGGGUGCGGGCUCUACAACAGGCAUCGCCGCUGGCGGGAGCCUCAUCUUCUUGGCGCUGGGGUCAGCCGACUCCAUUUUCCUCGAGGGCGUCGCGUCGCGCUCACGGAUUUGAGCAGAGUAACGAAUGACGAGCCUAGUUGUAGUGCGAGUGAAGAAGAAUGGAAGCUGGGUUUUUUCUGUAGUAGUGAGGAAGAAGGGGAGCUGGGGUUUUCUGUAGGAGUGAGGUGAGGAAUUUGGGGGUACGAGUGGAGCGAGCUGACGUGAGGUGGGUGGGAGUGAGGAGGAAGAAGAACACCCAGGUUUUUUUGGGGGGCAGUGUGCUGGGUGUGGGUAGCGCCUCUCAUUCAGUAACUAUAUGGACUUUUGAAUUGAUUUUACUAUUUACUAGGGUGGAUGGGCUGUUUUGUCUUGGGCCCAGAGAAACAAUUACUACUAGUACAGUGGAGACACUCUACAGCUACCAAGAAAAACAAUUACUACUAGUACAGUGGAUACAAUAACGCUUCUGGCUCCUCCUAGGUCAUCGAAAUGUCUCCCUUUACUGAAUGCCGUUAUACUUUUGUUCACCGACAUGCGGUCCAUGCAACGCGCGGGCCCAAAUGCCACCCACCAAAUUAGAAGGCAGUAUGCAGGCGAAGAGUCACCCCGGUCGUAGCGCGGCAAUAACGAGCUGUCGUAUCACAAAACCCCACCUCCCCGCAGUGUAAGUUUGACGGACGAAGCAACCAUCAUUUCACUCUUCGCUGAAUCCCCUUCUCCCUCACCGUCUUCAAGAAAGGCAACACUCGCAUCUGCCACUGUUCUUCUCUCCCAACAAAGGGAAGGUAAGAGGAUCCGUGAUGUUGGUAUAUUUUUGUUCAGAGAAAAAAAGAACUUUUGCAAAGCAGUAACCGAUCCUCACUCUUUUUUUUGUUUCAUUGUCAAUGAGAUUGUGUUUUCCUUUCAGUGGUCUCCUAGUAUUCGUCAGUUUCAUGAUGGACCUAGGAGAACGAGGCAAAGAUCUGCCGAUAUUGGAGCAGACGCGGGAGGUUGAUCCCCACGAGACAGAGAGCUCCAAGAAGAUGGAGGCAGCCACCGAGCCGACCCCAGACACGCUCACUGCCACUACUGAGAUGGUCAAUGCCCCGUUUGAGGUUACAGCCCCCGUGGCACUGCAGGAGCAGUUUUCCCCCUUCGGGGAUGUGUCCCCCCCCCCCCGCUGAGCUACCCAAGGUGAUUUUCUUCUUUGCCAAUCUCGAUUGUGGUUUUUCAUGUAAGUAUGUGGUGAUGAAUAAUGCAAAAUUUUAUUAGCUUUGAUGCCAUGCUAUACACAGUGGUUUAAAUAACUUGUGUUUCUUAUACUGGAAAGUAAUUCAGAAUUUGUUUCUGUUUCAAUUAGAGCCUUGAUGCAGACAAGGAUUGUGUGGUUGUACAUGUCACUCGCUAUGAGGCGGAUGACCUGAAUAUACGCACUGGGAAAACAGAGUUUUUAGGCUGUUGGAUCUUGGAAGCCAUUUGCGCUUAUACCAAUGAAGAGUUGUAUUCUAGCCUCACUGUUGUCAGGCGUGUUGUCCAGGGUGUACUGAAGCACAAGAAGUUCAAAGCUACUCCUUCGUUUGUGAGCCAUACUGUUCUUGUCAAGCUUACGCAGGAAGGUGACGUGGCAUGCCUCCACAAACAAGUUUAUGAGUGGCAAGGCCACAAGGUUGUCUUCAUGAAGGUUCAUAGGAUUGAGCUGCUGCUGGACGUCCUCGAUGAUGUUCAUGGCAAGGUCCGUCUUAUGUCCAGCCCAAAUUAGAUCGAGGAAUGAAAUAGUUGCCCCAGCUAGUGUUUAAUAGUAGUUUGGAUUGUGUCUAAUUAUCCGAACCUUGCCUGUUAUCGAGCCCUCUGGGGCUAGUACUCUGUUUGAAUCCGUCUAUGGGAACAACUGCUACUUUUGUGUGCCCGUGAAUCAUCGUAAUUGUUGCCGAAACAGAUGCGUCCUCACUAGUUUUAUCAUACGAGCAGUGUGUGUUCUGAUGAAAUAGAGUACUCGUUCGAGAACUGUGCCCCGACGUAUACAUAAAUACUUAUAGACACUGUUGGUGCUACCCCACUUGUAAGCAGUUGUGCAAAACACGACACAUUGGCUCAACUCGCUUCAACACUAGGCUACCAACCAGCUAACAAUCAACAAUUUGUUGUCUGACAUAUCAGCAACUAUGUAUCUUGUUACAGUGGUUCAUGCAGUUAACUGAGGCCACAAUGUAAAUUUCAAACGUUCACACGCUAGUCCAGCGUUCAUGUGGAACACUCACAUUAAACUCGGCUUCAUAAAAAACUUGAAAAGCAUAAGUUAAGCAAUUUUAUACAUCUCAAUGAUUCAUAGAACAUAACAAACAUAUACUAGUUCAUAGCAAAAGACAAAGUUGUGAGAAGGUUUACAAAUCAGGAAAAAACAAGCAAGGCUUCACUGAACAAAGGGCCACCCGGCAGGCUUAAAUUUCCUAGAGUUCACUCUUGUUUUUUCUUGUUGCCACCAUCCAGGGUUAGGUUCUCUCAUUCCAGAAUAACCAAUUAUAAUUGUGUUCUCAGCUAGAAUGCUGAACUGAACCAUGUAGUGUACUGACCAGCUGAAAUUCUUGUGCAUUCCACUAAAUUUAAGCACCGCUAUUUGCAGAAAUAAGCAGACCACAAUGCCUCUUGUCCGUGCACCUGUCCAAAAAACCGCCGUGCAGCCGUGCCAGCUAGUCCUCGGUCCAUGGAUGAACUGGUAGAAAGUGCAUUCUGGACUAGGAUGCAGUUGUUUUCGCUCGUCCCUACACUGCAAUCAGGAAGUAAAACGUACGAAUCAACUUCUUUUAUAUUGUGUUGGUCAUUCUACCUAGUAACUACCAAUGUAGGAAUACCUGGAAGACGGGUGGUUAGACCACGACAACGAGGGAUAGCCAUCUCAUUUUGCGCAGUUCUACUAAAACUGAGGUGUGUGCUUUUGAUUGCGCGGAUAGAAACGAUACGGAGACAGACAUCCCAAAACGAUAUGGAGACAGACAUCUCUGUUUGCACAAAUACGAAAUACGGUUAUUUAAACAGUGACAGAUAUUUGCAGUGGCGUAUGAUUAACAGCAGCAUUUAUUGUGUUAUAAUUGGCACUAGAUUGACAGUAUGAAAGUGUCCUUAAGUAAGUAGCAUCACAUCACAUCAACACUGCCACUAGAUUAACAUGCAGAACAAUAGCAUUAGUAUUACUGUCAGGAGAGUAGCACAUGGUCAGUAAAUGUGCAAUCAAAUUUGUGCAGUUCCACUGGGAUGAAGCAAUGUUAGCGGUGUGAGAUUUAAGUGUAACUACAAAAACACAAUUCAUGGGAAAUAAAUCAAGACAGAAGCACUUCAUAAAAUGGUGGUGGCAUUGCUUCAAUUUAUCGACGGCACUAGACCAUUACUAAUAGUGACAUUAGGUGGCAUUGCUUAAUGCUUCAUGCGAUUUUACAUUAACGGUAGCGAUAUGGGCGUAGGGAUAGCAGGGGCAUAAAGUGGUGAGGCAGAUGUGGUUGCCGAGAGCGGCAAACACUCAGGCAGCAUGUCUGCAUUUGUCCCAUUUUUUAUCUCCUCGGCGACAUUUUCCUAUGUGAGCACAGGAAAUCAAGACCUGCUCAUUCUCAUUUGAGUUGUCCCCAAACCCUUCGCCAUCCACCAUGCUUUCUUCGUCUUUUCAACCAAGAGACCGAUUGGGUAGCCAGUAUCUACUACUUUCCCCCGUUUCCUCUUAGAACCAAGUCCUAGAUUCAUGCUACAGCUUUCCCACUUUCUUCCCUGUUUGAACCAACUCUUAGAGUCGACAGUAUGAACUAGCUUUACCUCUAAUAAUAGUAAAAGUCUAGGUGGCUUUGGAACAGCGGACGGAAGUAGAAAAAGAUCCACGCGAAGCCAAGUGGGGAGUUGGGGCAGUAGAGCAAGGCAAGUUUCAAAGGAAUAUAUACCUGAGGGUCGUCGGCAUGUGGCAAAGAUGGUGUCGGGAAGCCGCAUCUUGGCGACAAUACCGCAGGGAGGAAGAAGGGGUCGGAGGCCCUCCGGAGCCAGCGCUCUCCCGGAGAGAACGGCACGGCCGCCAAUCGGGACGCGCGGGCAGCCGUUGGUCUCCUCCCUCGCCGCCGACGACAGCGUGAACGAUGCACCUACACCCCUGCCUCAGUCGAGGUUAUCUGGCCGGAUUUGUGACCAGCCGUGAGCUGAGAGAGAGUGUGGCCACCUAUGUCUUGCUUAGAUCUGGAGAGCAUGAGAAAGUGAACGAGAGGAACCCUAGUAAAGCAAGCGCUAAGGCUCCUGCUUAUAUAUAUAGUGGAGUGAUUUUGUUGUACUAGCUUCAAAAAAAUGCGCUCCAACGUGUACCCAUGAGUGGGUGUGAGAGAACUAGUGCGUGCGUGCACCGUUUCUCUUCGUGAGAGUACAAUAUACUAUGCCCAAAGAACGUUCGCCACAACUGUAAUAGUAUAAGUGUGUGACGUGUGAGCUAAAAAAAAAUGUGCGCGAUGUCUUUUGUUUUGUAGAAGUUCUGAGGGUAGGGUGUGAAGAGCACAUAUGUGUGUGACGUCUACCUGCAGAUAGACGGUGGGUGCGAGAGGACUCGGGAGGGUGCGUGUGCGUGAGAGAGAGGGGGGCACGUAUCAAUGCAAUGCAUGUGUCCGUAAAUCAUUAUCCGACAAAUGUUCGCCACAAGCCUUUUCCUGACGAACACCGUAAGAACCGUUAGAUCGGCAUCCGACAGUGUCAGUUUUACCAUGUCAUUUAACAGAACAGCCACUCCUCCUACACACAAAUCUUCCACGUGAGUGUUAUCAACUGCCGUAUGCUCCCUCCGUUCCAAAAUGCAGUGAAUAUAGCUUUAUUGAAAAUUCGAACCUCGCAAACUUUUACCGAGUUUUCGUGUACCAAAUUGCACAUGUAGAAUACCCUGUAUAUAUCAUUUCAUUCAUCUUCGAGAGGUAACUAUAAAGAUGGGGGAGGAGUCUACAAAGAAAGACCAUCGUAUCACCUGCAGCAAUUUCAACCAUCCUUUGGUGUGGAGGAAUAUCAUAGGAACUCUAUAUGAUACGAUUUUUAUAGGAUUUUUUCCUUUAGAGCCAAUUGGUUCAUAGGAAUAGAUUCAUAUACUCCACAUUUCAAAGGAAAUAAACAUGAUAUCAUUUCUAUAGCUUUAGAGCCACUUGGUUCCUAUGAAUGGAUUCCUAUACUCCCAUAAUUUCAAAGGAAAAUAAACAUUACCGUAUAUUCAAUAGAAAAGUUCCUAUGAUAUGAACCAAAUUACAUCUCUUUUGUAAUCCCUCCUCAUAGGAAUUGAGAUACAUGGUAUCUUGUCGUGGAUUUGUCACGGCAGAUGUCCUAGAGCAAGGACUUAGUCGUGGAGCCAUCGCUACGGGUUAGCUUAAAGGGGUUAAACCGGACAAGGGACGCAAGAGAAUUUUAUACUAGUUCGGCCCCUUACGAUGAAGGUAAAAGCCUACGUCUAGUUGUGAUGGAAUUGAUGGGGUUUUGAUGACCAGGCAGCGAAUACGCUUUGCCUGAGUCUCGAGUUGUUGUCUGUUGUCCUUGUACCGCCACCGGGUCGUCCCCUUAUAUAGAUGGGUUGACGCCCGCCGGUUUACAGAAUCCCGAGGCCGGCUCAUAAUCGUGUCCGGCUCGGUCUCUGCUACUUCUAUCUUACAACACAAGUUUAUAUAUCAAGCCGGUUUAUGUCUACAGGCCUUAAACUGGCUUUGGGCCCUGGGCCUACUUGAAGCGUCACCGUCUGUCUUCAUGGACUUCUGAUACAUAUGAACUACUCAUGGGGUUAACCCGGCCUCUCCUAGCCGGUUUACGCCCAGUGGUAAUAUCCCCAACAUUAGGCCCCAGAUUGAUUUGAACUGGUUCAUGUCAAUCCUCAAUACUUAAGAAAAUCUCUUCUUGAACAUCUUCACAUAAUCUUGUAAACCGUUGUGACAUCAUCUUCUAGGACCAUGGUAAACCGCCGUGACGUCACCUGCUAUUCUAAACUGCGUAUAACUCACCUUCAUUAAUGAGCCUCCGACAAUCGAGGCGACAGCUCCGCCUCAUAUCCAAAAAUUCAGCUCCUCGAUUUUCGUGCUUGUCGUUUAUCUCCGUUAUAAAUAGGGCCACGGGGUCUUUCCAUUUUCCCCCUCGUGCCUCUUCGCGUCAUCGUCAUCCUCGCGACGCCCGAACCUUCGACCUCGGCCGCCGCCGUCAACCUUCGACUGCUGCACCAACCUUGGCCGCUGCAUUGACCUGAACGUACCAGAGCUCCUCCGCGCGCCGCCGCUCCUCAACAGCCUCCGUAAGUCUCCCCUUUCUCUUACCCUAGAUCUGCACUUAGGGUUUCUGUCGUUCAUCAGUGUUCGUCGCCGCCCUUAUUUUUCCUUAUUUAUAUCCAUGAAUUAGAUCCAAAAACCACAUAGGUCUCGCGCGGUAGUAGUUUUAACACCUUUUUGAUAUCCAAGUCAUCUCAACUUGGCGAACUUUUAGUACGCUGGAAAUUAGGUCAGAAUAUAUUUUAUUUUUCCAACGCGCAGUAGAUCUGAAAUUACCAUAGCAAGAUGUGAAACUUGUUUCUUCCUUCACUUACACACUUUGAAUACCAGAUUGGGCGGUUUAACAUGACAGAAAAAAUGAUGACCCGGUAGAUACCAUUCGUCCCCUGUUGAACCGUCAAUGCAUUAUGCCGUUUCCAUUGUCAGACUCCGGUUUACGAAUAACCAAAUCCGGUUUAUCAAUAUGCCUGUAUCCUUAUACCGCUGUAUAGUUGUCCACUGUAAAUCUUAAACCGGUAAUAAUCAUGUUUCAGAUCCUUCAUUGCCAUGGCCAAGCAAGUUUAUGAAUGCAAUUGGGCUCCUUCUCGAGUAACCGAGGAACAGUUAAACAAUCUUGUAAAAACGGGUGCUUUAGCCAAGAAAGUUGUUAUCCACUGGAGGGUCCCUGGUCCGGAAAAUCCUCCUACACCCAAGGAUGGAGAGGUAGCCGUGUUCGCUGAUCAUCUCGGACGAGGUUUUAGCCCUCCCGGUUCAAAAAAUUUCUGGGAUGUACAGGCUAGUUUUCAACUGCGCCCUCAAGACAUCGGUCCCAAUUCUGUAACCAACAUCUGCCACUUCCAAGUCUUUUGUGAGGUUUAUCUGCAAGAGGAACCUUCAGUCGAACUGUUUAGGGAUUUCUUUCACUUAAACCGUCGCACAGAGUUCUCAGAUGGACCCAAUACAAAAUUGGGCGGAAUGGCGGUUCAGAAAAGGAAGGAAGUCAUCUUCCCUCAUCCCAAACUCCACAGUCACCCCAAAGAGUGGAACUAGACUUGGUUUUACUCCAUGGAUACAUCUCCACCUGACGAAAACCCCCUGCCGGGUUACCGCCCUGAACGCCUUAGCAACACACAUCCAUUUCCUCAAAGGUUGACGGUAAGAGAAAGGGCCAACUAUGCUCCCCAAUUAUCAAAGCUUAGAGCCUUCAUGGCGAACGGUUUGACAGGAGUUGAUCUUGCUCAUUGCUAGAUAAGUUGAAGUAUUCUGCACUUAAGCCGGCGCUCCGGUUUGAUGUGUGAGUACACGGGGAGUUUGAAGGAUGCUCAGCGGCACAUUGACAUUCAACUUACAGACGAAGAAGUCACUGAGGCUGUAAAGAAAAUACUGAACGAACCGGAGGCCGUCUGUGCCCAAACAGGACUACUCCCUUUCUGCACCUUCAACAAACCACCAGAUGUAAGAAGAAUAUAAUCUUUUGUAUCUGAAUUUGCUUCUGUCCUAAUAUUCUCUGAAAGUGUGAUUAUUUUCUGAUAGGGUGAUGAUCCGUUCUGGAACAAAAAACCAUCACAAGACAAACCGGCGAAGCCGCAAGACAAACCGGUCAAGCCAGUUCGUCCAAAGACCAAGGUUGUUAAGAAACCUGCCAAGAGAAGGACCACUGCAUCCUCCGAUCUACCAGCUGAUGACGAUGUGGGUAAUCCGGAACCAGAGGUAGAACUUGACUUUCUUGGUUCAUUUUUCGUACAUCUCAUUGACAAUGAUUAUUAUCAGGACGACGCUGAAGGCAGUCAUGCUGAGAACGUAGAGGUAACCAUUUUUCCUCCGAUUCAGAUCCUCUGCCAACAUCCAAAAUCCAUCAAGCAAACCGGAAAGUAAAAUCUUCUCACCCUCUUGCUUAUUUGGACCCAAACUUUCUUUCGAAGACGCAGCAGCACGAGGCUCGCCGUACAAUUCGGCACAAUGGCCAGGUAGUUACCUCUGCUGGUUUACCGAACAGUCCGGUUCGGGAACACCGAUCAGAGGUCUCUUAUCCUAUUGGUACUUCAUACCCCAAAGCAGGUUGUUUCCGCCAGCCUCUUAACCCGUCUGAUUCAAAUUAUCAGGGUACUUCUCACUCAUCUUCUGGCGAGUCAUCGGCCACACAGCUUCCACCCCUCAAGACAGUUCCUGGGUGAGCUUAUGCACGUGUCUUUAUUCUUGAUGUGUUAUCUUUACAUACUGUACUGACCCUCAUGUCUAUCUUUUCUCAGCGCCAAAACGAGACCCAGCAAGAAGGCUCGGUUAAGCAAACCGGCCGAUGAUAAUGUAGCUGUUGAACCGGAAAAAAGCCAGAUGUUGAAGAAACCGGCGCUGAUGACAUGCUUAACGAUCCUCCGUCUCAAGACCAUGAUUUCCUUGCCGAACAAGUGCAAGUUGACAAUACAAGCCAUGCAGACCAGCCAAACAGCCCUGUCCGAAUUGAUGACAAACCGGUCAGUCCAGUUAAGGACACCGACAAACCGCCAACUCUAGUGAAGGCUACUGAUGACCAAGACGAUGACAUUAUGAUUACUGGCACUGGCCACACCACUCCUGGCAAUCCUGUCGCUUUGUCAAAGCAUACUGCCAAGGACGAGCUCUCUGCAAUCGGCAAAGGCAAAUGGAAUGCCGAUUUAUCAAGCUACGCCCAUCUCAAUGCUCAAGAAAUUCACUCUGGCUUCUUGAACCGUCUGUAUACCAGCCGUGACUAUGAAGCUAGCUUGGUAAACUUGAUGAAGGAGCAAUAUGAGGUAACUACUAUUUUCCUCUUUUGUCCAAUUACAGCUUAUCAACUCCUAGUAGCCCCCAAGUGACGGUUUAGGAUACCAAUCUAAACCGGGACUUUUGUCAUAACUUAAUUUUGCAUAAUUAGCCUCCAGGGACCGGGUUACUUCUUUAUGAUGAACCGGUUCCUUAAAAUUUACCGUACUGCUCUUUCACCGGUAUAGCUCCCAAGGGCCGGUUUAAUUUUAUAAAGAUGAACCGGGACUGUAUAGGAAUUCCCAUACCAACAGUUUUUUGAGCAAACACACAUUAGCCCCCAAGUGCCAAGAUUAAUACUUGUAUUGUGCUUGGGACUUGUAGAAAUUUCUGAUAAGGAGCAAAUAUGCAUUAGCCCCCAAGUAUCAAGGGCAUAACUUGUUAUGUGCUUGGUACUCCAAAUGUGUACUGUCAACUCAUUAUGUAUCUGUCUCUUUAUAGGCUGAACUGAGCAAGAAGGAAAGCCAAACCGCUGAUCUGCAAGAGAACAUCAAGUCCCAACAGGCCGAAACUUCCAAAGCAAAAGAUGAGCUGACGAGCGCCAUAGCCGCUAUGGAAAAGCUAAAGGAGAGCUUCGCCAAGGAGCGGGCGGAUUGGAACACAGAGAAAUCCGCUUUGCGGAAAAGAGCUGAAGACGCAGAAGCAGCUCUCAAACCGGUGGUGGACGAGCUGACUGGUGUAAAGCGGCAGAUACAUGCCAUGACUGCUGCUGUGUUCGGUAAGCAUCCGUGCUUUAUACUUUGAACAUAUCUUCCCAUGCGUUACCGGUUUACUGAUGUUUGCAAUGAUGCAGGAACUCACAUUAGUCAUCUAGGCUCUGAUGUUCAGAAGUAGCUGAAGGCUGCCUACACACUGAUAGAACAACUGUAUACCAGCACACAACGAAUUAUCUGCACCGCUUCUCACAAUAAGCCGCCCCCGAUGUUGAUCAAGGAUACCUUAGACAGGAUAUCUAUGCUGCCUGCCCGGAUAGAAGAGUUGAAGAGGUCGGCUGCAAGGGCUGGCGCUCUGACCGCACUAACCCGGGCAAAAGCAUGGGUGCCUAAUCUUGAUCCGACGGACGUGGCUAAAGGCUACCCAAGCUUAAAAGAAGACAGAUCAGAGUUUGGCACUAAAGAUCUCCGUGCCAUAAACCGAGAAGUACGUCCACUGGCUUGUAACUUGCUGAAGAGGCUGAUCUUUCAUUUUACCAGGCGAGCUAUGAUACCAAUAACAAGCGGGUUGCUGCACCAACUCCUGAGACUCAAUACCUGAUCCCUCCAAUCCGUAAGCACACUUAUGCCCCUGACAUUGAACCGUCCACCCUUAUAAGCGACCAAGCUGUGUUCCAAGCUUUAACUGGGAUUGACUGGACAACUGUUGACUUCCAGCCGCUGGGUAGAGACGAAGAAGAUGAACCGGUGCAAGAUGAUCCGCAGCUGUCAGGUCAAGCUGUUCAGCGAUCAUAAUCCGGGGGCCGGUUUAAUCUUCCACGCUGCAAUGCUUAUUAAAAACAAUUAUCCCUUUGGCACUGAAACGCCUUGUAAUAGGCUAGUUAAAACACUUGGACUGCUAUGCCUUCGUGCAUAUUUAUCUGCAACUGAUGCAUGUUAAUCCGCCAUGCUUAAGAUAUGAUGUUCAUCAUCCAUAGCUAUUUAUUCAAGCUGUUCCUGCAGAUAAGAAGCUUAAAGCGCCCUGGCGGUUUACCACCGGGCGGGUCAUGAUACCCAAAUAUAUAUAUGACCAGGGUUUAUAACCAAGGUUGUAAAAGAUAACCAAAUAUGGAAAUAUAUGAUACCUGUGACCUUUAGGCAUAGUGUUGGUGACCAACCUUGUAAUGAGGGUAAUAACCCUAAUUCGGAGUAAAAGUAACUCCUGUUAUAUGAUGCCGGUUUACAAUAAAACCGUUCCGGGUUGUGAUAAACACCGGUUUAUUCCAUACUGGUGACUAUGAGUCAAAACCAGACCGGGCUGAUAGUCUCCGGUUUAUGACUUGAUCAUGUACUGACAACUUGUAGUUGACAGCCUAACCGGGUUGAUAAACACCGGUUUAAAAACGUCACAAAUCUUCUGAAAACAAAGAAAACUCAGCAAAAGGCAAAUAAAAACCGUGGUAGUCGAGGCUUUUCACGGGCUGCCAGGCCCCAAAUUCGAUCAAGAGGUGUAGCUAUGGUUCGGGUUCGACCAAGCCCCCAAGUGAUGCUGUGGCAUUACGCCGAUCAAGAGGUGUAGCUAUGGUUCGGGUUCGACCAAGCCCCCAAGUGAUGUUGUGGCAUUACGCCGAUCAAGAGGUGUAGCUAUGGUUCGGGUUCGACCAAGCCCCCAAGUGAUGUUGUGGCAUUGCGCCGAUCAAGAGGUGUAGCUAUGGUUCGGAUACGACCAAGCCCCCAAGUGAUGCUGUGGCAUUGCGCCGAUCAAGAGGUGUACCUAUGGUUCGGAUACGACCAAGCCCCCAAGUGAUGCUGUGGCAUUGCGCCGAUCAAGAGGUGUAGCUAUGGUUCGGAUACGACCAAGCCCCCAAGUGAUCUAAUAUCAAGCUUUGAGAAGCUAAAUCAAGUGGUAAACCGGACGCCGCUUUGUAAGCUCCAUGUAACCACACAUGAUGUAAGAAAACAACAGAUACCCCGCUUUAGCUGAGGUUCCGGUUUAUUAUAUUGAUCAUAAUAUAUACAAUGUCAUAAUAUGUACAUAAGCAGAGCCUGUAGCUCAAGUAUAGUAGGGCCAAAGAUGAGCAAUAUUCCAUGGUCGGUUGGUCUCCUCCUCCGAUUUACGUGAGUCUUUGCGCUCUCGAACAUCGAUUAGGUAGUAUGACCCGUUGUGCAGAUUCUUGCUGACUACAAAAUGUCCUUCCCAAGGGGGGGAUAGCUUGUGCAUAUCCGUCUGAUCCUGGAUGAGUCGAUGCACCAAAUCUCCUUCUUGAAAGGUUCUGGUUCUAACCCGGCGGCUGUGAUAACGACGCAGAUCUUGCUGAUAAAUCGCCGAACGGGCUGCCGCCAUGUCACGCUCCUCAUCUAACAGGUCAAGAGCUUCCUGCCGUGCCUUCUCGUUGUCAGCUUCUACAUACGCCGCUACACGAGGUGAGUCAUGACGGAUGUCACUAUGAAGAAUCACUUCCGCUCCAUAAACCAUGAAAAACGGUGUGUAUCCUGUCAAUCUGUUGGGUGUGGUAUUGAUGCUCCAUAACACUGAAGGUAGCUCCUCAACCCAACAACCCGGCGUCCGUUGCAAAGGAACCAUAAGCCAGGGUUCGAUGCCUCUCAAGAUCUCUUGAUUGGCCCUCUCCGCUUGACCAUUGGACCGGGGGUGAGCCACUGAUGACACGUCAAGCCGGAUGUGCUCACGUUGACAGAACUCCUUCAUGGCACCCUUUGACAGAUUGGUACCAUUGUCUGUUAUAAUGCUGUGUGGAAAGCCAAACCGGAAGAUUACCUUUUUGAUGAAUUGAACCGCCGCGGCUGCGUCACACUUACUAACUGGCUCUGCCUCCACCCACUUCGUGAACUUAUCAACCGCCACCAAAAGGUGGGUCUUCUUGUCCUUAGACCUCUUGAAAGGCCCAACCAUAUCCAGCCCCCAAGUUGCAAACGGCCAGGUGAUUGGAAUCACCCUCUAUUCUUGAGCUGGUACAUGAGCGCGCCUUGAGAAUUUCUGACAGCCAUCACACGUUUUGACCAAGUCCUCGGCAUCAGCAUAAGCUGUCAACCAAUAGAAACCGUGACGAAAUUGGCCACCAAAGAUUUUGAACCAGCGUGGUGACCACAAUCUCCUUCGUGGAUCUCACGCAAAAUUUCACGGCCUUCCUCUAGAGACACACAGCGUUGAAACGCCCCUGUCACACUGCAAUGAUGUAACUCUCCAUUGAUAAUAGUGUAACGCCCCGAGACCGACGCUCCAGACGGCUUCCAUGUUUUUCGUUGUUGUCAUGUGUUUUAUUUUGUGUGUUGCAUUCAUCAUCGCAUCAUUUGCAUUGCAUCGGCACUACGUUGCCGUCAUGUUUUAAAAAUUUGCAUUCGAUCGUAGUUGCCGCGUUCCCCUUGUCUUCGUUGACCGUUCUGAGACCAACCGGAUUUUCGAUUCUCUCUUGUCUAACCGUUGGACCCUCUCUGCACAACCACCGACCCCCCUCGCGCGCGUCCGAAAGUUGUCCCGUACCCGACCCGGUUUGUUGUUACCGUUGGAUUCGGAUCAUCCCCAAACAUCUACAAAACAUCUCCGUUUUCUUUAUUUGGACUUCCUAGCCUAUUUUUCUCGUCCGCUCAAUUUUAAUCGGAGGGACCGAAUUAGCACAUACCCAAAAAACCAUCUGCUAUAAAUAAUGACCGAACCCCAAUUUUUAGGGGAGCUGUCCCAUCAAUCCCUCCCUGCCGCCACUCCUCGUCCUCCUCGGGAUCCCUCCCGAUCCACCCAUUCCACCAACCAGAGACUUCCCUGCUCGAUCCCAAGGGGAUCACGAGCAGCUCAUCCCCGCUGCCGAUGAACCAGGCCGGACCUCACGCCCCUGCCCUUUCUCUUCCUUUCUUCUUCCCGUGCCUCACAUCUCUCUGUUUCCUCUCGUUCUCUCUCCCGCAGGAGCCCAUGGCGAGCCUGACCGAGCCCCUCACAUGGCACCCUCGCGCCCGAGCUCUUCAUCAGCCCCGCGUCACCGGAGUCAAGCCACCGGCCGCCCGAGCCUUGUGCGCCUCUGCCUCGAGGACCUCCUCGUCCCCAACCAGGACGCCAUGGUCGGCCUCCUCUGUUCGUCCUCUGCCUCGUGCGUGACCCCGUCGGCCGGAUCUGCUCGAGCUCGCCGUCCCCUGCGCCUCAAACUCCUCCUGCCGGAGCCGCAAGUCCCGUGCCUCCGUGUUAUGCGCCGCCGUCUACAUCCCGCCUGAACGGAUCGAGCGAUCCUGCUCAUCCCGCACGCCGCCAAGCCUGACCUCGCGGCUUUGUCCUGUUCGAGGGAAUGAGCGAGCGGCUUGCCUCUGCUCCACCUCCCCCGUUUUCGGUCGCCAUCUCCGGCGAGUGCAGACGCCAGUGUAGCCCCGCAGGUCGCCGUCUCCCUACUCCCAUCUUCCUUUUCCUCCCGCGUUCUCCCGUUGCAUGGCUUAUCUCUGUCUCUCUCCCGUGGUCAGGAGAACCCCGUCACCAGUACGCAUGGGAGCCACCUCCUGCCGUCGCUCGGAGCUGGCGCCCCUUCGCCCGUCCUCGCCGGAUUGAGCAGCCUCCGUGCCCCUGCCAAGCCCGCCUCCUGUCACCAAGCGCAGCCGCUGCCGGACGCCCCGCGGCGUCGACCUGCUCUCAGCGCCGGUGCUUCCUCUGCUUCGCUCGACUGGAUGCAGCCGCUCGCCCCGUUGACCGCGCGAGCCCGUCAGCGCAUCUCUGCCUCGCUGGCCAAUGCCCAGCCUGCUCCAGCUCCCCAACCGGCCUGCUACCUCCUCCACCGAACAGGCCAAGGCCUACUGGGUGAGGCCACACCCCAGCGCCCCUGCUCUUGUUUUUUUCCUCUGUUGGGCUUCCUAUUCACAUUCGGCCCAUGUGAUGUUUUUUUUCAGGACCUGUGAAUUUAGCUAUUAUCCGAGGAUUUACAGUAUUGCAGAAAAACCCCUCAUGUUCUUGCAUUAAUAAUUAAUUAACCGUGCAUCUUUUGUAAAUAAUUUAUAUAUGAAAAAUGCUUAGAAUUUCAUCUAGUUUCAUAAUAUGCAACUUUCACCCAUGUUAAUAUUAUUUAAAUUGCUGUUUGAUUUAAUUUGCUCGUAUGCCAUGUUAAAAUGAUUUAAUUCAUAACUAAUUAACCGUAACUCGGAUUUAAAUAAACUAUAUAUGUAACUUGCUUGGAAAAAUGCCUAGUUUAACAUGGUGCACUUCAUUUUGCUGUUUAACAAUACUAAAAUUGCGUUUAUGGCAGCACAGUACCAAUCCCAAUAUAUGGACAUGAGGAUUUUCCAGAAUUGUUGUUGUUUGUUUCCGGCCUCAUUUAACUUGCUUAAAUAGGUAGUUUCCUUAUGCUUCACCUCUUGCCAUGGUUAACAACAUUUAACUUUGUUGGGUACAUAAUCGAGAGAGAACUAAAUAAUUGAUGUGGUGUUUCGUCAAUAUGCAACUCGUUGCAUAUUGAGCUCCACUUAAUUUGUAGUGUUGUUUGUUGCACUUUGCCAUGCCAUGCCUCAUUAAACCGGACAUGCAUCAUACUUGUUUGUGCAUCAUGCCAUGUGUAUGUGGUGGUUGUUUACUAUGUUGUUUGUUUCUUUCCGGUUUGCUUCUCCCGUUAGCUUCGGUUUCGUUCCGGAGUUGUGAGGAUUCGUUCGACUACAUUCGUUUGUCUUCUUCAUGGACUCGUUCUUCUUCCUAGCGGGAUCUCAGGCAAGAUGACCACCCCUUGAAAUCACUUCUAUCAUUGCUUGCUAGUUGUUCGCUCUAUUGCUAUGCCGCGUUACCUACCACUUGCUAUAUCAUGCCUCCCAAAUUGCCAUGAAACCACCUCUAACCUUUGCCAUCCUUCCUAGCAAACCGUUGUUUGGCUAUGUUACCGCUUUGCUCAGCCCCUUCUUAUAGCGUUGCUAGUUGCAGGUGAGGAUGAAGAUUGCUCCAUGUUGGAUUAUGUUUAUGUUGGGAUAUCACAAUAGCUCUUAUUUAAUUAAUGCAUCUAUAUACUUGGUAAAGGGUGGAAGGCUCGGCCUUAUGCCUGGUAUUUUGUUCCACUCUUGCCGCCCUAGUUUCUGUCUUACCGGUGUUAUGUUCCUUGAUUUUGCGUUCCUUACGCAGUUGGGUGAUUUAUGGGACCCCCUUGACAGUUCGCUUUGAAUAAAACUCCUCCGGCAAGGCCCAACCUUGGUUUUACCAUUUGCUACCACCUAUCCCCUUUUCCCUUGGGUUCUGCAGACUCAAGGGUCAUCUUUAUUUUAGACCCCCCCGGGCUAGUGCUCCUUCGAGUGUUGGUCCGAACUGAAUAGACUGCAGGGCCACCUCGUGGAAACUCGAGGUCUGGUUUUACUCGUAGGAUGUCUCAUCCGGUGUUGCCCUGAGAACGAGAUAUGUGCAGCUCCUAUCGGGAUUUGUCGGCACAUCGGGCGGCUUUGCUGGUCUUGUUUUACCAUUGUCGAAAUGUCUUGUAAACCGGGAUUCCGAGACUGAUCGGGUCUUCCUGGGAGAAGGUUUAUCCUUCGUUGACCGUGAGAGCUUAUAAUGGGCUAAGUUGGGACACCCCUGCAGGGUAUUAUCUUUCGAAAGCCGUGCCCGUGGUUAUGUGGCAGAUGGGAAUUUGUUAAUAUCCGGUUGUAGAGAACUUGACACCUGACCUUAAUUAAAACGCAUCAACCGCCUAUGUAGCCGUGAUGGUCUCUUCUUGGUGGAGUCCGGGAAGUGAACACGGUUUCUGGGUUUUGUUUGACGUAAGUAGGAGUUCAGGAUCACUUCUUGAUCAUUGCUAGUUCACGACCGUUCCGUUGCUUCUCUUCUCGCUCUCACUUGCGUAUGUUAGCCACCAUAUAUGCUUAGUGCUUGCUGCAGCUCCACCUUAUUACACCAUCCUUUCCUAUAAGCUUAAAUAGUCUUGAUCUCGCGGGUGUGAGAUUGCUGAGUCCUCGUGACUCACAGAUACUUCCAAACAGUUGCAGGUGCCGAUGAUACCAGUGCAGGUGACGCAACCGAACUCAAGUGGGAGCUCGAUGAAGAUCUUGUUUGUUGUGUUGUUUCUUUUCAUUUUGAUCAGUAGUGGUGCCCAGUUGGGACAAUCAGGGAUCUAGCAGUUGGGUUGUCUUCUUUUAUUUUGGUUCCGUAGUCGGACCUAUGUGUGUACUCUGAAUGAUGUAUGAAUUUAUUAUGUAUUGUGUGAAGUGGCGAUUGUAAGCCAUCUCUUUAUCCCAUUCUUGUUCAUUACAUGGGAUUGUGUGAAGAUGACCCUUCUUGCGACAAAACCACAAUGCGGUUAUGCCUCUAAGUCGUGCCUCGACACGUGGGAGAUAUAGCCGCAUCGUGGGCGUUACAAGUUGGUAAUCAGAGCCAUCCCCGACUAAGGAGCCCCCUGCUUGAUCGAAUCGCUGGCGUUGUUGAGUCUAGAACAAAAAUGUUUUGAGUCUUAGGAUUAUAUAUAUCGGAGAGUAGGAUUCUUUUUACUCCUCAGUCCCUUCGUCGCUCUGGUGAGGUCUCCUGACGUAGAAGUUUUGACUAUUCCCUCCUCAAAUUUCACUAAAAAAAAUUUUAGGAUCACGCGGGUAUCUUGGAAUCGUUCCGAUGGUUUUGUGACGAGAACAUUGUUCUUGGUGCCUCCUGACAUUUAGGGGUUGUGGCAGUGUCCCGGGGAGUUGAGCUCCAAGGUGUUGUCGUCACAAUUUUAUCGUUACAGUUCUGGAAUACCUGAGUUUCGCCGACAUCGAAAUCUCUUUUAUGGAGUUGUUGGUGAGAUCACCUCGACGCCACCCAGUACUGGGGCGGGAGUUCGGGAGUAUUGCCAGAACUUGUAUAACGGAUGUUUUUCGAAGGUUGAGGUAAACGAUUUCCAGAGUUUUCUUGGUUAUGUGUUGACGGAUGGAUACAGCUGGAUCUAGGGAUUGCUAGUUUGGGUGAUAUAUUUUGUGUCCCCUGUAUCCCCAACACCUGAUUGCAUAACCAGAAAGUUUCGGGAGUUUAUAAGUGGGAAUUCAAGUAGCUCCUAGGAUAUCCUUCCGACAGAUGCAUGAUUUGAGAUUGGGGUUCGACGUCUAGUGGUCCGCCUUUCCACGGUUGGUUUUACAGUGGUCUCGUAGUGUCUUAAAGAGUCCUUGGCUAUGCCGACUCGGGGACGCUUCAUAUGUCAUGUGCAUUGCCUUGUACAUGAUGGUGCUGUACGAUCGAGCCCGUGUGGGCCCCACCACGAAAACUUCGGACGAAAUCUCUAUCAUAUGUUUGUUCCGGCUUAUUUUGCAAGACAAAUCCUUUGUUUUGUUUUGUUUUGUGGUAUUCGAGUUGCUUCGAAGUCAAAUGUGGAUUCCAUACUUUUCCUAAGCGGUGUUCUCAUAUUUCUAUGUGGAUGAUAAUCCUUCUUGAUUAUCGAGGUCGUCAUGUUAAUUCUUUUCCAACCGGCGUGCUUCUCUUCAAGUGGAUCCGAUCUUUUCAACAUCCGCAAGAUCAACUUAAGUCUCAACGGUGUUUGUUUCAUCCGUCCCAAGUUGCCUUUGUUUUCCCACGCUCCCACCCUUUUUCUUCAAGGACUCAGAUUUCUUAAUCAAGUAUCCUUUUUAUUGAUGCAAAGUCUCUUCAUUCUUUUCUUUCAAUGUUCUUAUCUGGUGAUUUUCCAUGAAGAUGCUCACGAAACUUCAAGUUUAUCAUUCUUCAUUCUUUUCUUCUCCGGUGGACUAAAUUCAAGCCUUCAAUGUUGGUCACAUUCCUUUCCUCGUUCCAAAUGCUUUCUCAUGCCGGUAUAUCUCUUAAUCAUUCCCCGCUUGCUAUUCAAUUGUUCCGGAGUGCUGAAGAUAUCUCUGAAGAUUCGUGUUUCCACUCCGCAUCAAUUCUAACUAUUUCAAGGUUGUUAUCACAUUCAAGCCAUUUAAUUCAACCCGUGCAAUCUCCUUUUCAAGUAAUCAUUUCAACGGUGUUUCUUUUGAGUGGGCCCUAACCCACAGGUCUUUUUCCAGGAUCUUACCUGACUCUUCUAAUUUUUCCGGAGUUAUUCUCUAAUUCAUUGCAAAGUUUGACGUAAGAAUGAAUUAUCAGUCAAAUGUCUUUCUCCAAGAUCUUUCAAACUCUUUUCAUUAUUGGUUCAAUCUUUCUAAUUUUCAUCCCGGAGUAUCUCAACAAUUCAUGGUCGUGUUUCUCGUCAUCAUUCUCAACAUUUGAAGACCGAAGAAGAAUUUCUCGUAAAUCUUGGUCCGUUCUCUUGAAGAUUCAUAGUUCUAGCUUAUGCCAUCCUCUCAUAAUUGUUUUCGAUUGUGAGAAUUCUUUUCUUACCCAUCCGGAGCAUUUCAGAGUUGUUUUCAGUUUGAUUCUCCGAAGGCCAUCAUCUCAGAAGAUUUCUUCGUUCUAAGUUUUCAGCUUCGUUCUUCAAUUAUUCUAAAUUGAUGUCUCUUCGUUCAUCUCCAUAUUAUUCCGGUGCAUCGUCCAAGUAUUCUCUAAUCAAUUCAUGAUCUCUUCGUUGCACUUGUAUCUAAAUUCUGUCAAGUAUCUUUAUUCGUUUUCUAAUUCUUCUCAGUGAAUUGUGCCUUUGCUACUUUCAAUUUCAAUUCUCGCGGUGGUUCGUUCAAGAUUUUCUCUCCCUUCGUUAUCAUAUCAAUUUAUUCGUUGUUUCAAUCCUACCGGUGGUUCGUUGAAGUCCUUCCCAAGUUUGCGCUAUAUUUCUUUUAAUCCUUUCUACGAGAAUAAGUAGUAUGCCAAAUCCAUUGCUUGUUAUCAAUUUAAUUGGUGAAGGAUACGCGUAAUGUAAUUCUUAUUCUUGUUUCAUCCAAGUGUUUAAUCCCUUCUUUUGGAGUUCGUUCAUGAUAUCAAAUUCUUGAUUUCAAUUGUUCAUCUUUCUUUCCGGAGCUCCAAGUUAUUUCAAUUAUAUCAUUUUAAAGCUUCAUCUAAUCAUUGCAAGGCUUCUCCCGGAGUUCUUUUCAAGUUUCCAUUUCGUUUGAUCAUUCUUUUAUUACCGGAGUUCUUCAUCGGGGCUCUACAUGGUGGCUCAUCAAGGAUUCGUUUCAUUCUCCAAUUGUUCUUCAAGAUUUCUCUCGGAGUUAAGAUCCGUCAAACUAUACUCUAAAAUAAACAUGGUGUUCUACACAUGCCUUGUUUUGUGGAGUCCAAGCAUUCUUCAUCUUGCAUUCCGAAGUGCAAUUCUUUCUCUCAUAUCUUUUGAGGUGGUGUUAUGUCGUUCUUGACAAUUUGAGUUCGCGUUUCAUGGUUCACAUGUUGUCAAGAAUGAGAUAUUUUAAAUCCACCAAUCUCUUUGUUGGAGUUAUCUUGGUAUAGAUUUCACUUAAAGCCUUCUCGAAGGAAUGUUGCUAAUUGUGGUGUCUAUAUAUGAUCCAAGUUUUUCUCAUAUCCUCUCGGCGAGAGAAGAUUUCAUCUCUUCGUUGAUCUCAAGCAAGCAAUUGUUUUCGUUAGUGGCAAAAUUUUCACCUCAUGUUUUGAGAUGUCUCCAUAAGCCCACGAGGAUCAUAUCCUUUUGUUGUUGGUUUUUUCCAACAACUCCGUUAUAACCUUCUUGGAAGGAUGCUUUCCAAGCUCAUUUGUGGCAGAAGUUGUCAUUUUCUUCUCCGUUAUCUUAUUCCGACGAUCUAUCUUCUAUUCGUUCGUCCGGAGGCAUUGUGAUGUUGCUCUCUUCGACCAAUCAUCUUGUUUUGUCAAGAUCAUGUAAUUUUUCCUGUCUUAUCCAUUUAGCCGGAGUGUCGUGUUUUCAUUCGAGUUCUUCCCAUUCUGUCAAGUUUUGUCUCCUUCCUCAACCGGAGUGCUGUCUGAAAUCUUUCUUCCCCCUUGUGCCAUUCUUUCAUCAGUUCCGGAGGCAGUGUGUUGUUAAUUUCAUCGAGUAUCCUCUCAUCUUGUCAAGAUCAUGUUCAAUUCCUUCCAUUUACAGUCGGAGUGCUGCCCAAAUUAUAUCACUCUUAUUCCUUCUCUAUCUUGUUUUAACCGGAGUGUUGUCGUAAUUGAUCUUUAUCGUUCCUUAUACAUCUCAUUUCAACCGGAGUGCUGGCUGAAUUCUUUUCGCUCUCAUUCCUUCUCUAUUUCGUUUAAACCGGAGUGGUUUCGAAGUAAUUCUCGUUCAUUGAUUUUUUCAUUCUUGUCUUUCAACCUACAGGGUUCUCGUGAUGUUCCUUGCUCCUCUUUCCUAACGGAUUGUUUUCAACUUUGUUCAUCUUCGUUGUAUUCUCUCUUUUAAUUCGUUCAACCUCUCAAGGUUCUUUGGUUUCACUCGUUUGUCAAAGAAGAAAUUUAGUUUUACCUCUUCUCCUCAUCUUCCGUUUCCCUCCGGUGCCAUCCUAGAUCUCGGGACGAGAUCCUCUUGUAGUGGUGGAGUGUUGUAACGCCCUGAGACCGACGCUCCAGACGGCUUCCAUGUUUUUCGUUGUUGUCCUGUGUUUUACUUUGUGUGUUGCAUUCAUCAUCGCAUCAUUUGCAUUGCAUCGGCACUUCAUUGCCGUCAUGUUUUAAAAAUUUGCAUUCGAUCGUAGUUGCCGCGUUCCCCUUGUCUUCGUUGACCGUUCUGAGACCAACCGGAUUUUCGAUUCUCUCUUGUCUGACCGUUUGACCCUCUCUGCACAACCACCGACCCCCCUCGCGCGCGUCCGAAAGUUGUCCCGUACCCGACCCGGUUUGUUGUUACCGUUGGAUUCGGAUCAUCCCCAAACAUCUACAAAACAUCUCCGUUUUCUUAUUUGGACUUCCUAGCCUAUUUUUCUCGUCCGCUCAAUUUUAAUCGGAGCGACCGAAUUAGCCCAUAAAAAAAACCAUCUGCUAUAAAUAAUGACCCAACCCUAAUUUUUAGGGGAUCUGUCCCAUCAAUCCCUCCCCGCCGCCACUCCUCGUCCUCCUCGGGAUCCCUCCCGAUCCACCCAUUCCACCAACCAGAGACUUCCCUGCUCGAUCCCAAGGGGAUCACGAGCAGCUCAUCCCCGCUGCCGACGGACCAGGCCGGACCUCGCGCCCCUGCCCUUUCUCUUCCUUUCUUCUUCUUCCCGUGCCUCACAUCUCUCUGUUUCCUCUCGUUCUCUCUCCCGCAGGAGCCCAUGGCGAGCCUGACCGAGCCCCUCACAUGGCGCCCUCGUGCCCGAGCUCUUCAUCAGCCCCGCGUCACCGGAGUCAAGCCACCGGCCGCCCGAGCCUUGUGCGCCUCUGCCUCGAGGACCUCCUCGUCCCCAACCAGGACGCCAUGGUCGGCCUCCUCUGUUCGUCCUCUGCCUCGUGCGCGACCCCGUCGGCCGGAUCUGCUCGAGCACGCCGUCCCCUGGGCCUCAAACUCCUCCUGCCGGAGCCGCAAGUCCCGUGCCUCUGCGUUCAGCGCCGCCGUUUGCAUCCCGCCUGAACGGAUCGAGUGAUCCUGCUCAUCCCGCGCGCCGCCAAGCCCGACCUCGCCUCUGCUUUGUCCUGUUCGAGGGAAUGAGCGAGCGGCUUGCCUCUGCUCCACCUCCCCCGUUUCGGUCGCCAUCUCCGGCGAGUGCAGACGCCAGUGUAGCCCCGCAGGUCGCCGUCUCCCUCCUCCCAUCUUCCAUUUCCUCCCGCGUUCUCCCGUUGCAUGUCUUAUCUCUGUCUCUCUCCCGUGGUCAGGAGAACCCCGUCGCCAGUACGCAUGGGAGCCACCUCCUGCCGUCGCUCGGAGAUGACGCCCCUUCGCCCGUCCUCGCCGGAUUGAGCAGCCUCCGCGCCCCUGCCAAGCCCGCCUCCUGUCACCAAGCGCUGCCGCUGCCGGACGCCCUGCGGCGUCGACCUGCUCUCAGCGCCGAUGCUUCCUCUGCUUCGCUCGACUGGAUGCAGCCGCUCGCCCCGUUGACCGCGCGAGCCCGUCAGCGCAUCUCUGCCUCGCUGGCCAAGGCCCAGCCUGCUCCAGCUCCCCAACCGGCCUGCUACCUCCUCCACCGAACGGGCCAAGGCCUACUGGGUGAGGCCACACCCCAGCGCCCCUGCUCUUGUUUUUUUCAUCUGUUGGGCUUCCUAUUCACAUUCAGCCCAUGUGAUGUUUUUUUCAGGACCUGCGAAUUUAGCUAUUAUCCGAGGAUUUACAGUAUUGCAGAAAAACCCCUCAUGUUCUUGCAUUAAUAAUUAAUUAACCGUGCAUCUUUUGUAAAUAAUUUAUAUAUGAAAAAUGCUUAGAAUUUCAUCUAGUUUCAUAAUAUGCAACUUUCACCCAUGUUAAUAUUGUUUAAAUUGCUGUUUGAUUUAAUUUGCUCGUAUGCCAUGUUAAAAUGAUUUAAUUCAUAACUAAUUAACCGUAACUCGGAUUUAAAUAAACUAUAUAUGUAACUUGCUUGGAAAAAUGCCUAGUUUAACAUGGUGCACUUCAUUUUGCUGUUUAACAAUAUUAAAAUUGCGUUUAUGGCAGAACAGUACCAAUCCCAAUAUAUGGACAUGAGGAUUUUCCAGAAUUGUUGUUGUUUGUUUCCGGCCUCAUUUAAUUUGCUUAAAUAGGUAGUUUCCUUAUGCUUCACCUCUUGCCAUGGUUAACAACAUUUAACUUUGUUGGGUACAUAAUCGAGAGAGAACUAAAUAAUUGAUGUGGUGUUUCGUCAAUAUGCAACUCGUUGCAUAUUAAGCUCCACUUAAUUUGUAGUGUUGUUUGUUGCACUUUGCCAUGCCAUGCCUCAUUAAACCGGACAUGCAUCAUACUUGUUUGUGCAUCAUGCCAUGUGUAUGUGGUGGUUGUUUACUAUGUUGUUUGUUUCUUUCCGGUUUGCUUCUCCCGUUAGCUUCGGUUUCGUUCCGGAGUUGUGAGGAUUCGUUCGACUACAUUCGUUUGUCUUCUUCAUGGACUCGUUCUUCUUCCUAGCGGGAUCUCAGGCAAGAUGACCACCCCUCGAAAUCACUUCUAUCUUUGCUUGCUAGUUGUUCGCUCUAUUGCUAUGCCGCGUUACCUACCACUUGCUAUAUCAUGCCUCCCAAAUUGCCAUGAAACCACCUCUAACCUUUGCCAUCCUUCCUAGCAAACCGUUGUUUGGCUAUGUUACCGCUUUGCUCAGCCCCUUCUUAUAGCGUUGCUAGUUGCAGGUGAGGAUGAAGAUUGCUCCAUGUUGGAUUAUGUUUAUGUUGGGAUAUCACAAUAACUCUUAUUUAAUUAAUGCAUCUAUAUACUUGGUAAAGGGUGGAAGGCUCGGCCUUAUGCCUGGUGUUUUGUUCCACUCUUGCCGCCCUAGUUUCUGUCUUACCGGUGUUAUGUUCCUUGAUUCUGCGUUCCUUACGCGGUUGGGUGAUUUAUGGGACCCCCUUGACAGUUCGCUUUGAAUAAAACUCCUCCAGCAAGGCCCAACCUUGGUUUUACCAUUUGCUACCACCUAUCCCCUUUUCCCUUGGGUUCUGCAGACUCAAGGGUCAUCUUUAUUUUAGACCCCCCCGGGCCAGUGCUCCUUCGAGUGUUGGUCCGAACUGAGUAGACUGUGGGGCCACCUCGUGGAAACUCGAGGUCUGGUUUUACUCGUAGGAUGUCUCAUCCGGUGUUGCCCUGAGAACGAGAUAUGUGCAGCUCCUAUCGGGAUUUGUCGGCACAUCGGGCGGCUUUGCUGGUCUUGUUUUACCAUUGUCGAAAUGUCUUGUAAACCGGGAUUCUGAGACUGAUCGGGUCUUCCUGGGAGAAGGUUUAUCCUUCGUUGACCGUGAGAGCUUAUAAUGGGCUAAGUUGGGACACCCCUGCAGGGUAUUAUCUUUCGAAAGCCGUGCCCGCGGUUAUGUGGCAGAUGGGAAUUUGUUAAUAUCCGGUUGUAGAGAACUUGACACCUGACCUUAAUUAAAACGCAUCAACCGCCUAUGUAGCCGUGAUGGUCUCUUCUCGGUGGAGUCCGGGAAGUGAACAUGGUUUCUGGGUUUUGUUUGACGUAAGUAGGAGUUCAGGAUCACUUCUUGAUCAUUGCUAGUUCACGACCGUUCCGUUGCUUCUCUUCUCGCUCUCACUUGUGUAUGUUAGACACCAUAUAUGCUUAGUGCUUGCUGCAGCUCCACCUUAUUACACCAUCCUUUCCUAUAAGCUUAAAUAGUCUUGAUCUCGCGGGUGUGAGAUUGUUGAGUCCUCGUGACUCACAGAUACUUCCAAACAGUUGCAGGUGCCAAUGAUACCAGUGCAGGUGACGCAACCGAACUCAAGUGGGAGCUCGAUGAAGAUCUUGUUCGUUGUGUUGUUUCUUUUCAUUUUGAUCAGUAGUGGUGCCCAGUUGGGACGAUCAGGGAUCUAGCAGUUGGGUUGUCUUCUUUUAUUUUGGUUCCGUAGUCGGACCUAUGUGUGUACUCUGAAUGAUGUAUGAAUUUAUUAUGUAUUGUGUGAAGUGGCGAUUGUAAGCCAACUCUUUAUCCCAUUCUUGUUCAUUACAUGGGAUUGUGUGAAGAUGACCCUUCUUGCGACAAAACCACAAUGCGGUUAUGCCUCUAAGUCGUGCCUCGACACGUGGGAGAUAUAGCCGCAUCGUGGGCAUUACAAAUAGUCGUGGACUUGGACCGCCGGGUUAUCUGCCUAGCCAAAGUUUCAUCCUCUGGUAACUCGCCCCGGUUUAUAUACGCCAGAUAUGGAACCGUCCAAUCCGGGAUAACAUGAAGAGCCGCCACCAACUGGGCCUCCGGAUCAGGAACAGCCAAAUCCUCUUCACCAGGGAGCUUGACGGACGGAUUAUGCAAAACAUCCAGGAAGACAUUAGGUGGAACCGGUUUUCGUUGGGAACCCAGGCGGCUUAAAGCGUCCGCCGCUUCAUUCUUCUGCCGGUCCACAUGAUCCACUUGAUAACCUUUAAAGUGACCUACAACAAUAUCCACCUCACAACGAUAUGCUGCCAUUAGUGGGUCCUUGGAAUCCCAAGUGUCGGACACUUGUUGAGCCACCAGAUCCGAGUCACCGAAGCACUUAACUCGGCUUAGGUUCAUCUCCUUAGCCAUCCGAAGACCAUGGAGUAAAGCCUCAUAUUCAGCUGCAUUGUUAGUGCAAGGGAACAUUAAACGGAGAACAUAACAAAAUUUAUCACCUCGUGGGGAAGUUAAUACGACUCCAGCCCCCGAGCCCUCCAAUUGUGUGGACCCAUCAAAAUGAAUAGUCCAAUAAGUAUGAUCCGGCUUCUCUUCUGUCGCUUGUAGUUCUGUCCAAUCAUUGAUGAAAUCCACAAGUGCCUGAGAUUUGAUCGCCGUUCGGGAUAUGUAUUUCAACCCAUGAGGCCCGAGCUCUAUAGCCCACUUAGCAAUCCGGCCAGUUGCUUCCCUGUUCUGGAUUAUAUCCCCCAAAGGAGCGGAGCUGACCACUGUGAUAGGAUGACCUUGGAAAUACUGCUUAAUCUUCCGGCUUGCCAUGAAAACCCCAUACACAAAUUUUUGCCAAUGCGGGUACCGUUGCUUGGACUCAAUAAGUACCUCACUGAUAUAGUAAACUGGCCGCUGAAGCGGAUAUUCCUUUCCUGCCUCCUUGCGCUCCACCACAAUAGCCACACUAACAGCCCGAGCAUUAGCUGCCACAUAUAGCAACAAUGGUUCUUUGUCCACUGGAGCAGCGAGAAUCGGCGGAUUAGCCAGCUGCCGCUUUAAGUCCUCAAAUGCUUCAUUAGCGGCGCACUCCAAACGAAGUUAUCCGUUUUCUUCAGCAUCUGGUAUAAAGGUAUGGCCUUCUCACCAAGGCGACUGCAAACCGGCUCAACGCGGCAAUCCGGCCUGCCAGGCGUUGAACAUCAUUGAUACACUUCGGUUUAGCCAAGGAGGUUAUGGCUUUGAUCUUUUCCGGAUUAGCUUCAAUGCCCCUGUUAGACACAAAAAAGCCCAAGAGCUUGCCUGCUGGUACACCAAAGACACACUUGGCCGGAUUAAGCAUCAUUUUGUAAACCCGCAGGUUAUCAAAGGUUUCCUUCAAGUCAUCAAUCAAUGUCUCCUUCUUCCUUGAUUUUACCACAAUAUCAUCCACAUAGGCGUGAACAUUGCGGCCGAUCUGUUUAUGCAGACAAUUCUGCACACACAGUUGAUAAGUCGCCUGGGCACUCUUGAGCCCAAAGGGUAUGGACACAUAGUAGAAGGCUCCAAAGGAGUUAUGAAGGUUGUCUUCUCCUGGUCCUUAACUGCCAUUUUGAUCUGAUGAUAACCAGAGUAUGCAUCCAAAAAGCUUAAACGCUCGCAACCCGCCGUAGCAUCAAUAAUUUGAUCAAUACGGGGAAGGGCAAAAGGAUCUGCUGGACAAGCUUUGUUGAGAUCUGUGUAGUCCACACACAUAUGCCAAGUGCCAUUCUUCUUGAGGACCAGCACCGGAUUAGCCAACCACUUAGGAUGGAAUACUUCAACUAUAAAUCCAGCCGCCAAGAGCCUAGCUACUUCUUCUCCAAUAGCUUUGCGUCUUUCUUCAUUGAACCGGCGGAGAAACUGCUUGAGCGGUUUAUACUUGGGAUCAACAUUGAGAGUGUGCUUAGCGAGUUCUCUCGAUACACCUGGCAUGUCAGAAUGCUUCCAUGCAAAGAUGUCCCGAUUCUCACGGAUGAACUCGAUGAGCGCGCUUUCCUAUUUUGGAUCCAAGUUAGCACUGAUGCUAAACUGCUUGGACGAAUCGUCAGGCACGAAGUCAACAAGCUUAGCCUCAUCAGCCGAUUUAAACUUUAGGGCCAGAUCAUGCUCUGUAGUUGGUUUCUUCAAUGAAGUCAUAUCCGCCGGAUCAACAUUGUCCUUGUAAAACUUCAACUCUUCUGUUGCACAAACCGACUCAGCAUAAGCCGCAUCACCUUCUUCACAUUCCAGAGCAAUCUUGCGGCUCCCAUGCAUGGUUAUAGUUCCCUUGUGACCCGGCAUCUUGAGCUGCAGAUAGACAUAACAAGGUUGUGCCAUAAAUUUAGCAUAAGCUGGCCGUCCAAAUAGGGCAUGAUACGGGCUGCUGAUUUUCACCACUUCAAAGGUCAAGGUUUCUGAUCUCGAGUCAUGCUCAUCUCCACAAGCCACCUCCAGAGCUAUCUUACCAACAAGAUAUGCCGAUUUACCAGGCACCACACCAUGGAAUACCAUAUUGGACGGUUUAAGAUUUUUAUCUGUUAACCCCAUGCGACGGAAAGUUUCAUAAUAAAGGAUAUUGAUACUACUCCCUCCAUCCAUGAGUACCUUAGUGAACUUAUAACCUCCCACCUGAGGUGCCACCACCAGAGCCAGAUGACCCGGAUUGUCAACCCGGGGUGGAUGAUCCUCUCUACUCCAUACAAUCGGCUGCUUGGACCAACGCAAAUAACGGGGCAUCGCCAGUUCAACGGCACUCACCGCCCUUUUAUGAAGCUUCUGAUCAUGCUUGUCCAAGCUAGUGGUGAAGACAUGAUACUGUCCGCUAUUCAACUGCUUUGGGUUGCUCUGGUAACCCGACUGCUGCUGAUGUUGAUUGCCCUGAUGAUUAUAGCCACCUUGGUUACCCUGAUUACCUUGAUUGUUAUGUCCACCCUGAUUACCGUGGAAGCCUGGACCGGAAUUUCCUCCACCAUAACCCGGCCCAUGGGACCCGGGGCCCGAACCGCCUCCUGCUCCAUGAUCAUACCGGAAAGAAUCAGAAUUUUUGAACUCUUGCAUGAUGUAAAAAUCUUUGCAGAGGUGUGUGGACGGUUCCUCCUUCGUCCCAUGCUUUGGACAAGGCUGGUUCAACAGAUAAGACAAACGGUCCGGAUUAGGAUUUGGCAUUCCACCGCGCUGGGGAGGUUUACCCAUACGCCGCUGGCCCUUGUCGCGUGUAUUAGUGUUAGUCACAAAGUCUAAACCGUGGUCCGCUUUACACUUGCCACCGUUUCCAUGACCCGCCGGGUUGUGGUGCUGCCCCUUGGCGUUGCCGCUCUUCUUUCCCAUCCCUGUCUUAUCAUCGUCAGACUCGGGAUCCUUGGUACUAUCAGAGUCGGCAUACUUCACCAGUGCAGCACGAGGGUUCCCAUGUCAUUACAAUGACGUUUGAGCCGUCCCAACUUCAACUUCAGGGGUUCAAACCGGCAAUUGCCUUCCAAUGUUAAAACUACGGUGUCAGUGUUGAUGCGGUCCGAUGAAUGCAAAAUCUCUGAAACCCGGCGCACCCAAUGGGUUGUUGACUCUCCUUCCUCCUGGACACAGGCAGCUAAGUCCACAAUUGACAUGGGCUGCUUGCAUGUAUCCUUGAAAUUCUGAAUAAACCGGGCUCUCAAGUCGGCCCAUGACCUGAUAGAAUUAGCCGGUAAGCUCUUUAACCAAGUGCGGGCCGUCCCUUCUAGCAUCAUGGUGAAGUACUUCGUACAUGCCGCAUCAUCCACGUCCAGCAUCUCCAUGGCCAUCUCAUAGCUUUCGACCCAUGUUUUAGGGGAUAAAUCGGCGGUGUAAUUCGGCACCUUGCGCGGGCCCUUGAAAUCCUUGGGCAGGCGCACAUUGCGCAACGCUGGGACCAGACAUGGCACUCCCAAGGCACUAGAGGUAACCCCUGGUUCCACCGAUGUGGUUGGACGAACCGGAGUAAGCUGACGGGCUUCGUGCUGCACCGCUAACUCGGCCUCUCUGCGUGCCCGAGCCCGGUCCACCACCUCCUGAGCAUCACCAGCACAGCCCGCCGGGUUAUUGCCACGGGGCAGAUCACGGUUCGGCGCAUUGCUUGACACUGCCGGUUCAUCCAUACGCCUGCUGUAACUUCGGCUUGGACGGGGAGUGGAAUGAAUCCGAUCGCGACUAUGUGAAUGAGCCUCCUGUUGAACCAAGGCUGUCUGAAGAAGCUCCUUAACCCGACGCGUCUCAACCGCUGCUGGAGAAUCGCCUUCGAUCGGGAUGGCCGCUAGCCGUGAAGCGGCAGCGACAAUGUUGUCCAUUGGGUUAGAAUAAUGACCCGGUGGCGUGGGGACACGCGGUGCCACAAUGUUGUUCUGACGAGGCGGAUCCACCAAACGUGGCUGAACCGGCGCCCCUGCCCCCGGUGCCUCCGCCCGGUUUACCACCGGCGGAUUACUGGUCCCUGCUCCUGGGGUGUUAAAGAGAUUUCUAGCGUCAUAAACCGGCGGCAAGCGAGAUCGGUGCCUCCUCUUCAGGACUUCGUUCGACGCACUCUGAUCCAGCAUAAUCCGGUAAGCAUGUGCAUCCAAAGCGGCCCGCUCCGCGGCUAUCCUGGUAUCCUCAGCUGCUAAGUCGGCUUUGGCCUGGGUGAUCUGAUCUUUCACUUUCGCGAUUUCCGCAUUGUGUGCAUCCUGGUCCGCCGGGUUAACCUCCGCCAUUAGCGUUGCCAACGCGUCAAACAAAUCAGAUAGAACCUGAGCUGGCGGUCGCACAGGGCCUCCUGCCCCGGCCGCUGCCGAUCCGGAAAUCAUCGCCGCUGCGGUCGAAGAGUGGAGCGCCGGUUGCGUGCCGGCGGCAACCCGGUUUGGUAGAUCAAAGGGGUCCGGAAUAUUGUCGCCAUCGGAACAGCCCCCAAUUCGGCCAUCUUGUAACUGAUAUAACGACUCGGUCUCUUCGGUCGAUGACUCGUCGCCAGAAUAAACAACGGUCUCACCACCAGAUUCCGAUCUAUCCUCAGAUUCCCCUCCAUGGAUAACUCCCACGAAGGCACGCUUCAUGACAGGCUUGACCCGGGCAGAUCUCCCACGCUGAGCCAUUUCGACGAGGUCGGUGCAGAUGUCCGGUUCAGGGCCCGGUUCGCCGAUCUUGCCAACGAAAACGUGUAUGCCACCAAAGGGGACCUGGUACCCGUACUCGAUUGAGCCGGCCUCGGGGCCCCAGCCUGCAUCGUCGACGUAGAGCUUGCCGCGACGACUCUUGGUCAUCCGGCCCACAGAUAACCCUUGAGUCCUUCGAAGUUGUCCUCCAAGAACUUGAAACCAUCGUGCGAUAGCCCCACGGUGGGCGCCAACUGUCGUGGAUUUGUCACGGCAGAUGUCCUAGAGCAAGGACUUAGUCGUGGAGCCAUCGCUACGGGUUAGCUUAAAGGGGUUAAAGCGGACAAGGGACGCAAGAGAGUUUUAUACUAGUUCGGCCCCUUACGAUGAAGGUAAAAGAUUCGUCUAGUUGUGAUGGAAUUGAUGGGAUUUCGAUGACCAGGGAGCGAAUACGCUUUGCCUGAAUCUCGAGUUGUUGUCUGUUGUCCUUGAACCGCCACCGGGUCGUCCCCUUAUAUACAUGGGUGGACGCCCGCCGGUUUACAGAAUCCCGAGGCCGGCUCAUAAUCGUGUCCGGCUCGGUCUCUGCUACUUCGAUCUUACAACACAAGUUUAUAUAUCAAGCCGGUUUAUGUCUACAGGCCUUAAACCGGCUUUGGGCCCUGGGCCUACUUGAAGCGUCACCGUUUGUCUUCAUGGACUUCAGAUACAGAUGAACUACUCAUGGGGUUAACCCGGCCUCUCCUAGCCGGUUUACGCCUAGUGGUAAUAUCCCCAACACAUCUCUAGAUUCAAUAGAAAAGUUCCUAUGAUGUCAACCAAAUGACAUCUCUUUUCCAAUCCCUACUCAUAGGAAUGGAGAUACUCCAUGUCAUCUCUUUCCCUACAACUUCCAUGUAUACAUCUUCUAUUCCUAAAUAACUAGUACAACCCACUAGUAGCUUUUUUCCAAGACAUGCAACUAUGGCACAAGAACUAUAUAGUGUGCGAAUAACUUGAAAGAUGGUCGCUGGAUGAAGCUAAUCCGACAGUGAAGAGAUGGCAAAUCCGAGCACUACUGGCCGUUGGAUAUCAUCAACAUUCCACCAGAUCUGCCACAUGUACAAUUUAGAAGACUCCAUGGUUGAACUUAAGCAUAAUGCACAAACCUCAAAACACAAGCACUUCUCCUUUGUUCUAGAAUCUUCCGCGUCAUAAUUGAUUUUUUUCUAAAUGAACCAUUAUUUGUUUUUUACUUUAUGCUUUACAAUGCACAAGCCCAUGAAUCUUAACAUUAUUAUAAAACUAAUUGAUUUUAAAUGAGAUGAGCUAUCAGAACUAAACGAACAUCUACAUCAUGCAUAUAUGACUCAAAGCUUUACAUGCUAUAGUGUGUAUUUAUUCAUAAUUUGGUUUUGAAAUCUCAUGCGUUCAAUGCAUGUGUACCUUACUAGUUUUGAGUAGAGUAGCAAAUUUCACGCGGCCCCGGGUAUAUCAAAAUGCAGGGCCCAUGCAUCAUUGCCUUUUGAUUGAACCUACGUCCACAAUUUUUUGUACGUACUAUAUCUCCACUGGUCCCCGAACCCAAAAUGCUGCCUCGUUCCCCUUAAACCAAGCGGCCCGCGCAUAUUUAAGGCGUCGACUCAAACUCAAUCCCUCUCCCGUUUACUAUGACGUGGCCCCGCACGCCCUAGUAGUACUCCUACAAACCCUACCGCCGCACGCAUCAUCAGUUUUCUUCAAGAGGACGAGGGAGAAGCCGAUUUGUAGUGGAGGCGCUUUCAAAAAAAAUGAUCUGUAGUGGAGACCCCUACCCUAGGGUGCCCUAGGUAGCUGCUGCACACAUAAUUGGUUUUCUCUUUUCUCUAUGCUCUUGCGCCCUAGAGUGAAAUGAUGGUUGCUUCGUCCGUCCAGCUUAAUGCGGGAAAGGUGGGGCUUUGUGAUUUGACCCCUCAUUGCUCAUUUUCUACUACUGUGACGCUACGACCGGGGUGCCUCUAGUUCCAACCGCUGCUUCGAACUGUAAUUUGGUGCAUCGCACAUGGAACAAGACGGUGGAUGAGCCACAUGUCGGCCAAAGGGCUCAUGUUAAGUGUGUCGCCAUUUCGUGUUCGGACUGACCCUACUUGAGUCGCUACGCCAACACGACAGGUGCAGCCUACCACUUGGUUUUGCUCCUUGGUGAAUCCCGACUAUAUUGAUCUAAAAAGAUACGUACUGAACUACCCUCUCCAUCUCUUUUUUUAGACGUCUCGGUUUAUAGGGCGUGCACGUAGUUCUAGUUCAUCCAUUUGACUAACUACAUCUAAGUUACUAUGUCACAAAAAGUAUAUCAUUGGAUUAUUAAGCGGAUGUAGUUUCUAAACAUAUAUUGUUCAUCACAUAUAUAGCUAGUCAAAUUCUCAACCUAGAACGACGUGCAUGCCAUGUAAACCGAUACGGAGGAAGUAUAGUAGUAAAAAUGAGGUGAUUUUACCGAGUGAUUGGCUGGGGAGCAUGGCCUGUCAUGCGGUCCCACGUGUCAUGAUGUACCAAGGCGAUGUGCGUGUCCCUCUUGAGGCAGAAGCAAUACUACAUGGUUUGAGAUGAUGGCGAACCGAAGUGUGAAAUAAUGGUUGCUUCGUCCGUCUGGGAAGGUGCGGCAUUGUGAUUUGACGUCUCAUUGGUCAUUACUACUACUACUGGGGCGGUACGACUGGGGUGCGUCCCCCUGCUGUUCUGCACUGUUAUUUGGUGGUUGACACGUCGACCCGGUUGCUAUAUGUCCCACAUGUCGGCGACAGGAAGUACAGAAGUCAUGAAAGCAAGCGUCGACGGAGGAGUACAAGACACGGCUUGGGUUUUUGCUGCUUCACGCGAUCCAUCGAUACAAACCCGGACUAAAAAAAGGCGAGGGCGGGUCUUUUCCCGCGCGGCAGGCAGGGGAGUUUGGCAUAGUCUGUUCAAGGCAAGGAGGCAGGAAGGGAAACAAGCAAAUAAAGGUUGAGCAACUUAGUUUUUGGAAAAUAUGAUUUUACGGAGUACAUACCCACUAGGGUUUAUAGGGCUCAUCUAAAAAACAUUCGUUUUUCCGUUUUGUAAGUCUCAAUUCUACUACUAGUAGUAGUACCAUCACAUGUGGAUUUUGACGUGCGUUAGAUCACCCGAUGCAAGCAGUGUCAAGAGAAAACUCACCAAUGCAUGUAGAAGUUCAUGGAAAUUUAGUGGUCAUUCAUGCAUUCGUUAUAAUUAAUGCCUCGGUAAACAUAACUUCUUGAGAAAAACGAGCGUACUAAUUACUUGUGCAAACUAGGAGUAAGAAAUUAAUUCGACAACUCACCGUCUACCUUGGUUGGAGAGAUUUUGAAAUUGAGCCAUAAACUAGAAAGGAGGGAGUAGUAACUUUUGUCUCGAUUACUAUUUGUGGCCUUCUAUAGAUGCAAAAUGUAUUUUUUUUAUAGUGGCCUUGUAUAAGAAAAUGGAGGGAGUACUAAAGGACAUAUAUAUUCCAAACAAUAUGAUAAUCUCUCUAACCAAGGUAGUAGGGACGAGGAGUAAACGGAGGGAGUAGUAAAUUUUUCUCCUCGUCCUGGGAGCCACCGCGCGCGUGGGCGAGGGAGUGGGCAUAAGGCGUACAGUACUACUACUAGUAAGCAAGCUUCACCUCAUCCUGCGAGCCACCGCGCCCGUGGGCGGGGGAGACGGUGUACUAAGCAAGCUUCUCCUCGUUCUGCGAGUUGACGGGACACAUCAAAAGUACUCCAGAGUAUAGAGCCCUGCCUCUAAGGUAGGCCCCACAUGGUUUGCCUCUUUUUUGUGUGUUGUUGCCUCUUUUUUAACAUAACGCAUCAGGUCGCAAUUUGUUUGUUCACCCGUGGUAGACGAUCCUCCCUCCACCAAGUGGACAACCAGUACACGGUCAAAUUACCACAUGGGCUGCCUUUUCGUACAUAAAUGAGCUCCACCGUGUACCCACGUGGGUGUGGUUGGGAAAGAGAUGGGAGUACGUGCGCCGUGCGUGCACCUCUUCUCUUCGUGCACGUCCCCCACCUACAUGGGUGUGUGUGAGAGAUACAAACCUAGACAAAUGGCUUGUGCGGAAUAACUACUCUUCCUAAGCCAUUGUAAGAGUGGACAAAAUGGUGAAGGAGGAGAUAGCACUACAAAAAAAGACACAUCCGUGACAUUUUGGGCCGAACGAAAAUCUUUUCGGUCAUACUUAUGACACUUCUAUGGCGUUAAUUGUGACAAAACACGGUAUCAUCAUAGAUGUUGUGCGGUCCUACUUCUAUGACAAAAAUUCAUGAAAGAAAAUGGGCUUUUCAUCCUGGGCGGGCCAGAGACGCAGCUGCAUGACAUUCUUUGGGCCGUCCAUGACGAAAAAAACAUGGUAGAAGCGAGGGCGAGGAAAAUAUCGGGGUGUCCCCAGUUACGGUGGGUGGUCGGGGGCCGACCGAUGCGCGUUUCUCUCGUACGUACGCGCGUGUGUGCGAGGUGUUGGGCUCUAACUGAACCCGAGCGAGGCGUUGGGCUCUAACUGAACCCAAGCGAUUGCACUGUAGGCUACGCGUUACUGAACCCGAGCGAUCGAUCGAUGGCUGUUAACUAAACCCGAUGGAGCGAUUCCUUCGCUACUGCUGCUAACUGAAGCCGAUCGAUGCUGCCUCUGGAUGAACAGUGAGCGUUGCUGGGGGGUUUGGAUGAACAGUUCCCGGUGGGGUGGAUGAACAGGACCCGGUGGCGUUNNNNNNNNNNNNNNNNNNNNNNNNNNNNNNNNNNNNNNNNNNNNNNNNNNNNNNNNNNNNNNNNNNNNNNNNNNNNNNNNNNNNNNNNNNNNNNNNNNNNNNNNNNNNNNNNNNNNNNNNNNNNNNNNNNNNNNNNNNNNNNNNNNNNNNNNNNNNNNNNNNNNNNNNNNNNNNNNNNNNNNNNNNNNNNNGUGGAUGAACAGGACCCCGUGGUGUUGCCUGUGGAUGAACAGUACCCCGAUCGAUCGAGCCGGUUGGGGCUGGACGAACAGGACCCCGUGGAGGGCAGGAUGAACAGGACCACCCCGUGGAGGGCAGAUUGAACAGUAGACGGUGGAGGGCUGGAUGAACAGUAGCCCGUGGAGGGGUGGUUGAACAGGAGCCCGUGGAGAGGGCUGGUUGAACAGUAGCCGGUGGAGUAGCGCGCGGUGGAGGCUGGAUGAACAGGAGCCCGUGGAUGAACAGUCGCAGGUGGAGGCUGGAGGAGGUCGAUGGUGGAUGCACAGUAGCCCGUGGAGGCUGGAGGGGGUCGAUGGUGGAGAUGAACAGUACCCCGUGGAGUCCCGUUUUGCGGUACGCCACACCCCUCCCGAUGAACAGGACCCCCGUUUCUACCGUAGCGCUCCAACACAAGUCUGUUUCCUCCGUUUUGCGGUACGCCACACCCCUCCCGAUCAACAGGACCACCGUUUCGACCGUAGGAGGUCUGUUUCCUCCGUUUUGCAGUACGCCAGCCCCUCCCGAUGAACAGGAUCCCGUUACGAACGUGGCCGGUCGAACACAAGGCCGUUUCCUCCGUUCUGCGGUACGCCAGGCCUCGUUUCCAUCGGCUGUUCCAUCCAAGCCCUCCCGAUGAACACGACGAAGCAUUCCGUUCUGACCCAGCCGGUUGGCUCCCCAUGAAUACGACGACGACGCAGUUUCUCCGUUCCGACCCAGCCAUGUACACGAGCCCUAGCCGUACGUAUGCGCGAGUAGGCGUUCGAGACCCUGCCCGUUUGUACGUACGUGGCCGUAUUUUCUUUCUUGCACCCUGCCCGCUAUACGUACGUGUAAAUGCUACGUGCGUGCCUCUACUACGACACGUGCGCGCCUCAACAACGACCAGUAUGUACGUACACAUUCGCGACCAGAAUGACAACGCUACGUAUGCUUCGACCAGGUGGGUCCUGACCGUCAGGCACUUCCUUGCCCGCGAAGAUGUAGGUGGUGGGUCCCAGCAGUCAGGGGGGCGAAUCGUUUUUUUUGCCCGGACGCACUUCCUUGCGUGCGAAGAUGUAGCUGAUGGGUCCCAGCAGUCAGGGGGGAACGUUUUUUUCACGAAAUACGGUGGCCCAUCCGGUGGGUCCCCUCUGUCAGGUGGAGGAAUAAUUAUUUUGCGCGUAAUAAGGAGGCACUUCCUUGCUGCGGCCGUGGACCCAUCUGUCAGCCUCUCCACAUACAAUCCACGUCCGAUGGAAGCCAUUACUUGACCACGUGGACCACACCGCGCCGAGAGCACCAGGGCGGUGGACGACGGCGAGGCCUAGGAAGGGGACGACGGGAGCCGGGGAAGCCGCGGCAGUGGAUGCCCACGCGUAGAGGAGUAUGAGGGUUCACUGGUUCGCUGCGGUGUGAGGCUGCCGUCACUGCAGAAUAACAUGGGCUUUGGGUGAGUAGAGGGAUGGCCUGGCCAGCGGUGGGAGUAGAAGGGGGUGAGGCCUCCGCCGCAUCGCAGCGGGCCACUGGAGGCAGGAGCGCGAGGCACGACCGGCGCUGGUUUGGGUGGCUGGAGCAAGAAGACCAGAGGCUGAAGAAGCACUACGGCCGUUGGAUGGACAUCGUAUGGUCACUGGAGCUAGAAUCGUGCAUAUUGACUAAGUUGACAAAGCCCACCAUCCCCGUCAACUUAGUAGGCCCACAAGUUAGCCUGUCACUAUACUGGGUCCCUGCUAGCAGGGGGAGUAUUCAUUUUUUGUGCGUAAUAAGGAGGCACUUCCUUGCAUGCGAAGAUAUAGAUGGUGGGUCCAAGCUGUCAGCGGCGGUAACGUUCUUUUUUGCGAAAUACUGAGGCCCUUUCAGUGGGUCCCAGAUGUCAGGUGGAGGAAUCAUUAUUUUGCGCGUAAUAAGGAGGCAUUUCCUUGCGUGCGGCCGUGGACCCAGCUGUCAGCCUCUCCACGUACAGUCCACUUCAUAUGCAUGUUGGUCGUUGACCAUGUUGACCAGGCCGUGCCAAGAGCACCAGGGCGGUGGACGACGGCGAGGCCUAGGAAGGGAACGACAUGGAGGCAGGGAAGACUCGGCAGUUGUUUCCCACGCGGAGGGGAGUACGACUGUACGAUGGUUUACUGGUUCGUCUGCCGUCGCCGGAGAAUAACAGCAGGUGUGGGUGAGUAGAGGGAUGGCUAGGCCAGCGAUGGGAGUACGGUGGGCGGUGAGGCCUGCGCGGCAGCACAGCAGGCCACGGAGAGGAGGGAGCAGGCAGUCCCGCCGGCGCUUGUUUGAGCGGCUGGAGCAGGAAGAGCAGAGAUUGAAGAAGCACGACGGCCGUUGGAUGGAAAUCCAACAGUCACUACUUGUGUGUCAACCUUUUUUUAGGAAAGCCUCAAAUCUGUGGAAAACAGCAUACAGCCCAUCUGCCAUUAUUUCUCAUAAUUUACAGCCCAUUUGCUAAUUCUUAAGUUUUUUUGAGCCCAUAUUCUUUUUGUUAGCAUUACAGCCCAUAUUGUGGCCACGGUUAAAAAAUUAUACGAAAUUUUGCAUAUUUCGAUGCGGUCCGAACUGUUUUUAAUCCCGAAAUUUUAAGUCACAUUCAAACUAAUUUUAAAAAUAAAUGUAUAUGAAUAUAAAAUCAACAAAUUUUCCACGCAUAAAAAUCAAUGCAAUUUAAAAUCUCGAAAUGAAAAAAAGAAAUUUGAAACUAAUUGCCGGUUUGAUGUGUUUUAAAAAUGUACAGCCCAUUUCUCAUUACUGCUAGGCCAUUUUCUCGGCCAGCCGAAUGAAGCUCUCCUCGUCUUGAAAGAUUUGCAGCCCAACAGACCUGACAAAGCGACUUACUUUGCAAAUCACAAAAAAACUGGGCUGUGGCCGUGGACCCAGCUGCGGCCGUGGACCCAGCUGUCAGCCUCUCCACGUACAGUACUCUUUCGAUGGAAGUCGGCCAUUGACCACAUUGACCACGCCGCGCCGAGAGCACCAAGGCGGUGGACGACGGCGAGGCCUAGGAAGGGGACGACGCGGAGCCGGCGAAGACGCGGCAGUGGAUGCCCAGGCGGAGAGGAGUACGAGGGUUCACUGGUUCGGCUGCGGCGUGAGGCUGCCGUCGUCGCAGAAUAACAGGGGGUGUGGGUGAGUAGAGGGAUGCCCUGGCCAGCGGUGGGAGUAGUAGGGGUCGGUGAGGCCUCCGCGGCAUCACAGCCGGCAACGGGUGGCAGGAGCACGCGGCACGAGCGGCGCUGCUUUGGGCGGCUGGAGCAAGAAGACCAGAGGUUGAAGAAGCACUAUGGCCGCUGGAUGGACAUCGUACGGUCACUGGAGCUAGAAUCGUUCAUAUUGACUAAGUUGACAAAGCCCUCCGUCCUCGUCAACUUAGUAGGCCCACAAGUUAGCCACCCACUAUGGUGGUCCCAGCUAGCAGGGGGGUAUUCAUUUUUUUGUGCGUAAUAAGGAGGCACUUCCUUGUGUGCGAAGAUAUAACUGGUGGGUCCGACCUGUCAGCNNNNNNNNNNNNNNNNNNNNNNNNNNNNNNNNNNNNNNNNNNNNNNNNNNNNNNNNNNNNNNNNNNNNNNNNNNNNNNNNNNNNNNNNNNNNNNNNNNNNNNNNNNNNNNNNNNNNNNNNNNNNNNNNNNNNNNNNNNNNNNNNNNNNNNNNNNNNNNNNNNNNNNNNNNNNNNNNNNNNNNNNNNNNNNNNNNNNNNNNNNNNNNNNNNNNNNNNNNNNNNNNNNNNNUUUUUUCGCGAAAUACAGAAGCCCUUCCCACGUACAGUCCACGUACAGUGCAUAAUAAGGAGGAACUUUCCUUGCGUGUGACCAUGUACCUCGUGGGUCCCAGCCGUCAGGCUCUCCACGUACAGUCCUCUUCCGAUGACUCUCGUAUAUUGACCAUGCCGCGCUGAGCGCACCGAGGCGGUGGACGACGGCGAGGCCCCAGACUGGAACGACCCGGAGAUGGGGAAGACGCGGCAGUGGAGCCGCAGAUGGAGAGGAGUUGGAAACUUGACUGGUUCGGGUGCGGGGUGGGCCUACACUCGGCAGAGAAUAACAGGAGGUGCGGAGUGGAGGGAUGGCCUGGCCGUCAGCGGGGUAGCGUUUCACUGAGGAGCGCAAAACAACGCCGCUGGACGCCGGAGGCUGGCGCAGGCGGUCCCGCCAGCGCUGGGGGAAGAAGACGAGAGAUUGAAGAAGAAUGCUGGCCGUUGGAUGUAAGUCCAACGCCUUCUUGGGCUUCAACCUACUGGCCCACAUGUCUGCCAGUCCAUUUGUUUUUUAGUCCAUUUGGUGGGCUGGGUGAAACAAUGAUGUAGCAUCUAUGCAGCCCGUUUAUAUGUAUGGUAAAAUUUAAAGCCCAUUUGCAUUUUUCUCGAAAUCCGCGAACUUGCUGGGCUGGGUGAAAAUAUCAUGUUGGGCUAGCCGGAGAAAUGUCAUAAAAACAUAAACACAUGAUUACACGUCUAUUACUGCAUUGGUUAGUAAAAUCUUUGCAAGCUUAUGUACGCAAUCGCUAGGAGUUAACUUGCCAAGUUAUAUAUAAACAAUUAUUAUUAUUAUUUUGUAAGAACUUUCAACUUACGAAAUAAAAUAUCAUUUAAAUUUGAUGAGUUAAUAGUACGUGGGGUAUUAUUAUUUUUUAGGCUAGAGGUGGGACAGUUGAGUUGGUUCUAGGGAAAAGUACUGGGAGAAAACUCAGUUUACAUCGAAAAAGAAAGUGGGAGAAAAUUCAGAUAUAGGAUUAAUGAAAACGAAAAGUAGAACUGAGCUAUAUAGGAAGAGGACGAAAGAUUGAACAAAAUAAAGAAAUACAAAUGGAUAGGUGGUUGGUCCCAUAUGUCUGUGUACAAGACCUGCUGGGUCCACCUGAGGAGGGGAAUAUGUUGGGAGGAAGGAGAUUCAAAGCACGGCAGCCGAGCGAACUAGAUUUUUUUAGCGGACAAGUGAACUAGUUACAUACAUAAGCAAAUAGCCACUAAAAAAAGCAAACAGGUUAAUGGGUUCUUAAAAGAAAAAUUUCGGACAAAACAGAUAAUUACGACACUUAGGCUAAUGCAUGAAACACUCAGAUGAUAAAGGUGCUUAUAAACAGAUAAAGUACAACAUCUAGACCUUCUUGGCACGCUUGAUCAUGACGCUGCGGCUGUCCGUGUACUCGUCAGUUAAGGGAAGCAGACACGCCCUCAUGUCCAAGAUCUGCCUGUACAUGUCGUAGCAUGCGUAUGCGUCCUUGGCCGCAUAGGUUAUGUAGGCUUGAUUCAGAGGUACCUCCCAUGUGUUCAGGUCCUUGGUAUCGUUGUCUUCUUUCAUGUUGGCGUAUCAAGGGUCGAUGAUGGUCUCGGCGAGGUCAACCACGGAGUCCUUCUCCUGCCCGUUGCUGAUGAUCUUGUAUUGCUUCUGGAUGUCGACAAGCUUGUUGCACCAGAUGGCCGAAUCAUCGCAUUCUUCGUUCUCUCCACCGUAGCGAAGGUGCAGUCGGCGCUACCGAUGAAACGGGCGAAUGCUCCAGAACCUCUGAUGGCCCUACAGAAGUGGUAGAUGAGAACCUCGUCCUGCACACAUACCUGGGCGACGGCGAUCCGCUGGUCCCUGUCAGGAGACGAAUGGAUGGGCACAAGGUCUAGUCCUGCAACCUUGUGCUUUCUCGUCCUGUAGGUACUGCUUGAACUCGGUGAGGUAGAGCUUCACCGAGUCCGGAUCAUUGGUGUACAUCACAUUCAACUUGGUGCAGCCAUAGGACUGAACGGCGAACUCAAAUGGGAACUCCUUGCUGAAGUCCAUAUCCAGCAGGCUCACCCCUCGGAUCGCCAUUGGAGUCUCUUCGAGUGAACGAGUGUGUAGGCGGCGGCGGCAGUUCGUUUUUCAGCUCUUGGGGAACUGGAUUCAACAGUAAAUUGAGUGUGUACAGGCGACAACAGUUACUACCCCUCCCUCGUCCGCUACACGCCCGGCAGAAGAUGCACCCUCGGCGCAUUCAAACGCCUCCAUUAAGAAACCUACUCCGGCCACAUGUCGGUGCACGAGCGGGUCUGUAUUGGUCCUGUAAUAACAGGAGUUAGUGGUCACUUUACUUAAAUUUAAUUAGCUUUAAUAGAAAUUUACACUUAAAACAAGCAAUGCAUUGGCUCGCUCUAUCAGUGCCACAAGAUCAACAUGCACAACAAUUAGAAUUAUUAUUCUCAGGACGCACACGAUUAGCACAUUUGUCGCACUUUCACAAAGAUAAAACUACCAAGUUUGAACUCUUUGUUAUGGUUGUUGUCCUCUGCAUCAUCAUGCCGUGUUUCCCAGCUUGCAAGAUUCAGAACCAACAAAUAAGAUUCAAAUAAUAAGUACAACAAAGAUGCCUACACAUCUCAUUGAUUCCCAGCUUGCAAGAUUCAGCUCUUGGGGAACUGGAUUCAACAGUAAGCUGAGUGUGUACAGGCGACAACAGUUACUACCCCUCCCUCGUCCGCUGCACGCCCAGCAGAAGAUGCACCCUCGGCCACACGUCGGUUCACGAGCGGGUCUGUAUUGGUACUGUAAUAACAGGAGUUAGUGGUCACUUUACUUAAAUUUAAUUAGCUUUAAUAGAAAUUUAUACUUAAAACAAUCAAUGCAUUCGCUCGUUCUAUCAGUGCCACGGGAUCAACAUGCACAACAAUUAGAAUUAUUAUUCUCAGGACGCUCACGAUCAGCACAUUUGUCGCACUUUCACAAAGAUAAUACUACCAAGUUUGAACUGUUUGUUAUGGUUGUUGUCCUCUGCAUCAUCAUGCCGUGUUUCCCAGCUUGCAAGAUUCAGAACCAACAAAUAAGAUCCAAAUAAUAAGUACAACAAAGAUGCCUACACAUGCAUCUCAUUGAUUCCCAGCUUGCAAGAUUCAGAACCAACAAAUAAGAUCCAAAUAAUAAGUACAACAAAGAUGCCUACACAUCUCAUUGAUUCCCAGCUUGCAAGAUUCAGAACCAACAAAUAAGAUUCAAAUAAUAAGUACAACAAAGAUGCCUACACAUCUCAUUGAUUCCCAGCUUGCAAGAUUCAGAACCAACCCAUUAGAGCCUUUUGAUAAAGUGAAUAUCGGGAUUAAAUCCAUCUUGGCUAGCCAUGUCAUACAAUCGAAGAACUUGGCGAAUGCUCUUGACCGUCACAACAUCUGUCGUUGAGUAUUCCUGUUUGCACACCACAAACCAGGAGAGCAUGAUUUCACUUUAAUAGUGGCCUCCUUUACUCAACCUGCAGCUCCACUAGGAUGAGGCCUGCCUAGAGUUCCAUGAUUCAAUUCAUGCGCCUUUUUCUGGAGUUCACCUGAAAUGAAGCAAAGAUUGCAUCAUUCAGCUAGCAAGAAGUACUUGCUCUCGUGAGCUGGCAGGUUCUUCUUUAGUAGUUGCACUAAAAUUGAGGAACAUUAAGGUUGGAUGUCCGGCUCAUGUAAGGUGCAACUAUAAUUUUCUUAUCCUUUUGUGCAGUUCCACUAAAAUAAAGUGCCAUUGUGGUGACAGUGACGACUCAUCUUGCAAAGGCUAAUAAAAUGUUACACGAGAUUACCAGCAGAACUUGAAGGAGAUUUUGGAAACUCCAAUCACAAUUUUGUACAGUUCCACCAAAAGUGAGAGACGUUGCCCACGUGACAUUUUAGUUGAACUGCACAAGACACUCAUUCCAAAAAAAGUGUUUUGUGCAAUUCACCAAAAGGUCACAAUAGCAACAAGGUGAAAUGGAUAUCCCUAUCUGCACAAAAAGAUAGAAAGUAAACAGUUGCUGGUCAAUAAGAAUAUACGAAACAUAUACGAAAUGAAAAGAAGCAUCUUAAUUAUGUUCAUGGCAAUCACGCAAGGACAGUAGAAAUUUUAAAACGUCAGCAAUGCUUCAUGUUACCAGAAGCAUUACGGUCAACAAUGAGAUUCCUCAAAUAUGGGAUUACUUUAAUGGUGGCAUUGUUUGUUUACCAGAUACAGUAAAUCAACAGCAGCUAAAGAGUUGGUUUAAGGGCAUGGGACCAUGGGGACACCAGGACACUGAGCAGCGUAAAGGAGCAACUUACUUAUCAUACUGGGGAAAACAGCAGGAGUGCCAUUUGUAACACGGUUUAAUUGCAUCUUAUCACUGGAGGCAUUAGAUUAACAAUAACACUGGUUAGACAUGUCCCUAAGGUAACAGUGUGAUCGCUUCAUUUUACAUGCGCCCUUACAUUAACAACAACAAAAGGUUGGUAUAAGGACAUGCAACAGUGGACGCAUCAGCACAAUGUACCUACAAGGAGGCAUAAAGUGGUGAUGCAGAGUUUGUUCAUGCUAUGUGAGGGCAGCAAAUCUAAUCCUGGAGACCUUUUACUAUGUGAGGGCAGCAAACCUAAUCCUGCAGACCUUAUACUAUGUGAGGGCAGCAAAUCUAAUCCUGGAGACCUUUUACUAUGUGAGGGCAGCAAAUCUAAUCCUGGAGACCUUUUACUAUGUGAGGGAAGCAAAUCUAAUCCUGGGACCUUUUACUAUGUGAGGGCAGCAGUUCUAAUCCUGGAGACCUUUUACUAUGUGAGGGCAACAAAUCUAAUCCUGGACAUACUCUGUUGACUUGUCCACCAGCCGCCACUUUCUAUCCUUUUUUCAACCAAUAAUAGAUCUGUUCCUUAUCCAGUUUGUACCGCGUUUUCCCAUUAUUUCCCUUUUCAACCAAGAGACCGGUUGGGUAUCCGGUCUCUACUACUUUCACCAUAUUAUUUCCUCUUUGAAUAAAGUCCUAGAUUCAUGCUACAACUUGCCCCCCUUUCUUCGUUGUUUGAACAAAGCCCUAGAUUCAAAUGCAUGAAGUAGCUUUACCUCUAAUAAUACUAAAAAUUUAGGUGGCCUUGGAAGAGCUGAUGGGAGUAGAAAAAGAUGCACAUGCAGACAUGUGGGGAGCUGGGGCAGUAGAGAAAGGCCGCUUUCGAAGAACUUAUACCUGAGGGUCGUCGGGAUGUCGGCGGUGGCAGGUCGGAUCUGCGGACAAUACGGUAGGGAGGAAGAAGGGUCGGAGGACCUCCCGAGCCGGCGCUGUGUCAGAGAGAAUGGCACGGGCAGAGGAUCGGGCCCAUCCGGUAGCUGUGGGUUUCCUCCCUCGCUGGUGAUGACCGCGUGAACGAUGGACCUAGUCCUCUACACACACCAGCCGAAGGGAUCCGGCAGGAUCUGUGACCAGCGGUGAGCUGAGAGAAAAUGUUGCUACCGCUGUCUUGUUUAUAUAUGGAGAGGAUGAGAGAAUGAAGAGAGCAACCCUAGUAAAGCAAGCGCUCAGGCCCCUGCAUACAUAUAUAGUGGAGUGAUUAUCUUUUUCUCUCCACAACAAGCGUUUCAAUUUGUGUACGUGGCAUUAAAGAAAAGAAACUCUCUAUUUAAGGUGACUACCUGUACGACUCCUACUUACUAUGACUAGUAGUAGUAUUGUUCACUUGUGCUCCCCGGCCCUCCAUUCGUUGAACAACCCCACGGGUGAAUAAACAUACAGUACUAGUAUUUCUAUAGAACGAACAAGCUCAAACUAUUUUCGCGUAGUUAAAAGUUGAGGGCGGGGCUUUUCCCGGGCAGUACGCGCGGCAGUUUUCGCGUUGGCGGUUUGACAGAGAGGCGAGGAGGGUGAGGGAGUAGCGGAUUCAACUUACUUACUGCUGGAAAGGUCGGGCUGUGCGAUUUGAACUCAACUAACCCAAAAAUAUACAAACAGGAGGGUUAGUUUGUGUUUGUUUGAACUCAACUAACCCAAAAAUAUCCAAACAGGAGGGUUAGUUUGGGUUACCGUUUGGAUCCACGUGUUAGUGUUAGUUUGGGUUAGUUUGAACUCAACUAACCCAAAAAAAUCUAACCCACCCAAGAGGUUCUUAUUUGGGUUAGUUCUUCUCGGGACACUAAAAAACACAUUUUUCUCUCGCUCUCCCCGCAGCAGAUCCCUCCCCACUUCCUCGAAGCUUCUCUUCCUCUCCCUCCCUCCCUCCCUCCCUCUCGCACCGCCCAUCAAGGCACCUCGCCGUAUCCGCGCCCCAUCUAACCCUGUCAUCCAAACACCUCUUUCGCUAGAGUUACUUCAGGGUUAGUUCAGGAUUAGAAUCUAACUCUAACAUUUAACUGAGUUAGAGUAUCCAAACAGGGCCUUUGAGAGAGACAAGGAGGGAGAAGCGAUACGGGCUGCUGGAAUACUAGAGAUAGGUGUCGCACGGAAGCCAAGAAAUAUGGUGAUAGCAUGGGUUAGCCAUGUACUAGUAUGAUGUAACUACACUGGGCUGCCGUGUUUCGUACUCUUCCAGUCCACUGUGGAGAUGAUUGGUUGAUUUUAUAUCGCUAAAUAAUAUAAAAUAUUAUGAGUGCAGACGCUCCACCCCGAGGUUCCUUGCUCCUUCUUGGUCGUCGGGUAUCUAUGUUCUUCCACUCUAUUUUUUUACGUGAGCUUUGUUCAUCCUUUUGCCAACACGCGACACAUCUAGCAUCAAGGUCCACAUGUCAUGCAAGGAUCGUUCCAUCUAUAUGAAGAACACGUGGGACUGGAACUACGAGACGGACAUGUACCCAGGAGUGGACGUGCGAACCUGUGUAACGUAGCGCAGUAAGUGAAGUAGAAAGGCACAAAUAGUAUGAACAUGCGUGGCAUAUAGGCAUUUGUCUCUUACUACCACUAAAUGUUGUACGUGCAAUGCCCGGUGAUGUUAUGGAGUACGUGACUAAGUACUCUACUACUACUAUAUUAAUUGGAGGCACAUAUUAGGUUUUAUAUUUGUUUACGUGCAUGCCCCGAGACCUUCCAAUUAGAUGUGUCUUUCUCUCCGGGUCGCACUUUGUGUCGUUCAUACCACUAGUACAAUAGUAAUACUACGUGUGGUCUCCAACCUAGAAGUGGAGACACUCUACCACGCUGUUCAUGUCCCACUCCUUUCGCUGACGUGUGCGACAUCCAGCACGUGCCGUGUGUUUGGCACUCCUUCGUCGUAAGAGUUGAAACGCUAGCAUUCAUUAGAAAUAAAAAAUAAAUUACCAGUGAUACUAUACCACGCGGUUUCCUUGCUCCUCGAUAUCGGAAGGAAUACUUCCGCUCACCGACAUGUGGGACGUCGACCAUCCUGGUCCACUUGCCAUGCCCGCAGAACUACAAGGGAGACUCACCCCGGUCGCCGCGCCGCAGUAAUUACUAAUGAGCCGUCAAAUCACAGGCCCAACCUUACCCACUGUGAAGUUGCUUGGACGAAGGAACCAUCAUGACUUUGAAUUCCGCUUCUUGAAGAAAACUAGUGUACUAGCAGUACUGCUAGCUACAGUAGUUACUCCAGCAGAUGCCUCCUUUGGUUCAUAGGAUAGGAAUUUUAUAGGAAUAUGAAAAUCAUAGGAAGUGAGAUGACAUGCAUCUCAAUUCCUAUAGAGAAAGAUAUCACAUUUGAUGCAUAAGAUAGGAAUUUUUCCAUUGAGUCUAGGCUAAUGUACUGGUAAUUUGCUCUAAAAACUAUAGUAGUAACUAGUAGUACUGUUACAUGCUCGUAAUUAAUUAAACAAACGUAUGGGCGACACAGACACACACACUAACUACUAGUACUACUACUUCUUGCGACGGCGGGCCUCUCUUGUCUUGAGUGCUUUUUGACUUUUCUGCUCCCUCUGUGCGGCUUUAGCCGCCUCUUGCUCGACCGCCCAUUCGGCCUUGGCAACCACCCACAUAGGUGUGAGGUCGCGAGCGGCGAUGAACUCGGCACGGCGGGAUGCCACCACUUGCCUACCAUUCUGUGUGCGGUCGUGGGCGGCGAGGAACUCGGCGCGGCGGGAUGCCAUCGCUUCCUUACCGGUUAGUGUGCGGCGCGGUGGCAUGAACGACGCUUGGUGACAACUCUGGGGUCGAGUGGCCGGACAACCGUAAAGUGCAUUGGUUUGUAAAGAGCUCAAGGACAGAAGACGAAGGAAAUUUGGAUUCCCCUUCAAUCCUGGUCAUUUAUUACUGAGUAAAAUGCAUUGGCGGUCAUUGAACUUUUCUUGAUAGCUUACUUUGAUCGUUGUAUACGAGAUAUGGUGAUUAUAUGGUCACUGGCUCAGCGUAUAGCUCCGUAUUUGUCUGGUUGACCAGUCAAACAGUCCGCAUGUGCCUCAUCAGCUCGUGUUCUUUAUCUAUCUUUCUAUGCGGGCCUACGUGUCAGUGGAGAAAGAAAUAAAAACCAAAAUUAUGCGUAUGUGACAUUACUGUUUAGACGUUUGCUGGAGGCCUCCGCGAACACCGAGCAUGUAUUCACCUGGAUCAACACCAACGGUCAUACUCGUGACUCGGCGCCUUGCUCAUGUAUAUCGUCCAUCACAGCGACAAUCUAUAAAACAACCUAGCUAGAGAGGGUACUAUGGUGCGGAGUAUGUACUAUCGUGAGCAAACGAUCAUAGUGCCACUGCACACGAGUGUGUGUCUAAUCGAUUCGUCCAUUAUUCGUAAGUUAUGUAUGGUUAUGUGGUGUCUAAUGGUGGUCGUCGAAUGCUAGCUGGCGACAAGAGCGGUUGCAUGGACGCCUAGUUGUCAAUACGUGCCGCAUACGCUUCAAAGGCUCGUCAUCCAUGAGUUCACAUUUUACCACCACGCCAGCAUCUGACCGCCCUGGCCUACCGAAACCCCUUCCAUCGCUAGCGCGCGCUUCCCGCCUGAAACGAUCACUGUCUCUCCAGAACGUCAAUGUCGCAUUCACCGGCCUUAACUGCAGGUGCAGUUGGUGUGUCACUGACAUGCGGGCCUAAUGCCCGUUGGGCCCACAUGUCAGUGAGACAAAGCACGUGCGGUUAAGUCACUGAAGCAGCGUCCGCAUUCACGCCCGACGCGACCUCUCACUGGCGCCGGCAUUGCAGCUGCGCGAUGGCCGAGAGAGCGCCACCCGCGCGGCAUCCCAGUGCAAGCGAUUGCUCCGCGUUACACCACGGCUACCGACGAACCUACUCCGGUGCCAGCCGUCCAUCCAUCUGCCGCGGCUCAUUGCCAUUCGCCCGCUAUAUUAACUUGAGCCCCGGCUCCCAACCAUAGCCAAAGACCCACACUCAUUCUCCUCCGGUCCCUUCCUUCUGUUGGCACCACUCCAACCAUGGCCUCCGGGCACUCCAAAGCUCUCUUGGACGUACUGUCGCAGGAGCAGACGAAGGACAUCGGUGCCUCUGCUCCGGGCGCGCUCCAAAGCUCUCUUGGACAUACUCUCGCAGGAGCAGACGAAGGAGAUCGCCGGCUCCCCCCGGCCGCCCUCCGUCACCACGACCACGAAGCCGGCGCGCGUGCGCGGGCGCAGCUGGCAGCGAGGAAGAGUAGUACAUGGUAGGUCGCCACCACUCUGGUCCCAGGAAGGCCACCGCUCCUCCACUCAGUCGACGCCAAGCUUGGUGGGAUAAAAAUCGGUGGCCGAUUAGCCGCUUGACGGCGACGUGGAGGCGGAAAUCUACAUAACCUUAUGCUCCGGAGGAGGAGGUUAUCGAGGCGGAUAACGAGGAGGCAAAGGCAAUGGUUGGCUUUCUCGGGUUCAGGGCCGGACAUGGUGGUCGGGUCCCAGCGAUCGUUUAGAUUAGGUUUAUAGUAGGUUUUAGUAUGGUUUGUGCGAAAUAUGUAAUGAAUUUCGUCCAGUUUAUAGGAAAAGUUCUCGAAGUGUAAUGAAUUUCAUCUGGUCAAUUUGAAAUUUGCUUUGUUUGCACGAAUUUCAUCCGGUUAGUUCAUAUAGUUGUCGAAAGGUAUGCGGGCAGCAUUGGAUGGCAUCCACCAGUGACCUCGGACAGAUGCCGGUGUAAAUUUGAGGGCCAGUGCUAGAGAUGCCCUAACUAUCAUGCUAUAAUCGCUAACGGUGCUCCAUUAUUUCACAGGGAACAGUUAUCCCUUGAUCAAAAUCAGAUCCGCCGUGUUUCGCACUCCUCCCACGUAAGAGUGUAGACUCUUGCUUAAAUAAAAAUGGAGCAAGUGGACGGCACUGUAGCACAUCAUAUCACUCAAACUAGCCCGCCUAACGCGCAGGAAAGCACCGCCCUCGUCAUUUUGUUCUGGAUUUCUAUCAAUCGAUCGCACGAAAAUGUUACGCUUUGCAAGUUCAAAAGGAAAAGGCGGCACACUUACAACUCGUACGCGUCGCGUUCACGUCGCACCCCCGACAGUACGGCUCGCACGCCGCUCACCAGAGGGGACACGCGUUGUCUUGCAUUUUCACUGACAUGUGGGUCUGCAAUUGAAUAAACCGUCGAUAGCCGAAAUCUAAUCGCUCGGCGGGCGUCGGCUGAGAGGAGAGAGACGGGGGAGGGAGAAGAGAUCGCCCGCCCGCCGUGCCACGGACUCCAAGAAAUAUGUGGUGAAAUGUGAGGUGGGCCAUGCGGGAGUCCGCACCGCUUCCAAGCCCGCUUCUUACCGCCCUGGCCCACCAGAACCCCUCCCCCACCCCGCCACCACCCCGCGCGCACUCCCCCCUCAGAGGCUAGCUGCCCGCAUUCAUAGCAAGUACUACCAGUAAAAUUCUGGGCUAUAAAGGGCAUGUACAAUGGUUGAUCAGAUAGUCUUAUCAUAAGUCUUGCAUGUAACUUAGAGAUGACAAAAAAACAUGUGUACAAUGGAUCAUCACUUAGCCUUAUCUUCAAUAACUAGUUAUUCCUAAAAACAUGGUGAAACAUAUUGUGCUAAGAGAUCAUAUCUUGUCUUCUCGACAAGCCCGCUUAUGUGGAGGAGAGAGAGGCAUUGACAAAGUCAAGGAGUGGAAUCUGCAGGAGCUCGUCUCUACACGUGCUCCUAGGUAUAAAAAAACUAAUUCUAAAAAAAGAGGCAUAAAAAACAAUUGUGUCUAAAAAAAGAAAGGUAAAAAACAUUUGAGAGGAAAUAGACAGAGAGAAAGUGAGAAAAAGCUGUAACCUUAUAGUCAACACUAUGGUAGUAUUACAUGAGGAAGGAGGGAGUGGUGCACAUGCCAAGUUCACUGGGCUGCCGUGUUUCACACUCCUCCGUCGUAACAAUGGAGACAAUAGGUUUCAUCAAAAAUAAAAAAUGAAUACUCGUUGCUCGUCACUAUAUCGGAAAGAAUACUUUCAUUCACCGACAUGUGGGACGUCGACCAUCCUGGUCCACUUGCCAUAUGCACAAAAUUAUCCUGGUCCACCCCGGUCGUAGCGCAGGCUCAACCUUUCCCACUGUAAAUUAGUCGGACAAAGGAACCAUCAUGACUUCGUUGAAUUCCGCUUCUUCAAGAAAACUUACUCUACCCACAGUACUGCUACCACACGCGAAGACUGGACGGCAUUGUACCACGUCAUAUCACUAAAACCCACUAGGACAAACUAGCCCGCCUAGGAUCUGUAUUCCCUCCGUUUCAAAGUCAGUAGUACAAAGUUGACUCAUCUAUUUUGAAAUGGAGGGACGUCUCUGUACUGCUAUGAUUUUCUGUUGUACGUCUCUGUACUUUUGCUACGAUUUUCCUAACCUAUGAACCAAAUGAGGCCUGAAUGUAUCCAUGUCGACUAUUUUCUGAUCGAUCACUAAGCCUACAAUUUAGGAGCUUGGGCUAUUGGCCAAUCGGCAACGGAUCAGUAUAAGCGUACCACGAGCUCAUCAGCCCCAACAUUUCUCUUCGGUGAGUGUUUUGCAAGUACUAUAGCUCGCACAAUAGCUAGCCUACUAACACCAAGAAUCAUUAAAUAAGCCCUGCUGAUAUGAUAAACAGUUCAAACUUACAUCUAAGCAUGCCAUAUAUUACAUCAAAAGCUAGUGAGGAUACAUCUAUUUCCAUAACUCGGAGAGGGUUCACAUGAUUCACUAUCAAACAAAAGUACUAGCAAGUACCGCCCACACAAGACAAUGCACUAGCCCUAAGAUGGUUUGAUAACACGCAUCGUUCUGGUAAUUAAACACAGGGCAAUGCAAACUACCCUGAAGAAUUAGCGCGACCAACUAUUUCUUGUCAUCGAUCUCUCGGGCAAUGACCACAGCACGGACAGCGGCAUGGGAAUCGAUCUCUGGGGCGAUGUCCACAGGACUGACCGCGACAUCGGAAUCGAUCUCUGGGGCGAUGUCCAGACGAUGGACAGCGGCAUCGGAAUCGAUCUCCGGGGCGAUGCCAACAGGACGGACCGUGACAUCGAAAACGAUCUCUGGGGCGUUUUCCACAGGACGGGCCGCGACAUCGGAAUCAUCAAGGACGUCCACCGGCACCUGCACAACCUUAACAUAUUAGCAAGCACAUUGCAAAUAAUCAAAAACCACCACUUUCAUUUUUUACCUUGUGCAGCUCACCGGGGGAUCCCAUCCCUCCGGGGGCCAUCUCCUCGUCCUCGAUGGGGGCCAUCACCUUGCCAGGGGAAUACUGCUUCUCAACGGCAACUAUCUCCUCAAACUCGGCCUUGAGCCGCGCAAAGGUGGCCAUCAGAGUUUCUGGGGUAGGCACGGUGGGGCCCAUGCUGUUCUUCCAACUUUCUUUGAGGAGUUCGUCCGCCAACGUCGUCAACUCUUUGGCCAGUGCUUGUUUCUUGGAGUUCUUCAUCUCCAUGGGUUGGCCCGCCAACAUGGUCAACUCGUUGGUUGGUGCUCGCUUCUGGGAGAUCGCUGUCUCCAGUGGGUUGUCCGCCGACAACUCUUUGCUUAGUGCUCGAGGAUCCAUCAAUGAACUGACAAACAAAAAGCAAUCGAAAGGAAACCACAAUCGUAAUGAAAACGGGAAAAGAAUAGGCUGUGAGAAUCGCUCGGUGCUUUGCUAAAAGAAGAUUAUUGGAAUGAAAAUAUAGCAGCAUCACUAAUUCGCCCACCUUUCCUUCGUCGGUACAGAAGAAAAAUGGCAGAAGUGAGUAGCCUGGAGUGAGGUUUUCUUCAAGAAAGGGGAGAAAGGGAUUCAACGAGCAUUCCAGUGAAAUGAUGGUUGCUUCGUCCAGUCCAACUUCGAGGCCACUUUACCACUGCUGGUAAAGGUGUGGGUUUUGUGAUAUGACGGGUCAUGAUGGCCACACCGGGGUGACCGGUGAGUUUCGACUGUAGCACCUCGCUGUGAUUUGGUGGAUGGCAUGCGGGCCCGGAUGCUUUGAUGUCCCGCAUGUAGGUAGAGCGGUUAGUCAUAUAGGAGUGGUCAAUAUUGUGCACCGCGACCAAGGCAGAGAGGAAAAUGAGAAAACUACGUAAUUAAUGCAUGAGUUUAAUUAGGGUAGUUUUGUAAAGUACGAGAUACAUUCCUCCAAUCGCAAAAUGCCUUGGUUGAUGAGAUAUGAGAUUUGAGCCCUAUAAACCGGAAGGGAGAUCUGAGAUUUGAGAUACUGCACGCGGUGUAGUCUAGUCACUUGUUGGAAUCUCUAGUAUACCGCAUGAUUCUUUGCUUCUUCUUACUACUACAUACUACUUCGCCGACAUGUGGGACAGCCAGCAGCAUCCGAGUCGAUGUAAUACGUGUCAUGCACCAGAUUAGAGCGCGGAACGGAAGGGGGGCAUCACCCCGAUCGAUGGCCAGUCUCGACGCGGAGCAGUCGGUGCACCGGGAAGCGGCGCACUCUCGGCCGUCGCGCCGCUUCAAAGCCGGCGCCAGCGAGAGGUCGCCUCCGCUCUGGCCGGGCAUUAAUGCGGCACUGACGCUCCAGGGCGACGCUGACCGUUUCACGUGGGAAGCGCGCGCUGGCAAGGGAGUAUAGGUUUUGAACCAUUUCAUGUGUAGUACUGGUAGUUUGCAAAACUACUCAAUUAUUGCACCCAGUUUCCUAAGAAAUUGUGGUAAAAAACGUUACUCCACAGCCCGCUUCCCUUCUCCUUCCUCUUCCACCACCCGCGCACGUCCGCGGGAAGCGACCGGCCAACCCUUAUAUAGGAGUGCUAGCACAAAAAGAUGGAUGCAUGACCACUAAAAUUUCCAGAUUAAACAGCCGCUCCGGCAGGAGUAUGGCGUAUGUUGUUACCAUCGGCCGGGCCAUGGCUACCAGGCGACGGCGACCAGAGAAGAGGCGGCGGGAGGGGAAUGAAUGCAGCUACUAUUUGGGUUCACCGUCCCCCUUAAAUAAAUGCGCAGCAUCAUGUGUACCCGCGGGUGGACAAAUUGUAACAUACGUGUCUGCUUAAGUGGGCGUCCCGUAACUGGUGUGUGUGUGUGUGUGAGAUUAUGAGAGACAGAGUGCGUGUGUGCGACUCUACUCUUCGGACAUGUACUCAACCUUCUGCAUCGGGAUAUAAGUAUAAUGGUAUUUGUCGGUGUCAAAACCGGCGGAUCUCGGGUAGGGGGUCCCGAACUGUGCGUCUGAGGCGGAUGGUAAGAGGAGGCAGGCGACACAAUGUUUACCCAGGUUAGGGCCCUCUCUAUGGAGCUAAUACCCUACUUCCUGCUUGAUUGAUCUUGAUGAUAUGAGUAUUACAAGAGUUGAUCUACCACGAGAUCGUAGAGGCUAAACCCUAGAAGCUAGCCUAUGGUAUGAUUGUUGUUGUCCUAUGGACUAAACCCUUCGGUUUAUAUAGACACCGGAGGGGGCUAGGGUUACACAGAGUCGGUUAAAAGGGAGGAGAUCUACAUAUCCGUAUUGCCAAGCUUGCCUUCCACGCCAAGGAGAGUCCCAUCCGGACAUGGGACGAAGUCUUCAAUCUUGUAUCUUCAUAGUCCAUCAGUCCGGCCAAAGGAUAUAGUCCGGCUGUCCGAGGACCCCCUAAUCUAGGACUCCCUCAGUAGCCCCUAAACCAGGCUUCAAUGACGAUGAGUCCGGCACGCAGAUUGUCUUCGGCAGUGCAAGGCGGGUUCCUCCUCCGAAUACUCCAUAGAAGAUUUUGAACACAAGGAUAGUGUCCGGCUCUGCAAAACAAAUUCCACAUACCACCGUAGAGAGAAUAAUAUUUCCACAAAUCUAAUCUGCUGACACAUUCUGCAGCAUGACAUCAUGCUACGGCCCGGUCAUUAUGUGAACCGUUUUUCUCAACCAGCCGCUGCACAUAUUGCGAGGCGGUUUCCUUGGCACGUCUUGUCGAAGCAGAGAUCAUGUCCCCUUAUCACGGGAUUCUCAUCAAUACGGGUGUGGGUAACCCAACCGCGACAUCAAUUACAGUGCUUGGGGAAUAAGCGAGUUUACCAGGUAGGUGGGGAGGCGCAUAGUUUCCUCCGCCCUUAUAAAGGGAUAAGGAUUCACCCUUUUCACCCACGCCUUCUUCCUCCUUGCUCAUCCAUUCUUGCGUACUCGAGCUCUAGCACCCAAGUUCGCGUUUUUCUCCUCAAACCACUCCAAGCAUGUCCGAAGCGGGAGGCAAGUGGAUGGUCUCCUACGUGACGGCGGAGGACAUCACAAAGCUGCGACGAGCCGGAUAUCUGGCCGAGGAUAUCGCACACCGGCUGCCAGACGCGCGCCAGAUCAUCCCUACUCUAGAACCCCAUGAGAGGGUGGUUUUCCUUACCCAUUUCGUCCGCGGACUGGGAUUUCCCCUCCAGCCGUUUUUCCGCGGGCUCAUGUUCUACUACGGGCUGGACUUUCACGAUCUGACCCCCAAUUUCAUCCUCAACAUCUCGGCGUUUAUCGUCGUGUGCGAGGCCUUCCUCCGCAUCAAGCCCCACUUCGGCCUGUGGCUGAAGACCUUCAAUGUUAAACCGAAGGUGGUGGUCGGCCAGCAAGCGGAGUGCGGAGGCGCCAUGGUGGGAAAAAUGCCCAACGUCACCUGGCUGGAAGGCUCCUAUGUGGAGACCAUAAAGGGGUGGCAAUCGGGGUGGUUCUACAUCACCUAGCCGCGCGACACCAACUGGGUGGCGGCCCCUGAAUUUCGAUCCGGAAUCCCCAUGUGGCUCACCUCCUGGAAAGAGAAGGGCCUGUCCUGGGGUUCCUCGGUAGAGCUGACCGGACUCCAGACAUGAUUCAAGAACAUGAUGAGCAAGAAAAUCAUGCUCGUCAACGUGGUCCAAGUCAUGCUCUUCCGCCAGAUCCUCCCGUGUCAAAGGCGGGCAUUCAAUUUGUGGAAGUUCUACCCGGCCGAGCACCAAACGCUGUGAGAGCUCUUCGACACGACGCACAAGGACGUCUGGAAGGUGCUGUUCAAGGGCGCCGAGGUACCUCCUCCCCUUACCGAGGACCGCGGACUCUGUGCAAAGCGCCCUGCCAAUCCGGUAAGUCCUUUACAUCUCAUAAGAUGUUCUUUCCCCCAGUAUAACCAUGCGCGGGAUCUAAGCCUCCACGCCAUUUAACAGGACUGGGUAGUGACAGCGGAGCAGAUCGACUAUCCGGCUCCCCUGCCCGAAGAUCCAGCAAAUGCUCUCCUAACAGAGAUGCUGGUUCCGGCGCCUUAUGAGGUGCCGGAGAAGAAGGCCACGGGGACCAGGAAGGGUCUCCGACGCAAGGUUAUAUCGGACUCAUCGUCCGAAAACACAGAGGCGCACUCCUCCCACGAAAACGAGGAGGAGGAAGAGGAAAGUCCCCCCCCCCCAGCCGGGGGAGACAAGAAAAGGAAGGCCGCCCCAUCUGGGGAGGCCAAAGGGUCCAAGAAGGGAAGGACCCUCCUUCCGGACAACUCCACAACCGCCGCCUACAGUGACGACGAGUGGCUGCCCAGGGAUAAGCCCCUGGCGAAGUCGUAAGUAUUCAGAUACCAUAAUAAUACUGGUAUGUUUCGUUCUGUUGUUUCUCAUCAUGCCAAACAUGAUCAUGCAGUCCAUCCCGAGCCCGCAUCGACGUAUCCUCUUCGGAGGAGUCUUUGGGCCAAUCACAUAUGAACAGCGAUUCGCCCCCGCCCGCCUCCUCCCCCCGCCCUACGGAAAACAUCGAGGUGUUGUCUCAAAGGGCACCGAAGCAAGGGGAGGUAGUCCUGGAGGCGCCUCAAGGCGACAUUCCGGACGCUGGGCGCAAGGGGAGCAAAACUCCCAAGGGCUCAAAUGGCGGGGGCAACAAGUUUGGCCCCCAGCCGAAUACUGUGACGGAACCUCCAGUGGUUCCGGACUCUGUCAGGCGACCCCUCACUAAGGGUGGCGAGCCGUCUGUGCCGAUGACCUCUAUCCAACCAGAGGCAUCGGACAACUUGUUGGAAGCGCUUUGCGGCGCUUCCAUUGAUGAAGAGCACCGCACUAUCAUGAGUGCGGUGGUCAAGAAGGUUCAGUCUGCCAAGAGCGGACUGACUGAAGCCUGUGCCAGCCUCCUAAUAGGAUUUGAGGUAAGUAAUCAAAUUAUAAGAAAAUGUUACAGCCUAGACAAUAGCCCCUGAUGCUCUAUUUGGCGUUCCGCGAAGAAAGGCCGAAUAGAGGAUCAAAUAAUAAUUGCAGGAGUCUAAUCAGAAUAUGUCUAUGUGCAUACGCAGGCUUCACUGCUGGCCGCUGCCGCACGUACUGCGGAAGUCUCCGUACUAAAGUGGGACCUUGAGCGGUCCAAGGGAGAGCUCGACCUUACCAAGAGGCAGCUCAAAGAGAACAAAGGUAAGUGAUACCCAGUCUGUAUAUUGAUAAAGGAAAAUGUGGAUUUUGAAUAACAGGAUCGUCAUGAAUUUUGCUUUAGGGGCCACGACUGAAGUGGUGGCCCUGAAGAAGGCGUUAUCCGAGGCCGAAGACAAAGCAGCCAAGGAGCGCAUCGAGCGAGAAAAGCAAGAAGCCCGAAUAGGCGAGGUGCAGCAAGAGCUCCAGGCUCUCGCCGAAAAGCACGAGUCAUUGGAGCGUGACUCUAAGACGCAAGGGUCUGAGCUUGCGAAGGCCCUCGAAAGCGCACAACAUGCCAAGGCCGAAGCCCAAAAGGCCCUCCGGGAAAUUGAGGCGGUUAAGAAGAUAGCAGCGGGUAAGGCAUUCAUUAUGCAAAGCAAGCAUGUGAAGGAAACAUUCUUUUUACUUACCCGAGUUCGGAUCUCUCCAGGAGCGUUCGCAGAUCUACCCCACAGUGUGUCGGAUGCCGCGGAGUUCUACCGGGCUGAGGAGGGGAGCUCGACGGAGAAGUUGUUCUGGUCUCAGUAUACUGGGACCGAACACCUGAUGCCCUUGAGCGACCAGCUGAAGCAACUGGUCGAGCUCCACAAGGCGGCCGAACAGGCCAUGAAGGGUCUUAUAGUCCGGAUGUGGCCUGGCGAGCCCCUGCCUGAUAGCUACUUCGGUCUGGUGAGGCGGCUUGUAAAUGCCUGCCCAUGGCUUGAAGUCAUAAAGCGGUCCGUCUGCAUCGAGGGUGCAUGCAGGGCUUUUGCCCGGGCGAAGGUGCACUGGGCGAAGCUGGACGCCAAAAAGCUGGUGAAGGAGGGGCCGCCGGAAGGCAAGGAGCAUCGCCACCCCGAAAAGUAUUAUGACAGUGUCCUGAAGGGUGCUCGCCUUGUGGCGAAGGAAUAUGCUAAGGAUAUAAUAUUUGAAUAAAUGUACUCAUGUGAUCCUGUAAUAUGAAACGAGUUCAUUUGCGCUAUGCAACGCUUGUUAAUUUAAAAUAUUACCUUCUGUGCGGCCGUUUAUCAAAUCUGAGAGUUGGCCAGUCGUCGGCUUCUGCCCCCAUGUAACUAGUACUGAGGUGUUCGGGAUAAACCUGAGCACUCUUUAUCCAAAUUUUGGGUCCUUCGAAGGAGGUGUUCAGCACAGCGAACCAGGCAAUCGGACUAUAAAGCUUUAUCACUCUCACUUAGCCAUAGAAGUCUACAAUUUUAAAUUUUGGUGAAGCCCCUAGUAUUCGGAAGGCCGAAUUUGGGGCGCUAUAUACGCCUAAGUCGGGCAAGGCCGACUCCUCGCCCGAAGCGGAAAAAGUCUUAAGGACUUGAGACCUCUCGAACAGCGACCAGCUCUUGCCGCAUCAUGACAGUCAGUUUUCGGCUUUCUCUACUGAGGUGCUCGUCCGGAAGAACCGAGACACAAUUGCAGUAGUUCUCCCAGCGCUACCUUAGCCGAUAUAGCGGAACGUAAGGUACCAAAACAUGGGAGCCGGGCAAACCCAACUAUUGACCCAAGACAUGAUUCGGAGCUGAUGCAUAUAGUGCUAUAAGUUCGGGGUGCCGCACUGUCGAAAGUGUUCGGACUUCUCACUCCGUAUUGAUGGGGUAUAGUGAAGCCCCUGGCGUACUGGUCGUACCAGAAUGUACGGGUGCAAUUUGUCAUAAAUAAACAGACAAGAAAAAAGGAAGGGUAAUGCAAUAAUAGACUAAUGCUAUAGCGUACUGAUACAAGUAGUGCAAUAAGAAAAAAAUAGGACUAUUUGACAUGUCCUAUCCAAGGGCAAGCUGCGUAUGGGUAUUUAAAACAGGUAUUUCGAUCGUUAUCAGAGACCACCUGGGGAUUCCCUUGUACGUCCUAACUUCUUGCCUCUUUGGUAUUUCCUUCCCGUAAUGCGUCCAGCAAUCAAACUGCCGAAAAUGGCUUCCAGAGAGUAAGGUCCUGAAAGAGAGAAAAUGAUAGAGGUAUACAGCCCCUGGGGCGGUUGAGCUCUGAACAUGCCAGGCGAUCCAGUUGCAGGUUACUCCGGACUCACUUGAAGGUGUCUGGGGGCUUUAUCGCCGAAUUGGCGGUUUGCCUUAAAAGGCUUCUUUGUGCCUCUGCUGCGAGGGCCGCAGUGUGCUCCUCCGUGUGGAGCGAGCGUUCUGUGUUUCCAUUGACUAUUAUAACCCCACGAGGUCCUGGCAUUUUGAGCUUGAGGUAUGCAUAAUGCGGUACUGCACUGAAUCUGGCAAAUGCGGUUCGUCCGAGCAGUGCGUGGUAGCCACUGCGGAACGGGACGAUAUCGAAGAUUAACUCCUUGCUUCGGAAGUUGUCCGGAGAUCCGAAGACCACUUCUAGUGUGAUUGAGCCCGUGCAGCGGGCCUCUACACCUGGGAUGACACCUUUAAAGGUGGUUUUAGUGGGUUUGAUCCUCGAGGGGUCUAUACCCAUUUUGCGCACUGUAUCCUGAUAAAGCAGGUUCAGGCUGCUGCCGCCGUCCAUAAGGACUCGGGUGAGGUGAAAUCCGUCAAUGAUGGGAUCAAGGACUAGUGCGGCAGAACUGCCAUGACGGAUGCUAGUAGGGUGGUCCCUACGAUCGAAAGUGAUCGGACAAGAAGACCAUGGGUUGAACUUUGGGGCGACUGGAUCCAUCGCAUAGAUGUCCCUUAGAGCACGCUUCCGUUCCCUCUUGGGAAUAUGGGUUGCGUAUAUCAUGUUCACCGUUUUCACUUGGGGGGGAAAUUUCUUCUGUCCUCCUGUGUUCGGCAGCCGGGACUCCUCCUCAUCGUCGCUAUGCAGCCCCUUUUCCUUGUUUUCGGUAUUCAAUUUGCCGGCCUUCUUGAACACCCAGCAUUCUCUGUUGGUGAGAUUGGCUGGCUUAUCGGGGAUGCCGUGAAUUUGACACGAGCGAUCGAGUAUGCGGUCCAGACUGGACGGGCCCGGGUUGCUUCUUUUGAACGUCUUCUUCCGCUGACCGGAUUUAGAGCCACUUAAUCCGGCAUUGACUGCCGUGUCUUCGGUGUUGUCACCAUUGUUGCGGCGCCUAUGUCUGUUACGACGUGAUCUGCCAUUACUAUCUUUGGCAUCUGAAUUGCCAUGACUUCUUGAUGUGUUGUUGCUGCGAGCCAGCCAGCUAUCCUCGCCCGUGCAAAAGCGGGUCAUGAGUGUCGUGAUGGCUGCCAUAGACUUCGGCUUCUCCUGGACGAGGUGCCGGGCGAGCCACUCGUCACGGAUGUUAUGCUUAAAUGCCGCUAAGGCCUCUGCAUCCGGACAGUCGACAAUUUGGUUUUUCUUAGUUAGGAACUGGGUCCAGAAUUUCCUGGCCGAUUCCCCUGGCUGCUGAGUUAUAUGGCUCAAGUCAUCAGCAUCCGGUGGUCGCACAUAAGUGCCCUGGAAGUUGUCAAGGAAUGCAUCUUCCAAAUCCACCCAACUGCCAAUGGAGUCUGCUAGCAAGCUAUUCAGCCAAUGCCAAGCUGGUCCUUUGACAUUUAGUGGGAGGUACUUGAUGGCAUGUAGAUCGUCACCACGAGCCAUGUGGAUGUGUAGGAGGAAAUCCUAGAUCCAUACCGCGGGGUCUGUUGUACCAUCAUAUGAUUCAAUGUUUACGGGUUUAAAACCCUCUGGGAAUUCGUGAUCCAUUACUUCAUCAGUGAAGCAUAGGGGGUGUGCGGCGCCUCUGUGCCGGGCUAUAUCACGACGCAGUUCAUACGAGUCUUGUCUGCUGUAUUCGGCCCAGCCGGAUUUGCUUUUGGUAUGUCCGGCGUGGCGGUCAUCGUCCCGCGUUGGGGCGCGCCCCCGUGAUCCAUAGAUCGAUCUUGCAUGUUUUUCUUUGUUUUCCAUUAUGUCUCGCAGGUCCCGCGUGUUGCCCCGGGCCUUGGUAUUUUUGUUUGAACGGCGGUGGGGUGCGGGCUGGACUUCGGGCUGAUAUGCCUCUCUGUCUCGGCCACGAGGUGGCCGAUCAGCCGCAUCAUACGCUGGUGAUGUGGGUUUUAAUGCUUCCUCCUCGAGUUGGGGUAGCAACCUGCGCUUUGGGUAAUUCUUGGUUGGGCGCUCGAGUUCGUAUUCCUCGGCCGCCAGCACUUCAGUCCAUCUAUCCGCUAGUAGAUCUUGAUCAGCUCGAAGCUGUUGUUGCUUUUUCUUCAGGCUGUUUGAUGUGGCUAUAAGCCGGCGCUUGAAGCGCUCCUUCUCGACGGGAUCCUCAGGCACGAUAAAUUCUUCGUCGCUGAGGCUCACCUCGUUUCGGAGAGAGGCAUGUAAUUGUCAUCCUCUGAUUCUCCGUCUGCUGCCUGUUCCGGAGGGCUAGCUUGUUCAUCCUCCCGCUCGAGGUCUGGCUCGAGGGUAUUAUCGUCGUCUUCGGCACUAUCCGGAGCGUUAUUGUCUCUUGUGCCGGUAUCGCUGCUUUUGCUGUGGCGGGACUUAGAGCGGCGCCGCUGACGUCGGUGCUUGGAUUGCUUCUUGGAGGGAUUAUCCUCCGUUGUCUUAUCACCAUCCCCUUAUUUGGGGAGUGUCCACCAUGUAUAUGUCAUACGAUGAGGUGGCAGUCCAGCGUCCUGUGGGCGGUGGUUCUUGUUCGUCUCCUGCAUCGUCGUCCAUACCAUCGAUGUCUUCGGAGCCGAAGUCGAGCAUGUCGGUUAAAUCGUCGACAGUGGCUACUAAGUGGGUGGUGGGUGGGGAGCGAAUUUCUUCGUCGUCCGCAUCCCAUUCUAGCUGGUCAUAGUUCGGCCAAGGGUCUCCUGACAGGGAGAGGGACCUCAACGAGUUUAGCACGUCGCCAAAGGGCGAGUGCUGAAAGAUAUCCGCAGAGGUAAACUCCAUGAUCGGUGCCCAAUCGGAUUCGAUAGGCAUGGACGCUGGCGGCUCGGAGCCCAUGGCCGGGGACAAAUCCAACGGUUUGGCAACACGGGUCUCGUAUGAGGUGAAUUCAGUAUUCGGCUCUAUCGCCACUGAGUGUGCGGCCUCCGUGGCGGGGUCCAUCCGCCCAUCCUCAGAUGGCGCAAUUUGUUCCGGAUUGAGGGCCGGAGUAGUUGCAGGUGUGAUCUCUCAAACACUAUCUGACGGCAGAACUAAGUCAUGCUCGUCGUGAUUGUGCGGCGCACCUGCUAUGGGCUCGAAUCCGUCGAAGAUCAAGUCUCCGCGGAUGUCGGCAGUAUAGUUCAAGUUUCCAAACCUGACCUGAUGCCAGGGGCGUAGCUCUCGAUCUGCUCCAGAUGGCCAAGCGAGUUGGCCCGCAGUAUGAAGCCGCCGAAUAUGAAGAUCUGUCCGGGGAGGAAAACCUCACCCUGGAUCGCAUCGUUGCCGAUGAUCGAAGGAGCCAUCUAGCCUUACGGUGAUGGCACAGUCGAACUCUCAAUGAGAGCACCAAUGUCGGUGUCAAAACCGGCGGAUCUCGGGUAGGGGGUCCCGAACUGUGCGUCUAAGGCGGAUGGUAACAGGAGGCAGGGGACACAAUGUUUACCCAGGUUCAGGCCCUCUCUAUGGAGGUAAUACCCUACUUCCUGCUUGAUUGAUCUUGAUGAUAUGAGUAUUACAAGAGUUGAUCUACCACGAGAUCGUAGAGGCUAAACCCUAGAAGCUAGCCUAUGGUAUGAUUGUUGUUGUCCUACGGACUAAACCCUCCGGUUUAUAUAGACACCGGAGGGGUCUAGGGUUACACAGAGUCGGUUACAUGGGAGGAGAUCUACAUAUCCGUAUUGCCAAGCUUGCCUUCCACGCCACGGAGAGUCCCACCCGGACACGGGACGAAGUCUUCAAUCUUCACUACUAGGAAAAGGGCUAUAGAUAAUAUGGACACUAAUGGCGCACCACACAUAUGGUGCGCCACUACUAUAUACUAAUGGCGCACCAUGUGUUGUUACGCCAUUAGUGUCCAAAUACUAAUGGCGCACCACAUCCACGGUGCAACACUACUAACAAUUUUUAUUUUUUUUCAAAACUAGUAAUGACGCACCAGGGGAUAGUGUGCCAUUACUAGUUUAACUAGUAAUGGCGCACCACACCCUCGGUGCGCCACUACUAACAAAUUUUUUAUUUUUUUUCAAUACUAGUAAUGGCGCACCAGGGGACAGUGCGCCAUUACUAGUUUUAACUAGUAAUGGCGCACCACACCCUCGGUGCGCCACUACUAACAAUUUUUUUUAUUUUUUUUUCAAAGUUAGUAAUGGCGCACCGUGGGUGUAACUAGUAAUGGCGCACCACACCCACGGUGCGCCAUUACUAACUUUGCCCAAAAAUUCGNNNNNNNNNNNNNNNNNNNNNNNNNNNNNNNNNNNNNNNNNNNNNNNNNNNNNNNNNNNNNNNNNNNNNNNNNNNNNNNNNNNNNNNNNNNNNNNNNNNNNNNNNNNNNNNNNNNNNNNNNNNNNNNNNNNNNNNNNNNNNNNNNNNNNNNNNNNNNNNNNNNNNNNNNNNNNNNNNNNNNNNNNNNNNNNNNNNNNNNNNNNNNNNNNNNNNNNNNNNNNNNNNNNNNNNNNNNNNNNNNNNNNNNNNNNNNNNNNNNNNNNNNNNNNNNNNNNNNNNNNNNNNNNNNAUGAAAAUGUCAAAAAAAAUAAGUUUCCCAUGUGAUAUGUGGUCUAGUUGUUGGGAAAAUUUACAAACAUGAAUUUCGACUUUAUUUGCAAAAUCUCUCUGGAAUUUGUAAAAUGGGCAUAACUUUUGCAUACGAACUCGGAUUAAAAAGUUUUUUAUAUGAAAAAUCAUCUACUCGAAAAGAUACAUCCGAAUUGAACGAAAGAUACGGGGCUUUUAAGAUCUAGUGGGGGGGAAAAUGAAAAAAAAUUCAAACUUACUAGUGGCGCACCAUUUGCUAGGUGCGCCACUAGUAACAGAAAAAAUAUGAUACGUAAUAUGACCGGGAAGUUUGAAAUAUUUUUUCAAAAUUUCAUCACACUCAUGAACAUGAACAUGGACAAAGUCCUAGACAUCAACAAGGUUUAAUAGGAUUGAUAUGAUAGAUAUAUCAACAAGUGCCUGUGAAGUGAGCUGGUGCUGGGGUUGGAUAGAACUCUGAAGUUAAGCGUGCUUGGGCUGGAGUAGUGUGAGGAUGGGUAUGGACGGCGCCGGCAGGCGGCAGUGGCCACCGUGCUUGAUUUUUCCCGAGACUUAGUAAUGGGGAUGUAGUAAUGGCGCACCAUGCUUGAUCUACUCGGAAUGGGCGGAGGCAUGGGGAUGGACGGCGCCGGCAGGCGGCAGCGGCCACCAUGCUUGAUUUUUCCGGAGACUUUCUUUUUUAAUUGCUCAGCAUUGAGGUGUGGGAGAUAAGGAUGUGGAGAGAGGUGCAGCUAUCUUUUGUAAAAUUAUCAUAGUUUGCUUUCUAUCCGUCAGAUAUAGAUCAGACGGUCUAUAUUACAAGAUGGUAGGCACACCAUCAUCGCCAACUCGGUUUUUAUAAGGGUACAAAUGAUAAGUUUGCUAACUACUAAAGUAAAGUGGAAUUUGUCCAUGUUAUACAAGUAAAUUAAGGUGAUUGUUUAUAAUACGGAUAAGGGUGGAUGAAGGGUGGUAGGAACAAAUGCUCCGCCUAGAGCAUGUGUGUGUGAGAUGGAGUCUCAGUGUGUGUGUGUGUGUGUGCGCGUGUGUGGGAGAGAGAGAGAUGGAGUCUUAGUGUGUGUGCGUCUGUGUGUGAUGGAGUCUUACUAUGUGUGUGUGUGUGCGUGUGUGUGUGUGGGUGGGUGGGUGCGUGUGUGCGUGUGUGUGUGUUUGUUUGUGUGUGUGUGUGUGUUGCGGGGUCUUCGGUGGCGGAUGUAAUUUAAGUGUGCAUGGCUUCAUCAUAGAGAGGUGAUGUGUAUGGCAGAGGCCACCAACGAUGGGGUGUGAGAGAGAAAAUGCCCUUAGAGAGGGAAGAGAAGGUGUCUGCGUGUGAGAGUAGUCGACAUCGAGAGAAUGUGUUUGUUCGAGAGACACCAAGGAAGACUACUAUAUAGAGGAAGAGUGAUAGGGGGUAGCUACAAGGAGAUUGCUAAGUGUGAGUGUGUGUUUUACCCAUCCAGGCAGAAGUUAUGUGCACACAAGAAGAGAAUGAUUCGAUGUUGCGUUAGGGUUGAGGGUAAUUAACUAUGUAUGGAGACAUGGAGACCUUCAACGUGCAUGUGUGAGAGGUAUACAUGUAUACGUGGGAUGUGUGUGUGUGUGUAUGUGCGCGCGCGCGCAUGAUCGAGAUAAAAGAAAGAAGACAUAAGUCAUAAGCUAAGAUCAACGACAUGGGAGAGACGGAUCGGUAUGACAAUAUGCAUGCAUGCGAGAAUGCAGGGAAGAAGGCCCGACAAUUGAGCAUGUGUUUUUGUCUUUAAGAGAUAGUGGCGUGGGCUGGAGCAUGCAUCUAUGGCGAGCAGAGGGAGUGAGGCACAACGACUGUGCAAAAGAGAUCAACCUAUAAAUGAAAGAAGGUUGAUGGAGAAAUAGAUAAAUAGAAAGAUAAAGAUGCUAGCUAGUGUGCAUUAGAGAUAGGAGUUGAGUGGAUCAGAAGGCUGAGUUAUGGGUGUGGGUGUGAGAGAGAUGAAGAAAGGGUGCAUGUGACUCACAUACAAACAAAUAUCGGAGAGAAAUGAGAUCCCGAGAGACGGAGUUUUGUGUCUGAGAGAGAGAAAGAUAUUUCAAAACGAGAGUGAUAGCUAGAGGAAUAUAUGAGGGAAUGCAAGAUAUCUCUAGGGAGAGACAGUGUGUGUGAGCGACAUGCAAGAGACCGGUGGAGAAAUAUGAGACCCUGGGAGACAGAGUUUGUGUUUGUGUGUGAGAAAGAGAUAUUUAAGAGGAAGAGUCGUAGGUUCUCAUACCUAAGGAGCGAAAGACAUCUCUUUAUUAGGUGUGUGCGAGUUGCACACAGGGGAAUAGUAGAGAGAAAUGAGACCCCGGAAGACAAAGUUUUGUGUUUGUGUGAGAGAAAGAGAUUCCACAUGGAGAAUCAUAGUUAGAGACACAUAGCAGGGAGCGAGAUAUACUUAGAGAGAGAUAGAGUGAUGAAGGUCGGGGAGAGAGUACCGUCAGUGUGUUACGAAGAUAAAAGAUCAUUGUCGACAUACAGGUAGCACGAGAGAUACCCGAGAGACGAUGAACGCGUAUAGGUCUAGAGAGAUAGUCCUAUAUAAGCAGGAGUGAUAGUUAUAUGAGACGAAUAUCUGGACUAAAUGGGAUUCAAAUAUUUAAACUGGAGAUCACGACAUCGAUAAUAUCAUAACGCAAAUUGGUGUAUCAAACAUGCAUAUUCAUUUGAAUUUUGGGACACGUGUAAUGUUAUAUAGUUUAUUAAUAUUGGUGAUCCAUAGAUUCUUUAAUUAUAAACAAUGCAUGGUUUAUAUGCAAUUAAUGGCUAAACGGGAUACACUAUAUGUUGCGUGUGUGAAACACAUUAUACAUGUUUGAGAAGUAAAAAACCCGCAUGAAACAUACAUUAAUUGGAGACAGUUAGCGAGGAAUGCAUACAUUGGAUUCCAACCUAAAGUGGUUUCAAAUAUUUGAAAAUCCAAAUUGAUGGAUACAACCUUCUGAAUCUGAGAUCAUGCCAUUUGUAAACCAUAUUUAUGUAUAAAGGGUGUUGUGCUUUUGAAAGUAUAUAUAAAAAAAUGAUGUAUAUAGAAUUUUAUUCCAAUCGAAAAUGGAUCCCGCCCGAAAAAAUAGAAUACAAACGAGAUUCGAAUUGAGUUGGCACGGUAAACGUGCACUCUGCAAAAUUUGAAAGAAGCGGGGAAAGUCGCAGUAACCGCCCGAAACCAAAAUCUGCGAGAUGGAAAUUACUACUGCCUAUCCCUGCCACGCAAAGCCUAUCUGCUCGAUUUCUAUAGGUUUCGAUAGGGGUAGGUUUGUAAUUUCACUCGAACGUGACAUAACUACCUCUCACCCGGAUUCAUACACAGUGGGCGCCAAAACACAGUGUGUCCUCGGCCGAAAUCGACUCCCUCCCCGAUUCAUACACGGUGGGCGCCAAAAACAAACUCUCGUCGGCAAAUAUUCGGUGUAUGCGAGAUUACCGUCCUAUCCCCAACCGACUAAUAUUGCUGUGAUGUAGGAAAUUUGAAACGGGGGCUAAGUUUGUAAAUUUCCUCGCAUUUGAGACAAGCGCGCCCUUAAGACAUGGUUCCCCCCUUCCUCUCCACCUCCAUUUCCCCAUGCGUACUCCGUCAGCGCCAAAACACCCUCUCCACCCCAGGCUCCUCCGUCCGCCACCCCAUCCACUGUUGGGGAACGUAGCAGAAAUUCAAAAUUUUCUACGCAUCACCAAGAUCCAUCUAUGGAGUAAUCUAGCAACGAGGGGAAGGGGAGUGCAUCUACAUACCAUUGUAGAUCGCGAUGCGGAAGCGUUGCAAGAACGCGGAUGAAGGAGUCGUACUCGUAGCGAUUCAGAUCGCGGUUGAUUCCGAUCUAAGCACCGAAGAACGGUGCCUCUGCGUUCAACACACGUGCAGCCCGGUGACGUCUCCCACGCCUUGAUCCAGCAAGGAUAGAGGGAGAGGUUGGGGAAAACUCCGUCCAGCAGCAGCACGACGGCGUGGUGGUGAUGGAGGAGCGUGGCAAUCCUGCAGGGCUUCGCCAAGCACCGCGGGAGAGGAGGAGGAAGAGGGGAAGGGCUGCGCCAAGAGAAGAAGAACUUCGUGUGUUGGGCUGCCCCUUUGCCUCUACUAUAUAUAGGGGGAGAGGGAGGGCUGCGCCCCCACCUAGGGUUCCCUCCCUAGGGGUGGCGGCAGCCCCAAUCCCCAUCUGGGGUGGCGGCCAAGUGGGGGGAGAGGGAGGCGCACCAGGCAUGGGCCUUUAGGGCCCAUCUGCCCUAGGGUUUGCCCCCUCUUCUCUCUAGGCGCAUGGGCCUUGGUGGGUGUCACGACCGGUUUUUCAAUAAAAUAAUUAUUGAGAGACCAAUCCCUUUUACGGACCAGCGAGGAAGAAUUCCUUCUCACUGGUAGACAAUAUCUUGGUCACAGAAGAAAAAUACCAGGAGUACUAAAUAUAAUACAAGGUUGAGCAGAGACUGCCCAACAAUUUAUUACAUGCAUGCCGAUAAAACAAGACGGCGGGUAGGGUGGCAAACUACUAACUCACGAUGAUAACGGUAGUGGAAAUAUCACCGCGAAGCGAGUGAUAUGAUUCCAGAAGACUACAACUCUUCGAGCGUCGGAGUGAGGCUUGAGAAGACUUAUUGCGGGUGGCGGAAGCAUAUACAAUACAAGUGACCAAUAUCCGGGAUCGCGCAGGACUGACUGGGACUCCUCUAGGCAUCGGACGCGCUAUCAAACUCUUCAUCCAAGAGAUCGCCUUCGUCAACAUCUGGCCAAAUCAACAAGCCAGGUGAGUACUAUGAAAGUACUCGCAAGACAGUUCGGACAUAAGACAUAACAAAUGCAAACAUGAAGCAUAUGAACAAGUUAACCCAUGCGUUCAGACAUAGAGAUAAUAAAUACUGGGUGCCAAGCGAGGGUCUGAAUGACGCCUCGAGCGGAAACUGCAGAAUAGUAAUACUGGUGCCAAACGAGUGUCUGAAAGACUCCUCGAGCGGAAAAUGCGGAAUAAUAAUACAGGUGCCAAACGAGUGUCUGAAAGACUCCUCAAGCGGAAAAUGCGGAAUAAUAAUGCGGGUGCCAAACGAGUGUCUGAAAGACUCCUCGAGAGGAAAAUGCAGAAUAAUAAUGCCACAGUCGGGCGUCGAGGCGACACCACAUAAAGGGCUUGCAACAGAAAAUAAAGACAGUGCAUGCCACAGUCGGACGUCUGUGCGACAUCACAUAAAGGGCUUAUAUUUAAAGUAAGAAACAAGUACACGCCACAGUCGGACGUCUGCGCGACGUCACAUAAAUGGCUUAUAUCACAGCUCAAUAAUACAAUCGUUCGGGAACAUAAAUUAUCACAAGCAUGCGACAAAUAUAAAGUUAGUCCAUCCACAGGAAUAACGAUAAAACUGGAUUUACCACUUGAGCUUGUUCACCGGGGACAAGUUUUUCACACGGAUAGAUAUGGAUAUAGUGUUUACACUACUUGAUCAUGGAUACGAUGAUUUGGAAAGAAUUGACUCUGCAGAGUUUGUACUUAACCACAGACAACGGAUUUCAGUAGUCACGGGGACUAGUUCCGUCUACGGUGUUUUGGAAGAAACACGUCUAACCAGUACACACCCAAUUCAACCAUCCGAAGCCAGGGAUCACCCUCGGCAACAUUCAAGAAAAACCUUGAGACGGGGAGGCUACAACCUCGCGUAGCAUGGGAUCAAAUUUCUAUACGCGCACUCUAAGGGGGUGCCCCCCCUCUCGGUCCCAACCGGAAACACCCAUGCCCCCUGACCGGAUGACUGGCUUUAAUCCUGGGCCAAGGUACCAUCAUCCCGGCCUCUCUGUUUGGUGUGUACACGGAAAGAGGUUACCAACUUAUUAAACCGCAUCCUGGCAAUGAGACAUGUGGUAGCACGGAAAGGGGAAAGAACGGUAACGUGGCUCCAACCACGUUAACGUCGGAGGAAGUCGGAUGACGCAAGGCUGGUAUGCUACAACAGUACCACCUUGCUACCCUUCAUGUCACCACAUGAUUAGGCCAUCUCUCAUCAGAGAUCAUCGCAACUUUGGAACAUGCGGGAAAAGAACGAUAACGUGGCUCCAACCACGUUAACGUCGGAGAAAGUCGGAUGACGCAAGGCUGGUAUGCUACAACAGUACCACCUUGUUGCCCUUCAUGUCACCACAUGAUUAGGCCAUCUCUCAUCAGAGAUCAUCGCGACUUUGGAACAACCGGGUCGUUGCCUUACAAGCAACGAGGUAUUUACCGACACUCAUAUGCCACGCACAAACUCUCACGUGAACAUGUAAAACACCUGUCAUAUCAAAUGUUCAAAACAUGCUUGCUUGGUUCGGAGAAGUCGGAGUCUAGCUCGGCGAAGUUCGCGGCUCCUUCACCUCUUCCGGAACCUACGGCAAUCAUGAAACGGGUACUAACGUGAAAACCAACACUUGCACAGAAACUUUUCCAAAUAAUUUUCAAAUAAAUCCCAUAAAAAACUAGACAAAAUUUGAAGAUUGUCAGAAAAAGAAUCACUCAAAAAUUCCUUUUUAUUAAAAAGUUAUAAAGGUUUCUGUCCAGGGACUUAUCUGUAAUGAAACAGAAAAGUUCCAGGGUUUUUACUGAGAAAACAGAAAACGCUUCGGUUGGGAAUGCGCAAGCGCAAAGGAGAAAACGUAUUUGCCCAAAGGCGGCAACAGAAAACGGUUCGGGGGAGAAUAGAAUAGAGGCUGACAGGCGGGGUCCACCUGUCAGGUUCAGAAAGCUCACCGGCGCCCGAAGACUGCGGUGGACGCCGGCGUCGAACCACGGCGAGUUAGGAGAAACGGAGGGUACCAAGAGCUUCAACAUCUUCUUCCACGUCGGUGGGUGGUGGACUCGUCCAACGGGGAGCACCACGUCGACAGCGACACUAUCUCCGGCGGACGGCGGCUCGGGUGAGGAUGGGGGACUCCGGUGGAGGGCUGCAAACUACGAAUUGAGGCGCGGGUCAGAACGAGGGAUGCAAGGUGAAGCUACUGGCAAGAGAAUGGGGGCGGAGGAGCGCACACGGGGGCGAAUCGGGCUGGAUCCCGUGGCGGGUCGCGGCGGCCGGAGUCGAGGAAGGAGACCUCCUCGGGGCUCUACGAGUGUCUAGGCUUGCUCUAGGGGGAGUGCAGGGAUGGUGGGUGCUCGAGUUGAAGCUCGGGGCCUCUAUUUAUAGGCAGAUCGACUGGGUGGCCGUGAACGGAGAAUCUCCGGCGAGCGAUUAUGGCGGAGCAGUGGAUUGGCAGGUGGUUUGAGCGGCCAGGUACCGUCAGUGGAGGUUACUGGAGUCGUUUCACAGCUAAACGGGGUCGGUCUUGGCGUAAUGGCGUCGGUCCACGGUGAGGUGACCGCACGGGCUCAACAGCGGCAGAGAGCGCGCUCCGCGCCCUGCGGUUCACGACAAGAGCGGCAGCGCAUUCGGGGGAGUGGAAGGCCACGCGGCGAGCUCCGGUGGUUUGGGCGGCGCUGGGUGGCGUCGUCGGCGCCGUGUCUCCCGCUGGCGUCCGCAAAGCCGCCGCCGGCGUCGGUCACGGGGCGGCGCACCUUCUGCUGCUUGUCGUCGACGCCCGCAAGGCGCCAGGCGUUCGUGCGGUGCAGGAACAAGAGGGCGGGGACGAGGAGCAAGGCGACGCGGUGGUACUGGCGAGAUCGAUGUCCUUUUCUGAAGAAAACGACAGCAAGCCACUGACUGAAUCUCUGAAUUUUUCUGAACUUGAUACAGACAGUGCACUGCAGGUGUUCGACAGGAGGAUUUUGCAAUGAGAUAAAUUUUUCUGGAGCUGUAACUUGGUGAGGUGACCACUGAAUGCACCCAGAGGCUGCCUGAUUUUACUUGGAAUUUUUGGAGAAGGUUUUGAAUGAAUUUCACCAAAUUUGACAAAUCUGGUCCAAACUUGCAGCAGGUGUAGUUUGAAAAUUUUGAACUGAAGACCAGUGGAUCUUCAUGGUUCUUGGUUGAGGGUUCAAAGGACUAGGAGGGGAAAAAGGUUUGGGGGCAAAAAUCAAGACAGAAAGUGGAGUUCCUUUGCAAAUCUCCAAGUGCUAGGAAAGAAGGCAGAAAUUUAUUUGAAUAGAAUAUAAAUGGAAAUAAUCACAUGGGGAGGUUCAACUUGCUGGAUUUGAUGCAAAUCAUGAUCCAAAGGUGGGGAAAGGGUUAGGAGAGGGGAUUUGCACUAAGGCCAUGGCAAGAAGGAAUUGUUGAAAGUGGCAAAGGAUUUUCCAAAAGCCAUAGUGCAAAUUUCAAGGAGAUUUUCAAAAGUCAUUUCCCAAGUGAAAAUACUUUGUCUUGAGUCCAAGUGAAAAGCAAGAACCUCCAAGACCAAAGACAGAUCUUGGUUGAAUCCAAAUAAAACUUUUGCCAUAAAGAAAAAUAUUUGAGAGUGAGAGUUCUCUUGAAGAAAAAUUUAAAUCACUCCCCUCAAGUCAAAUAAAAUCAUUUGAAAAAUCCAAAUAAAAACUUGGGUGUCACAACACCUACCCCCUUAGGAAAAAUCUCGUCCUCGAGAUUUCUGCUGAUCCUCAAAUAGAUAUGGAUGUUCUGCCCGAAGGAAAUCUUCCCUUUCCCAUGUAGCUUCAUCCUCAGUGUGGUUGCUCCACUGAACCCUGAAAAACUUUGUCGUUUUCUGACGGGUCCUCCGUUCAGACUCUUCAAAAAUCUUUACUGGUCUUUCUCUGUAGGUGAGAUCUGGUUGCAUAUCAAUGUCCUCAUGAGGUACAUGCUUUUCUGGGUUGCUCACACAUUUUCUUAACUGUGAGACGUGGAACACGUCAUGGACGUCUGACAGCUCCUUGGGUAGGUCUAGUUGGUAGGCUACCGUGCCUCUUCGUGCCUUUACACAAAAUGGUCCAAUAAAUCUUGGGGCUAGCUUCCCCUUAAUUUUGAACCAUUGUAGACCCCUCAUAGGAGAUACUCGGAGGUAUAUGGAAUCACCGGGUUCAAAGCUGACCUCACGGUGCUUCUGAUCAUAGUAGCUCUUUUGGCGGCUCUGUGCUGUCUUGAGUCUGUCCCGGAUUUGUUUAACUUUCUCCUCGGCCUCUUUAAGCAUGUCUGGGCCGAAGAUACGGCUGUCACCUGUUUCUGACCAAUUCAGUGGGGUACGACACCUCCGUCCGUACAAUGCUUCAAAGGGUGCCAUUUGCAAGCUGGCUUGGUAACUGUUGUUGUAAGAAUAUUCGGCACACGGCAAACUCUCUUCCCAGCUGGAUCCAUAGGUGAGCACACAAGCUCUUAGCAUAUCCUCUAGGAUCUGGUUCACACGUUCCGUCUGUCCAUCAGUCUGAGGGUGGUAUGCUGUACUGAAGGCUAGUUGCGUGCCCAGAGCUUGUUGUAGGUGAUCCCAAAAUUUGGAGACAAAUUGGGUGCCUCGGUCUGAUAUUAUAGUCUUUGGGACUCCGUGCAAGCAAACUAUACGAGAGAGAUAAAGCUUUGCCAGUCUUUGUGUGGAGUAGGUAGUCUUCACGGGAAUGAAAUGAGCAACUUUGGUUAGUCGGUCUGUGAUGACCCAUAUGGCGUCAUUCCCACGCUGUGAUCGGGGUAGUCCGAUGAUGAAAUCCAUUCCUAUUUCAUCCCAUUUCCACUCCGGUAUCCUGUUUGGCUGGAGUAGCCCUGUUGGCUUUUGAUGCUCGGCCUUGAUGCGCUAACACGAAUCGCAACAAGCAAUGAAUGUGGCUAUAUCUCUUUUCAUACCGUGCCACCAAAAUCUUUCCUGAAUGUCCUUGUACAUUUUGGUUCCUCCAGGAUGAAUCGAGUAUGGAGCGGUGUGGCUUUCCGUCAAGAUCUGUUGCUUGAGUUCCUCAAUGUUAGGCACGCAAAGUCUGUCUCGGUACCAUAAUGUUCCUUCACUGUCGGUGACGAACUCAGAAGUCUUACGAAGAUUCAUUUUCUUCUUUAUGCCUUCAAUGCUGGGAUGUCCCUGUUGAGCCUUCUUGAUUUGUUCCACCAGGGUGGGUUGUAUCUCCAGGUUCGAUACGGUGCCCUCGGAGACUAACAUCAUGUUGAGCCUAGCGAACUCUCGCUGAAACUCAGGCCUCAAAUUUUGCUGACCGUCACUGUCCGGGCUGGGGUUUCGACUAAGGGCAUCAGCCACUACAUUUGCUUUCCCUGGGUGGUAGUGAAUGCCGAUGUCAUAGUCUUUGACCAGUUCCAACCAGCGUCGUUGGCGUAAAUUCAGCUCUGGCUGUGUGAAAAUAUAUUUGAGGCUCUUAUGGUCUGUAUAUAUUUCACAGCGAUUUCCCAACAGAAAGUGCCUCCACUCCUUGAGUGCAUGUAUGACUGCUGCUAGCUCCAAGUCAUGUGUUGGGUAAUUUUCCUCAUGUUUUCGCAGCUGCCUGGAGGCAUAUGCGACAACCUUGCCAUCCUGCAUUAGUACGCAUCCGAGUCCUUUCCGGGAUGCGUCACAAUACACCUCAAAGCUCUUGUGUAUGUCUGGCACAGUUAAGACCGGUGCGGUUGUCAGCUUCUUCUUGAGUUCUUGGAAGCUCUGCUCGCAUGCUUCCGUCCAUACAAAUUUCUUGUCCUUCUUGAGUAACUGUGUUAUAGGUUUUGCCACAGUGGAGAAACCUUCAAUAAAUCUUCUGUAAUAUCCGGCCAUUCCCAGGAAACUCCGCACAUCAGUAACAUUGGCGGGUGGCUUCCAUUCCAGUAUGGCCUUGACUUUUUCUGGGUCUACGGCCACGCCUUCUUGGUUCAGUAUAUGGCCCAAGAAGCCAACUUGUCUUAGCCAAAAUUCGCACUUGCUAAAUUUGGCGUACAACUGAUGUUUCCGCAAUUCUCCCAAAACAAUUCUGAGGUGCUCAGCAUGCUCUUCUGGUGUCCUUGAGUAAACCAGAAUGUCGUCAAUGAAUACCACCACAAAUUUGUCCAUGAAUUUCAUGAACACUUUGUUCAUGAGGUGGACGAAAUAUGCGGGGGCGUUCGUUAGUCCAAAAGGCAUCACUGUGAACUCGUAUAACCCAUAUCUGGAAGUGAAAGCUGUCUUGGGGAUAUCUUCCGUCCGUACCUUCAAUUGGUGAUAUCCCGAUCUCAAAUCAAUUUUUGAGAAUACCUUGGCCUGUGCGAGCUGGUCAAACAAAUCAUUUAUUCGUGGCAUCGGAUAUUUGUUUUUGAUGGUGACCAUAUUGAGGGCUCGAUAGUCUAUGCAUAGCCCCAGUGUCCCAUCCUUCUUCUUGGCGAACAACAUUGGCGAACCCCACGGUGAGGAGCUGGCUCGAAUAAAUCCUUUGUCCAACAACUCCUUUAUCUGCUUCUUCAAUUCCACCAAUUCUGAGGGUGCCAUUCUAUAAGGCUUCUUAUAGAUGGGAGCGGUGCCAGGUGCUAGUUCAAUGUUGAAUUCGAUCUCUCGGUCUGGUGGCAUGUCUGGUAGUUCUUCAGGGAAUACAUCAGAAAACUCGCAUACCACUGGAACUUUUCUCAGUUCUGCAAUGUCCAUUUUGUUCAGUUUUGGUUUCUGUGAUCGUGGCCUUUCUUGAGCGGAAACUCUUAUAGUCUUGCCGUGAUGGUGAGUGAGAAUCACUGUCCGAUUGAAACAGUCGAUGAAUCCUUUGUUGGUGGUCAACCAGUCCAUCCCUAAAAUGACAUCCAGUCCUUUACUUUCCAACACGAUGAGAUUCGCGUGGAAUUGUAGUCCUUCGAACUCAAUGACCACUCCUUGGCAGUAACCCUGAGCGAUUUGUUUAUUUCCGGGGGACUUGAUGAUCAUAGAUUUUUCCAAGGGAAGUAUCGGAAAACCGUGUUGCGAAACAAAACUCUUCGAAACGAACGAAUGGGAAGCUCCAGAAUCAAACAAAACCGUGGCAGGUACUGUGUUGACAGGGAACAUACCGAGCACGAUGUCUGGGGCAUUCUGCGCUUCUUCCCUGGUCACAUGGUUCAGGUGACCCUUCCUGUGGUUGUUGCUGGGGUUGAAGUUGUUGCGCUUGGGGGCUGGAUUGUUUCCACCAUUGUUCGGCUUGGGUGCCGAGUCUCUUGGCUUCGGGCACUGUUUAGCAUAAUGCCCUUGUUGACCACAAGCAUAGCAGGUGACCCCUGGAUGGCGUGAACUCCUUGUCCCUGGCAUGAAACUGUCUGACGGGCCUUGGCUCAGUAGUCGUGGAUCUCCUUGCGUCUGUCCUUGGGACCUCAGUCUUGCCUCGGUUGCUGCAGGCAAGAGUCGUCUUGUCCCUCUUCUGCUUACGGAUAUCUUCCAGACUACGGCGCUCAUUCUCCAAGGUGAUGGCCUUGUCCACCAGCGUCUUAAAAUCCGGAAAGGUGUGCACAAUCAGUUGGCAUCUCAGUGCUGGUGCCAGGCCGUCCAGGAAUUUUUCCAUCUUCUUGCUUUCUGUCAUGUGCUCGUCGUAGGCAUAACGAGACAGCUGGGUGAACUGACCAUUGUACUCUGUCACUGACAUGCCUCUUUGCUUCAGGUCAUCAAACUCUCUCUUCUUGAUCUUUAGGAUGCUUCUGGGGAUGUGUGCCCCACGGAAGCCUUCCUUGAACUCUUCCCAGGUGAUGUUGUGUUCCCUGGGAUGCAUGUGUAGGAAGUUUUCCCACCAUGUUGCGGCUGCUCCAGUAAGGUAGUGUGGUGCAUAAAGCACCUUCUCAUGAUCUGAGCACUGAGCAAUAAUCAGUUUCCUUUCAAUCUCACGAAGCCAAUCAUCGGCUUCCAGCGGCCUAUCGGUCUGAGCAAAAGUUGAGGGGCGAGUCUUCUGUAACUCGGAUAACUUGGAAUGUGGUUGAUAGGGUUCACGGUGGUUUCCCAUGUUGAUGACAUGGUUCAUCAUCUCUUGGUGCUGUUGCUGGCUUUGCUCGAAGAGACGGCAUACUUGAGACAGUGUUGCUUCGCUGUCUUGUUGGCUGGACUGACCCUGAGUGAAAUUGUUGCUGGUCUGUGUCCCGUAAACCUCUUCUGGCUGAUUGGGCAUGGAGCGAGUCCACGGGCGAGACAUUUUUCCAGACUGGGGUAUUAUUUGCAAAACCCAUGAGAAAAACUGUGUAGCACAAGACAAAUCUCGCAAAGGCAAUAAUCGAAAGGCUUCAAGGUUUUCAAAGAAACAUAAACGAUUUUGCACGGAGAAGGGCUGCUUAACAUAAAACUUACAUGCGAAAAGCAAACACGUGAUACAGCACUCAGGAUGCGCGUACACAAUCCUGACAUGUUAUUAAAAACUAGCGUACUACUCCGGAAGGCAGCAAACACACCAAUACAAACUAUCGUACAGAUAAAACAACACACCAUACAGGCAGGCAUAACACGCGGCUACUCGGUGCUCUCAGUCGGAGAUGGUGAAGAUCUCCUUCCCCUUGCCGAUGGCAAGGCUCAGCGGUCCAGGAGAAUCAACCUCCACCUCCUCUCUAGCUGGCUCCUGGCGCGUGACGCUGCGCUGCGGUGAUGGUGCGGGGGCGACUGGUGGUAGAGCGUGUGCGGCAGGUGGUGCGGCUCUGACUGGAGUAGGAGCGAUGACUCGGUCGAACUCCUCAGUGGUAGGCAGACGGCGAGCAGUGGCCAAAAUGGCCGGUGCAUAAGAGGCUGAAGACGAGACGAAUGUCAGGGGCGGCGCCGUGUUGAGAAGUUCCUUCCUGCUGGCAGGACCGCCCCGGACUAAGUCCAUGCGGGUAGCCACAAGAUCAUCUACGAGGUUGUCGAAAGAUUCCUCCAGAGCCUUGAGAUACUCCACAACCAUCUCGAUGGCUUCAUCUCGCUCUCCCCGAUGGCAGGCGAACGCAUAGUGGCUGGUGUAAGGCACAUGGCAUGGGAGGUAGCGGUAGCGACGAGUCUUCAUCAUAGGAAGGAUGUCCCGAAGGCGAGCUAUCGCCUCACAGGCAGCCAUCUGCAUGGCAUGCCUCUCCGUAGGCAUGGCCCUUCCCACAAAACGGAAGUGGCGAGCAGCAGAACGUCCUCCCUUGAAUUGCACCACAGCCUGGUGCAUAGACACGUCGUCACUGAGCUUGUGCUGAUAGAGUGUGAACUCCGGGCGAGCUGCUGGCCCGAUCGCGAGCUUGGUGAUGGAGACGAGGAGCUUGACAAACUCCUCGGGCACGUUGGUGAACACUCGAUUCUCACAGCUGCUGCCAGCCAUCUACAAAAGUAGGCAAAAAUUCUGAGUAGUCAUGUCAUAAAUUUAUGAUGACCAACAGAAAAUAGCUAGAAUUGCAAAAUGCUGAAAAGGCACAAAAACGCUAAUAACCGAUUAGCGAUCGCACCUAGUGGCUUCCUACAGUCAGCCUGGCUCUGAUACCAAGCUUGUCACGACCGGUUUUUCAAUAAAAUAAUUAUUGAGAGACCAAUCCCUUUUACGGACCAGCGAGGAAGAAUUCCUUCUCACUGGUAGACAAUAUCUAGGUCACAGAAGAAAAAUACCAGGAGUACUAAAUAUAAUACAAGGUUGAGCAGAGACUGCCCAACAAUUUAUUACAUGCAUGCCGAUAAAACAAGACGGCAGGUAGGGUGGCAAACUACUAACUCACGAUGAUAACGGUGGUGGAAAUAUCACCGCGAAGCGAGUGAUAUGAUUCCAGAAGACUACAACUCUUCGAGCGUCGGAGUGAGGCUCGAGAAGACUUAUUGCGGGUGGCGGAAGCGUAUACAAUACAAGUGACCAAUAUCCGGGAUCGCGCAGGACUGACUGGGACUCCUCUAGGCAUCGGACGCGCUAUCAAACUCUUCAUCCAAGAGAUCGCCUUCGUCAACAUCUGGCCAAAUCAACAAGCCAGGUGAGUACUAUGAAAGUACUCGCAAGACAGUUCGGACAUAAGACAUAACAAAUGCAAACAUGAAGCAUAUGAACAAGUUAACCCGUGCAUUCAGACAUAGAGAUAAUAAAUACUGGGUGCCAAGCGAGGGUCUGAAUGACGCCUCGAGCGGAAACUGCAGAAUAGUAAUACUGGUGCCAAACGAGUGUCUGAAAGACUCCUCGAGCGGAAAAUGCGGAAUAAUAAUACAGGUGCCAAACGAGUGUCUGAAAGACUCCUCAAGCGGAAAAUGCGGAAUAAUAAUGCGGGUGCCAAACGAGUGUCUGAAAGACUCCUCGAGAGGAAAAUGCAGAAUAAUAAUGCCACAGUCGGGCGUCGAGGCGACACCACAUAAAGGGCUUGCAACAGAAAAUAAAGACAGUGCAUGCCACAGUCGGACGUCUGUGCGACAUCACAUAAAGGGCUUAUAUUUAAAGUAAGAAACAAGUACACGCCACAGUCGGACGUCUGCGCGACGUCACAUAAAUGGCUUAUAUCACAGCUCAAUAAUACAAUCGUUCGGGAACAUAAAUUAUCACAAGCAUGCGACAAAUAUAAAGUUAGUCCAUCCACAGGAAUAACGAUAAAACUGGAUUUACCACUUGAGCUUGUUCACCGGGGACAAGUUUUUCACACGGAUAGAUAUGGAUAUAGUGUUUACACUACUUGAUCAUGGAUACGAUGAUUUGGAAAGAAUUGACUCUGCAGAGUUUGUACUUAACCACAGCCAACGGAUUUCAGUAGUCACGGGGACUAGUUCCGUCUACGGUGUUUUGGAAGAAACACGUCUAACCAGUACACACCCAAUUCAACCAUCCGAAGCCAGGGAUCACCCUCGGCAACAUUCAAGAAAAACCUUGAGACGGGGAGGCUACAACCUCGCGUAGCAUGGGAUCAAAUUUCUAUACGCGCGCUCUAAGGGGGUGCCCCCCUUCUCGGUCCCAACCGGAAAAACCCAUGCCCCCUGACUGGAUGACUGGCUUUAAUCCUGGGCCAAGGUACCAUCAUCCCGGCCUCUCUGUUUGGUGUGUACACGGAAAGAGGUUACCAACUUACUAAACCGCAUCCUGGCAAUGAGACAUGUGGUAGCACGGAAAGGGGAAAGAACGGUAACGUGGCUCCAACCACGUUAACGUCGGAGGAAGUCGGAUGACGCAAGGCUGGUAUGCUACAACAGUACCACCUUGCUGCCCUUCAUGUCACCACAUGAUUAGGCCAUCUCUCAUCAGAGAUCAUCGCAACUUUGGAACAUGCGGGAAAAGAACGAUAACGUGGCUCCAACCACGUUAACGUCGGAGAAAGUCGGAUGACGCAAGGCUGGUAUGCUACAACAGUACCACCUUGCUGCCCUUCAUGUCACCACAUGAUUAGGCCAUCUCUCAUCAAAGAUCAUCGCGACUUUGGAACAACCGGGUCGUUGCCUUACAAGCAACGAGGUAUUUACCGACACUCAUAAGCCACGCACAAACUCUCACGUGAACAUGUAAAACACCUGUCAUAUCAAAUGUGCAAAACAUGCUUGCCUGGUUCGGAGAAGUCGGAGUCUAGCUCGGCGAAGGUCGCGGCUCCUUCACCUCUUCCGGAACCUACGGCAAUCACGAAACGGGUACUAACGUGAAAACCAACACUUGCACAGAAACUUUUCCAAAUAAUUUUCAAAUAAAUCCCAUAAAAAACUAGACAAAAUUUGAAGAUUGUCAGAAAAAGAAUCACUCAAAAAUUCCUUUUUAUUAAAAAGUUAUAAAGGUUUCUGUCCAGGGACUUAUCUGUAAUGAAACAGAAAAGUUCCAGGGUUUUUACUGAGAAAACAGAAAACGCUUCGGUUGGGAAUGCGCAAGCGCAAAGGAGAAAACGUAUUUGCCCGAAGGCGCCAACAGAAAACGGUUCGGGGGAGAAUAGAAUAGAGGCUGACAGGCGGGGUCCACCUGUCAGGAUCAAAACGCUCGCCGGCGCCCGAAGACUGCGGUGGACGCCGGCGUCGAACCACGGCGAGUUAGGAGAAACGGAGGGUACCAAGAGCUUCAGCGUAUUCUUCCGCGUCGGUGGGUGGUGGACUCGUCCAACGGGGAGCACUACGUCGACGGCGACACUAUCUCCGGCGGACAGCGGCUCGGGUGAGGAUGGGGGACCCCGGUGGAGAGCUGCAAACUAUGAAUUGAGGCGCGGGUCAGAACGAGGGAUGCAAGGUGAAGCUACUGGCAAGAGAAUGGGGGCGGAGGAGCGCACACGGGGGCGAAUCGGGCUGGAUCCCGUGGCGGGUCGCGGCGGCCGGAGUCGAGGAAGGAGACCUCCUCGGGGCUCUACCAGUGGCUAGGCUUGCUCUAGGGGGAGUGCAGGGAUGGUGGGUGCUCGAGUUGAAGCUCGGGGCCUCUAUUUAUAGGCAGAUCGACGGGGUGGCCGUGAACGGAGAAUCUCCGGCGAGCGAUUACGGCGGAGCAGUGGAUUGGCAGGUGGUUUGAGCGGCCAAGUAGCGUCAGUGGAGGUUACUGGAGUCGUUUCACAGCUAAACGGGGUCGGUCUUGGCGUAAUGGCUUCGGUCCACGGUGAGAUGACCGCACGGGCUCAACGGCGGCAGAGAGCGCGCUCCGCGCCCUGCGGUUCACGACGAGAGCGGCAGCGCGUUCGGGGGAGUGGAAGGCCACGCGGCGAGCUCCGGUGGUUUGGGCGGCGCUGGGUGGCGUCGUCGGCGCCGUGUCUCCCGCUGGCGUCCGCAAAGCCGCCGCCGGCGUCGGUCACAGGGCGGCGCACCUUCUGCUGCUCGUCGCCGACGCCCGCAAGGCGCCAGGCGUUCGUGCGGUGCAGGAACAAGAGGGCGGGGACGAGGAGCAAGGCGACGCGGUGGUACUGGCGAGAUCGAUGUCCUUCUCUGAAGAAAACGACAGCAAGCCACUGACUGAAUCUCUGAAUUUUUCUGAACUUGAUACAGACAGUGCACUGCAGGUGUUCGACAGGAGGAUUUUGCAAUGAGAUAAAUUUUUCUGGAGCUGUAACUUGGUGAGGUGACCACUCAAUGCACCCAGAGGCUUCCUGAUUUUACUUGGAAUUUUUGGAGAAGGUUUUGAAUGAAUUUCACCAAAUUUGACAAAUCUGGUCCAAACUUGCAGCAGGUGUAGUUUGAAAAUUUUGAACUGAAGACCAGUGGAUCUUCAUGGUUCUUGGUUGAGGGUUCGAAGGACUAGGAGGGGAAAAAGGUUUGGGGGCAAAAAUCAAGACAGAAAGUGGAGUUCCUUUGCAACUCUCCAAGUGCUAGGAAAGAAGGCAGAAAUUUAUUUGAAUAGAAUAUAAAUGGAAAUAAUCACAUGGGGAGGUUCAACUUGCUGGAUUUGAUGCAAAUCAUGAUCCAAAGGUGAGGAAAGGGUUAGGAGAGGGGAUUUGCACUAAGGCCAUGGCAAGAAGGAAUUGUUGAAAGUGGCAAAGGAUUUUCCAAAAGCCAUAGUGCAAAUUUCAAGGAGAUUUUCAAAAGUCAUUUCCCAAGUGAAAAUAUUUUGUCUUGAGUCCAAGUGAAAAGCAAGAACCUCCAAGACCAAAGAUAGUUCUUGGUUGAAUCCAAAUAAAACUUUUGCCAUAAAGAAAAAUAUUUGAGAGUGAGAGUUCUCUUGAAGAAAAAUUUAAAUCACUCCCCUCAAGUCAAAUAAAAUCAUUUGAAAAAUCCAAAUAAAAACUUGGGUGUCACAGUGGGGAGGUGCCCCAGCCCACCUAAUGGGCUGGUCCCUUCUCACACUUGGCCCAUGUAUGCCUCUGGGGCCCGUGGCCCCUCCCGGUGGACCCCCGGACCCCUGUGGUGGUCCCGGUACACUACCGGUGAUGCCCGGAACACUUCCGGUGGCCAAAACCAUACUUCCUAUAUAUAAAUCUUUACCUCCAGACCAUUCCGGAACUCCUCGUGACGUCCGGGAUCUCAUCCGGGACUCCGAACAACAUUCGGUAACCACGUAUAUCUAUUCCCUAUAACCCUAGCGUCAUCGAACCUCAAGUGUGUAGACCCCACGGGUUCGGGAACCAUGCAGACAUGACCGAGACGUUCUCCGGCCAAUAACCAACAGCGGGAUCUGGAUACCCAUGUUGGCUCCCACAUGUUCCACGAUGAUCUCAUCGGAUGAACCACGAUGUCGGGGAUUCAAUCAAUCCCGUAUUCAAUCCCCUUUGUCUAUCGGUAUGUUUACUUGCCCGAGAUUCGAUCGUCGGUAUCCCUAUACCUUGUUCAAUCUCGUUACCGGCAAGUCUCUUUACUCGUUCCGUAACUCCCAUCAACCCGUGAUCAACUCCUUGGUCACAUUGUGCACAUUAUGAUGAUGUCCUACCGAGUGGGCCCAGAGAUACCUCUCCGUUUACAAUGAGUGACAAAUCCCAGUCUCGAUUCGUGCCAACCCAACAGACACUUUCAGAGAUACCUAUAGUGCACCUUUAUAGCCACCCAGUUACGUUGUGACGUUUGGUACACCCAAAGCAUUCCUACGGUAUCCGGGAGUUGCACAAUCUCAUGGUCUAAGGAAAUGAUACUUGACAUUAGAAAAGCUCUGAGCAAACAAACUACACGAACUUGUGCUAGGCUUAGGAUUGGGUCUUGUCCAUCACAUCAUUCUCCUAAUGAUGUGAUCCCGUUAUCAACGACAUCCAAUGUCCAUGGUCAGGAAACCGUAACCAUCUAUUGAUUAACGAGCUAGUCAACUAGAGGCUUACUAGGGACAUGGUGUUGUCUAUGUAUCCACACAUGUAUCUGAGUUUCCUAUCAAUACAAUUCUAGCAUGGAUAAUAAACGAUUAUCGUGAACAAGGAAAUAUAAUAAUAACCAAUUUAUUAUGCCUCUAGGGCAUAUUUCCAACAUCCACCGCCGUCCUCCUCCACCAUGCCGGAGCUGAUACCCCGACGCCGCCAUCCAUUACAAGAGAUCGACCUGUCUCAUCCACAGCUUCGGACCGGGGUCCUUGCAUCCCAUCCUCUCGCUUCAUCCCCGCCGUCGUCCACCUUGUCGGCGCCGCUCCUACGACCGUCUCCUCCACCGCGCCCCGCCGCCACCUUCUACCCUCCAAGAUCUGCUUCCACGCCGCCGACAACCAUCGCUACCGCAGCACCGUCAAAUUCUCAGCAGAUGCAUACACGGCACCGCACCAGAGGCGGUACUCUUUCGUAUCUGCUCAACUUAUUUAUCGCGGCAAGAAAAUAGAUCGCCACUGCUUUACUCUGAUUUCUUGUCCAUCACUUACUUGCUAGUUGAGAGCAAACAUUGGUUGUGAAGUUGCCUUUGUCCGGUUUGCACCUUCAGAUCCGCCAUGGCACGCUCAACACUAUACUCCCAAUGCUUAUGGUUUUCCCCUUUUAUAUUCCACACUAGUUAAAUCACAGUAGACUAAAUUUCAAAAUUGGGUCAGUCGAUUUUUCAGAGCUCGCCGGAGUUCGCCGGUGCGAACGAAGGGGCUCGGGUGGGGACUUUGGUUGUUGGGGGGUGGGGCCUCGCCGAAUGAAGAAAACUCGACGCGGGUGGGGGCAGGGGUGGGGGUGGGGGUGGCGAAGGAACAUAGGUGGUGGGGGCCGAUGGUCCGGCCGGCGGCCCGUGCGGUGUUCUGUAUGGGAAGAAUCAGAGACGAGGAAGAAGAAGGGUUAGGAGACGUAGGAUCUUCAUCCAACCGCCUGAAAUGGUCGACUAACCCAAAUGCAGACAUGCCUUUAUAUUCAGUACCAUCAUCGUACCUGUUAGCACUGCUCCCGAAUCCAUCAAGCUAAACAACGUGCCACUCAUAAUUCCAAACUUGUUGCUCAAGUACGAAUCUGAUAUGAUGCUGAUAUUAAUAAAACAGAUAACAUUAAAUUGGUCAGCUAAUGUUCCUACUUUACUUUCGAAAAAGCACGUGCACCACAUAUAGAGAGACAGCAGGGAGUUGCUUUCUUAAUGCACUCUGGUUCAUCAUGUGUGGGCACUGCGCAACGCACAUUUUAUUAUCCAAAAUCUGCUUGCUCUUCUUUACCAUGUUCCUCUUCCGUUCUUCUUUAAUAAGUACUCUCUCCGUUCCUAAAUACAAGUCUCUGUAUAGAUUCCACCAUGAACUACAUAUGGAGCAAAAUGAGUGAAUCUACACUCUGAAAUGUAUCUGGAUACAUUUGUAUGUGAUCCAUAGUGGAAAUCUCUACCAGGACUUAUAUUUUGGAACAGAGGGAGUAUGAUAGUAGUACAGUAUGUUCCUUGUAGUGAAGAUGAGGAGGGACAUUUGCAGUGUAGAGGUCUAUACGGUCGGUUGGUAUGGACACUUUGAACUCGUCGGGCCUCUUUGAUUCGUAGGAUUUUGUAAACAUGGGAAUAAGAUUUGUAGUGGCCUGCCCACUUGAAUCCUAUAAGAAUAGCAAGAAAAUGCGGGGAGCUGUGUCGCCUUUGAGAGUUACACUGAUAUUAACAGUACCGCACCAUCAGUUGAAGAAAGCUGGUAUCCGAAGCCUUUCUAGCCGUACAGGCAAUACUAGCACAUAUAUUCCAGCAAGUUCCACUUUGCUGAUUUUACUCUGAUGCUUAUGGUUUUCCCGUUAUAUCUACACUAUGAUCUGUGUAGCUGCUUUGUGUCCCACUAGCAGCAGUCCACUCUUGAAGCUAAACACCGCAAUGAAUUACAAAAUUGGCACCAAGGCAUUGAGUGCCAUUCUGGAUGCAAUGAAACUCAUACGCUCCCCACCUGUUGACUCUUGUUCAGAAUAUGAUCCUAAUGACGCUUGUUCAAAAUUGCCACAUAUAGAGAGACAACAUGGAAUUGCAUUUCUUUGGGCGCUGUGAUUCAUCAUGAGUGGGCAACCAACAUUGUAUGCAAUUAAGCGGAACCUCAAGAAUAUGCUUCCUCUUUUGUUCUUUAACAUGUUCCUCUUUUGUUAUUCUGUAUUUAGUACGUACAGUAUGUUCCUUGUCAGGAAGGGGAGCAGGGACAUCUGCAGUCAACAGCUGAUAGAGCUGGCAUGUACUUGAUCGAUAGGCUUUCAAUUACUAGCAGCAAUACAACACCGUAUUUUCAAGCCAGUUCCACUUUCCUGAUUUAUAUAUCGUGGUUAUGGUGUUCCCCUUUUAUGUACACUAUGAUCUGCCUAGUUGAUGUGUGCUCUUGUUAUCAUGGUUUGGCAAUAAACUCUCUAUACAGUAUAUUUUGAACCUACCAUCUGCCAACUAUCCUUACUUCUGGAGCCUAUUUUUUUGUGUACUUGUGCCAGAUUAUAUAAAUGCACGCACCAUAUUACAGCACACAUGAGCUCUCUCAUCAGAAUCCAAUGAUAGCACACAAGUGUUUAUAGGGGCGCCCCUAUAUUAGCAUAUCCUCUGCAUUACAAAGAUAAUCUCACAACUAUUUAUGUUUUCAUGGUUCUCAGAUAUUAUACGUAAUUACAGUGAAUAUAAGAAUCCGCGCAUCAGAAGAAUAUUGUGGAACACUGCAAUGACUUACAAAAUUGGCACCAAGGCAUUGAGUGCCAUUCUGGAUGCAAUGAAACUCAUACGCUCACCACCUGUAGAUUCUUGUUCAGAAUAUGAUCCUAAUGACUAUUCUAACCUUGAGGAGUCAAAGGCAGAUGGCCUGUCAUGUUCACCCAUCAAGGUGCCUGCUCUAAUUUGGCAAGGUUUUAUUGAUUGCGCGUAUCUUGCAUAUGUUGUCUUGCAUUUCUUCUAAUUUGUUGCACCGCCAUCUGCUUAGUUUACUCAUCAUAUAUGUCGAGAUGCCAUGCCCAUCCAUUAUCAAUACAUAUUCCAUCCAUCAUCAUACCAUGUUUUUCCACUCAAAUGUUGUUCUUGUGCAUCAGACAUCAAAAAGGAAGAGGGUGAUUGCCAAACCUGAAGGAGCACCAGCAAAGUCCUUGAAAAACGUGGUUGUGCUAGAGAAAUCAGACAGCACCCCACUUAUAUUGGUUGUACAACGAGUGACACAAAACAUAGGACCGACUCUAGCAGACUGUACCCAUACUUCACUGGCCACACCACUAGCCCCACCACACAGGACCUGCACUCCAGCAAAAGGUAUGCCGAUUUCACUUGCCAUAGCACCAGCCGUAACACAGAAAAAUCCCACUGCAGCAAAAAGUACAGCAAGUCCACCGGCCGAAGACCUAUCCCAACUUCAGAGAUGACCAAUUCCUGCAGAUUGGAACCCCAUUCUAGUUAUUCCUAGUUUAAAAGACAAUGCUUUCAAUGUUGUUAGGGACUACGUGCAUAUAUUCCCAUCAUUGGAAGAUUAUAGUGAAGACAAACACCAUUUUCACAUCUUCCUGUCCCACUUACGUGUAAGUGCUAUUAUUCAUGGUGAUUAUUUUCCUGUUUUCUGCUGAUUGAACACAUCAAUGAUUUACAUUACAUUGUUGUAAGUAGGCGAGGGUCAAUCUGGAUAGUCAUGACGAGCAAAGCCUGCUUGCGCUUUUCAAGGAAGCAUUGCAGCAGUAUUGGUGUUACCUGAGAAAAUCACACUUUGAUGGCAAGUCUAUAAACGAAUUUCUGGUGAAGUCUCCUGUGCUAAAUUAGAAGACAUUGAAUGGAAAAACCUUGUUAUGCACUGGUCUCGUUCCGAGGAUGAGGUACUGUCUAUGAUAUCGCAUGACAAUUUGAAGUUCUACUUUUCCGCAUGUGCCUUACGGAUCUUUUUUGCAGGAAAUCUGCUCGAAAAAGAAUUCCGGUUUGAAAAGAACAACAGGAUAUCGCAAAUAUGCUGCCCACUGCUUUGCUCUUGUUAGUACCUGUUAUCCUGUAUCACUGUACUUGCAUACAUACAUGGUUCAUUAUGUGACAGCAGUAUGCAUGAUAGCUUGGUUAUCAAUUGUUCGCUCAAAAUUAUCUGAUCUGUAUGAAUGGUUACAUUAGUGUAGAAUAUAUCCAACGCCAAUGAAAUUUUUUAGCUCUGCAUUGUUCUUGUAAGUACCUGUUGUCCUUUAUCAGUGUACUUAUAUUGACAGGUAGUUGUUCAUGUACCAUCACUCUGCGGCUUAUUUUCCUUUGCCCUCCAUUUUCUACACAUAAGAUCUAUAUUUACUCUUACCAUAAGGUUGGAUAACACCGAUGGUACUGAAGAAGUUUAGCUCUACAUUGCUCUUGGCUGUACCUUUUGCCUGUAUCGCUAUACUUACAUUUAUAGCUAUUUGGUUAUGUAGCAUCACUCUUCAUCUUAUCUUAAAUAUUCUCCAUUUUUUCUUAUAUUGUCACAUCUAUAUUUACUCUUAAUAAAAUGUAGAAUAAAGGCAAUGCUUAUGAAGAAGAUUAUGUGGUAAACUUCUUGAAUUGCCCCCCCCAUCAGCAUGGACAAGGGCUUUAUAGAGCCUGCCUUCACCAAUAAUGUAAGUUUGUCCUUCUCAAGCCUUCAAAGUUUGUUGUGUAUAUUUGGUUAGGCAUGACUGCAACAGCUGUUUAUUUUUGGUGUUUGCAUCAAAUUGCAUGUUCAAAGUUUAUUAUGUACUCCAGUUCAUAAACAAAAGUUUGUCCUUCUCAAUUUAAGUUUUCAGUUGUACAACCAAGUUCCUUCUUCAUACCAUGUAAAUUAAACUAUACAGAGCAAGUGAUCUUAUUUUGCCAAUCUGAAAUGGGAUAAAUUGACAGCACACUAACCAUUGAUACUUAUGAGUUCUUGAUCUGUAAUCUAGUGGUGUCGUGAAGCUGCCAACUCCUUCACAAUGUCAUUUCCUGCCAUGGCUUGACCUGAACAAUACCAUAUUGUGUUAAUGCUAUUUUAAACUGUGUCACUUUAUUCGUCAGUAAGAAAUGUGAUGAAUUGUCAGCAUUGAUACUUGUAUGUGCAAAACAUGUCAUCUCUCUGCUUGUUUAUCUUUCAGAGUGAGGAGGAUAUAAGUGUCAAACAAGUGCAGUCUCACCAGCUUGCUCAGCUGCUUGCGCUGCAGCUCCCGAGCAGGGCUAUCCUUUCUUCUGUUGAAGGGCUGUCGGUUUUGUAUAUUAUUUUGUUGGCGUGUUUAGUUGCACUGGUGGCGAUCUUUGAUGCCCAGUGUAUGUAAUCUGCUGUCUGCUUGUGCUUUAUUAUCAUAGUGGCGAACCUUGAUGCCCAGUGGAUGUAAUAUGCCGUAAUUUCUUUAUUGUAUAAUCUAGGUUUUUUUCUUAUUCACGAUGCUGCAGUUAUUUUACUGUAUAUAUAUCCUGUCUUCGCAAUAAACCGGCCAAAUCGUAAAAUUAUGGUACAUAAUCGGGCCUUCAUGCAAAUCACCAUGUAUGAUCCGCAUCAUGGGCCACGUCAUCUUGGUCCGUUAACAGGCCUAAAUGUAAACUGGCCCACUAGUAGAUUCGGGCCUUUAAUAGGCCGAGUAAACCACCGGCCCUAUUUUCCCAAGAAAACUCAAUGGGCCUUUAGGAGGCUGAAAAGUAGGUUGGGCCUGAAACGUGCCGAACAGCAGGCCGAAAUAGACCCCGGCCCAUGAAUGUGCCAAUCAAAUCAUGGGCUUAUAACAGGCCAAAAUUGUCUCGGUUCUUGUUUGGCCCAAUCAGAUUAUCGGCUGCGAGCAGGCCGGAUGCAAACCGUGCCGUAGUUAGGCCCAACUAUAUGACGGGCUUUUAACAGGCCGGAAUUAAUAUAGGGCCGAAAUGUUAAACGGGCCCUUAACAGGCCGGAACUAAUAUCUGGUCGAAUUACUAAAUGGGCCUUUAGCAAAUGGGCCCAAAAGCGUAGCGUCCAGUUGAUGGGCCGAAUCUGAUAUGGGCCAUAAUUUAGCCCAAAGCCUCUUAAAGGGCCGAAACUGAUCUGGGCCGUAAUUUGGCCCAGAACGUGCUAGGCUUUUAACGGGUCGGAUCUCAUAUGGGCCAUUAUUAGGCCCGGAACGUGGCAGGCCAUUAAUGGACCGGAUCAAAUAUGGGCCGGCAUUUGGCCCAAAACAUGGCAGCCAGUUAAUGUGCCGGCCUACUAGGGUUCUCAAAAUCUUGUGGGCCUAAAGCUGGGCCGGCCCAUUAAUGUCGGCAAAAUCUCGUGGGCCUUUAGCUGGGCCGGCCCAUUAUGGUCGACAAAAAUCUUGUGGGCCUUCACCUGGGCCGGCCCAUUAUGGCGUGCAAAAAUCUUAUGGGCCUUUACCUGGGCCAACCCAUUAUGGACCGCAAAAUCUUGUGGGCCUUUAGUUGGGCCAGCCCAUGUAAACUUUAUGGGCCACUGUUGGGCCGUGCCACGUGUCGACGUAUCAUAGGCGCUUUGUGUCCAAUGAGUGGAUGACAUCUGUCCCAACGGUGAGCCGACACGUGUUUCCUCCAGCCAAUGAUGAUUUUACACGUGGAAAAUCCCCAUUGGUCGGGGCUGUUAACGGGUUAUCGGAUCCAAAACCGGACCCGAUAGCUUAACGGCGUUCCGUUAUGAUGGAUGCCACGUGUCGGUCACCCUUGACGAAAGCACUUCUGUGACGCACGAUUUAUCGUCAUGGAAAUGGACACUUCCGUGAUGAUAAUUUUGGUAAUGUCAUGUAACACUUCUAUGACAGCACAGGUAUGACUAUCUUGAUUCUGUCAGAAAUUUGUCAUGGAUGUACAUGCAUGACAGAAAACGUGACCUACUGUGACAAACACGUAUCAUCACGGAAGUGUAUUUUUUUGUAGUGUAGGGGAGCGGCGGAGGUGUGCGAUUCUUGGCCGGCGUUUGGCCUCGUUUAAAUAGGAGAUUAAAUAGACGGCGGACGGGAGGAGCUCGGCCGGUGUUGUGUUUAAUGUCGGCCCGGUCAUGAACGGACGUGUGUCCAGAGUGGGUUUCUCGGCUUCCACACGGGCGGGUUUCAUGGAGGCGUUUGAAUGCGGCAGGAGGCGUGUUCAGUCGGGCGUGCAGCGAGUGGCGCCCUCGACACUGACAUAGGACACCGCACCGUUCUUCCACUGACGUGUGGGCUCUUUGGGUACAUGGCCUGCAUGUCAGUGACCCAAUGCAGGGAGCGCACAUCAGAGGAACCUUUGGUGGGCCAGGGCGGUCAGAAGCGGGCAUUUCAUAAACUGAUGAUUGUUCAUUGAGUGUGACGUCAUCCUUUUCGUGUAGAUAAGCCUACUAUGUUGAUAGCCCGUUCGAUACGUUGUGAUUCAUAAAGACCGCUGCAAACAUCAAUGUUCUGCUUAUCACAAGUAAGAUUGAUUAAUACCCGUAACAAUCCAUGUCCUUAACAAAGGGUGCAUGCACGUAUAGGUUGAGCGUGUGUCUUGCGUCGUGUGUUGUGUGCAUGCAGGCGUGCGAGUGUUGCGUGCGUGCAAGGGUACGCUUCAGUGUUGCAUGCAUGUGUGCGUACGUGUGUGUGUUCGUGAGUGCAUGUGUACGUGUCAGUGUUGCACGCCGGCAUGUGUGCGUGUGUUCGUUAUGUGUAUGUGUUAGUGUUGCACGCCUGCAUGCGUGCGUGUCUUGCGUGCGUGCAUGUAUACGUGCGGGGUGAGGCUACACGUCAGUCGACUUACUUUUUCAUCUCUGGCCCCCGCCUCCCGCAGCCGGCCCACGCCGCGACGCCGCCCUGCCCGCCCCGAAACCACUCCCCACCGUCGAUCCGCCGCCGCACCGGCCAUCCCUCUAGCCCCCCCGCGCCGAGUUUUUUCUCUGGCGAUCCCCACCCCACCUCCCAAUCAAGGCGCCCCCCCAUCACCGGCGACUGCCAACUAGAGGUCUCACGACUUCGAGUACCCACCGACCACUAAUUUAUUACCAUUUCUGUCCUUCAUAUACGCGCUGACGGGUGGGCCCUAUGGUAAUGUGCGCUGCUGAAUGUGGACCGUUUGACUAGUCAAUUGAUUGUGUCAUCUAAAAAUUACGGAGCUGUAUGGUGAGCCAGUGACCUUAUGAUCACCCUAAAAUGUAUUUUAUUAACACAGUACAGACUCAAAACCAUUUCUUUCUUUCAAAUACGGGCUGACAGGUGGGCCCCAUGGUUACGCGUCCCGAUGGUGCAACACUAGUUGCGCCACGUGGAACAUUUGACUAGUCAAUUGAUUGUGUCAUCAACAAAAUACGGAGCUGUACGGGUGAGCCAGUGACCGUAUAAUCAUGACAUGUAUUUUUUUUAACACGGUACAGACGCAAGGGCUCAUAUAUACGCGCAAGCACUCACCGCUAUAAGCGCACACAUGCAGACCCUACCCCUAUGAGCACCUUUGAGAGAGUGAGCCAGCAUAUGAUCUUGAGAUUUUACGAAGUCACCAUAGCUGCCUCGUAGUCGAGUGGAACGUCUCCUCCCACUGAAGCACAUCGCCGGAAAAUACUGAAAUUAACCCAGGAUAAAUGCGAGCACCGGGACUUUAACCCUGGUGGGCUCGAGAAACCACUGCCCUCCUAACCAUCCAACCACAUGUUGGUUAGCACGACAAAAUGAAUGUGGUGACCGUGAUGAGCUUAUUCUGAAGUCCAGUGACCAUAUUGUGCUUUCGCUUCAAAUACAAUGACCGUAAGUGUCGUCAACAAAAUACGGAGCACGCAUCAAAUGCAAAGUCCGUCAGUGUCAUCAAGAAAAUACGGAGAUGUAUCAUGAGCUAGAUACCGUAUGAUCACCACGAGAAUGUAUACGGUGACCAUAAUGAGCAUAUUCUGAACUCUAGUGACCAUAUAGUGCUUUAGCUUGAAAUACAGUGACCAUCAUGCAUGAAUGUGUCGUGGGCAUGCAUACUUUUAGAGGGCCGAGAGAUAGUUUGUGUGCGUACGUGAAAGUGGUGUAGAAAGAGGGGAUGUCCGGUGGAGACAAGGAGAGAUAUGCCCUUCGUUUCUCUUUCCCGUGACUAAUAUUUUAGGAGAAUAUAUAAACAUUCACAAUGCAGAACAAAUAUUUUUGGAUGCACCAUGCAAUUAAGUUUCAUGUAUAACAUUGUACUAUUGUAUAUGCUUAUUUUCUUAGUGGCCGAUUGCGUGUGUGGUGUGGUGGGCACAUCCUUUCUAGUUGUGGUGGGUCAACAUGAGGACUCAUGGGUCGGUUCCAUCCUACGCCACAUAGGUUGGAUCGAGACGCGUUAUACAAAGACCCAUGUGGAGGACUCGGCGUACAACACGAAGCUAGCUACCAGAGUCACGGAGGACUCUAUCCCCACUGGUGAUAAGCCGACUAUAUAUGAUUUGUAACCCUAGGCCCCCAGUAUGCUAUAGAAGCUUGGGGGCUAUUUCGUCGAUAGUAUACACACAUGCACAAUGCCUGGUAUUCACGUGUACUUUGUACACACCCCUAUCACUAAUAUACAGUACCAGGAGUAGGCUUUUUCCUCAACUGCAAGUGUCCGAACUAGGGUAAAACUUUGCCUCGUAUUACCGUCCAGCCUAACAGUCAGGGAUAUCCUACCGAAUGAUAUGAUGGAAUCAUAUCUGCCAACUACUAAGAGAGAGGUGUGUCUGGGGGGGGCAAUGUGUGCGAGAGAGGCCUAAAGAUAAUGUGCGUGCGGGAGACACGUAGGCACAUAUAUGUGCGUAUAGAGAGCUAGUAGAGACCGUGCGUGUGUAUAUAUGCAUGUGAGAGAAACAGUGUUUUCCAACUGAGAUUAGUGAAAAGAGUGGUACAUAGUAGUCAGAAAGAGAGAGAGAGAUACAGAGAGAGCAUGUGCGUGAGACUCCCCGACAUCCCAAGAGAGAUUGUGAGCAUGUGUGAAAGAGAAAUGCCGAUGCAUAUAAAGUGUGUGCACUUAUGCGGUAGAUAGAGAGAUAUAUAGCGCGUUUGUGAGAACUGGCUGAGGCAUAGUGCAUCUACGUGUAAAAGGCGGUUCUACGCAUUAAAUUAAAAUAUAAAUGGCAUUAUUAUUUUUGGAUGAGAUCAUGAAUUUUGCAAAUUGCGUAUGGACGAAAAUCGGUCUAUCAGACACCCAUACUCUAUUGAAUUCUAGCAUGUGCAUGUGUUUAUUUCAUAUUAUCGAUCCAUAGAGUGAGAGCGGUUUGAAAUACAGGCAAUGGAUGCUCUGGCAAUUCAUAUAUAAACAUUAAUUAGUGCACUCCAUGUUGUUAGUGUGAAGCACUUUAUACAUUUGUCACUUGCAUGGAUACAUUCCAAAUUGCUAGCUACGAAAUAGAAUACAUGUCGAAUUCAACAUAAAGGGGGUUUCGAAGAUUCGAAUUCAUAGGAAGUGCAUUCAUCUAUUUGAACCCGAGAUAAUGGCAUUUGUAAAUCAGAUGUAAAAGGGGGCAUCAAUCUUUGUUGUGCGUUGGAACCAUGCAUGAACUGAGGUAAGUUGCAUAUUUUUUAAUAUAUACUUGUGUACAAUGUAUAUUCAAAUGUACCACCUCCAUUCCAGAAUAAUCGUAGCUUUAGUAUUUUCAAGAGUAAAGAUUUGUGAAGUUUGACAAAUCCUGAAUGUUCAAUUCAAGAGAACCGAAAACGUUAAUGCUUCUGCUCCCAAAUAUUGAACGAAGCGCCAAAUAGGCCUCUGGCCACCCGAAACCGCGUGAGACUAAUGUUUGGUGGUAGGAAAUUACUGUCCUGACUCUGGCCCGUGUAGCCUAUCGGCCCGAUGUCCAAAGGUCUAAACCGGGAUAGGUUUGUAACUUCACCAAGACGCCAGUCUCAACCGCCUCCGAGAGGCAUUCAUACGUUGUGGGCGCCUAAACACCCAUGCGCUCGGCCGAAAUCUAUCCCGCCCACAUCUGGGACACCUGAGAUUACUGUCCUACCCCCAUCCCGCAAUAUGUCCGAAGUUUUAGAUAGGGGCCAAGUUUGUAACUUUCCCCAAAUUUCAAACAAGCGCGUCCCAAACCGAAACAUUGUUCCCCCUUAGUUCCCUACCUCCCUCCGUUUCCCCAUUCAUACUCAGUGGUUGCCAAAACGCCCUCUCCACCAGCCGUGAAACCUCAGCCUCCUCCGUCCUCCACCCCUUAGUGCCCAAUCCACCGCCACCCUCCUCCAUCACGCCGGAGCCGGUACCCUGACGUCGUCAUCCAACGCAACCGCAACCGCAAAACCCUCAAGGACUUAGUAGCUGAAGCCGAGGUAGAGCUGCCUCCAUGACGCCGAUGCCGACGUGCGCCGUACCAGAACCACUCCGACCACGCCAUCCUGCGCCUCACUGCUGCAGCUCCACUGUCGCAACCGUCCACCGCACCGGAGCUGUUCUCGCUACGCCAUUGUUCGGCGACUCGGAUCUGGUUCCCCGCCGCCGACAGACGGCCACCGCACCACACUCAACAACUUGGCCAUGGGUUCAUCCAAGGCUGCACCGUCCUCCACAACUUCUCAUUUCUAGUGAACCACAAGAAGAUCGUUGGAAAAACAGAAGGAGGACACAACACUGCCAGCAGAAAGAGGUACUCAUCUUCCCUUAUUCGUGCAAACCUUACGUCUCUGCUCACACCGUAUUCAUCCCACGAAAGAAACUAGUUGAGCGCUUCUUACUGCAUCUUCUUCGUGUUACUAAAUGCACAAGGUUUCCUCCCUUUACUAUUUCACCUUUGCUAGAGGUCAGUAGCCCGCCUGGAUUUCAAUUCAGGGUCAGUCGAACCGCAAUUAAAAGAAGCAGCACCCGCUUAGGCGCGCGGAGCACCUAGUCCGCCUGUUCGCCGGGGAAGUGGCGCAUCGGUGUCUAUCAUAGGGGUGUGGGGUGCAGGAGCUGCUUCUGCCCAAUCUAGAGGUCGGCGGGUCUUGAAUGGAUGGCCGGGGGGCGGUGCCAAGCACGGCGGUGCGGUGAGGUCGAGGGGAGGGCGCAGGCAGGGGACUGGGCCGGUGGUCGCUGCCGUUUCGAGGAAGAUCAUCAACACUGACUGGCUGGAGGUAGAUGAAGGCGAUCUGCCCGUCCUUUGUACAUCGGACGAUGCAGAAAAAAUGGUCUGACCUAUUUGUUUUCAGUCGAAUGUUAUUUUCAUAGAAUCCUGUAAAAAUUUAGUGCGCCAUGCAUGUUGUAGAGCUAUCAUAUGUCUCCCGUCAUUUAUUUCUCACCGACCUGCUAUCUGCUACCUUUAUACUGUACUAAUUGUGCACACACUUCACCCGUACUCACACUAUAGUUUUUUUAUGCAUGGGUAUUUCAGACUCUGACGCGGUGUUGAUCAAUGCUGAAAAGAAAAGACAGAAGUCACUCCAGUGUAAUUUGAAGAUAAGCACUAAGCGUUUCAGCGCUCUAAAGGAUGCAGUGUCAGCAGUUGGAGACAGUAAACGUAGCUCUGCAGUUGAUGAUCUCAAUUGCCACACCGCUGUCAAAUGUGGUUGCAUGUUGCAUAUGGUGUGUAGCUUGUAUUGCUUCCAAUUUGGUUAAAUUGCAUCUGCUUACUUUACACAUUAUACCUUUGAUAAUGACAUGCCUUCCUGUUUUUGAUACAUACUACAUAUGUCUAUUAACCAUGUUCGUACAUCAAACUAAUGCUCUUGUGUAUCCCUCGUCAAUCACUUAUGAUGAGACAGUCACCCGGGUGGGUUAUUGUGAGACGCCAUACUCGUUUAAAGAGUGCAGUGUCAUCCUCCCCACAUGAUUCUCAAGAAACAUCAAGGCUAAAUGAAGAUAGUCAACGUAGCUCUCUAGUUGAUGACCGCAAUUCCCCCACACCAGCAUCACAGGUGCUUGCUCUAACUUCGCAGUGUGAUAUGUGGUUGCAUGUUGCAUACGGUGUCUAGCUUGUAAUGCUUCUAAUUAGGCUAAAUUGCAUCUGCUUAGUUUACACAAUAUACCUGUGAAUAUGACAUACCUUCCUAUUUUUGGUACACACUACAUCUAUGUGUUAACCUUGUUCUUACAUGAAACUACCUCUCUUUUGUAUCCUACAUCAAUCACUUACGAUGAGCCACCUUUAUUCGUGGCAUAUUGCAUAUUAUUUCUAGCAUGUUGCCAUGUAUUGCUUCUAAUUUGGUCAAAUACAUUUGUAGGGCACCCUUUUAAUUUGGCAGAGUGAUAUUGGUUUCAUCUUUCAUAUGGUUUCUAGCUUGCAUUGAUUCUAACAAGUUCAAGCACCUUGUGCUUAGUUUACACUUUAUACAUCAUGCAUGUCAAAAUGUCACGCCGUCCUGUUUUUCAUACAUAUUCCAUCCUCCUAUCAUGCGGCUGCCUUACAUGAAAGUAGUGUUCGUCAGUAUAAUGCAUCAAUGAGUUCUGAAGAGAAAAUUUUAUUCCUUUUUCUUGUGGGUUUGACUUGACAAGGCAAAAUCAAGAAAGAGGUAGGAAAAGAGUAAGGAAGGCGAUGAUGGUGGUCCUCUGCAGCAACGUAAACGGAGCAUCUGUACCGAUUCUCCUUGUACUGAUAGUGCAUUACAAGGUCCAAGUCUCCGCUCCCCUACUCCACCAUCCAAGGUGCUUGCUCUAACUUGGCAGUGUGAUAUCUGGUUGCAUGUUGCAUAUGGUGUCUAGCUUGUAUUGCUCCUAAUUAGUGUAAACUGCAUCUGCUUAGCUUACACAUGAUACGUGUGAAUAUGACACGCUUUCCUGUUUUUGGUACAUACUAUAUCUGUCUAUCACACUAUGUUCUUACAUGAAACUACUCUCUUCUGUAUCCUGCAUCAGUCACUUAUGAUGGAACACCUUUAAGUUGGCAGUGUGAUAUUGGUUUGCGUCUUGAAUAUGAUUUCUAGCAUGUAUUGCUUCUAGUUUGAUGAACGCCACCUAUGACGAGACAGUUUUAACUUGGCAGAGUGAUAUUGAUUGCACCUUUCAAAUGGUGUCUAGUUUGCAGUGCUUCUAAUUUGUUGAAGUGCCUUCUGCUUAGUUACCACAUCAUAGGUGUGAAUAUGUCAAGCCGUCCAUUUUUCGUACAUAUUACAUCCUCGUAUCAUGACUUUGCCUUUCAUCAGAGUAGUGUUCGUCAGUAUCAUGCAUCAAUGAGUUCUGAAGAGCGAAUCUUAUUCCUUUUUCUUGUGGGUUUGACUUGACAAUGCAAAAUCAAGAAAGAGGAAGGAAAAGAGUAAGCAAGGCGAUGAUGGUGGUCCUCUGCAGUAACGUAAACAGGAGCAUCUGUACCGAUUCUCCUUGUACUGAUAGUGCAUUACAACGUCCAAGUCUCCGCUCCCCUACUCCACCAUCCAAGGUGCUUGCUCUAACUUGGUAGUGUGAUAUCUGGUUGAAUGUUGCAUAUGGUGUCUAGCUUGUAUUGCUCCUAAUUGGUGUAAACUGCAUCUGCUUAGCUUACACAUGAUACGUGUGAAUAUGACACGCUCUCCUGUUUUUGGUACAUACUAUAUCUGUCUAUCACAGCAUGUUCUUACAUGAAACUACUCUUCUUGUGUAUCCUGCAUCAGUCACUUAUGAUGGAACACCUUUAAGUUGGCAGUGUGAUAUUGGUUUGCGUCUUGAAUAUGAUUUCUAGCAUGUAUUGCUUCUAGUUUGAUGAACGCCACCUAUGACGAGACAGUUUUAACAUGGCAGAGUGAUAUUGAUUGCACCUUUCAUAUGGUGUCUAGUUUGCAGUGCUUCUAAUUUGUUGAAGUGCCUUCUGCUUAGUUACCACAUCAUAGGUGUGAAUAUGUCAAGCCGUCCAUUUUUUCGUACAUAUUCCAUCCUCGUAUCAUGACUUUGCCUUUCAUCAGAGUAGUGUUCGUUAGUAUCAUGCAUGAAUGAGUUCUGAAGAGCGAAUUAUAUUCUUUUUUCUUGUCGGUUUGACCUCACAAUGCAAAAUCAAUAAAGCUGAAGGAAAUUGGCAAGGCAUUGGAUGAUGGUGGUCCUUCCGAGCAACUGAAACGAAGGCUCUCUACAGAUUCUACUUCGCCAUCCUCCCAACAAGACAACGCAAGGCUAGACAGUCAACGUAGCUGUGUAGAUGAUGAGCACAUCUCCCUUACUCCACCAUCAUAGGUGCUUGCUCUAACCUGGCACUAUUAUAUGUGGUUGCAUGUUGCGUAUGAUGUCUAGCUUGUAUUGCUUCUAACUUUGUUGAAUUGCAUCUGCUUACUUUACACAUAAUGCAUGUGAAUAUGACAUGUGUUCCUAUUUCUAGAACAUGCGUGUAGAUGAUGAGCACAUCUCCCCUACUCCACCAUCACAGGUGCUUGCUCUAACUUGGCACUAUUAUAUGUGGUUGCAUGUUGCGUAUGAUGUCUAGCUUGUAUUGCUUCUAACUUUGUUGAAUUGCAUCUGCUUACUUUACACAUAAUGCCUGUGAAUAUGACACGUGUUCCUGUUUCUAGAACAAACAUGUACAUGAUGAGCACAUCUCCCCUACUAUACCAUCACUUUUAUUGCAGUUUGAUAGUGGUUGAUAGUUAUUGCAGUUUGAUAGUGGUUGCAUCUUGCAUUGAUUUCUAUGUUGUACUGCUUCUAAUUUUUUGAAUUGCCACUUAUGCCACGACACUUUUAACUUGGCAGCGUAAUAUUGGUUGCCUCUUUCAUAUGAUGUCUAGCUUGCAUUACUUCUAUUUUGUUGAAAAUCCUUCUGCUUAGUUUACACAUCUUAGCUGUGAAUAUGUCAUGCCGUCCUGUUUUUCUUACAUAUUCCAUCCUCAUACGGUUGUCUUACAUCAAAGUAUUGCUUGUCUGUAUCAUGCAUCAAUGAGUUCUGAAGAGCGAUUUUAUUCUUUUGUGUUGUGGGUACUGCUUGACAUGGCAAAGUCAAAAAAGAGCAAGGAAAAUAAUAUAGUAGGGAGUGGUGUUACUCGUCGGGUGAAACAGAAAAGGAUCUGCCAUCCAGAUUCUGCAGGUAGUUAUAGUGCAGUAGAAGGUCCAAGUCCACCGGCUAAAUCUACAAACACAGUAUCACCUGCUCCACCUGCUGCAGCAUCCGCUUCAACUGUACCAGCAUCUCAACGAGUUACUCGUUCGUUUGCUCCGGAACUGGCCAGUUCCCAAGCUGCCAUCACACCUAACACUACUUCCGAAGCACUGCUGACAUAACAUGACUUGGCAAGAUCAGAUGAACCUCAUGAGCAUCAACACCAAGACGGUACCUGACCAAGUCAUGUUGCAGUUGCAUGCUCCUUUAUAUGUACUCUCACAGUUUGAUGUACACUAACACUUUCCAUAUUCGUUGUUGAACUAGCACCACGACGCAAGCGGAAACAGACAUCAGGGAUAAUGCUUAACAUAUUAACAAAAUCUAAAGGAGUAAGAAUGGAGAUCCAUUUUGAGGCAGGUUUAAAAAGGCCUCGUGAUGCUACAGAGUCAGCCAAGUUAGUAUCAGAGGCAGCCGUUGCCGUUAGGUGUCAUGCACGUAUCCUCCCAACGUGGAUCCAGUACAGGAAUGAGAAAGACAAUACCCAGUUUAACACCUACCUUGACCAUUUAUCCGUAAGUAAUGUUAUUCAUCGCAAUUAGUAAUAUUGUCUUGCUUUGUCCCAUACUUUCUAGCUUCGUCCUAAUAAGACUGGCAUUCUUUUUUCAACAUAUGAGGUUCAAGUUGGAUCCGAAAGAUGAUGCAACUAAACAAGCAUGCACUCAUGUUUUUCAGUCUGCUCUGCGACAGUAUCGGUACCACCUUAGAAAAUCUCACUUCGAAGGCAAGGCUAACAAUGAAAUCGCCCAAACAUCUCCAGUGGAAUAUAUUACAAAUGAAGACUGGACAGCCCUCGUUAAACACUAGUCUGAUCCAAAGUAUCAGGUAGGCUAUAUGUAUUUCAUCAGACCACAUAUUGAACUUGUAUUUAUGUAUGUGCCUUACAAGUGUAUCUUCUUCUAGGCUAACUGUUUGAAGAACAAGACCAACCAUUCUAAAGUGAAAUUCCAACAGACAACAGGAUCUCGUAGCUAUAUUGCACACUGCGAGGCUCUUGUAAAUAGCUGCUACUUCCUUCUUUUUUCUGUGCCAUAUUAUCAUAUCUAUAUUGACUUGUUCCAAAUACAAAGGAAAGCCUGUGCGGACCAAAAAGAACCUGAACCGAAUGCAGUGCAAAUCUUCAAGGAUUGCCACACCAGUAAGAAGAAGGGCAUGAGCACACCAGUUCAAUCCGAUGUUGUAAGUCCUUACUCCUCCUGACUUUGAACUAAUUGGUACUGUGAUGUGUUCAUUUAACUACUUGGUUUGCAGCCAAUGUCAGUUACUCUGUUCACUUUUAUACACAGUUGACUUAACAUAUCAUUUCACCUUACAUGGUUUAAAAGAGAUGAAGGAUAUUCUUUUGUUCUUGAUCUGUAUUCUAGAUGUUAUGUUCACGUGCGCACACAAUUAUAAAAUAGCAUGUUUGUUUUACAUCUGUUUGCCCAUGAUAUGAAUGAAGUCAUACUAUGUUCAUCCUACUUUAAACCAUGUCUCUUUAUCCUUAGAUGUCAACAAAUGUGAGGAAAUAGACAAUACAGUAGGCAUGCUACAUGGACAUAUAUUCCGAAAGUGAUUUUAUUAUGUAGUUGGCACUACAAUACAUGCUAAUGUAUUACAGUAGUUCACCAAAAUAAUUUAUGUAUAAAUGUGUAACCUACUUUGUUUGUUUUUGUCUCAUUAGUAACUUAUCUGGUACACUAAUCUACAAGUUCAAACUUUCAAGAAGCUAUGGAACAAAUGAUGGAAUAACCAAAACCACUUGAAGGUGACGAGGCUACCAUAGGCACAAUGUCACCUCUUGCUGCAGUGCGUCAGUAUCUCUCCACUAAUUCUGGGUUGGUUGUCAAGGUAACCUCGUCCAAAUCGCCUACUGAACAAAAUCUUCCGUCUAGACAGAGUGAUAUAUCUGUGCUCCAGACACAAGUCCAAUCCCUAAUGGACGUCGUUUUGGAAACAAGAAUAGUGGUUCACAGAUGUCGUCAAGAUAUGAAUGGUUUUGAAACCAGACUAUCAGACAUUCGCUUCGUUGUUCAAGAGCAAUGGCGGAAAAAGGUGAAGAUCAUGCUGCUCCAUCAGAUUCUACAGCCUGAAACAUUAGCACUUAGGUCAAAUGAUCUGUGCUUCUAUACAUCUGAUGGUGCUUUUAUCUGCAAGGACUAUAAACUUUAUGCCAACAGGCCUUUUGUUGUAUGGUUGGAAUUUAUUUUGUUGUGAUACAGCAUUUAUGAUGCUGCCAAAGGCUGCAAUAAUUAUGACGCUAUUUUUGUAUAGUGUAGGUUUAUCUUAGUAACGUAUUCAGCUGAAAGCUUUGUAGGAGCCCAACAUGCCAACAUUCGUCGGGCCCAUUCCAAUUGGGCUAAAACGAUUAUGGGCCGAAAUUUGCAUGUAGCCCACUAAAAAUAUCUGGGCCUAAAUCAGCAUAAGAUUUCAUAUUUUUCCAGUAGGCCAGUGCCCAUAGUGGGCCUUUAACAGGCCUAAACAUAAUUUGGGCCCUCAAUAACAAUAGGCCGUUUACAGGUGUAAAUAUCUCGAGCCCAUAAAAACAUGGGCCUUUAAAAGACCGAAAGUGAGAUUGGGCCCUGAUUGUGCCAAAUAACCCACUGGUCUUAGCUGGCCAAAAUGGUGGCCCAUUUACGAUGCGGAUCUUUCACAGGCCGAAAUUCAGACGGGUCGUAAAUGCGUCGACCUAAUACACGGGCCUUUAACAGGCCGGAAGUUCGGCCGGGCUAGAUUAUCGUCAUUUUUAUAUGGGCCGUUAAUGGGCCCAAUGUGACGUUGGGCCACAUAUGGCCCAUGGAUUUCGUCCGAUGUUAAUAGGCCGAAAAUCACAACAGGCCGAAAGUGGCCCAAAUCUAUAGUGGGCCUCUAACAGGCCGAAUGUCAGACAUGGCCGAAUAUGACCCAAAUCCUUCACGGCCGUUUAUGGGCCGCAAGUUUCAAUGGCCUGUAAAUGGGCCCAAAUGAAGCAGGACCUUUAACAGGUCGGAAAUACAUCGGGCUGUAAUUCGGCCCAUAUACUUAGUGGAUUGUUAACGGGCCAGAAGUGACCAUGGGCCGCGAUGAUGACAAGUUUAGGACAGGCCGUUGACGGGCUGAUUUGACACUAGCCGUAUGGGCCUUAACUGAGAAUGUUGGGCCUUUAGCUGGGCCGGCCCAUUAUGGUCUGCAAAAUCUUGUGGGCCUUUAGCAGGGCUGGCCCAUUGUCGUCCGCUAAAUCUUGUGGGCCUUUAGCUGGGCCGGCCCAUUAUGGUCUGCAAAAUCUUGUGGGCCUUUAGCUGUGCCGGCCCAUUAUGGUCCGCUAAAUCUUGUGGGCCUUUAGUUGGGCCGGCCCAUUUAAACUUUAUGGGCCACUUUUGGGCCCGUCCACAUGUCAACAGAUCAUAGGCCAUCUCGACCAUUGGAUGAGUGACACCUGUGCCAACGCGUGGUUCCGUCGGCCAAUGAGAAUUUUACACGCGGAAAAUCGGCAUUGGUCGUGGCUGUUAGCGGGUUAUCGGAUCCAAAACCGGACCCGAUAGCUUAAUGACGUCCCGUUACGGUGGAUGCCACGUGUCAGUCACCCUUGACGAAAGCACUUCUAUGACGCGCGAUUUAUCAUCAUGGAAGUGGACACUUCCGUGAUGAUAAUUUUGGUAAUGUCAUGGAACACUUCUACGACAGCACAGGUAUGACUAUCUUCAAUCUGUCAUAAAUUUGUCAUGGAUGUACAUGCAUGACAGAAAACGUGACCUACUGUGACAAACGCGUAUCAUCACGGAAGUGUAUUUUUUUGUAGUGUAGAUGAUGGGUUGCUAAUGUGACAGAAGCUUAAACCCUAGUUUAUACGCUAUUCCGUAAGGGACCGAUUGGAUCCAAAAGUUUAAUGCUAUGGUUAGAAUUUAUUAUUAAUACUUUUCUCGUAGUUGCGGAUGCUUGCGAGGGGGUUAAUCAUAAAUAGGAGGUUUGUUCAAAUAAGAACAGCACCUAAGCACCGGUCCACCCACAUAUCAAAUUAUCAAAGUGGUGAACAUAAAUCGAAUCAACAUGAUGAAAGUGACUAGAUAAAAUUCCCGUGUACCCUCAAAAACGCUUUGCUUAUUAUAAGAGACCGUUUUGGCAUGUCCUUUGCCUCAAAAGGAUUGGGCAACCUUGCUGCACUAUUGUUACUGUUACCUUUACUUGCUGGUUACAAAGUAUCUCGCUAUCAAACUACUCUACUACUUACAAUUUCAGCACUUGCAUACAUUACCUUGCUGAAAACCACUUGUCAUUUCCUUCUGCUCCUCGUUGGGUUCGACACUCUUACUUAUCGAAAAGGCUAAAAAUUGAUCCCAUAUACUUGUGGGUCACCAGCUGCUCCUCCCUGCUCCCGCAGCUCCCUGGACAAAUCGCAUGGCGUCCGGCCGCGCGCACCUCUCCAAGCUUUCCCGCCACAAGGCCUCCUGCCGCUCCUCUGCUCCCGAGCGCCGGGUUCGGCCGCCCCCAACCUUGGCCCCGCGCGCCUGCGCUCUCCNNNNNNNNNNNNNNNNNNNNNNNNNNNNNNNNNNNNNNNNNNNNNNNNNNNNNNNNNNNNNNNNNNNNNNNNNNNNNNNNNNNNNNNNNNNNNNNNNNNNNNNNNNNNNNNNNNNNNNNNNNNNNNNNNNNNNNNNNNNNNNNNNNNNNNNNNNNNNNNNNNNNNNNNNNNNNNNNNNNNNNNNNNNNNNNNNNNNNNNNNNNNNNNNNNNNNNNNNNNNNNNNNNNNNNNNNNNNNNNNNNNNNNNNNNNNNNNNNNNNNNNNNNNNNNNNNNNNNNNNNNNNNNNNNNNNNNNNNNNNNNNNNNNNNNNNNNNNNNNNNNNNNNNNNNNNNNNNNNNNNNNNNNNNNNNNNNNNNNNNNNNNNNNNNNNNNNNNNNNNNNNNNNNNNNNNNNNNNNNNNNNNNNNNNNNNNNNNNNNNNNNNNNNNNNNNNNNNNNNNNNNNNNNNNNNNNNNNNNNNNNNNNNNNNNNNNNNNNNNNNNNNNNNNNNNNNNNNNNNNNNNNNNNNNNNNNNNGCGCGUGUGCGCCGCCGCCCGCCGUGCUGGCCCUCCGCUCUGCUGCGUCGUCCCAGCACGCCUCUCCCUCUGCAGCUCCCGGCCAGCUUGCCCCAGCCGCGUGCCACCCAACUCGCUGCGCGCCUGCUUCUCCAGCCGGCCACUGUCAUGCCCGCCGCCGGUUCGCCGCCAGCGUCGGCUGUAGCCUUCCGCCUCCAGCCCGUCCGCAUCGGCCUAGCCUCACGCCCCCGGCCUGCUCCCUCCUUGGCCGCCUCCCCUAGCCGGUUCUACCUCCGCGUUGGUUUAGCAUCACCACACCUAGCCUCCCGCAUAGCCCCGUGCCGGCUCCGCUCUGCCCCCGCACCCGACCGCCGGCUACAGCGCCCGGUCUACCCGGCGCCCGUCGCAUGCACCGUCUGCGCUCGCCUCCCGCGCAAUCGGCCAUCCCCACGGCCGGCCUGCCGCGACCCCGCCUCCGCGACUCAGCCCUGCCCUCGCCUGGGCGCCUCGCGCGCGCCUCGCACCUGCUCCGCUCCGCCUGGCGGCCUCCCGCGCCGCUCCUCCGGUUUCCCGAGUUGCCGCCCCCGCGUUCGGCCUCCUCGCAUGCUGGCCCGGCCGGCUCCUUCCCCGUGCGCCCGCCGGGUCACUGCCGCAGCCCUUCGCCAUCUUCGCAUAGCCCGUCCGUGCGUCGGCUCCGCUGCCCCGGCCUUCUCUGCCUUUGCCCGCCGCGUGUUCCCCAGCCGCCUCCCGAGUCGCCCCUUGGCCGCCUCCACGCGCCGCCCCCGCCAGGUGCGCCCGUGGCCGCCUGCUCCGCAGCUGGCCACCGGUUCCUUCCCGCCCCCGGCCGCCUGCCGGCUCCUCGCGCGCCGGCUACGCGCUUCCUCGCUGCUCAUAUCCGGCAUGGCCGGAUGCUACAUGAAGAAAGAAAGAAGAAACAGAGGGCCGGCUUGUAAAAAACUGCGUCCAGCUACACACAGCCGGCCAAAGAGAGGAAAAGAAAAAUACGUCCGCCUGCUUCGCCACUCGGACGGCCAGACGUGACCCGGCCUGCCUGCCCGCUUCAACACUGGGCCGGCUGGAGAGCCCGCCCGACUGCUCGUCCGCCUUGAUGCCUGGUCGGUCAGGUUCGACCGGCUGGACCCCCUUCGAGCGCCCGAAGGCUCGAAGGCUACACCCAGUGGGUGUGCCACCGCGCUCCGCAAGCGCCGAGCCCCGCCGGCUGUCUCCGGCAACCUCUGCCUUGUCUGCACGAAAACCAAUGUGUGCUCCUCACCCGCAUAAUUUUGCACCACGCAAACACAGAAAACCGUGAGCGACACUCGGGGACCACCUCCGCCUUUAUUACAGUUGCACUACUGUUCGCCCCGGCGCCAGGCAGUGUUGGCUUGGGGGCUGGCCGCUCGGCCCAAUACGUCCGUUCCCGCAGACGGUUUAGUAACGUAUACGGUACCGAAGGCCCACUCUCAGCCCCAGACCGUCACGCGGCUAUCAGGCAAGCGAGAGCAAAAGCUGGAGGUCACCUCACGCGAAAAACGUCCGAGAGAAGAUGGCUUGGAUGACUCGGUCGUUUCCUUUAUGAGUAUCUGCUCGGUCGAAUAUGCUAGAGUCUGAGUAUUGUGCGCUUCACUCCGCGGCUCACUCUCAGCCAUAGACCAUCACGUGGCUGUCCGGCUAGCGAGAGCACAAGCCAAAGAGCGGAGGGAACAUGAAAAAGAUUGAAGGGGGCUCGGACGAAACCAAGUCGGCACCCUCCGCAUAACACUUGCACUGAUAAAAAGCAAACAUUUGAUAUAUUUGUGCAGACUAAUCUUGUCUUUUGCACGAUCAUUUCCGUGGAGAACCCCCUCCUCGCCCGAAGGCUCGGAGGCUGGUUGCAAGUCCGACGCCGGCUGCAACCGGCAUUUCCGACGCCACCGUCCGCUUCAUCAGCAGCAAGAUCCUCAGCCCAACAUUUCCAAGUUGCCCGGAGGCUACACCCAGUGGAUGCGCUGGCCUGCCCCAACUGGCAGCAAGCCGUGCCGUCUGCAGCCCGCAGUCGGCUGUCAACGACAACAUCAGUCGGUGGACUCUGCGUCCACGCCCGACAGCAUCAGUCAGCGGACCCCGCGUCUGCGCCCGACAGCUUCAGCCGGCGGACCCUGCGUCCGCACCCGGCAGGGACCCACGCCCAUCAGCCGGCGGACCCGCGUCCGCGUCCGGCAGGGCUCCGCGCCCACCGGCCAGCAGACCCCGCGUCCGCGCCUAGCAGGGCCCCGCACCCAUCAGCCGGCAGACUCCGUGUCCGCACCCGGCACCCUCGACGUCGCCGUCGGCUUCAUCAUCAAUAAUAAGACCCUCCGCCAAACUUUUCCAAGUUGCUCGGAUGCUCGGAGGCUAUACCCAGUGGGUGCGCUUGCGCGCACCCACUCGGAAUGUUGCACGCCCGCGGCUGGGUGCAACCGGCACCCCCGACGGCAUCGUAUGCACCAACAACCGCAAAGGCCCUCCACCCAACUAUACCCAGCUGGUGCGCUCGCGCGCCCCCGCCAGAAGCAAGCCGCGCCGGCUGCGGUCCACAGCCGGCCGUCAUCAACAUCUUCUGCUUCAUCGACGUCCGCUAAAAAAACCUCCGCGCAACUUUUCCAUGUUCCCGGAGGCUCGGAGGCUCGGAGGCUACGGUCGGGGGAUGACCCCCGGGUAGGCCCUAGACGGCGAAACAACGCUUCAAAACAUCGGGGCGGCUGACUCCCCUCGGUCCGGCUGCUCCAGACGGCUCCCUGUCCAGCUGCCCCGGCUGGCUCGCCACCCGGCUGCUCCAACCUGCUCCCCGCCCGGAUGCUCCAGCCGGCCUGCUGCGCAGAGUCAACCGCAGCUCCGACCCGACACCGACAAGACGGCUGUACCACGACAUCAUCUACAGUGUACCUUGUCCCCUGGGCAAUGAUUUAUAAAAUGCCCCAGGGGACAAGCAUAGCCUAGCAUGCAAGCUACUCCCAGCUUGAGAUGUAAGCUACUCAUUGUAGCUUACAUCUCAAGCCAUACACACCCAUGCCCAGUACUUAUAUGUAGGGCACCCAUCCAUCCAUCCAUCCAGGGGAUGAACAAGCUCCACCACACCACACUCAUGCGGUCAUACUUGGCCAUUAGAGCAUUCAUGCUCACCCCAGCCACACACAUAUACGAGGUCAGAUGCCCUCGGCACUGAUCUCAGAUACAGCUCCAGGAGCAACUCUGUACUGCUACAUGUAUACUGCAUAUAUAUUCAGACAUGCAGGAGUAGGGAUGUUAUCUCUCCGGAGAGCCCCGAACCUGGGUAAACCGCUGCGUGCUGUUUGCCCAAUCUUGUCCCCGGAUAUUCCACUGUAGCCAUGCUCCACCCACGAUAAUCCACCCCGUGGCAUCUGCCGUGACACAGUGCCCCUUGGCCACUCCCGCGAAAAUAUCACGAUAGUUGGCGCCCACCAUGGGGCGAGCUGCUGCUGGAACCGCAGUCCGGGCGAGACCCUUUUUUCGUCAUCAUCGCCGCAACGUCGCCGUCGUCUCUCUGGCCGCGCUCGAGGGCUCAACAUCAACUCGACCCCGGGGCGUCCGCGCGAGACGGCGCACCUUCGUCGUUGGCCUCGCCAUCUUCGUCACCUCCGCCGUGACGUCGCCGUCGCCUCUCCGGCCGCGCGAGACGGCAUUGUUGGGGAACGCUGUAAUUUCAAAAAAAAAUCCUAGGAUCACGCAAGAUCUAUCUAGGAGAAGCAUAGCAACGAGCGUGGAGAGUGUGUCCACAUACCCUCGUAGACCGAAAGCGGAAGCGUUAUAUCAACGCGGUUGAUGUAGUCGUACGUCUUCAUGAUUCAACCGAUCCUAGCACCGAACGUACGGCACCUCCGUGUUCAGACACGUUCAGCUCGAUGACGUCCCUUGUACUCUUGAUCCAGUUGAGGUCGAGUGAGAGUUCCAUCAGCACGACAGCGUGGCAACAGUGAUGAUGAAGUUACCAGCACAGGGCUUCGCCUAACCACUACGACGAUAUGACCGAGGUGUGGAACUGUGGAGGGGGCCACCGCACACGGCUAAGAGAUUGUUUGUUUUCCUUUGGGGUGCCCCCUUGGCCACGUAUAUAAAGGAGGGAGGAGGAGGAGGCCGGCCUAGGAGGGGCGCGCCUAUAGGGGGAGUCCAACUAGGAUUCCCAAUCCUAGUUGGAGUCCCCUUCCUUUUCCAAGAGGGGGGAGCGGGAAGGAGUAGGAGAGGGAGAAGGAAAGAGAGGGGGGCGCCGCCCCCUCCCUAGUCCAAUUCAGACUUGCCAUGGGGGGGCGCGCCACCACCCCUUGAGGCCCUUCUCUCCUUUCCCGUAUGGCCCAUUAAGGCCCACUACUUUCCCCGGCGAAUUCCCGUAACUCUCCAGUACUCCGAAAAAUACCCGAAUCACUCAAAACCUUUCUAAUGUCCGAAUAUAGCCUUCCAAUAUAUCAAUUUUUACCUCUCGACCAUUUCGAGACUCCUCGUCAUGUCCGUGAUCUCAUCCGGGACUCCGAACAAACUUCGGUCAUCAAAUCACAUAACUCAUAAUAUAAAUCGUCAUCGAACAUUAAGCGUGCGGACCGUACGGGUUCGAGAACUAUGUAGACAUGACCGAGACACAUCUCCGGUCAAUAACCAAUAGCGGAACCUGGAUGCUCAUAUUGGCUCCUACAUAUUCUACGAAGAUCUUUAUCGGUGAAACCGCAUAACAGCAUACGUUGUUCCCUUUGUCAUCGGUAUGUUACUUGCCCAAGAUUCGAUCGUCUGUAUCAUCAUACCUAGUUCAAUCUCGUUACCGACAAGUCUCUUUACUCGUUCCAUAAUACUUCAUCCCGUAACUAACUCAUUAGUCACAUUGCUUGCAAGGCUUAUAGUGAUGAGCAUUAUCGAGAGGGCCCAGAGAUACCUCUCUGAAACUCGAGUGACAAAUCCUAAUCUCGAUCUAUGCCAACCCAACAAACACCUUCGGAGACACCUGUAGAGCAUCUUUAUAGUCACCCAGUUAUGUUGUGACGUUUGAUAUCACACAAAGUGUUCUUCCGGUAUUUGGGAGUUGCAUAAUCUCAUAGUCUGAGGAACAUGUAUAAGUCAUGAAGAAAGCAGUAGCAAUGAAACUGUAACGAUCAUAAUGCUAAGCUAAUGAAUGGGUCUUGUCCAUCACAUCAUUCUCCUAAUGAUGUGAUCCCGUUCAUCAAAUGACAACACAUGUGUAUGGUUAGGAAACAUAACCAUCUUUGGUAAACGAGCUAGUCAAGUAGAGGCAUACUAGGGACACUUAUGUUUUGUCUAUGUAUUCACACAUGUACUAAGUUUCCGGUUAAUACAAUUCUAGCAUGAAUAAUAAACAUUUAUCAUGAAAUAAGGAAAUAAAUAAUAACUUUAUAUUGCCUCUAGGGCAUAUUUCCUUCAGUAUCCCACUUGCACUAGAGUCAAUAAUCUAGAUCACAUCGCCAUGUGAUUUAACACCAAUAGUUCACAUCAUUAUGUGAUUAACACCCACAGUUCACAUCGCCAUGUGACCAACACUCAAAGGGUUUACUAGAGUCAAUAAUCUAGUUCACAUCAUUUAUGUGAUUAACACCCAAUAGUAAUAAGGUGUGAUCAUGUUUUGCGUGUGAGAGAAGUUUUAGUCUAUGGGUCUGCCACAUUCAGAUCCGUAAGUAUUUUGCAAAUUUUUAUGUCUACAAUGCUCUGCACAGAGCUACUCUAGCUAAUUGCUCCCACUGUCAAUAUGUAUCCAGAUUGAGACGCAAAGUCAUCUGGAUCGGUGUAAAAGCUUGCAUCGACGUAACUCUUUACGACGAACUCUUUGUUACCUCCAUAACCGAGAAAUAUUUCCUUAGUCUUCUAAGGAUAAUUUUGACCAUUGUCCAGUGAUCUACUCCUAGACCACUAUUGUACUCCCUUGCUAAACUCAUAGCAAGGUAUACAAUAGGUCUGGCACACAGGAUGACAUACUUUAUAGAACCUAUGGCAGAGGCAUAGGGAAUGCCUUUCAUUCUCUCUCUAUCUUCUGCCGUGGUCAGGUUUUGAGUCUUACUCAACUUCACACCUUGUAACACAGGCAAGAACUCUUUCUUUGACUGAUCCAUUUUGAACUUUCUUCAAAAACUUUAUCAAGGUAUGUGCUUUGUGAAAGUCCUAUUAAGCGUCUCGAUCUAUCCCUAUAGAUCUUAAUGCUUAAUAUGUAAGCAGCUUCACCGAGGUUUUUCAUUUAAAAAACUCCUUUCAAAUACUCCUUUAUGCUUUCCAGAAAAUUCUACAUCAUUUACAAUCAACAAUAUGUCAUUCACAUAUACUUAUCAGAAAGGUUGUAGUGCUCCCACUCACUUUCUUGUAAAUACAGGUGCAACCUCCCUAGUUCUGGUAUGACCUAGACUAGCUAGUCAUGUGAGCAUCAUGUUUAAAUUUCAUUUAAAUUUGAAAUGGGGAUUUGUGAAACCCUCGGAAAUCAUUUCUGGAAUUAACCCAGAUAAAAAUUGCUCCAAAAAGGUCCAAGAAAUGUUCAUGAUGCUCAACCAAUAUUUUUAUGAGCUCAUAAAUAUUUAUUUUGGCCAUUUGGAAUCAAUGCAUAAUUAUUUGCUUUGGAUAUAUAUAAAUGAAAUAUUUAUUUAUAUAUGUCCAAUAAAUUCUGAUUUUUAUGUGAGGGGCUCUGGAAUAUUUCAACUAGCUCCUACAAUAAAUUUCAGAAGAAAAUAAAUUGAUUUAGUAUUUUACUAAAUCAGAAAACAAAUCACAGAAAUAGAAAAGAAAAAAAAAGAAAAACCUUACCUGGGCUAACCUGCGGCCUAGCACUAUGCCGGCCCAGCUGUGCUGGCCCAGCCCACUGGCCACCGCACCGUCCUCCACCUCGCGCCAGUAGGCGAGGCGUGUGCCCGGCGCGCGCUCCGCGCGCCACGCCACCUGCCUGCCUGUCCUCCCCCUCGUCGCCUGGAUGCCCCGCGCGACGCCACGCGCCGCCCCGCACCUCUCUCUCUCUCCCAUGGCCUCCCCUCCUCUCCCUCGCUCUCUCUCACCGCGCCUGAGCGCUGCCGUCGCCGUCGCACGCCGUUGCCGCGCCCACCGCCACGGCCUCGCCUCCCCGACAAGUCUAACAGCUCCGCGCCGUCUUCCUCAUCCUCGACGCCAAGCCACGUGCCUCGGGAGGCCCUGGAGCGCCGCCAUCGUCUUCGUCUCCGGCCACCCGAGAUCGCCGUCGCCGUUCCGCUCGCGUUCGACCCUCCCCGAGCUCGCUGACGACGUCUACGGUCUCCCCGUGAGCUCUACUUCGUUUCCCCUCCUCCCCGUGCUCGUUUGCCCCGCCUAGCUAGCUCAGCUGCCGCGCCCGAGACCUCCUCGCCGCCGGCCAUGGCGCCAGGGUUGCCAGAGCCCAAGCCAGCCGCUCCCGCGCGCGUCACCGUGCUCCUGGUGACACCAGGAGGCCGUAGAGGCCCUCCGCAGCCCCUGCCGUGCACCGCAAAGCUGCACCCACAGGCCACCAAACUCCGGCCGCCGCCCCGAGCUCCGCUCCGGCGAGCUCCGGCACCCCCGCAGCCUCCCGUUAGCUCCAAACGAGGCGGACGAGCUCCAGCUCCUCGUCCGUGGUCUCCGCCGCCUAAAUGGUCGCCAGAGGGCGAUUCCCGCGCCCCUCCGCCGCGUUCGGCCUUGCCGGCGACUAAACGCCGGCGGGUUGACUGGGUUGGACCCCCCCAGUGGACCAAAUUUGACGACCCACGGUCAAUGACAUGUGGGGCCCGGCCCUAAUUAACUAUCUUAACUAACUAUGACACGGAUGUGUGGACCCCACACGUCAGAUUUGACCUGGACAGCCACGUUGACUCGCUGACGUAGUGAUGACGUCAUGCUGAUGCAGUUAUUCAUUUCCUGGAUUUUAUUUAGUGAGGAAAUUCCAGAAAAUGAUUUAAACUUUAAAAAUUCAUAGAAAUUCAACCGUGGCUCAGAUUGAAAUAACUUAUAUAUGAAAAAUGAUCAGAAAAAUUCAAUCUAUCCAUCUGUACCAUUUUCAUGCAUGACAAACCAACCUAUACAUGUUGUAUAUAUGAAAAAACACUUAUGGCAUUUAAAGGGACUUAAAUUCGAGUUGCAUUUGAACCUUUGGUUCAAAUGGACCUCUUCCAAGUUGAAUGCUAAAUGCAUUAGCUCAAAACACAUCACAUAUUCAUGCCAUAUUCAUGCAUCAUAUUGUUGCAUAUGCUUGUGUUUGAUUGUCGACACCGUUCCUUCUCGAUAGGUUCUGCUCCGGAGAGUGCUCCAGAGUACCUGUCUGUGGAGCAGUGCCCCCCUGUUGAUCUACCAGGCAAGCAAACCCCCUUGUUCAUUUCGAUACAAUCCCACUCUCUCGCUCCUGCUCUCGUUUAUUUCAUUAGAACAACAACAAUUCAACUGCUACUUUAUGCUGCGGCAGUUGAACCCAUUCCUCUGCAUGACCUUUCAUUGCCAUAAUAAAUAGUUAAAACCCACUAGCAUGUGUAGGAGUUGAUUGAGCCAUGUUGUGUUCCUACCAUGCCAUGCCUGCUAUUGCUUAGAGUUGUGUCAGGUCUGAUUCAUCGAGAAUGAAUUGGAGUGUUACGAUAUGUUCUGGUGCUCAGAGUUAAGCGUGUGAACACGAUUUGGUAAAGGUAGCGGUGAGGGGCCAUGUAGGAGUACAUGGUGGGUUGUCUCACUGGAACCGUCCUUAAGCACUGAGUUCUGUGUAUGUUGUCCAAUGACUAGUUACUACCACACAUUGGGCUCCGGGCGCUCCAAGCUCUCUCGACUUAUUAACCAACUUGAUCUAUGUCCAGGAGUUGCAAAUAGUUUCUAGUGUUUGUAGGUAGUGGUAGUAGUCUACCAAGUGGCACCCGGCCAGGUGGGCUUGGGACAGACUAGGCACAGUGGCACGGUGUACCAAGUGGCACCCGGAUGGUGGGCUUGGGAACCCUGCUCACAUCGUUUGGGGUCGUGAGCGACACCCCGGCCGGAUCUCCUUGCAGAUGGAACCCGAAUAGGCGAUAAACCUGGAUGAGAGAAUUGUGUGGUUAGUCAGGUCGUGGCCGACACCCUCGCUGGGCUUCCGCUUGAAGGUUGCCGAGUACACGUCGUGUAAACGGCGAUAAGUGGUGAGAGCGUGUGUGAAGAAGUACACCCUUGCAGGGUUUUCAUGAUCUAUUCGAAUAGCCGGGUCCGCGGUUAUGGACUUCUUGGAUGCUUACGUGGUACAUAGACAACUUGAAGUUUACUCUAAAAUGCUCAAGAUAAGUGUGAGUGCUAUGGAUGGCUUCUCGUAGUGAGACGGGAAUGAAUCCAUAGUGGUGUAUUGAGGUGGUGAUUAGUGGACUCGUGUGCGCUUUCUUACCUCAAAGAAGUUACUCGUAGUCGUAGAAUAGGUUAGCCACUGAGUCAAAGCUGGCUUGCUGCAACUGAACCCCACAUUGCCUCCUUGAUACUAAUGCAUGUAUGAUAGGAUCUCAUGUAAGUCUUGCUGAGUACCUUUGUACUCACGUUGCUUAAUUUAUGUUUUUGCAUAUGAGACUUCUCUCUCAGUAGUAGUUCUGCAUGGACUUCGACGACUAGCUUGUUACCUCAGCUACGGUCUUGUACCCUUGGGAGGGUCUUGUAGAUAGUCAGGCUUCUCAGGUUUUUCUUUUGUAGUUGUCUGUACUCAGACAUGUAAUGCUUCUGUUGCUUGUAUGCUCUGAAUGACGGGUCAUGUGACCCCUGCUUGUAAUACUGCUAUGUGGCUCUUCUGGGCCUUUAUCUAUAUGAGUUUGCGUUAUGUUGUGAUGCCAUGUUGUACAGCACAUACUUGCAUGUUAUGCGUACGUGUAACGUGUAUUGCUAUGUGUGGGAUCCGACAACCUAGUUGUCUAUCCUUGGUAGCCUCUCUUAUGGGGAAAUGUAGUCUAGUGCUUCCACCGAGCCAUGGUAGUCCGCUACAGCCCGGUUUACCGUAGUCCUGCUAGCCCAGCACUACUGCUCCGGAACACUUAGACUGGCCGGCAUGUGAUUCACUUCGUUCCUGUGUCUGUCCCUUCGGGGAAAUGUCACGCGGUGACAUCCGGAGUCCUGCCUAGCCUGCUACAGCCCGGGUUCCCGGAGUCCUGUUAGCCCAGUUGCUAUAGCCCGGAUUCACACGCUGCUAACCGACAUGCUCGAUGUUGUUUCAUGUAUGCCUGUCCCCAUAAGUUAGUGCCACUUUGGGUUCACGACUAGCCAUGUCAUCCCGGGUUCUCUUUCAUAUGGAUGCUAGCGACACUAUCAUAUACGUGAGCCAAAAGGCGCAAACGGUCCCGGGCCAUGGUAAGGCGACACCCGUGGGAAUACCGUGCGUGAGGCCGCAAAGUGAUAUGAGGUGUUACAUGCUAGAUUGGUGUGACUUAGAAUUGGGGUCCCGACAGCUUUGGUAUUAGAGCCUAACAGCCUGUAGGAUUUCCAAGCUAACCUGGUCGAAGUUGAGUCUAGAAAUUCUUUAGUUAUGUAAGGGAAUUGAUUGUGGAAGGGAAUGUAAGGCUCUUUUUACUCCUUUUACCUCAUGCCCUUCUGAUCUGAGUCAUCCUAUCUUUCCUACGGGGUUAAGGAACUAGGCUUCCUCUUCUGUCUAUCAGGAUCACGUGUUACUACUCCGUAGUCUCUUAGGAUUGGUUGAUCAGAGUCAUAUCCCAGUUCGAGUACCUCCGGUGUAGCCCGUUUAGUAAUAUCUCAGAACCUUGAGUGAUGAUGUUGAGUAUGGUGCUACCCCGUCUUUUGCAGAAUGUCUCAUUUUGAGCAUUUUACUGCCGUUAUGCUGCCGGAAUUGUCCUAGGAGUUUGAGAGAUACUAAAUUUCCUUGUGCUACAUGUUGCAUCCUAUAGUUGUUGUUGACCUAGUCCUUGGUUCCGCUUCUCAGGAUGUCGUCAGUUAACCGAAGUUCUGUUGCUCGUUGCCUGAACCACGGAGGUGGUAGGGAUGAGGAGGAUCCUCCUGACCAAACUUCGUUGGCAGAGUUCAUGUUAGAAAUUGAGAGGAACAAGCGUGAGACUAACCGCUUGUUGGCACGGAUCGAGGAGAACACCGCCCAUCAUCGUAAUGAGUUGGUUUCCAUCACCGACUUCAUUGGCCUGAACCCACCCACCUUCCAUCAUUCCAUUGAGCCACUUGAUGCAGAUGACUGGCUCCGUAGUAUCACUCACAAGCUCCGUUCCGCGAACGUGGCUGAAGGAGACAAGAUCACCUAUGCUACAUAUCACCUGGAAGGUCCUGCUAGUUUUUGGUGGCAAAACUAUGAGGCUAUGCUUCCAGCUGGUCAGAUUCCUACCUGGAGAGAUUUCACUGAGGCUUUUCGCGAACAUCACAUUCCUCAAGCCCUCAUCGAUCGCAAGAGAGAAGAGUUAUGUAGUUUCACCCAGAGUAAGAUGGAUGUUGAUGCUUACAACAGAGAGUUUGAGAACCUCGCCCGCUAUGCUACAGAAGAAGUGUCCACAGAUGCCAAGAAGCAGGCUAGGUUCCGGAAGGGUCUCAACCCCAAGUUGCAUCGUGAUCUCCACCUGCAUCACUGUGAUACAUUCCAGGCCCUUGUGAACAAGGCCAUUAAUGCAGAGAUAGCUCAGCUCACUUACGAGGAGUCUCAUAAACACACUCGUGAUUUGAGUCCUUCCUCCGGUUCUAGUCCUCAGAAGCGCCGGAUUUGGAUUCUGAACUCUGCUCUUCCACCCGGAUAUUCACCGAGGCCAUCUUAUGUGGCGCCUCACCCGGUUCAGUCGCAUGCUCCACCCAGGCCUAUUGGUAGACCGCUUGUCGAUGCGGGUCCACGUCCUACUUCAGGGACUUGCUUCACAUGCGGAGGGCCAAGACACUAUGCACGUGACUGCUCUCAGGCCAGUUAUGCUCCACCCCAGCCCGAGAAGUCUGUUGGCCGUGGUAAGCCACCAUGCAAGAUGAUCAGUGUCAAGUCAGCUCCCACUGAACGUGGAUGUGUGCAUCACGUCUCAGCUAAAGACGUUCAUGAUGAUCCGGAUGUCGUUCUUGGUACACUCCUUGUCAACUGUCAUCCAUCUUCGGUUCUAUUUAAUACCGGAGCAUCUCAUUCCUUCAUUUCCGAAAGCUAUGCCAGCUUGCACAACAUAUCAUUUUGUGAUAUGCCUUCUCCACUAGUCAUUCAAACUCCUGGAUCCAAAUGGAAAACUUCUAGUGUAAGCCAUGGUAAUGAAAUCCUCGUUGACAGACUUGUAUUCCUUGCAUCCCUUAUAGCACUCAAGUCUACAGAUAUUAACAUCAUCUUGGGUAUGGACUGGAUGAAAGCUCAUUAUGCCAAGAUUGAUUGUUACACCAGGUCUGUUCAGCUCACACACCCAUCUGGCAAGAUAGUCAGCGUCUCCACCAGAGUUGCAAAGCGUCAACUCUACUCUCUUAAUGCCAGCCCUCUUCCAGACCUUGAAGAUAUCCCGGUAGUCCGUGACUUUCUGGAUGUCUUUCCAGAGGAACUGCCAGGUAUUCCACCUGACAGAGAUGUAGAGUUUGUCAUAGAUCUUAUCCCAGGAACCGCCCCAAUUUCUAGGAGACCUUACAAGAUGGCACCCUUAGAACUAGCUCAGCUUAAGAAACAACUUGAUGAGUCCUUGCAAAAGGGCUUCAUCCGUCCUAGUUCCUCUUCCUGGGCUUGCCCCGUCCUCUUCGUCAAGAAGAAGGAUGGUACGGACCGGAUUGUUGUAGAUUAUCGUCCCGUUAAUUUGGUCACGAUAAAGAACAAGUAUCCGCUCCCCAGGAUCAACGACCUGUAUGAUCAGCUCGCUGGAUCCUCAGUCUUUUCCAAGAUGGAUUUGAGGUUAGGCUACCAUCAAUUCAAGAUUAGAAACGGGGACAUUCCUAAAACGGCUUUUGUCACUCGUUAUGGCCAGUACGAGUACACCGUCAUGUCCUUUGGUCUAACCAAUGCUCCAGCUACAUUCUCCCGCUUGAUGAACUCGAUUUUCAUGGAGUACUUAGAUAAGUUCGUCGUUGUUUACCUCGAUGACAUUCUUAUUUACUUGAAGAACGAGGAAGAGCAUGCCGAACAUCUUAGACUCGUGUUAGAAAAACUCAGAGAGCAUCGCCUUUAUGCCAAGUUCUCCAAGUGCGAAUUUUGGUUGCCAGAAGUGACCUACCUAGGCCACGUGAUCUCUGGUAAGGGCAUUGAUGUCAAUCCCGAGAGAGUUCAUGCCAUUCUUGAUUGGACUCCACCUGAAACCGUUAAGCAAGUUAGAAGUUUCCUUGGUCUAGCCAGUUAUUGUCGCCGCUUCGUUGAAAACUUCUCCAAAGUGGCCAAGCCUCUCACGGAACUUCUCAAGAAGGAUAAAAAGUUUCAGUGGUCCCCACAGUGUGAAUACAGUUUUCAGGAACUAAAAAGAUGCAUGAAUUCUACCCCCAUACUUGUGCCACCGGAUUUCACUAAGGACUUUGUUAUCUAUUGCGACGCCUCACGACAGGGACUAGGUUUCAUUCUUAUGCAGGAUCGUUAUGUGAUUGCCUAUGCAUCCCGACAGUUGCAUCCACAUGAGGAUAAUUAUCCUACACAUGAUUUAGAGCUUGCAGCCGUAGUCUAUGCACUUAAGACAUGGCGACAUUACCUUCUCGGUAAACGUUGCGAGAUUUACACCGAUCACCAGAGUCUCAAGUAUAUCUUCACCCAACCAGAUUUGAACCUUAGGCAAAGACGUUGGUUGGAGUUGAUCUCAGAUUAUGACUUAGGGGUUACCUACACCCCAGGCAAGGGCAAUGUCAUGGCUGAUGCGCUAAGUCGUAAGUCCUAUUGCAACAAUCUCAUGUUACAGCAGGGCCAACCACUUCUCCAUGAGGAAUUUAGUAAGCUUAAUCUUCAUGUUGCUCCUCAAGGAUUCCUUUCUACCUUGGUGGCGAAGCCUACUCUUGUGGAUCAGAUCAUCUCUGCUCAAAAGCACGAUACGGGAAUUUCUCGGAUCAAGAGAAACAUUAACAAGGGAGUUGGUGGUAGUUUCACUAUGGAUGACCGAGGUGUUGUUUUCUUUGAGAAUCGCUUAGUGGUUCCCAAGAAUCAACAUCUUCGGCAACUGAUCCUUAAGGAGGCCCAUGAAUCUCCUCUCACGAUUCAUCCCGGUAGUACUAAGAUGUAUCAGGACCUACGCCAGAGGUUUUGGUGGACUAGGAUGAAGAGAGAAAUUGCUCAGUUCAUUGCUAACUGUGACGUUUGUCGUCGUGUUAAGGCAGAACAUCAAAGACCUGCUGGCACCAUUCAGCCUUUAGCUAUUCCUGAGUGGAAAUGGGAUAAGGUUGGUAUGGACUUCAUCACCGGCUUUCCCAGGACCAAGAAAGGGAAUAAUGCUAUCUUCAUAGUCAUUGAUCGUCUUUCCAAAGUGGCUCACUUCCUACCUGUUCGAGAGAGUAUCACUGCUAGUCAGCUCGCUGACUUAUAUAUCUCUCGAAUAGUUUCACUUCAUGGUGUUCCACUAGAGAUCAAUUCAGACCGUGGUAGUCUCUUCACUUCUCAUUUCUAGGAGAGUUUCCAAACUGCCAUGGGCACCCAUCUUUCCUUCAGUACCGCUUUCCACCCUCAGUCAGGUGGUCAGGUGGAACGGGUCAACCAAAUUCUCGAAGACAUGCUUAGAGCUUGCGUUAUCUCAUUCGGUAUGGAUUGGGAGAAGUGUCUUCCUUUCGCCGAGUUUGCUUAUAACAAUAGCAAUCAAUCCAGUCUCAAGAAAGCUCCUUUCGAGAUUCUGUAUGGAUGAAGAUGUCGAACACCUUUGAACUGGUCAGAAACCGGUGAAAGACAAUUCUUUGGACCAGAUAUGAUCCAGGAGGCAGAAGAGCAAGUUCGCAUCAUUCGUGAGAAUUUGAAAACAGCCCAAUCUCGUCAAAAGAGCCAGUAUGACCGUUGUCAUAAGGAAAUGACUUAUGAGGUUGGCGACAAGGCUUACCUUCGGGUUACUCCUUUAAAGGGUACCCAUCAAUUCGGUAUCAAGGGCAAGUUGGCUCCUCGUUAUAUUGGUCCCUUUCUCAUUCUCGCUAAACGAGGAGAGGUUGCCUACCAGUUGGAACUACCCCCACAUCUUUCUCGCGUACAUGAUGUCUUCCACGUCUCUCAACUCAGGCAUUGUUUCUCGGAUCCCAUCCGUGAAGUGGACCACGAAACGCUUGAUCUCCAAGAUAACCUCACGUAUCAAGAGUACCCUAUUCGUAUUCUUGAUCAAGCAGAGCGUGUCACUCGAUGUCAGAACAUCAAGUUUCUCAAGAUUCAGUGGUCUCAUCAUUCCGAUAGAGAAGCUACUUGGGAGCGAGAAGAUCGUCUUCGACUGGAGUACCCCACCUUCUUUCCAUCGACCCCUGAAUCUCGGGACGAGAUUCUUUCAAGUGGGGGUGAGUUGUAACCUCCCUAGUUCUGGUAUGACCUAGACUAGGUAGUCAUGUGAGCAUCAUGUUUAAAUUUAAUUCAUAUCUGAAAUGGGGAUUUGUGAAACCCUCGGAAAUCAUUUCUGGAAUUAACCCAGAUAAAAAUUGCUCCAAAAAGGUCCAAGAAAAUGUUCAUGAUGCUCUCUGAAAAUAUUGGUCACAGGUAAAAUUCAAACCAAUAUUUUUGUGAGCUCAUAAAUAUUUAUUUUGGCCGUUUGGAAUCAAUGCAUAAUUACUUGCAUUGGAUAUAUAUAAAUGAAAUAUUUAUUUAUAUAAGUCCAAUAAAUUCUGAUUUUUAUGUGAGGGGCUCUGGAAUAUUUCAACUAGCUCCUACAAUAAAUUUCAGAAGAAAAUAAAUUGAUUUAGUAUUUUACUAAAUCAGAAAACAAAUUACAGAAAUAGAAAAGAAAAACAAAAAAAGGAAAAACCUUACCUGGGCUAACCUGCGGCCUGGCACUGUGCCGGCCCAGCUGUGCUGGCCCGGCCCACUGCCCACCGCACCGUCCUAAACCUCGCGCCAGUAGGCGAGGCGUGUAUCCGGCGCGCGCGCGCGCUCCGCGAGCCACGCCACCUGCCUGCCUGUCCUCCCCCUCGUCACCUGGAUGCCCCGCGCGACGCCACGCGCCGCCCCGCACCUCUCUCUCUCUCUCUCCCGUGGCCUCCCCUCCUCUCCCUCGCUCUCUCUCACCGUGCCCGAGCGCUGCCGUCGCCGCCGCACGACAUUGCCGCGCGCACCGCCACGGCCUCACCUCCACGACAAGUCCAACAGCUCUGCGCCGUCUUCCUCGUCCUCGACGCCAAGCCACGUGCCUCAGGAGGCCCUGGAGCGCCGCCAUGACCAUCGUCUUCGUCUCCGGCCACCCGAGAUCGCCGUCGCCGUUCCGCUCGCGUUCGACCCUCCCAGAGCUCGCUGACGAUGUCUACGGUCUCCCCGUGAGCUCUACUUCAUUUCCCCUCCUCCCUGUGCUUGUUUUCCCCGCCUAGCUAGCUCAGCUGCCGUGCCCGAGACCUCCUCGCCACCGGCCAUGGCGCCAGGGUGGCCAGAGCCCGAGCCAGCCGCUCCCGCGCGCGUCACCGUGCUCCUGGUGAUGCCAGGAGGCCGUAGAGGCCCCCCGCAGCCCCUGUCGUGCACCGCAGCGCUGUGCCCGCACGCCACCGAACUCUGGCCGCCGCCCCGAGCUCCGCUCCGGCGAGCUCCGGCACCCCCGCAGCCUCCCGUUAGCUCCAAACGACGCGGACGAGCUCCAGCUCCUCGUUUGUGGUCUCCGCCGCCUAAAUGGUCGCCAGAGGGCGAUUCCCGUGCCCCUCCGCCGCGUUCGGCCUCGCCGGCGGCUAACCGCCGGUGGGUUGACUGGGUUUGAGCCCCCAGUUGACCAAAUUUGACGACCCACGGUCAAUGACAUGUGGGGCCCGGCCCUGCUAAUUUUUAGUUUAGGAUUAGUUUAACAACUAAUUAACUCUGUUAAGUAACUAUGACAUGGACGUAUGGACCCCACACGUCAGAUUUGACCUGGACAGCCACGUUGACUCGCUGACGUAGUGAUGACGUCAUGCUGACGCAGUUAUUCAUUUCCUGGAUUUUAUUUAGUCAGGAAAUUCCAGAAAAUGAUAUAAACUUCAAAAAUUCAUAGAAAUUCAACCGUAGCUCAGAUUGAAAUAAUUUAUAUAUGAAAAAUGAUCAGAAAAAUUCAAUCUAUCCAUCUGUGCCAUUUUCAUGCAUGACAAACCAACCUAUACAUACUGUAUUUAUGAAAACACACUUAUGGCAUUUAAAGGGACUUAAAUUAGAGUUGCAUUUGAACCUUUGGUUCAAAUGGACCUCUUCCAAGUUAAAUGCUAAAUGCAUUAGCUCAAAACACAUCACAUAUUCAUGCCAUAUUCAUGCAUCAUAUUGUUGCAUAUGCUUGUGUUUGAUUGUCGACACCGUUCCUUCUCGAUAGGUUCUGCUCCGGAGAGUGCUCCAGAGUACCUGUCUGUGGAGCAGUGCCCCCCUGUUGAUCUACCAGGUAAGCAAACCCCCUUGUUCAUUUCGAUACAAUCCCACUCUCUCGCUCCUGCUCUCGUUUAUUGCAUUAGAACAACAACGAUUCAACUGCUACUUUAUGCUGCGGUAGUUGAACCCAUUCCUCGGCAUGACCUGUCAUUGCCCCAGUAAAUAGUUAAAACCCACUAGCAUGUGUAGGAGUUGAUUGAGCCAUGUUGUGUUCCUACCAUGCCAUGCCUGCUAUUGCCUAGAGUUGUGUCAGGUCUAAUUCAUCGGGAAUGCAUUGGAGUGUUACGAUAUGUUCUGGUACUGAGAGUUAAGCGUGUGAACACGAUUUGGUAAAGGUAGCGGUGAGGGGCCAUGUAGGAGUACAUGGUGGGUUGUCUCACUGGAACCGUCCUUAAGCACUGAGUUCUGUGUAUGUUGUCCAAUGACUAGUUACUACCACACAUUGGGCUCCGGGCGCUCCAAGCUCUCUCGACUUAUUAACCAACUUGAUCUAUGUCCAGGAGUUGCAAAUAGUUUCUAGUGUUUGUAGGUAGUGGUAGUAGUCUACCAAGUGGCACCCGGCCAGGUGGGCUUGGGACAGACUAGGCACAGUGGCACGGUGUACCAAGUGGCACCCGGAUGGUGGGCUUGGGAACCCUGCUCACAUCGUUUGGGGUCGUGAGCGACACCCCGGCCGGAUCUCCUUGCAGAUGGAACCCGAAUAGGCGAUAAACCUGGAUGAGAGAAUUGUGUGGUUAGUCAGGUCGUGGCCGACACCCUCGCUGGGCUUCCGCUUGAAGGUUGCCGAGUACACGUCGUGUAAACGGCGAUAAGUGGUGAGAGCGUGUGUGAAGAAGUACACCCUUGCAGGGUUUUCAUGAUCUAUUCGAAUAGCCGGGUCCGCGGUUAUGGACUUCUUGGAUGCUUACGUGGUACAUAGACAACUUGAAGUGGAUACUCUAAAAUGCUCAAGAUAAGUGUGAGUGCUAUGGAUGGCUUCUCGUAGUGAGACGGGAAUGAAUCCAUAGUGGUGUAUUGAGGUGGUGAUUAGUGGACUCAUGUGCGCUUUCUUACCUCAAAGAAGUUACUCGUAGUCGUAGAAUAGGUUAGCCACUGAGUCAAAGCUGGCUUGCUGCAACUGAACCCCACAUUGCCUCCUUGAUACUAUUGCAUGUAUGAUAGGAUCUCAUGUACGUCUUGCUGAGUACCUUUGUACUCACGUUGCUUAAUUUAUGUUUUUGCAUAUGAGACUUCUCUCUCAGUAGUAGUUCUGCAUGGACUUCGACGACUAGCUUGUUACCUCAGCUACAGUCUUGUACCCUUGGGAGGGUCUUGUAGAUAGUCAGGCUUCUCAGCUUUUUCUUUUGUAGUUGUCUGUACUCAGACAUGUAAUGCUUCUGUUGCUUGUAUGCUCUGAAUGAUGGGUCAUGUGACCCCUGCUUGUAAUACUGCUAUGUGGCUCUUCUGGGCCUUUAUCUAUAUGAGUUUGCGUUAUGUUGUGAUGCCAUGUUGUACAACACAUACUUGCAUGUUAUGCGUACGUGUAACGUGUAUUGCUAUGUGUGGGAUCCGACAACCUAGUUGUCUAUCCUUGGUAGCCUCUCUUAUGGGGAAAUGUAGUCUAGUGCUUCCACCGAGCCAUGGUAGUCCGCUACAGCCCGGUUUACCGGAGUCCUGCUAGCCCAACACUACUGCUUCGGAACACUUAGACUUGCCGGCAUGUGAUUCACUUCGUUCCUGUGUCUGUCCCUUCGGGGAAAUGUCACGCGGUGACAUCCGGAGUCCUGCCUAGCCUGCUACAACUCGGGUUCCCGGAGUCCUGUUAGCCCAGUUGCUACAGCCCGGAUUCACACGCUACUGACCGGCAUGCUCGAUGUUGUUUCAUGUAUGUGUGUCCCCAUAAGUUAGUGCCAGUUUGGGUUCAUGACUAGUCAUGUCGGCCCGGGUUCUCUGUCAUAUGGAUGCUAGCGACACUAUCAUAUACGUGAGCCAAAAGGCGCAAACGGUCCCGGGCCAUGGUAAGGCGACACCCGUGGGAAUACCGUGCAUGAGGCCGCAAAGUGAUAUGAGGUGUUACAUGCUAGAUCCGUGUGACUUAGAAUCGGGGUCCCGGCAACAGGCUUCACCGCAAGUCUGUAUAAAACUAUAUGCUUUGAUCAACUUAUCAAAGUGUAUGUUCCAACUCCGAGAUGCUUGCACCAGUCCAGAGAUGGAUCGCUGGAGCUUGCACAUUUUGUUAGCACCUUUAGGACUGACAAAACCUUCUGGUUGCAUCAUAUACAACUCUUCUUUAAAGAACCCAUUGAGGAAUGCAGUUUUGACAUCCAUUUGCCAGAUUUCAUAAAAUGUGGCGAUUGCUAACUUGAUUCGGACAGACUUAAGCAUCGAUACGAGUGAGAAAAUCUCAUUGUUGUCAACACCUUGAACUUUGUCAAAAACCUUUUGCGACAAUUCGAACUUUGUAGAUAGUAACACUACCAUCAGUGUCCGUCUUCCUCUUGAAGAUCCAUUUAUUCUCAAUGGCUUGCCGAUCAUCGGGCAAGUCUACCAAAAUCCAUACUUUGUUCUCAUACAUGAAUCCCUUCUCAGAUUUCAUGGCCUCAAGCCAUUUUGUGGAAUCUGGGCUCAUCAUCGCUUCUUCAUAGUUCGUAUGAUCGUCAUGGUCUAGUAACAUGACUUCCAGAACCGGAUUAUCGUACCACUCUGGUGCGGACCGUACUCUGGUUGACCUACAAGGUUCGGUAGUAACUUCAUCUGAAGUAUCAUGAUCAUCACCAUUAGCUUCCUCACUAAUUGGUGUAGGAAUCACUUGAACUGAUUUAUGUGAUGAACUACUUUCCAAUUCGGGAGAAGGUACAGUUACCUCAUCAAGUUCUACUUUCCUCCCACUCACUUCUUUCGAGAGAAACUCCUUCUCUAGAAAGGAUCCAUUCUUUAGCAACAAAUGUCUUGCCUUUGGAUCUGUGAUCGAAGGUGUACCCAACAGUUUCUUUUGGGUAUCCAAUGAAGAUGCACUUCUCUGAUUUAGGUUCGAGCUUAUCAAGUUGAAGCUUUUUCACAUAAGCAUCGCAGCCCCAAACUUUAAGAAAUGACGGCUUAGGUUUCUUGCUAAACCACAGUUCAUACGGUGUCAUCUCAACGGAUUUUUAGACGGUGCCCUAUUUAACGUGAAUGCAGUUGUCUCUAAUGCAUACCCCCAAAACGAUAGUGGUUAAUCGGUAAGAGACAUCAUAAAUCGCACCAUAUCUAAUAAAGUACAGUUAGGACGUUCGGACACACCAUUAGGCUAUGGUGUUCCAGGUGGCAUGAGUUUGUGAAACUAUUCCACAUUGUUUUAAUUGAAGGCCAAACUCGUAACUCAAAUAUUCACUUCCACGAUUAGAUCGUAGAAACUUUAUUUUCUUGUUACGAUGAUUUUCCACUUCACUCUGAAAUUCUUUGAACUUUUCAAAUGUUUCAGACUUAUGUUUCAUCAAGUAGAUAUAUCCAUAUCUGCUCAAAUCAUCUACGAAGGUCAGAAAAUAACGAUACCUGCCGCGAGCCUCAACACACAUCGGACCGCAUACAUCAGUAUGUAUUAUUUCCAACAAGUCUAUUGCUCGCUCCAUUGUUCCGGAGAACGGAUUCUUAGUCAUCUUGCCCAUGAGGCAUGGUUCGCAAGCAUCAAGUGAUUCCAAAAGCCCAUCAACAUGGAGUUUCUUCAUGCGCUUUACACCAAUAUGAUCUAAACGGCAGUGCCACAAAUAAGUUGCACUAUCAUUAUUAAACUUAUAUCUUUUAGCAUCAAUAUUAUGUGUAUCACUGUGAUCGAGAUUCAGUAAACCAUUUACAUUGGAUGUAAGACCAUAGAAGGUUUUAUUCAUGUAAACAGAACAACAAUUAUUCUCUGACUUAAAUGAAUAACCAUAUCGCAAUAAACAUGAUCCAAUCAUAUUUAUGCUCAACGCAAACACCAAAUAACAUUUAUUUAGUUACAAUACUAAUCCUGAAGGAAAAAGGGAGUGUGCGAUGGUGAUCUUUAUCAAUAUUGGAAUCACUUCCAACACACAUCAUUACCUCGCCCUUAACUAGUCUCUAUUUAUUUUGCAACUCCAGUUUCGAGUUACUAGUCUUAGCAACUGAACCAGUAUCAAAUACCGAGGGGUUGCUAUAAACACUAGUAAAGUACACAUCAAUAACAUGUAUAUCAAAUAUACCUUUGUUCACUUUGCCAUCCUUCUUAUCCGCCAAGUAUCUAGGGCAGUUCUGCUUCCAAUGACCAUUUCCUUUGCAGUAGAAGCACUCAGUUUCAGGCUUAGGUCCAGACUUGGGCUUCUUCACUUGAGCGGCAACUUGCUUGCCGUUCUUCUUGAAGUUCGCCUUCUUCCUUUUGUCCUUUUCCUUGAAACUAGUGGUCUCGUUAAACAUCAACACUUGACACUCUUUCUUGAUUUCUACCUUCGCCGGUUUUAACAUCACGAAGAGCUCGGGGAUUGUGUUCGUCAUCCCUUGCAUAUUAUAGUUCAUCACGAAGUUCCAGUAACUUGGUGAUAGUGUCUAGAGAACUCUGUCAAUCACUCUCUUAUCUGGAAGAUUAACUCCCACUUGAUUCAGGCGAUUGUAGUACUCAGACAUUCUGAGCACAUGCUCACUGGUUGAGCUAUUCUCCUCCAUCUUGUAGGCAAAAUAGAAGUCUCAUACCUCUCGACACGGGCAUGAGACUGAAAUACCAAUUUCAUCUCUUGGAACAUCUCAUAUGCUCCGUGGCGUUCAAAACGUUUUUGAAGUCCCGGUUUUAAGCCGUAAAGCAUGGUGCACUAAACUAUCAAGUAGUCAUCAUACCGAGCUUUGUCAAACGUUCAUAACGUCUGCAUCUGCUCCUGCAAUAGGUCCGUCACCUAGCGGUGCAUCAAGGACAUAAUUUUUCUGUGCAGCAAUGAGGAAAAUCCUCAGAUCAGGGACCAAGUGCACAUCAUUGCUACUAUCAUCUUUCAACUUAUAUUUCUCUAGGAACAUAUAAAAAUAAACGGGGAGCUACAUCGUGAGCUAUUGAUCUACAACAUAGAUAUGCUAAUACUACCAGGACUAAGUUCAUGAUAAAUUAAAGUUCAAUUAAUCAUAUUACUUAAGAACUCCCACUUAGAUAGACAUCCCUCCAGUCAUCUAAAUGAUCACGUGAUCCAAAUCAACUAAACCAUGUCCGAUCAUCACGUGAGAUGGAGUAGCUUUCAAUGGUGAACAUCACUAUGUUGAUCAUAUCUACUAUAUGAUCCACGCUCGUUCUUUCGGUCUCAGUGUUCCGAGGCCAUAUCUGCAUAUGCUAGGCUCGUCAAGUUUAACCCGAGUAUUCUGCGUGUGCAAAACUGGCUUGCACCCGUUGUAUGUGAACGUAGAGCUUAUCACACCUGAUCAUCACGUGGUGUCUCGGCACGACGAACUGUCACAACGGUGCAUACUCAGGGAGAACACUUGUACCUUGAAAUUUAGUGAGGGGUCAUCUUAUAAUGCUACUGCCGUACUAAGAAAAAUAAGAUGCAUAAAGGGUAAAUAUCACAUGCAAUCAAAAUAAGUGAUAUGAUAUGGCCACCAUCAUCUUGUGCCUUUGAUCUCCAUCUCCAAAGCACCGUCAAGAUCACCAUCGUCACCGGCUUGACACCCUGAUCUCCAUCGAAGCAUCGUUUUCGUCUCGCCAACUAUUGCUUCUACGACUAUCGCUACCGCUUAGUGAUAAAGUAAAGCAAUUACAUGGCGAUUGCAUUUCAUACAAUAAAGCGACAACCAUAAGGCUCCUACCAGUUGCCGAUAACUUUUACAAAACAUGAUCAUCUCAUACAACAGUUUAUAUAUCAUCACGUCUUGACCAUAUCACAUCACAGCAAGCCUUGCAAAAACAAGUUAGACGUCCUCUACUUUGUUGUUGCAAGUUUUACGUGGCUGCUACGGGCUUAGCAAGAACCGUUCUUACCUACGCAUCAAAACCACAACGAUUUUUCGUCAAGUGUGCUAUUUUAACCUUCAACAAGGACCCGGCGUAGCCACACUCGAUUCAACUAAAGAUGGAGAAACAGACACCCACUAGCACCUGUGUGCGAAGCACGUCGGUAGAACCAGUCUCAUGAACGCAGUCAUGUAAUGUCGGUCUAGGCCGCUUCAUCCAACAAUACCGCAGAAUCAAAGUAUGACAUGCUGGUAAGCAGUAUGACUAUUAUCGCCCACAACUCUUUGUGUUCUACUCGUGCAUAUAACAUCUACGCAUAGACCUGGCUCAGAUGCCACUGUUGGGGAACGCAUAGAUCUAGGAGAAGCAUAGCAACGAGCGGGGAGAGUGUGUCCACGUACCCUCAUAGACCGAAAGCGGAAGCGUUAUAUCAGCGCGGUUGAUGUAGUCGUACGUCUUCACGAUCCGAUCGAUCCUAGCACCGAACGUACGGCACCUCCAUGUUCAGCACACGUUCAGCUCGAUGACGUCCCUCGUACUCUUGAUCCAGUUGAGGCUGAGGGAGAGUUCCGUCAGCACGACGGCGUGGCGACGGUGAUGAUGAAGUUACCGGCGCAGGGCUUCGCCUAAGCACUACGACGAUAUGACCGAGGUGUGUAACUGUGGAGGGGGUCACCGCACACAGCUAAGAGAUUGUCUAUUUUCCUUUGGGAUGCCCCCUUGGCCACGUAUAUAAAGGAGGGAGGCGGAGGAGGCCGGCCUAGGAGGGGAGAGAGGGAAGGAGUAGGAGAGGGAGAAGGAAAGAGAGGGGGGCGCCGCCCCCUCCCUAAUCCAAUUCGGACUUGCCAUGGGGCGCGCGACCACCCCUUGAGGCCCUUCUCUCCUUUCCCGUAUGGCCCAUUAAGGCCCACUAUUUCCCCCAGCGAAUUCCCGUAACUCUCCGGUACUCCGAAAAAUACUCGAAUCACUCGGAACCUUUCCGAUGUCCGAAUAUAGCCUUCCAAUAUAUCGAUCUUUACCUCUCGACCAUUUCAAGACUCCUCGUCAUGUCCGUGAUCUCAUCUGGGACUCCGAACAAACUUCGGUCAUCAAAUCACAUAACUCAUAAUACAAAUCGUCAUCGAACGUUAAGCGUGCGGAUCCUACGGGUUCGAGAACUAUGUAGACAUGACCGAGACACAUCUCCGGUCAAUAACCGAUAGCAGAACCUGGAUGCUCAUAUUGGCUCCUACAUAUUCUACGAAGAUCUUUAUCGGUCAAACCGCAUAACAGCAUACGUUGUUCCCUUUGUCAGGCACGUCCUCACCGUCAGCCUCGACACCGCCCGCGUCGCUCUCCUCCUCCGGCUUCGCCGCCAUCUGCUACUGUUGCUACUUGUCGCUGCUCAUACACAACCCAUACACCAGCCAGAUACGAGUUGGACAUAGUCUAUACAUUAGACAGACACAAGCCAGACAAUUGCCAUAUAUUACCCAGAUAAUGGUCAUGCAUGACAUGGCCUCCGCUCUUUUCCGCCCGCACAGGCUCGCGACCGCGCGUCCGUCCGGCUCCAAGCAGCCUCCUGCCUGCGGCCCGCGUCCGCACCGCUNNNNNNNNNNNNNNNNNNNNNNNNNNNNNNNNNNNNNNNNNNNNNNNNNNNNNNNNNNNNNNNNNNNNNNNNNNNNNNNNNNNNNNNNNNNNNNNNNNNNNNNNNNNNNNNNNNNNNNNNNNNNNNNNNNNNNNNNNNNNNNNNNNNNNNNNNNNNNNNNNNNNNNNNNNNNNNNNNNNNNNNNNNNNNNNNNNNNNNNNNNNNNNNNNNNNNNNNNNNNNNNNNNNNNNNNNNNNNNNNNNNNNNNNNNNNNNNNNNNNNNNNNNNNNNNNNNNNNNNNNNNNNNNNNNNNNNNNNNNNNNNNNNNNNNNNUCUCUCGUUCUCCCAAUUGUUCUUCCUUUUUUCUUAAUAUAGUGCGGAAAAUGGGCCGGACUGACUAUUGUAUCCCGUCAGCAAGACAUCCCUACAGUCUCGCUCAAGGCGAGAUAUAGUCGCCGCACGACCCUAUGUCUCAGAUUCAGUGAGAUACACAAACACACAAUAGCCUCAUUUUCUGUUUUGUUUUCUUUCACAUUUUUUGUUUUGUUUUUUUGCUUCUUUUAUAUUUCAAAAUAUUCUAGAUAAAUAUAUUACAAAAAUCAUUGUAAAUAAAACAUUAAAAAAAUGUUGACCAAGCAUAUUAAAAGUGUUAAAUAUAUAUAGAGACAAUGUCUAUCACAUAUACAAAAAAUGUAUAAAAAAUAAAAUGUGUAUGAAACAAUGUAAUCAUGUAUUUAAAAAAGUUAAUCAAGCAUUUUCAAAAGAUGUUGAAGAAGUGUUUAAAAAUGUUAAGCAAGCAUUUGGAAAAUGUUAAUUGUGUAUAGAUUUUUUUGCCAUGUAUUAAAAAAUGAUAAAAAAUCUGCAUGUAUAUAAAAAAUUAUAUCAAGAAUUUAGAAAACUAUUGAAAUAUUAUUUGAAAAAUGUAAAUGUGUAUAGAAUAAAUGUUAACUAUGUAUUAAAAUGAUGAAAUUUUAUUGAUCAUUUAUAGGCUGCGUCCACGGGGACCUUUUUCCCCUUAAUCACUGUUUGAUAACCGGAGUGGGGAAGAACGGUGGUGCCGUAUGAUACGGGGCUACCGCGUGUAUGCACAUAUCUGUACCGGCUCUGCCCACAAAUAGAAAUAUGAAAAGUAGCAUUGAUGUGCGCUAGUGGGGAAUCCAGACUCCGUGGGAAGGCCUUAAUCCUAUUGAUUUUGACAUUCUACUUUACGUCCCCUGUUACUAAAUUCUAUUUCAGUAUUUUUACCUUUAUCCUCGCUACCCCGUUUUCACCAUUUUACUACUACGCCGGAUUUCCUACAAAUUGCAGGCAUGGCUAUUUAAAAAGUAAAUGUGGAUGUCUGGGUAGUGCACCCACUAGAUUAAUUACACAUGUAAUCCGCCAACACUAAAUGCAAAUUUGCAACACACUUAUCUAUAUAUUAAAUGAGGGCAUAUCCUAGCAUGAUAUGGUCAGUCUUAUUAAUGCUUUAACAAAUAUACCAAUCUUAGAAAAUCAAUUUUAGCAGAAAAAAUUAGCCCGCGAGCAUUCAAUAUGGUUACCGGAUAUCGCAAGGCCAUCCAUAAGAUUUAAGAUCUUAUCCAACAAACUAAAUCUACAUGUAGAUUUGUUGGAUGGAGAGAUCUGGUAUUUAAGUGUGCUCACCACCAUAGCCCAUAUAAAAAACCAUGUGGUGUAGAAGUCUUGCAUAACCAAAGAUUGAUCAACACACCUGCCUAGUGUUAACAUCUUCCACAAGAAAGAUGGCUAGUUCUAAAGUAAUGUGGGUGUUCUGCCUCCUAGCUUUACUGGCUUUCACUUCUUGUUCUUAUCAUGUACGAGCAGAAGAUCAUGCCACUAAGGAGAAAAAUGAGGUGAUGGAGUAUUGCAAGAGGUACAUAUUCAAAAAUUACGGCGAUCAGUUUCCUGACCCCCACAGGAAAUGUUGCCAAACAGUAAGAGAAUCAAGACACAUCCAUGCUAUACGCCAGAAAUUCACGCACGCGGAUUUGCAUAAGAUCAGUCUAGCCAAGUGGCUCAUGUUACAUAUUGGUGUGGCAACAGAUUGCACCCAGGGACUAAUUGCGCAGGUGUGUUAAUNNNNNNNNNNNNNNNNNNNNNNNNNNNNNNNNNNNNNNNNNNNNNNNNNNNNNNNNNNNNNNNNNNNNNNNNNNNNNNNNNNNNNNNNNNNNNNNNNNNNNNNNNNNNNNNNNNNNNNNNNNNNNNNNNNNNNNNNNNNNNNNNNNNNNNNNNNNNNNNNNNNNNNNNNNNNNNNNNNNNNNNNNNNNNNNNNNNNNNNNNNNNNNNNNNNNNNNNNNNNNNNNNNNNNNNNNNNNNNNNNNNNNNNNNNNNNNNNNNNNNNNNNNNNNNNNNNNNNNNNNNNNNNNNNNNNNNNNNNNNNNNNNNNNNNNNNNNNNNNNNNNNNNNNNNNNNNNNNNNNNNNNNNNNNNNNNNNNNNNNNNNNNNNNNNNNNNNNNNNNNNNNNNNNNNNNNNNNNNNNNNNNNNNNNNNNNNNNNNNNNNNNNNAUAGCAUUUUGAUGUAAUUUCCAAGCUUAUCUUCAUGAAAUUAAUUACUUACGAGGAACACAAUCUCAUAUGUAGGUUUCAUCGUUCCAGAUUAUAGUGCGCCACCACCUCCAGAACACUAAACGUAAGGCCGGUCCGGUCAAAUAAGGAAAGGAGUGUUAUAAUAUGGAGCACUUAGUCUAAGGCAGUCUUAUCGAACAAAGGAAGGGAUGCUAUGAUAUUGAUGCUUUAUCAUAGGACCUCUGCAAUAAUGUAUCUUACUUUUAAUUUUAUGACUAAUAAAAGGACUGCCCGCAUGUUCUCUUUGUGUUUAGUAUGAUAUUUAGUUGUCCAUUGACAUACAUGGCCUCAAGCAAUGACUUUCACUUCUGAUAAAAUAGACUGCUGAAUUAAAUCCAAAGUCUUGUAAACAAACAUAGCUUGUUCUAUUCCUAAUAAUCACUAUAAUAAACACUAAUAAAUAAUUUGUGUUUGUCGAAUGGCAUGGUCUUUGCCGAGCAUUUUAUGGGAUAUUGGUAGACCACCUAUUUGUCGAGAACCACACUCGGUAAAAGCAAGCACUUGAUAGUCUUUAGUUCGUCGAGAGCUAUGAGAAAAAUACCCGGCAACCCCAAAACACUCGGCCAAUGCAACUUUUGAUGAGAGCUCGUGACAUGGUACUCGACAACUAGGAGCCAUGUGGCACAGCCGUCCAAGGUUGAAGGCUCUGUGACACUAAUGCGUCCCCAGACACGAGGCUAUGAUUUGCCGGCAAUUUGGGACCACUUAACCGGCGCCUUCAGUGUCAGUUGGUGUUUCCUACGCCCACGCAGUUGACAGUAUGGGCCGGCCCACCACAAGGCGAGGCGGACCGCGCCUCUUCGUAUGCUUUUGUUGACCGGUUGACAGUUGACCAGUUGGCCGGUCAACCAUUGACUUUUGAAUUAAAAAACGAAAAGUUUUUCAAAAAUGUUCAUGGAUUUUGGAAAAAUAAACUAAAAAAAUAAAAAAACCACAAAUUUGAAAAAAAAACACUCAUAAAUUUUGAAAAAAGUCCACGAAUUGGAAAAAAAUCAUCGAUGCAUAUGAUCGCUAGCUUUUCCUCGAAAGAAAUUUUGAUAGUUAGCUUCGAAGAGUGACACCAUUUUGAGGGCCUAGCUUAAAAUUCUGAUCGCUAGCUUCGUUUGUGUUUUAGCACUGAUCGCUAGGUUCUUUUUUUCUUUCUUUUAGAUACCGAUCGCUAGCUUUGUGCUAACCGGUAGCCUACUAGCACAGACGAGCGGUUGAACAUAUAGGCCAGCCCACCCUGGUAGGAGUGCAGGACAUGCGGACGAGCUGGUUUAUUUGUUUUGGGUUUUAACAAAUCAAACAAACAAUGAGGAAGUGAGGUGACGCUGACAUCUCUACUCCUAAGGGAGCUGUUGGUAGUCUCGCUUUCAGGUAUUUUUUAGUCCCACCUCCCACGGUUUAUUUUGGUACCUCUUCCCACCUCUGACUAAGACAUCACAAACCGAAAAAACCUCCUCCUGAGGCCCGAACCCGCACCUAUCCACAUGCGACCCUCAAAAGACGUACGAAGGUUAACCUGCGACAAAAAAACCUACGACGGUCAACCAGCGACGAGUCCUGUUCUCGAGCGAGGCCCCCCUUCGUGGCCGCCCUACAUCCCUGCGCCGCCGCGCUUCAGUCGCUGCCCUCCAUCCUCGCCGUCCUCCAUCCUGGUCGAGGUCGCCGCCCCGCUUCACUCGCCGUCCUCCAUCCGCGUCGAUCCUGGACAAGGUCGCCGCGGCCCUCCAUCACUUCGCCGCCGCGCUGAACACCUCGACGAUCCGGCGCGGGUCCUGGAUCAGGUCGCCGCCGCCCUCCAUCACUUCGCCGCCGCGCUGAACUCCUCGCCCUUGAUCCAGGAUAUCCGGCGCCGAUCCUGGACGAGGAUAAGCGGACACGUCCAGGAUCCGGCCAGAACACGUCCUGGAUCCGAAAAAUAGGUAUACAAACCAUCUCAUACGUCAAUCGCAUCUCAUACAUCUCAAAUGCCAUACAAUCGCAUCUCAUACAUCUCACAGCCCAUACAUCCAUCGCAUGUCAUACAGCCAUGGCAAGUGCUUUCACAGGGAUGGAUCCGCCUGCGAGAUUGAUUUCUGUUCUACACAGUUUAGGUUUUUUUCCAUGUUAAAACUAGACUCAAGUACACAUGUUUACAGAUGGCAAUUGGCAAAAAAAAUUACCAAGGGGUAUCCUGCAUCCUGCACUUGUAUAACUAUGGCAAAAAAGAAAACACAAACCAUACAGGACCCUAGAGUAUGUUUCCACUUGUGCUGAGAUGUAGAAGAUGUAGAUGAAAGUGCCAUUGCAGUAUUUAUGUAGAAUAAAAUACAAUUGCAGUAUAUGCUAGCAACAGGUUGCAGUAUAUAUGUAGAACAAUAACCCUUCCAGAAUGUCAUCAAAUAACUACCAUUUCUGUCUUCAUGAUUUUUGCCAUUCAAUAGUUGCAUAUGGGGAAUUCAAAAAGCACGGUUGGCGAACAUCAACCUGAAGAUGACGUAACUACAGGUAUGAUGCACUCUACCAUGUUUUCGUUUAGUUGCGAGACCUGAAUAUAUGACAGUAUGCAUAAUGUCUUCCAGGUCUUACAAGCGGGAGAAGUGAUGCAGAACACAAUGCGAGCAUCAUACCCGUAGCUGAAAUUGUUGAUAACGUCUACUCGACGGAAUCAGGUAUAAUACUGUCCGGAGAUUGGUUAUAAAUGUUGCUUCACGUCCAUUUCUGAAAGUGGCAGAAUGCAUUAUGUGUUGCAGUCCUUACGGGCGGGAUAAAUGUUGGAGACUACAAUGCAAACUUCAUACCCUUACAUGCAGGUAUAAGACUGUGUCAAGAUUAUUGCUGCUAAUGUUUCGUGCAUACCGUAUAUUUUGUUGAUUGCUAAGAUGUAGGGCGGGAACCUUCAAACGACGGGAUUCCGCCGUAUUCUGAGAAUAAUAAGGAUGGUACGACUAAGCUACAAGAUGAUACUCAAGGUAUUCACAGGCAUGCUUAUACAGCUUCCAAAUCGACAUCUCCCAGAUGAGCUUAAUGGGCUUUGUGGUUUUUACGCUUAACGUAAUGCAGAUGACAAAACUUCCGAGCAGCAUGCAACAGUAGCUGUAUUUAAUGAAGAAAAAAAACGUUGGCGAAACAAGGGAGUAGUUCAACGCACAGAGGCGUGAAUCUUAUCGGAAGAAAAAAGAGGAGGAUAUGGUCAGGUUACAAGAGUAUAAUCAGCCAUCCCUUUCAAAGACUGGUAAGUAUUUAAGCGUGAUUUUGCUGACUACUCUUGGUUUUUUCUGACUACCUAUAGUAUGCAAAUUAAUCGUUAUAGUAACCUGACUUCAUAGAUGUUCCCCGUGUUGGUUUCAUAGAUGUUGUAUCAACAUCGAUACUUUUUUUGUUCUCUAACUCUCAUACCUAUUGUAAAAAUGGUAGACCAUAGGGAUCUUAUCAACGCGUGGAGGCGGGCAUCUUAUCGCACUAAGAAGUCAGAUGGUUUUAUAAACCAUCUAGACGAUGGGCCGAUUGUUCACCGCCGUACCCAACCAUAACUCAUCGUAAGGUGGCCACCAAGCAAUUAGACCAGGAUGUCGUGAAGAAGUUAGUAGACAUACUCAAAGAAAACCCGUACUCCCAGCAAUUUAGGAGUUUGGGUGCACACAAGGACAACCUCGAUGAUUAUAGGAUAGACCUAAACACCGAUAAGAGGCUUGACCAAAGAAGAUAUAAUAGACCAUUGUCAUCUGAGGUCGCUGCAAUUUGGGUUGAGGGCAACGACCUAGCAAAAAGGUUUGACCGGAGGAUAACACUUUGUGGUAACAACAACGAAAGGCAUAGUAUACGUGUGACCUCCGGAGCAUAUGACCCGUUGUCUUAUCCCCUAUUCUAUCCAAGGGGGGAGCUAGGUUGGCAUCCAAAGCUACUUAAACGUAAUGUAAUGGAGGAGGUUGUACUACAUUCUCAACUGGUCCAUGAUGAUGAUGAGGAUGCAGGUAUGCCGUCUGCGUCCCAUUUUGCUACAAAUAAUAUCUUAUUUCUCGAAUAUAUCCUCAUUUUGAUGGUACUCAAUCAUGUGCAAAGGGCAACAGCAGGUUGUGCGUCUCUGUCAGAGACUACUACUGUUACAUGCUGCAGACACGGCCUGGAAUCUUCAAUCCCAUACUCUGUGGAGCACGCCUCUUGCAGCAAUGGGCGGUCGACAUGUACGUCAAGAUUGAAAGUUGACGGUUGAGGUGGUACAGGAAAAACCAGACGCAGAUUCGUGCCGACUUGUAUAAAGGAGUUGUUGAUGCAAUCACAUCGGGGGAGACGCGAGCAAGCGCUGUUGGGGUAAGAAUAGUGCUCCCUGGAACAUACCCUGGUGGCGACCGCGACAUGAAGAAGAGGCAUAUGGAUGCCAUGCCAAUUGUCCAUACAUACGGGAAGCCUGACAUCUUCUUGACCAUGACUUGCAAUCCUAAAUGGGAAGAGAUAACGAAUGAGUUGCUGUCUGGUCAGACGGCGCAAGACCGACCUGAUAUUGUGGCUCGCGUGUUCUACGGCAAGCUAGAGGCUAUGAAGGACAUGUUGUUCAAGAAGCAUAUCCUGGGUGUUGUUGUCGCAUAUGUAUACGUAGUCGAGUUCCAAAAAAGGGGCCUCCCCCACGCACAUUUUUUGUUGAUCAUGGACUCUAAAUAUAAGCUUAUCGUCCCGGAGCAGUAUGACCGACUCAUUUCCACAGAGCUCCCAGACAAGCAUAAGUAUCCGGAAUUGUAUGCUAUGGUGGUAAAACAUAUGAUGCACGGACCAUGCGGUGCUCUCAACCCGAAAAAUGUUUGCAUGCAAGAAAACAGAUGCAAGUGCAGAUACCCACGGCCGUUCAAUGAAAACACAUCACAGGGGAAGGACUCGUACCCAAUUUAUUGGCGUAGAGACGAUGGAAGGCAUGCUAAGGUCCGAGGGAAGAUGUUGGACAACAGAUGGGUUGUGCCUUAUAACCCAUACCUGCUGCGGAUGUUCAAUUGCCACAUCAACGUUGAGGUCUGCUCCAGCAUAAAGGCCGUCAAAUAUCUUUACAAGUACAUUUACAAGGGCCAUGAUAAGGCUUCUUUCAGCAUCGACCAUCCCGACGCCGAUGGUAACAUUGAUGAGAUCAAGAGAUACGUUGAUGCAAGGUGGAUCACCCCUCCGGAGGCUAUGUGGAGGAUAUUUGGCUUUCCACUUUGCGCCAAUUACCCACCUGUCUUGCAGUUGCCUCUUCAUCUCCCGAAUAUGCACAGGGUCGCAUUCAAUGCGCAGGUUGACUUGAAGAAUGUUGUCGCCUCCGAAAAUAAUUCAAAAUCCAUGUUAACGGAGUAUUUCAAGGCUAACCAGGAACACCCUCGGGCUAGGCAUAUAUUGUACAAGGAUUUUCCCGGAAGCUUCACGUGGCAGAAGAAAAAGAAGUUUUGGAAGCCGCGGGUCGAGCGUUUUCAAAUAGGUCGCAUCGUGUCUGCCAAUCCUGCCAAGGGUGACCGAUACUACCUGCGUGUGUUGCUAAACCAUGUUACGGGCAAAACAUCCUUUGACGACUUGCUCACCGUGGACGGCGUUCUAUGUGGGAGCUUUAGAGAAGCUGCUGAAAGGUUGGGACUCAUCGAGGCAGACAACACGCUCGACAACUGUCUUACUGAGGCUGAGCAGUGGGCGAUGCCAUGUUCUCUUAGGAGGCUCUUCGCAACCAUCUUGGUGCACUGAGAGCCAAGCGACGUGCGUGGUUUAUGGGAUAGGCACCUCGAUCCUAUGUUAGAUGACUAUCGUCGAUCACGCACGUCCCCUAUCGAGGUGGAGCAGAUGGUGUUGCUUGACAUUAGGGGUAUGUUGCAGUCCAUGGGUAAAGACAUUGUUGAUUUCGCUCUUCCAAGCAUAGAUGAUGCGUUUGACCCAACCGAGGGUGAGGCAAGAGAGGUCAUCGAGGAAUCAACUGUUGAGUUUGACGUGGAUGAUACUAAAUUGGCAUCUUCCCUGAACUUGGAGCAGAGGGCCGCAUACGACGAGAUACUAGCGGCUGUUGAACGCGGUGAUGGGGGUGUAUUCUUUGUUGAUGGCCCUGGAGGUACAGGGAAGACCUUUCUAUACAGGGCGAUGCUUGCCAAGGUGAGGAGCGAUGGCAAUAUUGGUAUCGCUACCGCGACGUCGGGCGUCGCCGCUUCUAUCAUGCCUGGCGGCAGAACUGCCCACUCGAGGUUCAAGAUCCCAUUGAGUUGCGAUGAUGGAGCCUCGUGCAGCUUCACGAAGCAGAGUGGGACCGCCAAGCUGCUUAGGAUGGCCUCAUUGAUAAUAUGGGACGAGACCAGCAUGACGAAACGACAAGCGGUCGAGGCAUUGGACAAUAGCAUGCGCGACAUCAUGGGAAUACGCGACCGACCCUUUGGAGGAAAGACUGUUGUUUUGUGCGGGGACUUUAGGCAGGUGCUUCCGGUCGUCAGAAGGGGGUCGCGGGGCCAGAUAAUUGAUGCAACCCUACGAAGUUCUCAUCUAUGGAAGGGUAUGCGGCAGCUUCGGCUCAUCACCAACAUGAGGGCUCAUAAUGACGCGUGGUUUGCAAAUUACUUGCUAAGGGUCGGCAAUGGCACUGAGGAAGUCGACGAUCAAGGCAACAUACUACUCCCUGAAGACAUUUGUCUGCCGUCUACAGGCAAGGUUGACGACCUGGAGAAGCUUAUUCACCACGUGUUUCCGAGUCUAGAUGACAACAUGUCUGAUUCAAAUUACAUGACAUCUCGAGCAAUCCUUUCCACGACAAACGACAAUGUCGACAAGAUAAACAUCCGCAUGAUGGAGCGUUUUCAGGGAGAUGAAGUAAUAUACCAUAGCUUUGACAGUGCGGAGGACGACCCAUAUGGCUACUACGCUCAGGAGUUUCUGAAUGGAUUGACUCCUAACGGUCUUCCUCCGCAUGUACUCAAGCUAAAGCUGAACUACCCUGUCAUACUUCUAAGGAACAUUGAUCCAGCAAAUGGAUUGUGUAACGGCACUAGGCUUGUUGUUCGAGGUUUUGAGAGGAACACCAUUGAUGCAGAAAUCGUGAUUGGACAACACGCUGGCAGGAGGGUCUUCCUUCCUCGAAUACCUCUCUGCCCAUCUGAAAACGACAUGUUUCCGUUCAAGUUUAAGAGGAAGCAAUUUCCUAUAAGGCUUAGCUUUGCUAUGACCAUUAACAAGGCCCAAGGGCAGACAAUCCCGAUUGUUGGUGUCUACCUACCCAAUCCCAUGUUCUCUCAUGGUCAACUCUAUGUUGCUUUGUCUCGAGCCACCGCAAAGAGAAACAUAAAGAUACUCAUUCAGAAGGAGAAGCCGAAGGAGAAGUCCAACAAGCAAAAGGACAAUCCAAAUAAGCGAAAAAGACCGACCGUGUAAUUACUAACCUCGAUGAAGAACAUCGUCUACAAGGAAGUCCUUACAGGCUGAAGUCCGGUCUUAAUAGAUCGGCAGGUUAUGUAAUGACACAACAUUUACUCUUGUGAUGGUCAAGAUUUAUUGUAAUUCGUUUUUUUACAUAUAUCUUUUUUAUUUGGUAUUUUGAUAGUUGGAGGUAUACUCCAUUUAGUUGAGCUACUAACUGCAUUUCAAUAAUCAGCCGUCAUGUUGGCACCAUUAUCGCUGUUAUAUCUUUUCUAGUAUCGCAAUGUUUCUGGCAGUGUACAUGUCACCCACCGUAGUAUUUCAUGUGUAAUAUGUGAUUCAGAUAUAAUGAUUGGCCUGAAAAAUACCUGGAACAUGCAAUGAAACUUUUGUGUUACGGCAAGUGAUCAUAUCCAUUGUUAUUAUUUUGAUAUUUUGAUAAUAUGGUUGAAUGUAAAUUUAUUGGCGUCCUUAUUAUCCCUGUAUUAUUCUGAUAGGUCAGAAGUAUAGGAUUAUGAUUGGUCUGAAUUAUAAGACCAACACACGCAGAAGGGAAGUUUGUGUAGCUUUUCAAGAUAUAUUUUGCAUAUGUACAUCUAAUAAAUAAUAAAAUGGUAGCCUGCGUACUUGCAAAUAUGUUCAAAUGCCCGUGCGACUCUGGAGAAUGUGACAAUGCACGUGUCUGAUUGCUGAAGUGUGCAAUCUUUGGAAAAAAGAUUGAUUACUUGUACUUUCACGCGUCUGAACUAAUUAUUUAUCAGUUCAGUUCAAGUUUCAUUUUUAUUUUUUGCAUUGGUUCAUGUACCUUCAUGAGUUUACUGUGGAUCUGAAAGAGUUCUAACCUAAAAAAUUGUACAAGGCUGCAUUAAUCUAGGACCUGGCGAGGAUUGGUUCAGAGAGCAAGCAUCGUUCCGCAGUAUCUUAAGGACGCUGGUUGGGCUGAGGGUGGUCGCCUUAUAGGUUGCACCCAGCCAAGACGAUUGGCUGUGCAGGUAUCAACUGUUUAAAUGUUCAUCAAAAUGUGUAUCCUUCUCUAGAUGCCAUGUAAUACUAGGUUUCUCUUUUUACCUUCUGAUCAGAGCAUGCACCAGAUUAUUCUUUUGGGUACGUCCCUAGCAACUAGCAUGGCGAGUAAGGAUCUUAGCUAAUUAUCUAGAGCAAGCUUCUGUAUUACUUAUGGAUAUUCUGGUGCAACAUGAAUCAAACCCGGGCAACAUGAAUCUAAGAAAUAAAUUAUUAGAGAUAGAUAACUCCUAAAAGAUAAGCUUGGAGGACUUUCGCAGAGCUCCCAGCCACGAAGAUUUAUCCAGCUUCCCCUUUGUGACCUAGCCGUUUGUGACAGGGUUGCCAUGUGGUAGUGGCCAUAGUGCCCAAAAGUGUGUCUGUAACAGGAGACUUCAUCCUGCAAAAUUAUUCAUGUGCUCCGGCAGUGAUUUCUGACAUCCUAUACGGAGCAGUCAGCUGAUAGAACCAUAUCUGUACUAAUUAGAAGAUGGUAGCUGAACAUUUUGUUUACUGCAUUGGUAUUACUAAUUUCCAUAUGUUUGAAUUUUUUUACAAGGUAGGGGUUGCGUUCUAUUUUACAUUUGUUGUCAAUGUAUUUUUUAUGUAAUACUAUGUCACUACUAUAUAACACUGAUUUUUAGCGUAGAUAUCCAUGAAGCCAGCCUCAUGACACUUGACGAAACACGUGCGUACGUCAAUGGUGUUGUUCAAGCUAGGAACAAUGGAGGCUAGAAGUAUCUGUGUACACAAGUGCACAAUUUGUCUUAGAUAUAAAAAUGUAUGAACGCUUUGCAUGCAACAUUUUGUUGCCAAUUGUCACAUUAUGAAGUGUUCGCUUAUGUCUUGGAGGUUUAAUAAUAUGUGAUAUUCAAUAAAAAAAUAUUUAACAGUGUCGUCAUAUUUCGUAGCCAUAUACUGUGAAGUUCAGAACUAUAUAUUUGACUAAUAUAUAUUUGAUGACCAAACUGUCAAUAAUGGACUUCAAAUGGUAACCUGUCUACUCUCAUUUGAGCUACACGUAUGAAUCUCUUUCAGUGUAGGUUCAAAUUUUUUAAUAUACAGUGCAGCGCAAAAAGAAAAUACGUUUACCUUGACAGAUGCUAUCGCAUGCUAUCAUGCAUUAUGACAUUCCAAAGAUAAUAUAAUUAAUUUUGUACAUGGAAUCAAGGAUUGCCGUAUGCCCGUGCGUUGUGUUUCUUUCUACACACGGAAACAAUAGUUCUUCAAGUGGCGUGGGCUUUUUGAUCAUGGUGAGGAGGACAAAAAUAGAAGAAGAAAAAACGUUGUGUUUCUUUAUAUUUCUCGGACGCCCGUGUUUGACAUAUAUUUGGGAAAUAAAUUAAUUGUUUCUUUCUAUAUAUCUGGAGGCAAAGUUUGGAAAGGAGACAUAAAUUAGGAAAUAUAUAAUCCGGCGUUGAUACAUUUGCCGGGUGGAGCAUGCAACCAAAAUAAUUUUAUUCCAUGUUUUCCUAUAGUUUUUGUUAUGGAAUAUUGUAACUACGGAAGGAUAUGGGCCACCUUCCGAGUACAUGCCCACGAUUCCUCCCGGCCAGGAUAUGUCAAUUAGAACUAUAAUUAUCCUUAAAGUCAUUUCCUUCCAAAACGUUAUAGUGUCCAAUCUCCCGGUCCGGCCUACCAUACGUUCAAUGGGUUUCCCAGUGUGGCCAUUAAUAUUCCCUUAAUCGGAUUUGUUUAUAAGGAAAGUUAAAUUAUGCUUCUUCCGAUCGGGAAAGGGAGACAUAUAUAAUAGAUAUAUAAUCCGGCAUAUAUUUAUUUGCCCAGUGGAGUAUGGAAGAAAAACAUAUGCUUGUCCUUUUAUUAGCAAGGAUUUGUAAUGAAACAUGCACGGAUGGAAUGAUAAGGGGCACCUUCCAAUCCAUACAACAUGCUAAUGUGUCACCGACCUGGUGCCGGACGAUUCCCCUCCGACACUCAUAUAUAUGGUCCGGCUGUGAGUCCACCGUUGUCCACUGCCCCCUCGCUCGCUCGUCCUGGUGCUAAGACGACUUUCUGCCCGUGCCAAUGGCUGCAAUGCCGAUUUUUGAUGGAGUGAACGACGCAGUCGAGUACAUAUACAACUACGUCAUGCUUUCCUCAGUCGAGGAGCAGUUAGAGUUUGUUCUGGCAGCCCUAAACUCUAUCUAUAAUUUAUUUGCAAUUGUUAGCUGCAGAUCAGUACCAUUAUAUUAUGCAUUAUCGGCUUCUUAUUUUAAACCCUAGUAAAAAUCUGUUCUUUCACCUAAUCCACGUCGAUGAGUUGGUCACGUUCAUAAGUUGUUGCAUGCAUGCACUGGUUAGGAUCAUGCGAUCCUUUCUAAGUCCAUAAGGUUCUUAAGAUCUAACGUAGUGGUUGCAAAAAUCUGGUCAUGCGCUAAUAUUAUCCUUUUACAUUACGCCAUGUUAGUACCAUCCACAGCACGUUAUUUUAAACUAUAAAUUUUCUAUGAACUGUAGUAUAUUGCAACGGGUCCUGGUGCAUGAUACAUGUACCAUCUAUAGAUUUUAUCAUAACUGUAAUAGGAACAAGUUGCAACCGAACAUAUCAUAAUAGAUUUGGUUAUCUUACGAAAUAGUACUUAUGUCCUCAAAUGACACUACAACUCCAAUUUUUAGGUACAUACAUUUCAGACCUUUCUAAAGUUUUGAAAAAAUAUACUAUUGUUUGCCCACACAUUGAAGUACAAUAUUUUUAUGAUACCCUGAUUUUAUCAUGCCGGUUUGUUUGCAGCACAAUAUGGAUAAGGAGCCCUCGUCCAUUCAUGAUCGAGUUAAGUCUACGGACUAUCCAAGACACCAUGCGAGGUGAUACAUGGGUCAAUCCGAGCUGCUUCGAUCUUGCAGUGCGUAAGCUUAGUAGCGACGCGAUACAAAGGAACGCAGGAACAUGUUAAUCUUGUAUUUAAAAAAAGGACUGUGAUAUUUGGCACAUGUGUGCCAUAUAAGGAAAACUGCCACACCUCUACUUCUUUCACUUUAAAGUACCACACGAUCCCUUCCUUCGACCCCGCAGGCUCACCCGAGAAACCUGCUUCUCCCGCACAUCUCGCGCGCCCACCCCCGAGAAAACUGCCACUUUUUCACGUCUACCACAUGAUAAAAAAAUAUUGCGCAUGUGGGAUUCGAACCCACACCUCCUUGGCACCAAAGCGCGCCACCACAACCAACUCACCCUUAGGUAUUUGUUGCUCAAACUAAAGAAACUAAUCGUUUUGGCCCCUUUUUUUACAAUUUUGUUACUACAAAAAAGUACAGAAAAUUACCACGAUUUCCCCUCAGGACAAAGUUACCAUGGUAUUCGCAUGCAAGUUAUCAGUCCUGUGUUGCGUAAGUUACCGUGCUAUUUACAUAGAACUUACCAGGUACUAUGUUUCAACAACUACACCCUUUUCAAAGUUACCAUUGUGUUUUGUACACAAGUUAUAAGGUCUUCGAUGUGUAAAAUACCGUGGUACUUACACAUAAGUUAUCAGGGUAUGUGUACAUCAACCUCGCCCUGGUCAAAGUUACCAUGGGGGGUUGUACAUGAGUUACCGGGUCUACAGUUCGUAUAUUAUCAUGGUACUUACACCUAAAAACCUGCGUGUGUUUCGGUAACUUUUUUCAUAUGUCAAAAAUUACCACGAUGUUUUUGCGUAACUUAUCACGCCUAUAGUGGGUCAAAGUGGGUCGUUUUUCUGGGCCAACCCACAAGCACAUGUGCCCCUCAUGACACUAAACAUUAUGUGGCUUUUCCGUGGCACACCAUGUGUUGUGUUCAUCUAAGAGGCCCCGUGAGGCGAGUGUAUGUUUUUAACAACUUGUUUUCCUUUGACAAGUUACCAUCAUGUUUAUAUUGUAUGUUAUCGGUUAUGCGGUGCUUAUAUUAUCAUGUUAUUCACACAAAAGUUAUCGGGGAUGUUUUGAACAACUUUUUCCUGGGACAAAAAGUUAUCAUGGUGAUUCUAGGUAACCUAUCAAGCCCGCAGUGCUUAAAAUAUCAUGUUAUUUACACAAAAUUUAUCANNNNNNNNNNNNNNNNNNNNNNNNNNNNNNNNNNNNNNNNNNNNNNNNNNNNNNNNNNNNNNNNNNNNNNNNNNNNNNNNNNNNNNNNNNNNNNNNNNNNNNNNNNNNNNNNNNNNNNNNNNNNNNNNNNNNNNNNNNNNNNNNNNNNNNNNNNNNNNNNNNNNNNNNNNNNNNNNNNNNNNNNNNNNNNNNNNNNNNNNNNNNNNNNNNNNNNNNNNNNNNNNNNNNNNNNNNNNNNNNNNNNNNUGGUGUUUUAGUUAUCGCAGUGCAUAUGUUUUCAUGCUAUUUAUACUUAAAAAUACUAGGGGAGGGAGGUAUAGUACCGUGCUAUUUACACAGAAGAUACCAGAGUAUCUUUUCAAAAACAAAUCUUCCCUAUGGUCAAAGUUACCAUGGUGUUUCUACCUUAGUUAUCAGAUGUGUGCUGCGUAUAUUACCAUCUAUUUACACAUAAAUUAUCGGGUAUCUUUUCACAUUUUUCUUCCCCAAUGAUUAAAGUUACCACAAUUUUUGUAUCCAAAUUAUCAGGUCUAUGGCGUGAAUGUUAUCGUGCUAUUUACAGAAAUUACCGGGGCCGGGGUUCAACUCUUCCCAAUGAUCAAAGUUACCACGAUGCUUUCACCAAAGUUACCACGCCUUCAGUGCUUAUGACCAUGCUACUUACACAAUGUACCGCGUGGUGUACAAACGUUAUCAUGUUGGUGGUGCGUCAUUUAUCGUGGUGGUGAUGGAGAAUUUACCACGGGAAAAAUUUAUGUGCCAGGUUUGUAGGUGAAACAAAAGUUUUUCAGUGCUAAAAUAUUAAAGGCAAAACAUGUCAAAAAUAGUCUUUUCCUUAGCCUGUUCAACGAUGAGUGUCAUAGGUGAGGUGGUUAGCUCCCUUUGUUGAUUACCUGCAGACCAAAGAUCAAAUCCCAACCCAAGCAUUAUUUUUGCCCGAAAAUUGGGAAGGCGUGCGGGAAAGGAAGGAGAUCGGGAGGAAAGGAAGGAGAUCGGGAGGACGUGCGGGAAAGGAAGGAGAUCGGGAGGGCGGCCAGAACUGACGGUGUUGGAUGCGUGUUGCAGUUUUGCAAUCUGCCACACGGUUGCCACUUACAUAUUUCGUUAAAAAAAUGUUACAGGUGUAUUAGAAAAUGUUCUUGACGCAUACAAAAAUUGUAGAAUGGAAACCAAAAGGAACCAAAAAAUAAACAAAAAGGUCAAAAAAUAUAUAAUGAGAAAUAAAACCGAAGAAAGAAAUGCAAAAAGUAUGGGGAAACCGGUAAAACUCAUAAAGAAAGAAAGAAAAUUAAAAAACAUUGAAAACUAAGAAAACCAAAAGAAAAAAAGAAAAGAAAAAGAGAAGAAUUGAAAGAAAACGGAUGAAAAACAAAGAAGGAAAGAAAAGAAAAGAAAGAAAGAAAGUGAAAACCGAAAAGAAAGGAAGAGAAACUUUAAAAAAAGAAAAACCGGAGAAACUAGUGAGAAAACAAGAAAAACUAAAAAAAUAGCAAAACCAAUGAAGGAAGCUCAACUAGCAAAGGAACUCGAUAGAAAACUAGCCCAGCGAACGAGCGAAGGAAGUGCAGCGAGCGAUCGCGAACGAAAGAAAAAAGCAAAACUUGGCCGGCCUGAUAACUUCGUUGCAGAGCAAAGAUCUUCAGAGCAUCUCUAGCAGACCCUGAAUCCCGCCGACCCGCAAAACGCGUUUGCAGUUCGCGGAAAACGCGUUUUAAGGGUCGGUUUUUGCCGCGGCAGAACAGACCCCUCAAACUUAAACUGUAAAACGGAAUAUUCGCUUAUAUUCUGUCUUCUUCUUCCUCUCGUCCAUGUCCAUGGUCAGCUAGCUUGCUCCCGCAAAACCGACGAAUAACACACGAAGCGGUAAAAAUGGAGCCGCAGGAUCCAUCCAUUAGCUAACUAGCUCUGCUCGAAUCGAUCGAGAGCUACCUGCUAGCUCUGCUCGAAUCCAUCAAUCGGAUUUCGGGUUCCGCAGACCCUUGAGAGGUUCGAACUCUAGGGUGCGCACGAAGAGCACUCUCUCCCCAGUCUGCACACUCAACGAUUCCACGGCCUAGCUCGAUGAACCCAAAGAACAAGUGACACGGGGGUUUAUACUGGUUCGGGCCACCUUGCGGUGUAAUACCCUACUCCAGUUUUGUGGUGGAUUGCCUCGAGGGGCUGAGGAUGAACUAGUACAGUGGAUGAACGACCUCAGGAGGUGAGGUGUUCUUGAGCUCGAUGAGCUGGUGAGAUGGCCUUGGUGGAAUGGAUCCAGUCCAAGAUGAGAUGCCCCCUAUGGUGGUGGCUAAGUCCUAUUUAUAGUGGCCUUGGUCCUCUUCCCAAAUGUAGGCGGGAAGGGAUCCCACAACGGCCAAGUUUGAAGGGAGACAACUAGUGCAAGCUAUCCUGACAAAAGUAGUCUUCGCCUGCCAAAGGCUGUGGUGGUGACGCCGUUAUGGGCUCCGCGAUGACCUCCGUCCUGCCGUCCUGGUGGUCUUGGUCUUGUUGCACCGAUAAGUAAACCUUUGCUUGAUUCCUCGGAACUCCGCGCCUACGCUUGUCUCCUUAGCACCAAAGAGGAAACUGGUACGCUGCACUCGCUGGCGCCCGCCUGGCCUUGGUCGUCAUGGCUCAUGUCAAGUGAACCUCACGAGGUGCGCCUUGCAUAGAUAUCUCCGCUCCCCGGGAGCCAGCCUAGCGAGGCCGCCCCCAGGGAGGUCUUGGUGUCGUCCGCCUCGCGAGGCUUGACCCCUCGCGAGGGUCUUGAGGUGUUGCUGCUAAAGCUGGGCCGUACCGGGCCGUUGAUGGAGCCACGCCUUGGGCCGCAGACAGGCACGUCUGGGUACCCCCAUUCCCAGGACGCCGACAGUAGCCCCCGGGCCCAAGGCGCGCUCGGGCUUGGCUUCGAGACGAAGCCAAUGGGCAAGUGCGGAGCACCGCGGGCCCCAACCUCCUGCGGCCUCGGUCGACGCUUGGCGAUUGAUGGGACGUGGGCGCCUCCACUUCCCCAUGAUGCCUCAGCAACCGUUCUCGCCUGACAAAAAGGCUGGCGCAUGCUGCAGAGCCUUCAUUGCCUUCCUUCGUCUUGCUCCAGAUCCCCUUUCUCUUUCUCGCUCCAAAGACUCCUAAUCCGCCGAAAAUUCUCCCCGAGCCCGCAGCCGAUGGCGUCCGACAAGGCGAAGGCCGUGCGCUCGCCCUCCUGGUUCGAGCCUGCCUUGAGCGCGCCUACGGUCACGGGGAAGAACCUCGCCGUCGCGCUCCUGAUGACGGCGGCCAGCAGCAACGAGGGCAGAGUCCGCGCUCCGGGCCGGUUCCGCUGAGCCAGAGGCCUCGGGCAGCACCUUCUAUCCUUUCUUCAUGCACAACGUCUUCACGGGGCUGGUCCCUUCUUUAUCUGACUUCUUCUAUGCCGUCCUCAGCCAUUCCAAUCUCCAUGCCCUCCAUCUUCAUCCCAACUCCGUCCUCCUUUUGUCGAUCUUUGCCUUUUACUGCGAGGCAUUCGUGGGGGUGAUGUCGUCCGUGGCGCUGCUUUGCCACUUCUUCUACCUUCGGAACAAGGAGGGCCAGUGCUCGGGGUGCGCCAAUUUCGUUGCGGCCAACGGGACCAACGCAAUCUCAAGAGCCGGGAAGAAGGUUGAGGGCUUCAGGAACAAGUGGGUCCUCAUCGAUGCCAAGAUCUCCUACCCUCGGCUGGCGCUGCCGACGGGGAUGCCUUCGCAUCACGAGGUGUGGCUCAGCGCAAAGCUUGCCGGCCCCCGGGCGAAGCAGGUGCUCGAGAAGAUGGCGGCCGACCUGAAGCCAGACGACCCGAAGGCGGAGAAGCUGAUGGGGGCCAUGAUCGUCAAGGAAUUUCUGUCGCAGCACUUGGCUCCACUCCAGGCGCGCUCGCGCCCCCUGUGGAGGCUCAUGGAAGAGGGAGGCAACCUCCUCCUGCAUCCGGACGCCUUGUCCGACGAGGAGCUGGACAAGGCCCUCCAUCUCCUGGUUGGGGAGGACCAGGGGUACCCGCCGGAUACCCAUCUUCCGCUGUACCGCCGCCCAGAUGGGGCGGAGGUCGCCGCCGCCAUGCCCGUCUUUAACGAGCGCGGGCUCGUGCCGCCAGCGCCCGUUGAGGCCCCGGUGGUGCUGUCCUCCGGCGAGCCCAGUGAGGAGGAGGGGUCGGACUUGGAGGCUACCCAGGAGGGGGCGGGGGAGACUUCUCCUCCGCGCGUGGCCGAUCUCCUGCGCACCUUCCCCGACGACGACGCCGACGAGCAUCUGGCGAGGGAGUCACUGCACCCCGCCGGGGUCACCACGAGGUCGAAGGGCACCCCCUCAAAGAAGCCGCAGGCCGGGGUCCCAAAGAAAAGCAGAUCAGCGCGGAUCUCCCAAGACGGUGCUUCUGCUUCGGCGUCGGCUGGUGCUGCUGCGAAUCCUGCCGCCGUGCCUUUGUCUGCUCCUAGGGCUCGCACGCCGGUGCCCCAGGCCGCGAAGCCUUCGGGCUUGGUGCUUCAGAAGAGGGUGAGGGAGUACGCCGCCGUGGACCAGUAAGUGCUCCACCCUGAUUCUUGUCCCUGUUUCUGCCGUUGUUUCUUGAUGCUUCUCCCUUGUACUGUCAGGCCAACGCUGGCGAAGAAGAAGAAGGAGACGGCCGCGACUCCUGGGGCCCGGCAGCCUGCCGCGGUUGCGCCACCUCUGGUGUGGAAGGACGGCGAUGGCUCUCGCGCCUCAGCGGCUGGGUCAUCCUCGCGAGAUUCAGAGGCCCGGCCUUAGAAGAAGGCGACCUCCAUGGCCCAGCCGGCUCCGAAGGCGCCCGCCCCCAGCUCGCCUGCUGAGGCUCCGAUGGCUCAGGAGGCCCCGGCCUCUUCUGCUGCCACCAACUUGCAGGUCUUGGCGGCGAUGCUGCCUCCUCCUCUCCCCAUCACGCCGCUGGGCCGUGAUCCUUCUGCUUUGCCUGACGCUCUGGAGGAGGCUCUUUCCACGCUGACCCAGCUUCGGGACGACCUUCAAGGCACCGACCGUCGCCUGGCGUUGGGGCGCCUGUAGUUGAUCUUGGGAUGGUUGCGAUCCGACGCGUCCGUCUGGGCGGCGGCAUGGAGCCAAGCCAUAGAAGCCUCCGAGGAAGGUGAGCGGGCCGUCGGCCUGGCCGCGACCGCCCGUGACGCAGCGCUGAAGGAUGUUGUGGCUGCCAAGGAGCGCUGCCGGUUGGCGGAGGCCGAGCUGGAGACUAUGCGCAAUGAGCGCAUCGUCGAGGCUCGGCAGCACGAGGCGUGGGAGGAGAAGAUGAAGGCUCGAGAAGACGCGGUUGCCCGUCGUGACACUGAGCUGGAGCAAUCGGCACGGGCGCAGGCCGCGGAGUGCGGCCGCCUGGAGAAGCUGAAGGAGAAGGUGGAGGCGGAGAAGGCCCAGCUGGAAGCCAAGGCGAAGGUUCUUGUCGAAGAUCAUGUAGCCUUCAAUUCCCUUGAGCUGCAGUCCCGCAAGGCACUGCAGGAGCUCUAUGGGAGGGGUUUGAAGAAGCCAUUUAUGACUGCUGAGGAAGGCCCCGCCGAGCUACUCCCCCAGCUUGCCACGACACUCGAGGGCGUCGUUAAUGGGGUCGGCCCCAUGGUGGAAGGGGAAGCCCACGCGCUCUCCUCCUCGGCUCUGACGCGCGUCUUCAGCCAGCUUCGUCUUCGCGACCCUGGCAUCGACCUCGGCGCUCUGCUUGAGCCUGUGGACGAGGAGCACUGCGCAGCCGCCGCCGAAGCCGUGAAGGACCGGGUGGACGCCCUACUGGAGAAGUUCCUCGCCAUCGACCCCGCGCCUCCGUCUGAUGGUGCCGCUGAUGCUACGGCCACAGCCGACGGCACGGGCAACGGCGACGUUGCCGACGAAGGAGUACCCCUUGCAGGCGACGGCAGCGCCCAAGGCUGAUGAGAAGGCUCGCUGGCGGCGCUUCCCUCUGCUUUUAUUUCCUGCCACAUGCAUUGUGCCUCGUGGAGGCGUUAAAACUUAUGCUUGGUAUUCGGAGAAACAAUAUGUCUUAUAAUAAUUUGUUAGGAUUCUGCGAUUUCCUUCCCGUUGCCUUAGUGUUCUGCAUCGGCAGGGCCCGGCCCCGCGCAUGCCUCAGCCACCGCCAGGACGAGACCAAGGGGUGAGGGGCUACGUGACCAGUUAGGCUCCUAAGGCGCGAUGCUCAGGAGUCCCCCUUGACGUACAAAUAGCCUUCGGGAAGGAGAUGCGAGAGUAGGCCUUAGCGUUCUGCGUCGGCAGGGCCCGGCCCCGUGUAUGCCUUAGCCGUCGUUGGGUCGUUCGGAUCGCCAGGACAAGACCAAGGGGUGAGGGGCUACGUGGCCAGUUAGGCCCUUGGGUCACACGAUGCCCAAGGGUCCCCCUUGACGUACGAAUAGACCCCAUACCUGUCCUCGCUGGUCUCUCGCGCGGGAGGGUUGCGCGAAGGCCAAGUCCGAAGGACAUGGCGAGGUGGCGUACGCCAGGCGUGACCUGAGCGUAGCCCCCGUGCCCAGCCCCCUUGCGCUACUCUCCCGAGGGGAAAGCAGCGCGGUGAGGCUAGUCACCGAGCCUGGUGGCUCCCUGAGGUUAUUGCAGCCGUGAGGCCACCCUCAGUUGUUGAUCACCAGCGCGUAGCAUGGCGCUACCGUUUUUGCACGGGCAUAGCCGCUCCUCGGUCGUGUCGACUGCCAGCGCGGAGCAUGGUGUUUCCACUGGUACGUGGGAGGGGGCUCCCUCUGAGGAGAGCCCCCGGGGCGUGUACAGCCCCGCCCUGACACAUGGCUUGUGAUAGGUCUCCGUCGUAUCUAUAAUUUUUUAUUGUUCCAUGCCAAUAUUAUACAACUUCCAUAUACUUUUUGGCAACUUUUUAUACUAUUUUUGGGACUAACAUAUUGAUCCAAUGCCCAGUGCCAGUUCCUGUUUGUUGCAUGUUUUUGUUUCGCAGAAUAUCCAUAUCAAACGGAGUCCAAACGGGAUAAAAACAGACGGAGAUUAUUUUUGGAAUAUUCGGAGAAUAUGGGAAGGAAAAUCCACGCAAGACGGUGCUCGAGGGAGGCACGACGCAGGGGGGCGCGCCCCACCCCCCUGGGCGUGCCCCUGACCCUCGUGGGCCCCCCGUAAGGCGGUUGAUGCCCUUCUUCGGCCGCAAGAAAGCUAAUUUUGGGGGAAAAAUCACGGCGAUGGUUUCAGUCCAAUCGGAGUUACGGAUCUCCAUAUAUAUACGAAACGGUGAAAGGGCAGCAGACCAGAGCGCAGAAACAGAGAGAGACAGAGAGACAGAUCCAAUCUCGGAGGGGCUCUCACCCCUCCCAUGCCAUGGAGGCCAAGGACCAGAGGGGAAACCCUUCUCCCAUCUAGGGAGGAGGUCAAGGAAGAAGAAGAAGAAGAAGGGGCCCCCUCUCCCCUUCUCUUCCGGUGGCGCCGGAACGCUGCCGUGCCCACCAUCAUCAUCGCCGCAAUCUUCACCAACAACUUCACCGCCAUCAUCACCAACUCUUCCCCCCUCUAUGCAGCGGUGUAACCUCUCUCUUACCCGCUGUAAUCUCUACUUAAACAUGGUGCUCAACGCUAUAUAUUAUUUCCCAAUGAUGUAUGGCUAUCCUAUGAUGUUUGAGUAGAUCCGUUUUGUCCUACGGGUUAUUUGAUGAUCAAGAUUGGUUUGAGUUGCAUGUUUUAUUAUUGGUGCUGUCCUAUGGUGCUCUCCGUGUCGCGCAAGCGUGAGGGAUCCCCGCUGUAGGGUGUUGCAAUACGUUCAUGAUUCGCUUAUAGUGGGUUGCAUGAGUGACUGAAACACAAACCCGAGUAAGGGGGUUGUUGCGUAUGGGAUAAAGAGGACUUGAUGCUUUAAUGCUCUGGUUGGGUUUUACCUUAAUGAUCUUUAAUAGUUGUGGAUGCUUUCUAGAGUUCCAAUCAUAAGUGCAUAUGAUCCAAGUAGAGAAAGUAUGUUAGCUUAUGCCUCUCCCUCAAAUAAAAUUGCAAUAAUGAUUACCGGUCUAGUUAUCGAUUGCCUAGGGACAAAUAACUUUCUCGUAACAAAAAGCUCUUUACUAAAACUAAUUAGUUGUGUCUUUAUCUAAACAGCCCCUACCUUUUAUUUACGCUCUCUUUAUAUUCUUGCAAACCUAUCUAAAAACACCUACAAAGUACUUCUAGUUUCAUACUUGUUCUAGGUAAAGCGAACGUUAAGCGUGCGUAGAGUUGUAUCGGUGGUCGAUAGAACUUGAGGGAAUAUUUGUUCUACCUUUAGCUCCUCGUUGGGUUCGACACUCUUACUUAUCGAAAGAGGCUACAAUUGAUCCCCUAUACUUGUGGGUUAUCAAGACCUUUUUCUGGCACCGUAGCCGGGGAGCAAUAGCGUGGGGUGAAUAUUCUCGUGUGUGCUUGUUUGCUUUAUCUCUAAGUAAUUUUUAUUUGCUGUUCUUAGUUGUUCUCUAUCUUUAGUUAUGGAUAUGGAACAUGAAAUACCAAAAAAAUUAGGUGUACUUGCUACUCUUGGAGAUGGGGAACCUCCUAAAACCCUUGAUGAUCAUUAUGUGAAAAAUAUUUUGUACCACUUUGAUAAUCCUGAGAAAACCUCAUUCAAUUAUGUAAUGGGAGACACGUUGGACCAACGUGAAUACUUUAGGGAUUAUCGCUUGACUCAAAAAGGGAAACUAUUAUGGGAUCAAAUUUAUAUGUUGAAGUGGUAUGCUCGGCAAGUAUGCUUGAGAUAUGAUUAUACUUGUUGCUCUAGGAUGAAGGCUCCACACCUUCCCUUUUCAUGCAAAUUUAAUGAUAAUGAAACCUUGGCUUCUUAUGCUAGAGGUAUAUAUGAUUACUAUGAUGUGGAACAAAUAGAAGAAUUUGUUGCUUUUAAGGGUGCUUAUGAAAUUGAAUUUUUGGUUGAAAAGUACGAAGCUUUUGAUGAUGAUGUUUAUAGGCCUGAAAAUUUUUCUAUAUUGAAAUAUUGUUAUGAGAAUUAUGAAUACAAUUCCGAUAUUGAUGCAUUUAUUGAGAAAGUCUCCACUGUCCAAGAAGAGACUAAUAUUUUGCAUGAGUCUAUGGAAGAAGAAAUUGAAGAAACUGUGAGCUCAUUGGAUGAAAAAGAUGAUGAGGAGAGCGAAGAACAAAAGGAGGAAGAGCGGAUUAGCUACCCGUGCCCACCUUCUAAUGAGAGUAACUCUUCAACUCAUACAUUGUUUAAUUCCCCUUAUUGCACCCACGCAUGAUAGUCCUAUUAUCUUUUUGAAUUCUCCCGACUACACUAUAUCGAAGAAGUUUGCACUUAUUAAGGAUUACAUUGAUGGGUUGCCUUUUACCGUUGCACAUGAUGAUUUUGAUGAAUAUAAUAUACAUGUGCUUGCUGCUCCUACUUGAAAUUAUUAUGAGAGAGGAACUAUAUCUCCACCUCUCUAUGUUUCCAACACGAUAAAAUUGCAAGAAACUGUUUAUACUAUGCAUUGGCCUUUACUAUGUGUGCAUGAAUUGUUCUUUUAUGACAUGCCGAUGGAUAGGAAGAGAGUUAGACUUCGUUGUUGCAUGAUAUAUGUUGCCUUGUGCUCACUACUAAAUGCCAAAUCAUUGCUAAUUAAAAUAGGCUUUGAUAUACCUUGGGAUCCGGGUGGAUUCACUACUUGAGCACUAUAUGCGCAGCUUAAUGCCUUUAAAGAAAGCGCUGCCAGGGAGACAACCCGGAAGUUAUAGAGAGUCAUUUAUUUCUGUUGAGUGCUUUUACAUAGUUUAAAAACAAAAUAAAAUAAAGAGGGGAACCUAAAACUUUUUCAAAAAGAAAACUGAAAGUGAGAAAGACGAGCAUUGUUAAAGUGGGAGCUAGCCUUGAACUUUGUUCAUGCUCACGGAAACUUUGUGAAUCUUGAUUACAGAAACUUUUCACUAAAUAUAAUUAUCCCCUUGUACAAUUCCAUUGUAUUAUAAAAAUAAUGUGCCAAGGUUUGCCUUUAGGAUGUUUACAAUGCUUGUUGGUUUGUACGGUGCAGGACAGAAAUUUUGGCUGUAGUGCUCGAUUUUACAUUUUUUUACUGGAACGUCAAAUGGUUCUGAUUAUUUUUGCACUGUCUUUCUAUACAAAUUGCUUAUUUUUCCUAAUUUUAGCAGAAUUGUUCAAGUAUCAGAAGUAUCGUGAAUGUUCAGAUUAUUACAGACUGUUCUGUUUUAGACAGAUUCUGUUUUUGAUGCAUAGUUUGCUUCUUUUGAUGAAACUAUCGAUUUAUAUCAGUGGAUUAAGCCAUGAAAAAAUUAUAUUUCAGUAGCUACAAUGCCAAAACAAAAUAUGAAUUGGUUUGCAACAGUACUUAGAGUAGUGAUUUGCUUUAUUAUACUAACGGAUCUUACCAAGUUUUCUGUUGAAGUUUUGUGUGGAUGAAGUGUUCGAUGAUCGAGGAGGUCUCGAUGUGAGAAGAAGGAAGAGAGGCAAGAGCUCAAGAUUGGGGAUGCCCAAGGCACCCCAAGUAAAUAUUCAAGGAGACUCAAGCAUCUAAGCUUGGGGAUGCCCCGGAAGGCAUCCCCUCUUUCUUCAACAAGUAUCGGUAUGUUUUCAGAUUCGUUUCGUUCAUGCAAUAUGUGCAAGUCUUGGAGCGUCUUUUGCAUUUAGUUUUCAUUUUUCUUUUAUGCACCAUGCUGGUAUGAGAUAGUCCUUGGUUGAUUUAUAAGAAUGCUCUUUGCACUUCACUUAUAUCUUUUGAGUAUGGCUUUAUAGAAUGCUUCAUGUGCUUCACUUAUAUCAUUUGAAGUUUGGAUUGCCUGUUUCUCUUUACAAAGAAAACCGCCAUUUGUAGAAUGCUCUUUUGCUUCACUUAUAUUUGUUAGAGCGUGGGCAUAUCUUUUUUAGAAAUAAUUAAACUCUCUUGCUUCACUUAUAUCUAUUUAGAGAGAUGGCAGGAACUGGUCAUUCACAUGGUUAGUCAUAAAAUCCUACAUAAAACUUGUAGAUCACUGAAUAUGAUAUGUUUGAUUCCUUGCAAUAGUUUUGCGAUAUAAAGAUGGUGAUAUUAGACUCAUGAUAGUGGGUAGUUGUGGAUUAGUAGAAAUACUUGUGUUGAGGUUUGUGAUUCCCGUAGCAUGCACGUAUGGUGAACCGUUGUGUAACGAAGUCGGAGCAUGAGGUAUUUAUUGAUUGUCUUAUGAGUGGCGGUCGGGGACGAGCGAUGGUCUUUUCCUACCAAUCUAUCCCCCUAGGAGCAUGCGCGUAGUACUUUGUUUUGAUAACUAAUAGAUUUUUGCAAUAAGUAUGUGAGUUCUUUAUGACUAAUGUUGAUUCCAUGGAUUAUACGCACUCUCACCCUUCCACCAUUGCUAGCCUCUCUAGUACCGUGCAACUUUCGCCGGUACCAUAAACCCACCAUAUACCUUCCUCAAAACAGCCACCAUACCUACCUAUCAUGGCAUUUCCAUAGCCAUUCCGAGAUAUAUUGCCAUGCAACUUCCAUCAUCAUCAUAUACAUGACUCGAGCAUUCAUUAUCAUAUUGCUUUGCAUGAUCGUAAGAUAGCUAGCAUGAUAUUUUCAUGGCUUGUCCAUUUUUUGAUAUCAUUGCUACACUAGAUCAUUGCACAUCCCGGUACACCGCCGGAGGCAUUCAUAUAGAGUCAUAUCUUUGUUCUAGUAUCGAGUUGUAAUAUUGAGUUGUAAGUAAAUAAAAAGUGUGAUGAUCAUCAUUAUUAGAGCAUUGCCCCGGUGAGGAAAGGAUGAUGGAAACUAUGAUUCCCCCACAAGUCGGGAUGAGACUCCGGACUUUAAAAAUAAAUAAAAGAGGCCAAAGAAGCCAAAAAGAAGAGGCAAAACAAGCCCACCAAAAAAGGGGAAAAAAUAAAAGAGAAUAAAAAAAUGAGAGAAAAAGAGAGAAGGGACAAUGUUACUAUCCUUUUACCACACUUGUGCUUCAGAGUAGCACCAUGUUCUUCAUAUAGGGAGUCUCUUGAGUUAUCACUUUCAUAUACUAGUGGGAAUUUUCAUUAUAGAACUUGGCUUGUAUAUUCCGAUGAUGGGCUUCCUCAAACGCCCGAGGUCUUCAUGAGCAAGCAAGUUGGAUGCACACCCACUUAGAUUUCAGUCUGAGCUUUCAUACACUUAUAGCUCUUAGUGCAUCCUUUGCAUGGCAAUACCUACUCACAUUGAUAUCUAUUGAUGGGCAUCUCCAUAGCUCGUUAAUACGCCUAGUUGAUGUGAGACUAUCUUCUCCUUUUUGUAUUCUCCACAACCACCAUUCUAUUCCACCUAUAGUGCUAUGUCCAUGGCUCACGCUCAUGUAUUGCGUGAAAGUUGAAAAGGUUUGAGAACAUCAAAAGUAUGAAACAAUUGCUUGGCUUGUCCUCGGGUUUGUGCAUGAUUUGAAUAUUUUAUGUGGUGAAGAUGGAGCAUAGCCAGACUAUAUGAUUUUGUAGGGAUAACUUUUUUUGGGCAUGUUAUUUUGAAAAGACAUGAUUGCUUUAUUAGUAGGCUUGAAGUAUUAUUGUUUUUACAUCAAAUGAUAGACUAUUGCUUUGAAUCACUCGUGUCUUAAUAUUCAUGCCAUGAUUAGAUACAUGAUCAAGAUUAUGCUAGGUAGCAUUCCACAUCAAAAAUUAUCUUUUUUAUCAUUUACCUACUCGAGGACGAGCAGGAAUUAAGCUUGGGGAUGCUGAUACGUCUCCGUCGUAUCUAUAAUUUUUGAUUGUUCCAUGCCAAUAUUAUACAACUUUCAUAUACUUUUUGGCAACUUUUUAUACUAUUUUUGGGACUAACAUAUUGACCAGUGCCCAGUGCCAAUUCCUGUUUGUUGCGUGUUUUUGUUUCACAGAAUAUCCAUAUCAAACGGAGUCCAAACGGGAUAAAAAUGGAUGGAGAUUAUUUUUGGAAUAUUCGGAGAAUAUGGGAAGGAAAAUCCACGCGAGACGGUGCCCGAGGGAGGCACGAGGCAGGGGGCACGCCCCACCCCCCUGGGCGUGCCGAUGACCCUUAUGGGCCCCUCGUAAGGUGGUUGAUGCCCUUCUUUGAGCCGCAAGAAAGCUAAUUUUUGGGGAAAAAUCACGGCGAAGGUUUCAGUCCAAUCGGAGUUACGGAUCUCCAUAUAUAUACGAAACGGUGAAAGGGCAGCAGAAUGGAGGGCAGAAACAGAGAGAGACAGAGAGACAGAUCCAACCUCGGAGGGGCUCUCGCCCCUCCCAUGCCAUGGAGGCCAAGGACCAGAGGGCAAACCCUUCUCCCAUCUAGGGAGGAGGUCAAGGAAGAAGAAGAAGAAGGGGACCCUCUCCCCUUCUCUUCCGGUGGCGCCGGAACGCUGCCGUGGCCACCAUCAUCAUCACCGCAAUCUUCACCAACAACUUCACCACCAUCAUCACCAACUCUCCCCCCUCUAUGCAGCGUUGUAACCUCUCUCUUACCCGCUGUAAUCUCUACUUGAACAUGGUGCUCAACGCUAUAUAUUAUUUCCCAAUGAUGUAUGGCUAUCCUAUGAUGUUUGAGUAGAUCCGUUUUGUCCUAUGGGUUAUUUGAUGAUCAAGAUUGGUUUGAGUUGCAUGUUUUAUUAUUGGUGCUGUCCUAUGCUGCUCUCCGUGUCGCGCAAGCGUGAGUGAUCCCCGCUGUAGGGUGUUGCAAUAGGUUCAUGAUUCGCUUAUAGUGGGUUGCGUGAGUGACUGAAACACAAACCCGAGUAAGGGGGUUGUUGCGUAUGGGAUAAAGAGGACUCGAUGCUUUAAUGCUAUGGUUGGGUUUUACCUUAAUGAUCUUUAGUAGUUGCGGAUGCUUGCUAGAGUUCCAAUCAUAAGUGCAUAUGAUCCAAGUAGAGAAAGUAUGUUAGCUUAUGCCUCUCCCUCAAAUAAAAUUGCAAUAAUGAUUACCGGUCUAGUUAUCGAUUGCCUAGGGACAAAUAACUUUCUCGUAACAAAAAGCUCUUUACUAAAACUAAUUUAGUUGUGUCUUUAUCUAAACAGCCCCUACCUUUUAUUUACGCUCUCUUUAUAUUCUUGCAAACCUAUCUAAAAACACCUACAAAGUACUUCUAGUUUCAUACUUGUUCUAGGUAAAGCGAACGUUAAGCGUGCGUAGAGUUGUAUCGGUGGUCGAUAGAACUUGAGGGAAUAUUUGUUCUACCUUUAGCUCCUCAUUGGGUUCGACACUCUUACUUAUCGAAAGAGGCUACAAUUGAUCCCCUAUACUUGUGGGUUAUCAGCUUGCACGGCAGGGCUAGAGGAGGUGUGUCUGGGCACCCAUGAGCCAGCGCGGGACUCAUGGGGCCCUACCUCAAGGCGGGUUGCGCCUGGUCUUGAUUGAGAGCACUUGUAAUAAUCCUGCGAGAUGGUUAGGCAACGUGCGCCGAGUGAAUCCCUUGAGGCUACCACAUGAGAAGGCCAGACACCAAUGGCCCCAGGAAGUGACGUGAACGGGGCCUGCCCGCCAGACAGAGCUCAUCCGCUGGGUUUAUCGACGUUGCAGGGACGGACCCGAGCACGGACGUUGUGCCUAGUCUUCUCAUGCGGACAUCUUGAAGAAAGACAGCCGGCGCGCGGCUCCCAUAGCGACGAGGCACCGUGUCGUGCGCCCUCACUUAUCCAUCCGCGAUUAGCUCAUCCGAGGGCAAGACACCAAGGACCAUGGGAGGUGACGUACACGGGAGCUGGCCCGUGAGCCAGAGCUCAGCCUCUUGGGUUUAGCAACGCUACAGGGAAGGACCUGAGCACAGACACCGUGCCAGUCCUUAAUCAUGAGGCAGUCGUGGGUGGAUUUGCAAGGGUGUACGACGUUCAUGGCAACGAAGUACCGGACAUGCAGAUGAUAAUCAUAAAGCGACUGAUGGAAAGGGUAACGCUAGUUCAGGUAGAUGCAAGAAUGAUACAUGCCACAGGGAUGGACCCAUGCGGCCUGGGGAUGAUGCAGCCCGAGGGGCGCCCCCAACAAGGUAAAUUAAAGAUGCAAAAAGAUACAUGUCGCAGGGACAGACCCGUGCGACCUGGGAAAAAUGCAGCCCGAGGGGCGCCCCCAACUGAACAAACUGGAAAAUGUCACCUGGCACCGUUGCUGAAGGGAUGUUGGAAGCUGAAGACGCUUGUCGAAGAAGUCGCUCUUCACAAGCCGCCUGGGUCAUGAGCCUCAGGAGCCUCUGGGGGUCCGGGGGGGCUCAUGAAGAACUGUCGCCAUCUCCGUUAAGACCGCCUGGUGCCUGGUCUCCUGAGCUGCCAGGACGCGCCGCGGGUGGCGCUGGAAGGAGACAGCCGUGUUCAGCAGGCUAUAAGGCAUGCGAACGUAGUUGUGAGGGGGGCCCUCACACCGACCAACGCGCGAUGGCUAGAAGCGCUCCUGAGACGCAGCCCUGUUGAGCCCGAGGUAGUCGAUGCAGACGCGCAGCUCGCUGUCCUCGCCUGGACAAGGAGCUGCGCCAGGUGGUAGGCGGCGGUCGCCGCGCAUGGCUCUUGCCUCUUGAAGCUCCUCGGUCGUCUUGGUGAUGAACUCCUGAGCACCAGGCACCUCGUGCCUCGUGCCCUCAUGCGGGAAGCGUGCGAUGAAGCAUGCCCCCAUGUGGUGCCCGAGCGCCUCCCUCGUGACGUUGCCUAGUUCAGAGGCCCUCCAGAGGAGAGCCCCCGAGCCCAGCCUAAGAGGGGCGAUGGGCGCGCCUUCCUAUGCGAGGGAGGGAGGCACCCCAUUCGCGGACACAUGUCUUGAGGUGGUGCGGCUGGAGACUACGACUCCUAAGGCUUUUGGUUGAAAAGCUGCUUCUUCUUCUUGGGGACAGCCUCGGGAGGGUAGACGGCACCUUCGUUGUCCGGGUCCUCGACUUCCGCAGCCUAGUAGGCGCGCUCAAGGGAGCACACGGCGUCCUUCUCCUCGCAGGCGAUCUUGAUGAUGUCACGGCUCCCUGGCAUCUUGAGGACGUUGUAGCCAUGAUGGGUCACCGCCAUGAACUUGGCCAGGGCCGUAUACCAAGGAUGGCAUUGUACGGUAGGCAGAUGUGGGCGACGUCGAAGUCGAUGAGCUCGGUGCGGUAGUUGUCGUGUUGGCCGAAGGUGACAGGGAGGCGGAUCUGCCCUAUCGGGGUGGUGGAGCCGUCAGUCACUCCUGAGAAAGGCUUGGUGGGCUGUAGCUGAUCGUAUGGCACUUGGAGGCGGUCGAACGUCUCGAUGGAAAGGACAUUGAGCCCUGCACCACCAUCGAUGAGUGUCUUGGUGACAAGGACAUUGCUGAUGAUGGGUGAAUAGAGCAUAGGGAGGGCGCCGGCAGUGGUCGCGCACUUGAGCUGGUCGGACGAGCCAAAGGUGAUGGUGCACUUGGACCACCUAAGCGGGCACGUUGCCUCGAGCCUGGGGAGAGCCGCAUUCACCUCACGGGCGAACUGCUUGAAGAUGCACUGAGAGGCUGGGGCCUGAGCAUCACCCAAGAUGCAGGCGAUGGCGCGUGGCUCCUGGAAGCCCCCAACCCCCUCAUCCUGGUCGUCGUUCCUCCUUGGUGGUGGUGGCAGUGGAGGGAGGCCCACCUUGCCCUGAGGACGGUCCUCACGAGGCUGAUCCCUCCGGGCGUCCUCGCGAGGCUGGCCCUACCAGCGAUCCUCAUGAGGCUGGUCGCGCCACUCCUGGCGGGGACCGCGGUCGUCCCAGUGUCCUCCACUUCGUCCUCCUCCAUGGACGUAGCCUCGGUCGUUGCGCUCAGGGCGUCGACUGAAGCGCCCGUCGCGGAUGGCCCUGAGCUCUUGACAGUCGCUGGUGUUGUGGCUGUGCACGUUGUGGAAGGCGCAGAAUGGGCGACUGCCCUUGGAUGACUCCGGGUGGUCGAGGCCGCGCUUCAUCUCUGGCUCAGCCGCAAGCACGGCCGCUCCCUUGCGCUUCACAUCCUUGGCCCUGGCCUUCUUGUCUUCUGGGUCUGCAGCUGGGAGCUCAAGGAGGGAGAGGCGCCCUUCCUCAGCUCUCGCGCACUUGGUCGCCAUGUUGAACAUCUCCAGAGCCGUGCACAGGUCCUCGUGUAUGGCGAGCUCCUCUUUCAUCUUGACAUCAUGGACGCCAUCAGAGAAUGCGGAGAUGAUGGCCUCGUCUGUCACCUUGGGGAUCUUGAGGCGAACGUUGUUGAAGUGCUGGAUGUACUUCUGCAGGGUUUCCCCUGGCUGCUGCUUGAUGCGCCGCAGGUCACCCGCGGCAGGUGGGCAGUCGCGAGUACCCUGGAAGUUGGCGACGAAACGCUCACGCAUCUCGCCCUAGGAGGAGAUCCAUCCCGCGGGCAGGUCGAGGAGCCAUGAGCGCGCGCCGUCCUUGAGAGCCUUGGGAAACCAGUUCGCCAUGACCUUCUCGUCGCCGUUGGCCGCCUCGAUGCUUAGCUCAUAGAGCUGCAGGAACUCAGCAAGGUCGGGGGUGCCGUCGUAGCGCGGAGGCAGGUCGGGCUUGAACUUCCCGCGCUAGACGACGCUGCGCAGCUCGGGAGUAAAGGCACGGCAACCCGUUGUAGUCGCUGGAGCCCGUCGUGGAGGCGGAGCCUGGUCUUGGUACCCACGCGCCGCCACCGCAGGCGGCGCACGGUCUUGACGCGGUGGUGCCGGGAGCACGGGAGCAUCUUCUUGCGGCCACGGAACCUCGGCAGCUUCCUUCUUCACGCGCGGGCAUCCUACGCGGCAGGUCGUGCCGCGGGGCCGCGCGCCUUGGUGCGAGGGCGACGUCUUGACGGGGAGGUGGUGAAGGCGCUCCAUUGGCUACGUCGCCCGCGGCAGGCACCGGGCGAGGCAGCGAGAGAGACGGUGCGGGAGAACCCCCAGUGGCGCUGACGAGCUCGGUGAUGCGGUCCAGCCAGUCCUCGUAGAGGUCGUCGACGGGGCAGUAGCGCAGGAGCUCGCGCGCCAAGAGUAGCGAAGCCUGUGCGUCCGCAGGCCCACGACGAGCGUGGGACGACGAGCCGGCCGGAGUCAGCGACGGGGUGGUGGUACAUCCAUCCCGCCGCAUGGAGGGGUGCAGCGACGAAGCUUGUUGCUCGUGCCCGCCGUGCCAGUGGCAGCGUUGGCUGCGGGUGAUGGAGAGCGACGGGGAGGCCCGCCGACAGGCGCUGUCUGGGCGACGCGGGUGGCGAGAGCGGCUCGGCGCUCAGCGCGGGCUCGGCGAGCAUCAGCCAUGGAAGCAGUGGAGCGGUGCGUCGACUGACGAAGAAGAGGCUUCGGCACACCCCUACCUAGCGCGCCAAAUGUCGGAUUUUGGGUUCCGUAGACCCUUGAGAGGUUUGAACUCUGGGGUGCGCAUGAAUAACACUUUCUCCCCAGCCUGCUCACUCAACGAUUCCACGGCCUAACUCGACGAACCCAAAGAAUAGGUGACACGGGGGUUUAUACUAGUUUGGUCCACCUUGCGGUGUAAUACACUACUCCAGUUUUGUGGUGGAUUGCCUUGAGGGACUGAGGAUGAACUAGUAUAGUGGAUGAACGACCUCAGGAGGUGAGGUGUUCUUGAGCUCGAUGAGCUGGUGAGAUGGCCUUGGUGGAAUGGAUCCAGCCGAAGAUGAGAUGCCCCCUAUGGUGGUGGCUAAGUCCUAUUUAUAGUGGUCUUGGUCCUCUUCCCAAAUGUAGGCGGGAAGGGAUCCCACAACGGCCAAGUUUGAAGGAAGACAACUAGUACAAGCUAUCCUGACAAAAGUAGUCUUCGCCUACCAAAGGCUCUGGUGGUGACGUCGCUAUGGGCUCCGCGAUGACCUCCGUCCUGCCGUCUUGGUGGUCUUGGUCUUGUUGCACCGACAAGGAAACCUUUGCUUGAUUCCUCGGGACUCCGCGUCUGCGCUUGCCUCCUUAGCACCAAAGAGGAAACUGGUACGCUGCACCCGUUGGCGCCUGCCUGGCCUUGGUCGUCAUGGCUCACGUCAUGUGAACCUCGCGAGGUGCGCCUUGCAUAGAUAUCUCUGCUCCUUGGGAGCCAGCCUAGCUAGGCCACUCCCAGGGAGGUCUUGGUGUCGUCCGCCUCGCGAGGCUUGGCCCCUCGCGAGGGUCUUGAGCUGUUGCUACUGAAGCUGGGCCGUACCGGGCCGUUGAUGGAGCCACGCCUUGGGCCGCAGGCAGGCAAGUCUGGGUACCCCCAUUCCCUGGACGCCGACACCAUCCAGGAGCGAGCUAGCUAGCUAGCUCCUCCGUCACCGCGCGCUGCGGCCGGGGCGGACGACGCAGACGGGCGGGCGCGGUGGCCGGGUCGGACANNNNNNNNNNNNNNNNNNNNNNNNNNNNNNNNNNNNNNNNNNNNNNNNNNNNNNNNNNNNNNNNNNNNNNNNNNNNNNNNNNNNNNNNNNNNNNNNNNNNNNNNNNNNNNNNNNNNNNNNNNNNNNNNNNNNNNNNNNNNNNNNNNNNNNNNNNNNNNNNNNNNNNNNNNNNNNNNNNNNNNNNNNNNNNNNNNNNNNNNNNNNNNNNNNNNNNNNNNNNNNNNNNNNNNNNNNNNNNNNNNNNNNNNNNNNNNNNNNNNNNNNNNNNNNNNNNNNNNNNNNNNNNNNNNNNNNNNNNNNNNNNNNNNNNNNNNNNNNNNNNNNNNNNNNNNNNNNNNNNNNNNNNNNNNNNNNNNNNNNNNNNNNNNNNNNNNNNNNNNNNNNNNNNNNNNNNNNNNNNNNNNNNNNNNNNNNNNNNNNNNNNNNNNNNNNNNNNNCGGCCGGGCGGCCGGGCGAGCUUCAUGGUGUUGGCAGGAGCAGAGAUUUCUCAACCGCCCUGGAAAAGUUGCCUUCAAAACUGUAGAUACGAGGGUUUCGGCUUCGUAUUUACGGGGCCCCUUAAAAAAAUUAAGGGUCGGACGAUUUUAAAGGGUCUGUUCGGGCCCGUUUUUUCAACUGGAAUUGUAAAAAAUAGUUAUUUUGCGGGUUUAACCACUUAUGCGGGUCUGCUAGAGAUGCUCUCAGCGAGACAGAAGGAAGUCUCACUUAAGGCGAGAAAUAGUCAUCGCGUCUUAUUCAGGCGCAUCCGGGAGAUCCUCGUCAGUUCAUGAACAACAAGCAAUUGUCUUUUUGAACAUGAAUUAUAGCUUGAUGUAUAGCGGGGAACACUACGGUGCAACACACGUACAUAAUAGGAUUAAGAAAAAAUCCACAUUACUCUCUCUAUAUAUAUAUGUCAGUUUCUUCACGUAUAUCACAGUUAGAUAACCGGAGUGGGGAAGAACAGUGGUGCCGUAUGAUACGGGGCUAUCGCGUGUAUGCACAUAUCUAUACCGACUCUGCCCACAAAUGGAAAUAUAAAAAGUAGCAUUGAUGUGCGCUAGUGGGGAAUCCAGACUCUCUGGGAAGGCCUUAAUCCUGUUGAUUUCGACAUUCUACUUUACGUCCCCUGUUACUAAAUUCUAUUUCAGUAUUUUACCUUUAUGCUCGCAACCCGGUUUUCACCAUUUUACUACUAUGUUGGAUUUCCUACAACUUGCAGGCAUGGCUAUUUAAAAAGUAAAUGUGGAUGUCUGGGUAGUGCACCCACUAGAUUAAUUACACAUGUAAUCCGCCAACACUAAAUGCAAAUUUGCAACACACUUAUCUAUAUAUUAAAUGAGGGCAUAUCUUAGCAUGAUAUGGUCAGUCUUAUUAAUGCUUUAACAAAUAUACCAAUCUUAGAAAAUCAAUUUUAGCAAAAAAAAAGCCCGCGAGCAUUCAAUAUGGUUACCAGAUAUCGCAAGGCCAUCCAUAAGAUUUAAGAUCUUAUCCAACAAACUAAAUCUACAUGUAGAUUUGUUGGAUGGAGAGAUGUGGUAUUUAAGUGUGCUCACCACCAUAGCCCAUAUAAAAAACCAUGUGGUGUAGAAGUCUUGCAUAACCAAAGAUUGAUCAACACACCUGCCUAGUGUUAACAUCUUCCACAAGAAAGAUGGCUAGUUCUAAAGUAAUGUGGGUGUUCUGCCUCCUAGCUUUACUGGCUUUCACUUCUUGUUCUUAUCAUGUACGAGCAGAAGAUCAUGCCACCAAGGAGAAAAAUGAGGUGAUGGAGUAUUGCNNNNNNNNNNNNNNNNNNNNNNNNNNNNNNNNNNNNNNNNNNNNNNNNNNNNNNNNNNNNNNNNNNNNNNNNNNNNNNNNNNNNNNNNNNNNNNNNNNNNNNNNNNNNNNNNNNNNNNNNNNNNNNNNNNNNNNNNNNNNNNNNNNNNNNNNNNNNNNNNNNNNNNNNNNNNNNNNNNNNNNNNNNNNNNNNNNNNNNNNNNNNNNNNNNNNNNNNNNNNNNNNNNNNNNNNNNNNNNNNNNNNNNNNNNNNNNNNNNNNNNNNNNNNNNNNNNNNNNNNNNNNNNNNNNNNNNNNNNNNNNNNNNNNNNNNNNNNNNNNNNNNNNNNNNNNNNNNNNNNNNNNNNNNNNNNNNNNNNNNNNNNNNNNNNNNNNNNNNNNNNNNNNNNNNNNNNNNNNNNNNNNNNNNNNNNNNNNNNNNNNUGUAAUUUCCAAGCUUAUCUUCAUGAGAUUAAUUACUUACGAGGAACACAAUGUCAUAUGUAGGUUUCAUCGUUCCAGAUUAUAGUGCGCCACCACCUCCAGAACACUAAUCGUAAGGCCGGUACGGUCAAAUUAGGAGAGGAGUGUUAUAAUAUGGAGCACUUAGUCUAAGGCAAUCUUAUCGAACAAAGGAAGGGAUGCUAUGAUAUUGAUGCUUUAUCAUAGGACCUCUGCAAUAAUGUAUCUUACUUUUAAUUUUAUGACUAAUAAAAGGACUGCCCGCAUGUUCUCUUUGUGUUUAGCAUGAUAUUUAGUUGUCCAUCGACAUACAUGGCCUCAACCAAUGACUUUCAAUUCUGAUAAAAUAGACUGCUGAAUUAAAUCCAAAGUCUUGUAAACAAACAUAGCUUGUUCUAUUCAUAAUAAUCACUAUAAUAAACACUAAUAAAAA
rnacentral:lncRNA from 1 species